rnacentral:lncRNA from 1 species
UAUCUUAUUUUUACCAAUCUUAUAACUAAUAUGAUUUACUCAUUUUUAUAGAGUCAUAAAGAAGCCGAUCAAUUCAGACAUCGUAGUUUCCCUUACUACGACCAACUUACUGCCAUAUACGCAAGAGAUCGUGCGACUGGGAAAGAUGCUCAAACAGCCGCUGAUGUUAUUGAAGAAAUAAAUGUUCAGGAUGUACCUACUACAGAUAUUAAUGAAGAAAGAAACGAAUUCUAUGACUACGAAGCUGAUGUCUCUUUGGAUGACAUGGAUGUUUCUGCUACGGAGCCGCAACGAGAUAGAAACCAAGGGGGUUCCUCAUCUUCAAAGAAACAAAAAAAAAAAAAAGAAUUCUGAUGCAAGUGAUCAUUUUUCUUCUUCAUUUCAUGAUGCUGCCACUUUAUUGGCGAAAAACAUGCGGGCCAUUGGCGAACAAAUCAGUAGGAGUAUUGCCUCUGAUGUGGUAGUUCAACAAAAGUCAGAAGAAUUCCAGAUCAUCCAAGAAAAAGCUACAAAUUUAUAUCCAACCUUAUGUGAAAUAGAAGGUUUAACUGUGGAUGAGCGGAAUCGAGCAUUGAGUAAAAUUCCAGAUCAUCCAACUCAAAUGCUCGUUUUCUUUAGUUUACCUUCUGAUGUGCAGUUGGAAUGGGUUAGAAGAUUUCUUACUGACCAUUAAAAAUCAUGGUUCUGUUGAUGAUAUUUUCGUAACUUUUUCUGUUUGUAAUAUUUGGGAUGGUAUGUCGUUAUAAUGUUCUAACUUUUUGAUGUUGUAAAACUGUAUAACAUAUGGAUUAUGACAUAGAAUUUCAUGAAUUUCAUGUAACCUUUUGUUAAUAUAUGAAAAUUAUGUUUAUGCAAAAUAUAAUUCUCAAGUUAUUUAUUACUUUUAAUAUUUGUUUUAUUGUAGAAUAAUUAAAUUAUUUGUUUCACUAAUGAUAUUUUAGCACAUUAAAUAUGUAUUGCAGUUUAAAAAUAAUAAAGUAGAUUAUAAAUUAUAUUUAAUAAUAAUUAUUUUAAAUUAUAUUUUAUAGUAUUAUAUAAUAUGAUUUUAGUAUAUUCAUAUAAGAAUAUUUAAUAUUAAGAAUUUUAUUAAAUUAUAUAUUUUUAUUAAAUUAUAUUUAAUAAUAAUUAUUUUAAAUUAUAUUUUAUAGUAUUAUAUAUUAUGAUUUAGUAAAUUCAUAUAAGAAUAUUUAAUACUAAGAAUUUUAUUAAAUUAUAUAUUUUUAUUAAAUUAUAUUUAAUAAUAAUUAUGUUAAAAUAUGAUUAAAUUAUUUAUUAUUUAUAUUAAUAAUCUUAUUAAAAUUUAAUAACAAUAACAAUACCAAUACCAAUUUUCCUAAAAAAAAUUCUGCUAAGGGUAUUCUAGUCAUUUGAGUUUUUUUCCUUAUGCUAUUACAACAUCAUUCUAUUCAACCAAACACAAGAAUACUAUUACGCCUCUAUUCCAUUCCAUUCAACCAAAUAAAAGGAUUACCUAUUACGCCUCUAUUCCAUUACACCUCUAUUCCAUUACAGCGAACCAAACGUGAUGUUAAGAUUUAAUAUAUAUUGUAAUUUUUUUAUUUAAUUUAAUUCUUGUACUUUUACAAUACCAUUAGUUAGCAUAAAUAGUUAAUAUUGUUAAUUAUUUUAAUUAAAAUGUUAAACCUAAAUUUUUCUUAAAUACACUAUUCUAGUUUUUUUUAUCAUAAGGAAUUCAAAUUAGUGUUUUUAAGAAAACUCUUAGGCCUUGUUCUUUAUUGCGUUUGGGUUCCAAAAAGUGCUUUUCAACUUCAUAAAUAAAGAACACCUAGCUUUUUGGGUCAAAAUUGCAGUAGAAAGGUGCUUUUCCAUGCAAAAGUUGGAAUUUAAGUGCUUUUGAUUUUUGACUUUUGUGUUUGGAAGUGAAAAUUGUUAAAAUACCCUUAAUUAUAUUAUUUAUUUAAAAGACAUAUAAAAAUUAAAUUAAUUUGUAUUUAAUGUAUCAGUAUAUUAAUGUUUUAAAUAUAAUUUAUUAUUAGAUUUAAGUUUUAAAAUUUUUUUAUAUAUGAUUAAUUUUAUAAAUAUUUUAUAUUGAUUAAUUAAAAGGUAUGUAAAAUUUAUACUUCAUGUACCAUUAUAUUAAAUUAUUUAAAUAUCAUAUAACUUAAAUAAUUUUUAACUUUUCACUAAUAUGUCCAAAAGAGAUAUUUUAACCUUCAAUGAAGAAUAAUAAAAUUUACAAAUCACACUUUUUUACAACACUUUUUACCAUACUCUUUAAAAACACUUUUUUUUCUAAAAGCAUUUUUCAAUCGUAACAGCAACGUAGAACUAGCCAUUAAUCAACAUUUUCAACAUUUUUUUUAUUGUUACACAAUUAUCAAAUAAAUAUUUUUUUCUUUCAAAAUGACACGCUAGUGAAUCCAGAAAAGGAAUUUUAAUGACGAUGACUACUGGACUUGAAUUUUUAAAUAUCGAAAGUAGAAAGAUAAAAAUCCUGAAAAUAAAAGUAGGAGACUAAAUUACAAAUAUACUAAGCGUAUAGAAACUUAGAACAUAAUUUAAUCUUUAAAUUUUCUUUACUCUAUAAUUUAAUACAAACAAUUAAUUCAUCCAAUGCAAAGCAUUAGAUUACCAUAGUUAUAGUCAGACUUGUCCAUGGGUCAAUGGCCCACUUAAAAAGUGGAAGAGUUUGGGCAAAAAAUAUAAGUUUAAAAAUUGUGUUUGAGAAAAAAAAGCCCAUUUAGAAAACAUGUUAGGCCUCGGGUAAGAUUUUUUGGCUCAGGACCAGCUUGGCCCGACCUGAAUUUGCAAAAAAAGAAUCCCUGCUAUUUUGUUUUUUUAUUAUUAUUUUGCUGCCAUUUGACUAUUAUGUUGCUACUAUUUUGUUAUUAUUAUUUGGAUAUUGUAUAACUCUUGUUUUAUUCUUAAUUUUGCUACUAUUUUAGACAUUAGCAUGUUAAAUCGCAAACAUGUUAGUUUUUUUUAAAUUUAUUUUCAAUUUGUUGAGAAACAUUUAUUUUAAUAUUAUUAAUAUUUUGAUGAAUUCUAUUUUUAAAUUUUUAUAUAAAAAAAUAAAAUGAGUCAAGCUUGAAUUUUAAUACUUCUAUCUAUGUCGAACUUAGAUAAACAUUUAAAUCCAUUCUUUGAACUAGAUUAAACCCCAGUCUAUCAAUCGUGCCUAGAACAUCACAACUCUAGUUAUAGUUAUUAUUAUUGAAUCCGAGAGAUAAGUCCAUUUUAGUAUGUUGACUAGAUGGGGUUAAAUGCUAAGGGGACAGUGGUCCCAAUAAGGUGGGUUUGGGCCACAUGGUCUUAUCAAUUGCGUGGCCGAAUUACAGAUGAACUAAACUGUUCAUAUUUUAAAUAUUUAAAUAAAAUAUAAACAUAGUUCUUGUAAAAUAUAAAUAUUUAAAUAUUUAAAUAAAAUUCAAAUGAAACAUUAAUGGAAUUAUUUCUUUAUUUGAACUCAAUGAAUAUUAAAAAUGAAAGUUCUUAAUGCCUUUAAUUAAUAUAGAUUGUAGUCGAAAAUGGAGUUUUAUAGUAUAUAUUAUUUCUUUUUGUUGGAGGUUUGAUAAUUGAUGAUGAGAAAGAGGAGGCACGGCACAUCAAUGCUAUGAAUCUAUCUCGAGGAUGAGGGCCUUGGGUUUUUAAUAAUAAUUUAUUGUUGAUUUAGAGAGGACCUAUUUUUAUGGAUUUCUGUGUUUAGAUCGUACGGUCUAAUGUUGAAACUUAUGGCAAAAUAGUUUGGUUAGUGGUUAAUUACAAAAUACAACCUCUUUUAUCACCGAAUCCAAAUUAGACUCUAACUUUUAAUAGUUCAUUUUUUUUUUAUAAUUUUUAAGAAGUUAGAUUAAAAUUUUAUCAUUUUUAAUGUAAUUAAUUUAAAUUUUUAAAGGACCUAAUUUUCCAUUUUAGGGGAGGCUGGGGGCCAUGCCAGCUCCCUUAGAUACGCCACUGGCUUGGGGGAUUUUGAUUUAAGUGAUUUGGGUUUCUAGGGACUACGAUUGACUUGGUAGCAAGGUAGAGUUCCUAAGGAUAAUAUACGUGAACAAUUAUAUCGAGAUAAAUUUUUGAAUAAUUCAGUGAUUAAAUUAUAAUUAUUUUUAAUUAAGUGACCAAAAUAAAAAUUUACCUAUAGUUUAGUAACCAAUGAUACAAUUUACCCAACAUAUUUCAACUUUUCAAUUUUGUUUUAUAUAAAUAAAUAAUAUAUAUUAUAAUUUAAAUAUUUUAUAAAUUAUUGAAUUAAUUGACAUUUAUAUUUUAAUAAUAUUUUUUCUUUCUUCGCAUUCUUUUGUUUCUUUCUUCUUUAUUCUUUUGGCAAUUUGUUUUUCAUUCUCUAAAAUACAAAUAAAAACAAUAAAAUUUUAUUGACUCCUAAAAACAUUUAAUAUUUAUUAUAUUUUUCCUUUUUUAUUGGUUUAUAAAUAAAUACAAAGAGAAUUAGGUAAUACUUUAAAUUAGUAAGUAUAAAUUUUAUUUUCACUAAUUUAAUUCUAAAAACAAAAAUAUUAAAUGAAAAUAUAAGAUAAAAUACUCUUAAUUAAGUAAUGUAAAAAAAAUAUUCUAAUAAAUUAUUUAUUUAAAUUGAAUUAAUAUAAAAAUAUAAAAAUACGAGUUUGAAUAAACUUUUAAACUAAUGAGAAUACCCUUUCUUUUUCAUCAUAUUACUAAAUUUACAUUUAAAAAUAACCAUAAUAUUUAAUCUAGAAUUAUUAAUUGAUAUAAACAAAAGUUGUGCAAAUUUUUUUGAUGUAAAAUAGAGUUAUUAUUUGAAUAUGAUUUUAAGCAUAUUGAUUAUCACUUAAUUAAUAUUAGAAUUAAUUAUGUUGAUUAGUUAUUAUUCAGAGUAAUGCUACUUUGCAUUAAUUAUAGAAACUAAAUUUGCAUAUUGUAUGCUGAAUAUGUUAAAAAUGCUUUAAUUAUUAUUUACAUUUUUUAAUUAUAAUAUUUUAAUUGAAAAAAUUAUAUAUUUUAUUAUAUUUAAUGAUUCAAAUAAAAAAAUAUUAUUUUGCAUUAAUUAUUGUAAUUAAAAUUACAUCAUUUUUAAAAACUAAUUAAAUAUUAAAUGCAUAAAACUAGUGGUGAGCGUUCGAUCGAAUCGAAUGAAAAAAUUUCGAGUUAAUUGAGUUGACAAAUCAUAUUUUAUCAUCCUAAUUUGAUUUAAAAUUCUCGAAUCGCGUCGAGUGAGAUGAAGUUCGAAUCAAAUCGAAUAGAAUAUAUUUGUUCAAGUUAAAUUUUAAAAAAAUAAUUUUGGGUCCUUGUAACCACUGUCACCCACCGUAAUAAAAUUUGUCCACCGUAAUAAAAUUUUUUAUUAACUCUCAUCACCUCAUAAUUUAUUUAUUAAUCUUUUAUAUACGGGUUAGCUUCUUUGCUUGCUUAGUUCUUUCAAUUAUCUGCAGAUUCUUGUCACUAUGUAUUUUGGAAUUAAAAAAUAUAUUAAAUGUAAAAAUGUGGUUUUUUAAUAAAAGUUAUUUUAAAGAUAAAAUUUAAAAUUGAUACCAAUAUAAAAUUUUAAUACGAAUAUUGUAUGACAUCAUUAAUAAUUCAAUUUUAAUAUAACUAUUUAAUAUGACUAAACAAUUCAAUAAUAUAAAUAAUAUAAAAUGUGAAAUUUAAUUUAAUAAUAUAAAUAGUAGAUAUAAAAAAAUUUAUUACUAUUUAUGUUUAGGGGUUUUUUUGGAUAAUUUUGAUUUUUAUUUGAGAGUAGAGGGUGAGAAAAAAAAAUUUAGGGGGAAAAUAAAAUGUUUUGGGGAGUAAAAGUUUGAGGGAAAGUAAAUAGGGGAAGUAGAAUUUUGGAGGGAAAAUAUUAAAAAAAAUUGGGGGCUGGGGAUGGGUUUAGGGUAGAUGGGGGGUGGGAUGGGAAGGAAGUAAAAGCUUUCAGGGGGAUAAUGGGAGGGAGUAAGAAUUUUAGGGAAAAAUAAAAAGUUUUGAGGGUUUUUAGAAGUAAAAUUUUGAGAAAAAGUAAAUAGAAGAGUAAAAUUUUGGUGAGAAAUGAAUUUUGGGUGGAUAGAGGGAUGGGAGGGGAGUAAAAGUUUUGAGGGAGAAUGGGAAGGAGUAAAAGUUUUGAGGGAAAAAUAAAAAGGUUUGGGAGUUUGAGGUAAAAAUGUAAAAAUGUAAAAUAUUAUAGUUUUAUAUUUGAUUUGUUCGAAUUCGAAAACUCAACUCGAUUCGAACUCGAAAUUCAAAAAAAAAUUCGAGUUGACUCGAAUAACUCGAUUCAUUUAACUCGAAAUUCAAUUUGUUUUUUUAAUUUUUUCGAGUCGAAUCGAGUUCUGGUCACCUUUGCAUAAAACAAAAGGGAGAGUUAAAAAAUAAUUUUAUAAAAUUAAGAGUAUUAAAAUUAUUAAUAAAGUAACUAAGAAGCGGCCAGAAAAAGUAAAAACAUGUUAAAAGUUUUAGGGAUGAACAUAUGGGUAGUUUAACAACAUUUGGUGCAAUUAGGACUAGAAAAUGGCAACCACACAAGUAGUAAUAUCUGGCAGCUCUAGACUCAACGUGACUAAAGGCGGACAUCCACAUGGCAAACAUGUGCACCCUCCAAAGUCUCACUCUACUAUUGAUUUACUACUAAACAGAUAACUAAUAGUCUUUCUACUUUCUAUUCCAAGAGUCUUGCACCUUCCGUCCUUACUCCCAACCUACGUUCUUCUUUUCAUACAUCUUAAUUUGCACUCUUAUUAUUCCCAUCCUACUCAUUUUAUUAUUAGUUUAUAUAGAUAUAUGUCAGAGUUUGAUGUUCAGAUUGCCUUUUCCCCCAUUAUUACCGUUCUAUCCAAAAGACAGUACAAUCAUGCCAAAACUUAGCAAUCCAUCUGUACUAGCUGAGGUCCACUGAGUCUGAGCAGAAGCAGCAGCAUCUUUAUCAAUUAUUAUCACUUAAAGGUGGAGCGGGUGAGAACCAAUAAAUAUUCACAACCAAGUUACCACUGUUACUGUCUUGGUGUUAGCAUGGAAUAUAAUAAGUUUUUUAUUAUUAUUAAAAUAAUAUCUCACAUAUGCUAUCUAUUAGGCACAAGGUAAUCCUUAUCCCUCUUCUCCACCUUCACCCAGCUGGCCAGCUCCUUCAGGUUGGGUAGCCUAGAUUAAGUAUUAAGAAUAUAGUAUGCAUAGUACUAUAUGAUUCUCUUGUAGUGACUGGCUGAGUGGUUUCUGUUUGACAAUAUGGUGAAGAAUGGUGGUUGUGCAUUUGACUUCGAGACCCUAAAAUCUCAUUUACUUGCUACUACAGGAAGGACUCUUUUCUUCUCUUCUCUGGUACUAGUGCUAGUAUCUAGUUACAACAGCCAUCCCUUCCUCUGUCUCACAAUAAUUUUAAGUAAAAGUUUUCGUUUUCAAACUCUCUCUCUAAUAUAUAGAUUUCCAUCUUCUGUACUUUAAAUUCUGUCUCAAAAGGUUCACUUCUCCUUUUUGGCUCAUACAAUACAAGGUUACUCACAGCUACUAAAAGAUAUAAAUAUUUUUGGUGCAAUGAAUAGUUUUGUUUUAUUUUUGAGUAUUUGGGGGGGGGGGCGGGGCGGUUGAUGUGCUAUUGCGAUGAUUUUGGGGUAGAGUCUAGGUGGGUUGAUUAAAUGCAAUCAAUGUUUGGUGUCUUUCAAAUAAAGAUGGAGGAAUGGUUGAUUUGUGAUCCAGGUUUCUUCUCUGCUUGCAGAUAAGUUCCAGGCAAGGUGUUUGAUUCAUUGUUGAAAAGAGAUGAGGGGUGCUGCUUUUGUAGCCAUUGCUGCUACAAUUGGUAACUUUUUGCAGGGAUGGGAUAAUGCUACCAUUGCUGGUACUUCCUUCUUUCACAUUUAUAUUUGUUACCUGCUUAUUUCUUCUCAGCAUCAUGGUGUUUCCAUGCUUCCAACAAACAAUAUCUAGUACUUGUUUCAUUCAUUUGUGCUUUCAGGAGCAAUUGUGUACAUUAAGAAUGACCUCAAUCUAGGAACUAGCGUUGAAGGUCUAGUGGUGGCUAUGUCACUGAUAGGAGCAACAGCUAUUACAACAUGCUCAGGGGCUAUAUCAGAUUGGCUUGGUCGGCGUCCAAUGCUGAUAAUGUCUUCAAUGCUUUAUUUUGUCAGUGGUUUGGUAAUGUUGUGGUCACCUAAUGUCUAUAUUUUGUGCCUAGCCAGGCUAUUAGAUGGAUUUGGAAUUGGUUUAGCCGUGACUCUUGUCCCAGUCUAUAUAUCUGAGACUGCCCCAUCUGAGAUAAGGGGAUUGUUAAAUACGUUACCACAAUUCACUGGUUCCGGGGGAAUGUUUCUAUCUUAUUGUAUGGUUUUUGGGAUGUCAUUGAUGGACUCACCAAGUUGGAGGUUGAUGCUUGGGGUUCUAUCCAUCCCUUCUCUCCUCUAUUUUGCCUUUACGGUUUUUUAUUUGCCUGAAUCUCCUCGGUGGCUUGUGAGUAAAGGAAGAAUGCUUGAAGCUAAACAGGUUCUUCAGAGAUUACGUGGCAGGGAAGAUGUUUCAGGUUUUUUUUUUUCCUUAUUUUUCUCCCCUUUCCUUUGAACAUGUUGAAAAUAUAGGGGACUUGGCUGUUGAAUGGUUAGAUACACUACUAGGAGCUAAUAGUAUGACUUGUUUGCUUGCUCUACUGGAUCCACUGAGAGGUGUUACAUAAAUCAUGAAUGAGCAUAAGCUCCAUUUGUUAUUUAUCUUUUUAUUCUUUAAGAUAUAAACAAAAAGGCAUGAUGCAUGCAUGUAGGUCAUCGGAAACUUGAACAGGUCUGAUUUAUAUAUUUGUAGACUAUACAAGGGAUUGGAAAGUUAGUUGGUUUUAUCAGUAUUUUUGGGAAGGGUUUCUGACCUUGGGGUGUUCACAUCAAUAUAAUACUUUUUGAGUGCUUUUCUCCCAAUUUUGUUGGCAUCCUUUUCAUGAGUAUUAGCGAGGUAGGCAUCAUGUGCAGAAUAGAUGUUGGGGGCAAGAAAGAGAGGAAAAUCUUCUCCAUUCCUGUCUAUUAAGUCCUUUCACGGCACGCACUUGCCUAAUCUUUAUGCCUGAUAAGUAAUAACAAAGAAGCCUCCAUAGCAUUUCUUUUUUGGUUUAUUGAAAAUGACAGAAAUUCCUGUGUCCUCCUAUUUAACUCGUUUUAGACUAAUUGAAGGUGUGGAGCUUACUGAGACUUCUUUGGUCUACAGGAGAGAUGGCUUUGCUGGUUGAGGGCCUUGGCAUUGGAGGUGAAACCUCUAUAGAAGAGUACAUAAUAGGUCCAGCUGAUGAACUUGAUGAAAGUCAGGAACCCGGUGCUGAUAAAGACAAAAUCAGACUAUAUGGACCGGAAGAGGGCCUGUCUUGGGUUGCCAAGCCUGUCGCUGGACAAAGCAUUCUUAGUAUUGCCUCUCGCCCCGGAAGCAUGGUGAACCAAAGUAUGCCCCUUAUGGACCCUCUUGUGACAUUAUUUGGUAGUGUUCAUGAAAAGCUUCCCGAGACAGGGAGCACGCGUAGUAUGCUUUUUCCGAAUUUUGGAAGCAUGUUUAGUACAGCAGAGCCUCAUGCUAGAAAUGAACAAUGGGAUGAGGAGAGCUUGCAGAGAGAAGGUGAGGACUAUGCAUCAGAUGCUGCAGGAGGAGACUCGGAUGACAAUUUGCAUAGCCCAUUAAUCUCACGUCAAACAACAAGCUUGGAAAAGGACAUGGUUCCCCCAGCUUCCCAUAUCAGUUCUCUAAGCAUGAGACGCCAUAGCACUCUUGUGCAAGAUGUUACAGAAUCAGUUGGUGGUACAGGGAUUGGAGGUGGUUGGCAGUUGGCAUGGAAAUGGUCUGAGCGAGAAGGUGAGGGUGGAAAGAAGGAAGGAGGGUUUAAAAGGAUUUAUUUGCACGAGGAGGGAAUCCCAGGAUCUCGACGUGGCUCUCUUGUAUCACUUCCAGGUAAUGAUAUGCCCGCAGAAGGUGAGUUUAUCCAGGCAGCUGCACUAGUGAGCCAACCUGCUCUUUAUUCCAAGGAGCUUAUGGAUCAGCAUCCUGUUGGACCAGCAAUGGUUCAUCCAGCUGAAACUGCCUCAGAAGGACCAGUUUGGACUGCUCUCCUUGACCCGGGAGUCAAACGUGCUUUAUUAGUUGGGAUUGGGAUUCAGAUUCUUCAGCAGGUACUCAGCAGUUAUAUGUUUCGACUUUUUCAUUUUCUCUACAAAGUUUAUAGAUUUUAAACAGCAGUGGCAGCUUGUUACAUAACAAUGUUUGUGAAUUUGUACUUUAAACGGAGAAGUUUGAAUCUUGUAUUUAUCAGUUGAGGCUAAUUGCAUUAUGAUUCCCAUGGUAAGUUAAACUAAUUUUCGAACUUCACAUGUAGUUUUCCGGCAUUAAUGGAGUUCUCUACUACACUCCUCAAAUUCUUGAAGAGGCAGGUGUUGAAGUGCUUCUUUCAAACUUGGGCCUUGGUUCAGAUUCUGCAUCAUUUCUUAUUAGUGCAUUUACAACCUUGCUGAUGCUGCCCUGUAUAGGUGUAGCCAUGAAACUCAUGGAUAUAUCAGGCAGGAGGUAAUCUCAGUUUCUCUUAAUAUUCUCCUUAACACCCCUUCCCUUUUUUUAUCCUUAAAAAUGGAAAGAAACUAAUACUUGUAUCGUUUGCAGGCGGCUGCUACUCACCACGAUCCCGGUGCUUAUAGUGUCACUGAUCAUUCUAGUUUUUAGUGAACUUGUGGAUUUGGGCACGGUUGUGAAUGCUGCCAUCUCAACUGCAUGUGUUAUUGUUUACUUCUGCUGCUUUGUGAUGGGCUAUGGACCAAUACCAAAUAUCCUCUGCUCUGAGAUCUUUCCAACAAGGGUCCGGGGGCUUUGUAUUGCAAUCUGUGCUUUGGUUUAUUGGAUCGGAGACAUCAUUGUUACUUACACACUGCCAGUGAUGCUGAGUUCUAUAGGCCUAGCGGGCAUCUUCGGGAUAUAUGCUGUUGUAUGUCUGAUAUCGUGGGUGUUUGUGUUCUUGAAAGUACCAGAGACCAAAGGAAUGCCACUUGAAGUCAUUACCGAGUUCUUUUCUGUUGGUGCAAGACAAGCUGGUGCUACAAAGAAUGAGUGAAGUCACACUGCUUUCAAUGGUGUCAAAUUCUAUUUUCAAUUUCGGCCGUUAAGCUUUCAUCAUUUUUGUUCCUUCUUGUUGCUUUGAAAAUUAGGGAUCCUCUUAUUCAAACAUUAAAAUUAUAAAAUUUUCCCACUAGAAAUUGAGUUUACGUGUAUUUUACAUGGUGAACCACCCUUUUUAACUUGGAUUUCAUAAACAAUAAUUGCAUCAACAAGGUAUGUGGUGGUAUAUAGGUCCUGCCGCCUAGACGACUAGGGUUCUCUUAUGAUAAUAAAAUAAAAGACGGUCAGAGAGAGGCAGGACUUCCAAUCCCAUCGUAUCUCAGUUGAUGGGUUAUUCUGCUCCAUUAGUGGACCAUCCACCUUAUUUUAAUGGACGGCUUGAAAUCAAAGGCAUAUAUUAUAUGUUUUACCAAUGAAGUAAAAUUUCAUAGUAACAGGCAUAAAGAAGAGUGGACUGGAAUAUACCAUCUUUGUUAGGUCAAGAGAAGAGUUAAUUACUAGUUUAAAAAUUCCCAGUUAGUGGGUUAUAUACACUUUUGUUCCUAUCACCCUGUGAAUAAUAAUAAAUACAAGUAUGAUCGUUAGUGAUGCAUUCAAUUUUUAGCACCACCCACCCCACCCCCACCUUUCAAUCACAAAUUCCAUUUCACAAGUUGCCAAAAUCAGUUACAUUUACUCAGAAUGGAAACAAAUGCCUGCUUUCCUUCCAUCUUCCUAAAUCCUGGAAUUAAUAAAUUAAUGAAACCUUUUGCUCACUAUCAUCAUAUCUCUUGGAUUGCACUCAAUGGACUUGGGAAGAAGUUGGGUUUUCAUUAAUUUUGACCUAUUUUUAACCCAUGUAGAAAGUGAAAGCUUUUUUCAAUGCUGAAUAUAAUAACAUAUCCAACCCAAGAGGAAUGAUUUUAUUUUUAGGUACUUUUUAACCUGUAGUGAGUGAAGAGUAAGUGGAGGUGGAACAAGAAUCUUGAUGCCCCUGCCCAGCCCCACAGCCACCAAACAAGGGGAGGAUAAAAGACCCCCCCUUCCCCAAAAGCCAAAAAUAAAGCAUAAACCACUUGUUUAACGUUAAGCUACCCACUUUAUACUUUGCUAAUCAGAUAGCCUAAAAGUGAUGAAGAAAAACAAAAGAGAUGGACUCUUAUCACCUACUGUUUCCAAAUAUUUUCUCUUCAUCACAUGCCCCUUUUUACCUUUUAUUAUUUCUAUUACAGGUAAAAUUUCCAACCCUCAUUUCAUCGGAAUAUAUUUAAAUCAAAUCCCAGCCUGAAACCGGAUUCACUUGGGAGGACCACAUCAAAGCAAAGAACAAUGCAUACUUUACAAGUGAAGAAAAUAUCAUGGAUGAGCCCAGAUAACAUCUAUAUAUUACUAAAUUGCAAUGUUUUGAUGGUGGGUAUGAUUCAGGUAAAGGGAACAGAGAGGAGUUCGUCUUACAGGAAUUUCAUAUUCUGAUUUUCUGCCUAUAAUUAUAUUUCACAAAUAUAUAUAUUAUGUUCAACUUUACAUACAUAAAUACACCAAAUCAAAUACUAUUACAUACAAUUCAAAUCAAUCAAAACCUAAAUGUUCCUAUUAGGAAUAGUAGUGGUAUUAAUAAUAAUCAUUGGCGGAGGUAAUUAGCUAAUGAAAAACCUAACCUAACAUGAUUUCACUUGGAAAAGAAAGAAAAAAAAAUGGAGGAACCCAGAAGGUGGCUUGGGUUGGCUAGGGCAGGAAUGUAUUCACAUCAUCUUCACGCUCUUUCAAUCUAGCUUCAGUGUUAGUUCCGGAAGUUGAAGCCCCCGGGCCGGGUAAACCCCCACACUUUUGGCACCUGGCAACCAGAAUCUGACGGCAGGAAGGGCAUGAAGAAUGGGAGCCCAGCCAGGUGUCGAUGCAGACGACGUGGAAGCCAUGGCCGCACUGUGGAAGAACCCGGAUUUCGUCCCCUGCGGCGAACUCCGUGAGGCAAAUCGCGCAAUCGGAGAAUUUGGCGGAGAAAUCAGGUGAGAAGGUAGCCUUAGGGAGGGACUUGAGGAUCUUCUUCUUGAGGCCCUUGUUAGCAGGAGGGGUGGGACGGGAUGAAGCAGAGGGAUUGGGAGCAAAGGCACCGGAGAGACGGCGAAGCCAGGCGCAACGAGCGACAGCAAUGAGACCGAGGACGCAAAUAAGGGCACAUAGGAGGGCUGCAAGGAUAACGACGAAGUCGGAGUCGACGGUUGCCGAUUGUUCAGGUGGCGGCUCAGUAGUGGCCGAGGAGUUGGCGGCGCCAAGGAGCCUAAAAGGACGAGUCAUGUGAAGAGAGAGAGAGAGAGAGAAGUGGUUUUGGUUGAAGUGAAGACUGCGUUUGUCUUGUGUUAGUUCCAACCUUUUUCUCCGUCGAUGUCAUGAUUUAUAAUAAAUCUCCCUUUGUUUUGUUUUGUGAAUGCUCAUUAAAUUACUUCAAUUAUAUUUUGAUUUAACUAAAAAUACAUUAUAUAAUAAAAAUAUUUGAUACGAGUCUUUAGAUUAUGCAAAUGUUCUAUAAAAAGUAUAAUAAAACAUUUUUUUAAACAGUAUCGAAAUACUCACCCAUUAUAUAAAAAAAACAAGAGUUUAAGUGGGACCCAUUUGCCAAAAUUCAGGGUUGGGUCAACAAGGCUGUUGACUAUUGGGAGCUUAAAUGGUGUGAAUUUAUUCCACGGUUUGAUUUUAACAUUUUGUUCCUUCAAUUUCUAACUUAGCUAUCACAUAUUUUAACCAAUCAAACCAAGCCAAUGACAACAUCUUAAAUGUUUUUUAGACUUCCAAAAUACGUGUCAUUCCUAAAAAUUAAUAUAUGUAAUUACAAAUCCAUAUAAAAAUCCCUAAUUUAGAAUAUAAAUAACAUACCAUAGAUAACAAAACCUAUGGUUUUAACUAAUUAACAAUAACUUUUUUUUUUUAGUUUUUACUUUUAAAAGUUAUACGAUAAUAUUUUAUUUUCUUAAAAAAACAUUAUUUUAUAUUUAGUUGUAUAAGAUUUAACAUGUCAUUUAACAGUUUUAAUAACGAAAGGACUUGAUGAUAUAACGUCAAUAGUUUAAGGAUAUAAUUAGAACAUCUUAAAGUAUGAGGACCAAUUGAGAAUGAGGGUCGUAGUUUGAGAUGUCAAGUGCAAUUAACUCAAAAUCGAGUAUAUAAUUAUCCAUAGAAUAUACGAGUUUUAAUAAAAGUAUAUUUGGUGUUUUGUGGUAGUGAGUCAAAAUUUUGAUAUAAACAAUUUCGUCGUCAAUAAAAUAUCCCAUACAAUUAAGCGAUAAUGAUAAAAAAAAAAAACUUGUGUGCCGAUGAGUUCAAAUACGAAAGUACAAGCUAGGAAGGUAUAAGAAGCAAUUUCUAACUUAAUGUUACGGAUUCUUAGAGAUAAAAGUAUGGUCCAGUAAGCCAAAAUCGUUUAUUAUUUUGGUUGCAUAGUGAAGUGUGUUGACACCAUUUUUUUUGAUGGAAAACGGGGUCGACUUGGGUUUUUGAAAAUGAAAACGAAAACGGGAGUCGCCACCAAUCCUUUUUUAUAAGAUGUGAUUGGAUCACCUCGAAAAGUGGUUAUUUUUAAUAAAAGGUUUGAUUUUAUUAAAACAACAAGUUUGGUCCACGAAACUCAGAAAACGGGUUCGGGAGUCGAUUACGCACGAGGAAGGAUUAGCACCCUCGAUACGCCCAAAAUUGGUACCUAGUUGAUUACUUAAUGUCUUAGUGUCGAAGAUUGAAAACUUUAAAGAAAUUUAAAGUACGAUCCUUAAAAAAAAACUCGAAUGGCAUGGAUUAAAAUUCAAGAGGAAACUUGGCAAUUUGGUUAAACGAGAAAUCGAAACCCAGCACCUUAGGGCACGUUCCUCGAAUUUCCAAAUGCAAAAUAUUGCCUUAUUUUGAAAUUUUUAUGAAGGAUAUUAAGCCAUUUGAACGAGAAAAAUCGACACCCAGCACCUUAGAGCGUGUUUUCUCGAAUUUCCAAAUGCUAAAUAUUGCCUCAAUUUGAAAUAUUCUCCUUUUUUUUUGAAAUAUGGUAUUUAUAUGCAUGAUGGGAUAAUAAAUAAAAUAACGCGACUAAAAAAAAUAAUAUGAGCACAAAAAUGAAUAAUAAAUAAAAAACAAAUCACUCAUGAAUAUACAAUAACACGUAAAUAAAAAAAACUAAAGCAUUAAAUAAAUGGACAUAUAAAUAAUCAAAUAAAUGAAAAAAAAAUAAAGAAAAUAGAUAAAAAAUUAUAAAAUAUGAAAAUAUAUAAGUACAUAUAAAAUAUAUAUAUAUGAAGGUAUUCAUAUUUUAAUACGUAAUAUAUAUAUAAGUAUGUAUGGACAUAUUCGUGAGAAAAACAGGAAGAAAAAAAUGUAUAUAGAUAUAUAUCUAUAUAGAAAAAAAUGUAUAUGGAAAAAAAUGUAUAUAGAUAUAUAUGUAUAGAUAUGUAUAUAAAUAAAAAAUAUAUGAAUAUGUAUGUAUCUAUUAAAUAAGUUACUAGAUAAAUAUAUAUGCGUGUAUACAUAUAGAUUAUAAAAAUGUAUAUAUAUAUAGGAAUCUAAAAGAGUUUAUACAUAUAAUGAUUUAAAAUAUAUAAUAUAUUAAAAGAAUUAAAUAAAUAGUAUGUAAAAACAAUUUAUAAUAAACAAUAAAUAAGAAACUCAAAACAAAUAAUAAUAAAGGAAACCCUAUUUUAAAAUGAUAAAAAAAUAAAAUAAAAUAAAUGGACUAGGGACGAUACUGAAACCAAAUCGAAUCUGGGGGUUUUAAUUGCAAAAACCAUAAACAGGUCACUUAGGGAUUAAAAUGGCGCUCGCACAAAGAAAGAAGGACUAAUUGGGCAAUAUACCCCAGUCCUAGAGUGCAAUGUUCCAGCGCAGAGGACUAUAUAUGGUCAAAGGACCUGAUUGGAGCAGAAAUAAAGUUUGCGGCCCAAAUCGAAAAGAAAUAGGAAGUUGGAUUGCACUUCCACGCAAGAUGGAGGGACUAAAUGCAUAAAUUACCCAUUAAGGCAAAGCAUGCAGAGAUUCCCCCCACCAAAUGGCGCCGUUUCACUUAUCCCCAUUUAAAACAAAAAAAAAUUUAUAACUUCAUUUUAUCAGUGUUUUAAAGAAAAAAAACUGAACCUAUCCUCUCCCUUUCAAGGUUCCCAGCAGCCAAACAUGGCCCACGCCGGCGAUCGGCGGUUCCAAAGGCCAAAGCUCCUUCACGAGCGGUGGUCGGAGUGAGAAAAGGAGGGCUUUUUAACCCCGUUCUCGACCUCCACCUUAAGGCCCGGUCCUCCAGACCAAACAAGCCGAAACAAUGAGAGACCUUUCGUCUCCUUCUCGGUCCGAUUCCAACACCGAAGAUGGUCUCCGGCGACGGGCUUUCGAGACCGGUAAGUGUCCAUUUUCUUUCUUUUUCGUUUUGUUUUUUUAGUUUCAAAGAGUAGUAAAAAAACAGAAAAUAGAAGAAUAUAUAAAAAAAAUUUAUUAAGAACAGAGAAAGAAAUUUGGAGUCAACCUUUUCAAUUUUUUUGAUCUGCUCCCUUUUUUUUUUAAUACAGAUUUUGGUGGCUUUUAUAGCCAAAAGAUAAUCCUAAAAAUCUAUUUCCUAUUUUAUUUUUAUCAUUUCUGUCCAAUAUUGCUACUGCUGCUGCUGUUGUUCCCCUUUCUUUGCUUUGCUUGCAGGUACUGGUGAAGUCAACAGGUAUUGGAAGAAUAAACCUAGCCUUUUUGGUACAAAACUGGUCGUGCUUCGGGCGUUGAGUGCGCUGCAAAUGCACGAGGAGACGUACGGCGCACUGAGGCUACUGGUUGUGAGCUGAAUUGGGCUAGGGUUUUGCCAUCUUGGGCCUCUGUUGUGUUUUUAUUUGGGCUACGGAUUUUGUUUUAAUUUUGUUUAUUAUUGUGUGUUUUGUGUUUAAGGUCAGGGUAGAAUUGGGCCCGUACAGCUGCCCCUCUUUACUCGUUGUCGUGUAAUGAGAACAGAGCAAAGACUUCAAAAGGGCCAAUUUUGCCCGGUCUCACCGAGUCUUGACUUCUUCUACUAUUUCUUUUCUUCAAAUAACUCCGUUCCAGUCCAUUGUGUCUUGUUGCUUCAAUCCACUCCACUGCAUUUCAAAAAGAUCUGACUUGUAGCUUUAAUUUUGUUCGCCACAACUUCUGGGGGACGAUGUUUGUGGUUUUAGUCUGUUCCACUGUAACUUCAGGGAGAUAAGACUGGAUGCAAUCUGCUCUACUACAUCUUCAGAGAGAUAAGAUCUUUGUUUUAAUCCGCUCCACUGUAACUUUAGGGAGAUAGGAUAGUGUCUUCGAUCUGCUCUGCUGUAAUCUCAGGGAGAUAAGAUCCCUGGCUUCAAUCUGCUCCACUAUAACCUCAGGGAGAUAAGAUCUGAAAUUCUUCGGUCUACUCUACCGUAACCUCAGGGAGAUAAGACCUGAUGCGAUCUACUCUGCUGUAACUUCAGAGAGAUAAGAUCCACUCCACUGUAACUUCAAGGAGAUAGGAUAGUGUCUUCGAUCUGCUCCGCUGUAAACUCAGGAAGAUAAGAUUUCUGGCUUCAAUCUGCUCCACUGUAACCUCAGGGAGAUAAGACCUGAAAUUCUUCGGUCUACUCCACUGUAACCUCAGGGAGAUAAGACUUGUAUAUUCAACCUGCCCCACUGUAACUUCAGGGAGAUAAGGUUUGUGGCUCCGAUCUGCUCCUCUGUAGUCUCAGGGAGAUAAGACUUGAUACGAUCUGCUCCACCGUAAUCUCAGGGAGAUAAGAUCUCUAAUAUUCACCGGUCUGUUCUCUAGGGAACAUGGCCUAUAUAAUGAACCUAAUUAUGCCUAAUGAUUAGGAUGGCACGAUCAAAAAUGAAUCAAAUGCUCCUAACUAGACAUGUGUGAAUGGUGUUUGCAUGAAUGCAGAAUUUUAUAUUUCCGAGAAUGAUCUCGCUUAUGUUGUCAUUACUCGAAGUUUAUUAAAGCUUUGUGACCGACGUGUUACAGCACCCUUUUUGCUUGACUGGCUUUUCUGAUAAAACAUUUAGCCAAGUUGUCCCCACUGUAAACCUCAAAGUUUAAUCCAUUUGGGCGCACAAUUUGUGCCAUCAUUAUCCCACUGCAAUCCAAUGGUAAAAAUAUGCGGCUUUCAUUUCAAUUCUAUCUUAUCAGAAAUCAAGGAUACAGGAUCUAAAUCGUUCUGGUUUCUUACACCAUUCUCAAGGUGUCGUAUUUAUGUGCAAAUGAAGGCUCUCUUCUCUAAGGUAACCUCUUCCUAUUGCUUGAUGGUCAUUGCUUGCUUGUUUGUGUAAGCUUUGUCACCAACAUGGCGUUUUGUCAAUCAACACAUUUGACAACAAAAAUCCAAAGAGAAAAUCUAAAUUUAGACUAUUCCUUCCCAAAUUUCCAACCUUUAAAUUUGGUGCGUUUUAAACAAUAGUCCUGCUUCAGGCUCCUUUAUUAUUUAGAAACUUUCCAGAGUUAUGUGUAAAACUUCCUUUGUGAAAGUUUUAUUAGUCCAUACAACAUAUUUGCAAAAAGGUCAUAACAAUGGAUAAGAAUAAAGCUGGUUCUGAUCAUAAAUCAAAAAGAAAUAAAACAUCGAAGAUAGUGAAAGAAAGACGACAAAGAAGUGGAUUGAGAAUGUGUAUCUUAGCAAAAAGAAAAACGUAUUUUCAAGAAUAUACAUAUAAAUAGAAUAAGAACUAGGUGCCCCAGUUAUCGCAGCUUGAAUUUCUCUGUACAAACUUUCUGAAGACCAUUCGGAGUUUGACAUGUGUUUAGGAGAUCUGCAAUACUCUGUCAAUGAUCCAAGACGUCGCAUAUCAUUUCUUGUUGGUUCGGGUAAAGCAAGAUCUUCACAUGCCCCUGAUCAGAAUUUGAUCUGCUCAAAUCACCUUAUAACCCAACUCGAUCAAUACUUGAGCCACCCUUUCCGGGUUUUUGACUUAAGCCCCCUUUGGCCUCAAGGUGCCCUUUGCGGGUUUUCACCCUGGCCUCUCCAAAGUUUUUUUUUGGAAGCAAAGCGCCCUUUGCGGGUUUUCACUUUGGUUCUCUUUUCUUUCAAGUGAAAUAUUUCUUGACGGAGUCUGCGUUUACAGGGUUUGGCAAACUUUUGCCAUCCAUCUCACAUAGGAUUAAAGCCCCACCGGAAAAUGCCUUCUUUACAACAUAGGGACCUUCCCAAUUUGGCAUCCAUUUUCCUCUCGAAUCCUUUUGCAUGGGGAGAAUCUUUUUUAGCACCAAGUCUCCUUCACGAAACUCUCUGGGGCGGACCUUUUUAUUAUAGGCUCGCAUCAUUCGUUUCCGGUACAUUUGCCCAUGACGGAUAGCUCUAAGCCUCUUUUCUUCUAUUAGGUUCAACUGAUCGUACCGAGAUUGGACCCAAUCGGCUUCGUCCAAUUGUAGAUCAGAUAGUACCCGUAGAGAGGGGAUUUCAACUUCAAUGGGUAAUACCGCCUCCAUUCCAUAUACCAGAGAAAAAGGUGUUGCUCCGGUAGAAGCUCUAACAGAUGUUCGAUAGGCAAGGAGAGCAAAUGAUAACUUCUCAUGCCAAUCCUUGUAAGUUUCAAUCAUUUUCCCCACGAUCCUUUUGAUGUUCUUAUUAGCCGCCUCCACUGCACCAUUCAUUUUUGGACGAUAUGGCGAUGAAUUAUGAUGUUUGAUUUUAAAUUGGCUGCAAACCUCAGCUAUUGUGCUAUUAUUCAAAUUUAACACAUUGUUGGAUAUAAUUUUCUCAGGCAUUCCAUAUCGACAAAUAAUCUCUUUCUUCAAGAAUUUGCUAACUGCUGACUUCGUGACAUUUGCGUAUGAAGCAGCCUCUACCCAUUUGGUAAAGUAAUCAAUGACCACAAAGAUGAAACGAUGCCCAUUAGAAGCCUUUGGUGAUAUUGGCCCAAUAACAUCCAUACCCCACAUGGAAAACGGCCAAGGAGAGGUCAUGACGUGAAGAGGUGAAGGAGGCGCAUGUAUUUUGUCUCCGUAAAUUUGGCAUUUGUGGCAUUUCUUGGCGUAAUCUAUGCAAUCUCCUUCCAGGGUGGGCCAAUAGUACCCAAAUCUCAUGAUUUGUCUGGCCAUCAUAAAACCAUUGGCGUGCGUCCCACAAAUACCCUCAUGUACUUCCUCCAAUAUUUUCUUGGCAUCCACGGCAUCCACACAUCUUAGCAAUACUUGAUCCUUCCUUCUUUUGUAUAACACUUCCCCAUCUAGGACAUAUUCGAUGGCUAUUCUUCUCAGAGUUCUUUUGUCAUUCUCUGUCGCUUGAUUGGGGUACUCCCGAUCCUUCACGUACUGUAGGAUAUUCUGAUACCAAGGACAAUCAUCUUUUCCCUCCUCUUCAAUAUUGCAGCAAUGAGCUGGGUUCUCAUAGAUACUCAUCUGAAUAGGCCUCAUUGCCUCGAGUCUAUUCACCUGAAUCAUCGAAGCUAGAGUAGCUAAUGCGUCAUCCAUUUGGUUUUCCUCUCGUGGGAGAUAACAGAAGGUGAUAUCAUCAAACUCACCAGCCAAUUCGAGAACUAGUUUUCUAUAAUCAAUUAGCUUAGGGUCCCUAGUUUCCCAUUCCCCUUUUAGUUGGUAUAUCACCAAUGCAGAAUCCCCAUAUACUCUUAGCACUUUGAUGUUUCGUUCAAUGGCUGCACGAAUGCCCAUAAUACAUGCUUCAUAUUCUGCCAUAUUAUUAGUACAAUCGAAGUCCAACUUGCUAGCAACAGGAUAAUGAUCUCCAUUUGGGGAUACCAAGAUUGCCCCAAUUCCAUUACCCGUAGCAUUCGAAGCUCCAUCAAAAUUUAACCUCCAUACGCUACCCAUUUGAGGAUUCUCUUCAGUGUUCGCCACAUACUUCAAGUCCUCAUUUGGAAAGUCGAAGUUCAAAGACUCGUAGUCUUCCAAGGCUCUACUAGCUAAGAAGUCAGCUAUCGCACUUCCCUUUAUGGCCUUCUGACUUACAUAUACUAUGUCAAAUUCUGAGAGCAGGAUUUGCCAUCUAGCCAUUCUCCCGUUUAAAGCAGUAGAUUCCAUCAUAUACUUUAAAGGAUCCAACUUUGAAAUCAGCCAAGUCGUAUGAUACAACAUAUGUUGCCUUAGUCUUCGGGUUGCCCAGAUUAAAGCGCAACACAACUUCUCAACUGAUGAGUAUCUCAUUUCGCAAUCAGUAAAUUUCUUGCUGAGAUAGUAUAUUGCCUUUUCUUUCUUUCCCGUCUCAUCAUGUUGGCCUAAUACGCAUCCCAUGGAAUUCUCCAACACUGUUAGAUAUAAUAUCAAUGGCCUAUCUGGACUUGGUGGUGAUAAGACUGGAGUAUUAACCAAGUACUGCUUUAUCUUAUCGAAAGCUCUCUGGCAUUCUUCAUCCCAUUCACCCGGAUUAUGCUUCUUUAAGAGACAGAAUAUCGGAUCACAUUUCUCCGUCAGUUAUGAGAUGAAUCGAGCAAUGUAAUUCAAUCUCCCUAGGAAACCUCGAACUUCCUUCUGCGUGCGCGGGGGAGGUAAAUCUCGUAUUGCUUUUACUUUGUUUGGGUCAACCUCAAUCCCUUUUUUGCUAAUUAUGAAGCCUAAUAACUUCCCUGAUCUGGCUCCAAAUGUGCAUUUUGCAGGGUUAAGCUUGAGCUGAAAUUUCCUCAAUCUCAAAAAUAACUUUUUCAAGACUUGAACGUGCUCUUCUUCCGUUCUAGACUUCGUAAUCAUAUCAUCCACAUAGACUUCGAUCUCCUUGGGCAUCAUGUCGUGAAACAAAGUCACCAUAGCUCUUUGAUAUGUUGCUCUCGCAUUUUUCAAUCCGAAGGGCAUUACCUUGUAACAAAAUGUUCCCCAUAAGGUAAUGAAUGUGGUUUUCCUCAUGUCUUCAGGAUGCAUCUUUAUUUGAUUGUACCCGGAGAAGCCAUCCAUGAAAGAAAACAAUGAAUAGCCCGCCGUGUUAUCUACCAAGGUAUCAAUGUGAGGCAGUGGAAAAUUAUCUUUUGGACUCGCCUUGUUCAAAUCUCUAUAAUCCACACACAUUCGUACCUUUUCAUCUUUUUUAGGAACAGGGACGAUGUUUACUACCCAAUCCGAAUACUUGACCUCUUGUAAGAAUCCAGCGUAGAAUUGCCUUUUGAGUUCUUCUUUUAUUUUCAACACAAUAUCAGGUCUCAUUCUCCUGAGCUUCUGCUGAAUGGGUUUACAAUCUUCUUUUAUGGGUAGACGAUGCACAACAAUGUUAAUGCUUAGCCCGGGCAUAUCUUGGUAUGACCACGCGAAAACAUCUUUGAACUUUCGGAGUAAAUUAAUGAGGUCUUGUUUUGUCUUUGCAGUGAUUUCAGUGCCAAUUUUCACCUAUUUUCCAUCCUCUAGGCUCACGAUUUCUAAUAAUUCCCCAUGAGGUAGGAUCUGUUUAUCCUCUUCUUCCACCAUUCUUAGCAAGUCCGGAGACACACCAUAAUCUUCGUCAUUUUCAAAGUCGUGAGAUCCCUCCAAACACAUUUCUUGCUCAAAGAUAGGCUCCGUGUUUGAAGCAGCAUCACUCAUGUCGUUGAUAUCUGAAGACCUAUGAAGGCAUACCAAAGAGUAUACCAAGAAUAUAUAAAUUUAUGAAUGAAUAUUUGUGCAAAAGAGUUACAAAUGAAAGAAUUAUUUAUAAGACAAUUAAUCAAAUGGAAAGUAUUUAUUUAUAUGUAAAGGAAAAAAGUGACUGAUUGAGAUGAAUGUAGAUAUGUAUUUCAUUAAAAUGAUGAUAUUUAGGCCCAAAGCCUAUUUCACAAAAGAUUUCAUAUCGUUCCUAGGCCAAAACAACAGGAAUGUUUUGAGCAUUACUCUGAAUAAGCCCUAAAGACUACAGGGAUUUCUUCAGCAGUCCAAUUGUUUAGCUCGCUCCCCGGCUCAUGAGGGCGGAUCUCCAACAAGGCCCUUUUUUCCGCUGCUUCCACAGUGUUGAUAUGAACAUUUUCCAACAUUCUUUCAAUGCCUUUGCUACCGGACACUCCGCACUCAGAAUGAAUAAAUCCUCCUGACACAAAGGAUGUAGAUAUGUGGGGAAAGGUUAAAGGCUCCCACUUAGCUUCAUAUCCGCUCAAACGUGCCCUUCUUUUCUCUUGUCUCUUCUCUAUUUCUUUCUUUUUCUGCUUCAUGUCUGGCUUGUAUCCUAAGCCAAAACUAUCGAACUUUUCCUUCAACAUUGGAGCUUCAAUCCUUCCUUGAAGAUAUUUUCCCAGUCCUUUCCCUGGUGCGGCUCCUCUUCCUACCAUCAAUCGCAACCCCAUUUCGGUGGUCCUGGAUAUUUUCGGUAUUGGAAUUCUACUUCCCUCCGCAAUAAACAUCGCGUUCACAAAUUCUAACGACCGAAAAGAACAUUUCAGUGCAUCAUCGUUGAUGUCCACAUAAGGUACAUCACUGGUCAUCAUUGCGAUAAUAUCUUUCUCUGCAUCUAUUGUUACCAACUGACCCUCCGAUACCAACUUCACCUUCUGAUGUAAUGAUGAAGGUACUGCCCCCGAUGAGUGUAUCCACGGUCUUCCCAAUAAACAGUUGUAGGAAGGCCUAAUAUCCAUUACCAAGAAGUCCACCUCAUAAGUGAUUGGGCCAAUCCUUAACGGUACCUCAAUUCUCCCCAUAACCUUUUUUUCCGUUCCAUCAAAUGCCCUUACUAUACUCUGGCAUGUUUUCAUGUGCGAACUGUCCACCGGUAAUCGACCAAGAGUGGAUAGAGGCAAUACAUUCAGUGCAGAUCCAUUAUCAACCAGGGCUCCCGGGAGUGUAUAUCCUUUGCAUCGGACAGUAACGUACAGGGCUUUAGUAGAACCCCUUCCUCCGGAUGGUAUUUCGUCAUCAUUGAAGAAGAUAAAAUUGUCAGCGCCUAUGUUGUUGAUCAACCGAUCUAGCUUGUUUACCGAUAUAUCGUCGGCCACAUAUGUUUCGUUUAGUACCUUCAGAAGCGCAUUCCGAUGUAUUUCUGAGCUUAGAAGUAAAGCUAAUACAGAAAUGUGGCUGGUUGUUUGUGCAGUUGCUCCACAACACUGUAUUCACUGUGCUUCAGAAACUUCAAAAACUCUUUUGCCUCAUCUUCUUUUAUUGGUUCAUUAACCAAUGGCUCAACUCCAACUGCUUUUCCGGUCCUCUGUUCUUUCUUCCAAUUCUCUUCCCUGGACGACUCUGCUUGAGUGUCAUAUCGUUUCUUAUUGCGUGUGUAAGAACCUAUUUCCUGGCUUUCUUCUGCUUUUUUUUUCCAAGAUGGUCACAUUGCACCCAUAAUUCCACGGCACAAUUUUGCUAUCCUUAUACAAGAAAUUUGAUGGUUUUUGAAUUACAACUUUCGGUGUUACCUGAGCCCUAGUUUCAUUACCUUUAGGGCGUGAGAUAACGACCACAGGAUGAUUUAUUUUCGGAGUUCCUGUUCCUGACUCUGUCGCGCAUAUGCUCCUCUUUUCUUCCGCCUCUUCAUAAAACGUCAUCUCUUUGUUAUCCAUCAUGCUUUGAACCAAAGCCCUGAAUCCUUCACAUUCUUGGAUUUCGUGCCCUGUUUUAUGAUGGAAUUCACAAAAAUUUUCCAGCUCGUACCCUUCCUCAAAAUUUGAAAUAACUAACCUUCUCUUUGCCAUCUCUUUCCAGACCCGUUUCAAUGGAGUUUUUACUUCAGCAAUGUCAGACUUGACUUCUCUUCUCGUACCUUCACUCACCAUAUUCACCCCCUUAUCAGCGUGAUUAGGUAACGGAUUUUCUGAGUUAGGUGAGUCGUCAAGUUUAACAACACCUAAUUUGAUAAGUCCUUCCACUACCUUCUUGAAAGCUGUACAAUUUUCUAUUGAGUGCCCUGAAAUUCCUGCGUGAUAAUCACAUUAUGCAUUCGUGUCAUACCAUUUUGGAUACGGGGGUUGUAGAGGACUCAAGUAACGAGGAGCAACAACAUGUGCAUUGAAUAAAGUCUGAUACAAUUUCUUGUAUGACAUUGGGAUUGGCGUGAAUUGGGGCUUUUCAGUAGUUUGCCUAGCUCUUGAUUCUUGUCUUGACGAUCCCGGUUGAUUAGCAACCCCUUUUUUUGGUUGAUUCACAGUAAUUGACCUACCGUAGGCAUUCACAUUAUUCACUUCAUUUUCUCUUUUCCUCGGGGCUGCCCUUCUAUUAUUUUCCCUUCCAUCUAUUCUUCCACUUUUAAUGGCAUGCUCAAUCAUUUCACCAUUCAUGAUUAUAUCCGAGAAAUUCUUUGAAGCGCUUCCCAACAUGUGAGUAAUGAAUGGGGCCUUCAAUGUAUUAAUAAAAAGCGUCGCCAUCUCUUUUUCUAAAAGCGGUGGUUGUACCUGAACCGCCACCUCUCUCCACCUCUGCGCGUACUGUCUGAAGCUUUCGUUUGAUUUUUUUUUCUAAAUUCUGCAGAGUUAUCCUGUCAGGCAUCAUUUCCGAGACAUGAUCGUAUUGUCUCAUGAAAGCCUGUGCCAAAUCUUUCCAAGUAGUAAUUUUUAUUCUGCUCAGCUGAUUAUACCACUUUGACACCGCUCCUGUAAGGCUUUCCUGAAAGUAAUGUAUUAAUAAUUGAUCAUUAUUAAUAUACCCCGUCAUUCUUCUACAAAACAUAGUAAUAUGGGCUUCUGGGAAACUGGUCCCGUUAUAUUUCUCAAAUUCCGGCAUUCUAAAUUUGUAAGGUAGCACCAAGUCCGGAACCAAGCUCAGGUCUUUUGCGUCUUUCCCAUGAUAGCUUUCAAUGCUUUCUAUUGCCCUAAACUUCUCUUCUAUCCAUUUCCAUUUCUCCUCAAGUUGUUUUGGAAGCUCCUCCUUCGCCUUGUCCUUUUCGGCCAUCUCGUCAAGAUCUAGGAUAGCAAUAUUAUUCGGGCUAUCUCCAGGAUUAGAGCCCACCCCGGGUUGAAAAUUCAUUGGUAUGGAAGCAUCGCCUUGGAACUGCUGAGGCCUAACCGACACAGAGGGUCUUCGUGGAUGCAGCUCAGUUUGAACCUGCGCGUGCGGAGGCGUAAAACUUGGAGGAUAAAGUGGUUCGCUAUUGUUUUCUUCCUCAUUAACAAUCACAGGUCCUUUCCCCUUAUCUACUCCAUUCAAUAAUUGUGUCAUCUUAGUUAUCAGAUCGUUUUGAGACUCCCGCAUCUUUUAUUCUAUGUCAUGCUGAAUCUUUUCUAUCUGCUCCUUCAUUUGCGCCUGCAACUGGUCUUGCAUUUCCUUUUGAAGUCGUUCUAGCUUUUCCAGCCUUUGGUCCAUAAUUUUUGACUUAGCUCGAGUGCCGUAACCUUGUUGGUUUUCUAGGUUAACUGAAAUAAUUUUAUUCGAUUAGGGUUCUUUAAUGGUCAUUAAUGCAUAUGAUGUGAUGCAAUGCAUGAAAAGAAUGCAAAAAGAGGCAGUGAUUCUAAUUCAACUUCAUUAGAAAAACUCAACUAGAAAACAAAUUUCUUUUACAUAAAGUGGAUUACAUAUACGGCUUUGCCUUUAUGCUCAAAGCCUUAACUCUCCUAAGGAGCCAAGCUAACUCUCGACCCCGACUUGAUUCCAAUUCAUAUUUCAAACUCAAUAUAUCGGCCUGAACUGCUAAAGUUUACAAAUGAUCAGCUACUUCCCGAAUUUGAGAUAUAGCUUCACCCAUCACGUAAUCCCUAUCUCUAAUCUGAUUUUGAGAAUGGAGGAGCUGCUCUUGGCAUUGUUCGUUACGCCUUUCAAGAAGUUCCUCUCGCGAUUCAGAGUUUUGCAGUGCAUCUUCAAGUUCUCCUAUUUUUUUCUUCAAUUCUUCGAUGUUAUUCAAACUUGCUUUUAGCUCGAUCACAGAGUUGCGAUUACGGCACAAGUGAAGCGACCUUUUUAACUCUGCUACCCGAUCUUUCAAUCUUGCUUCUUCAUUUUGGCAUUCUAAUAAACUUUUUUCCAAUGCACUUUCUCGAGCUCGGGCACCUUGAAAUUUCUUUUCCCACUGAUCAGCUUUGGUCCUUUCUUCCUCGAUCUCCUGUUUCCAUUGUUUCGAUGUUUUCCCCAAACCCGCAGUUCGCAUUGACAAUCGUAGCCUUUUAUAAUCUGUUUUUAAACUAUCUAAAUCCUCUUCAGCCUUAUUUUUCCCUUUUCUUAACUUUUCAGCUUCCAACUUGUGGAUAUCAACAUCUAGUCCCAAACGCAUCUUUUCUUCUUUCAGCUGUUCUAUCCUCUUUCCAAACUCUGAACUUCUUUUUUCGAAGUCUUGCUUGAUGAUCUCUAGUUCUGAAGGGACUAUUCGUAAAUACUCUUCUAUAGGACGACCACAUUCUUCUCCUGGCUUUGGGAUGUUAUCGUCGAUCCUCUUACUCCGCCACCCGUGAUAUUCGAGAGUUGUCGUUGCUCCUACGGUAAUUCUUUUCAUCCGGUGAAUUCGUUUCCAAGCGUUAGACAUCUCUCAGAUCUUUCCCUUGUAGUUAUUACCUUUAUAAGAAAAGUCACACUCGGCUAGCCCUUGCGUUGCCGGUAUAACUGCCUUGACUUAUAUUGCCUUAACAAAGCAAAGGGGCAUAUCCGACAGCUCCCCAAAUUCCAAGCAAAUGGACCCAGUCAAAGUCCCCACAUCGGUACAAAAUCUCGUCGGGCACCAUCCAAGAAGCUUUACAUUCAACAUCUUCAUCUCGUAGAUUAUGAAGGAUCGUCAUCCACUUUUCCUCCGUGAUGUCAUUACGUCUUGGUGUUGCUGCCAAUUCCUUCAAAGACGAGUAAUUUUUUGAGAAAACUUGAUAAGAAAUCUUAUCCACCUUCCAGAAGUGGCUGUGAAACCAAACCAACAGGAGUUGUGCACAACCAACGAAUCUUCCCUCCCCCGUUCUUCGACAUGCACUUAAAGACCUAAACGUUUCGGCCAAAAUUGCUGGAACGGGUGUGACCCUCCUAUCAAGUUGAUCAAACAAAUCUGUAACAGCUUCGUCUAUAUGCCCCAACGCUUUAGGAAAAAUAACUAGCCCAUACAUACUCAAAGCAAAAACAUCAACCUUUUUAUUCGUAUCCGGGUGUGCCAAAAUCUGAUCUCGCAAACUUCUCCAAGGGAUACAUUUAUUUUCUCCCUUUUGUUUGAUUCGUGCGGUGACCCAUUGCUCACUCAUUCCGGUAAUUCUCGUUAACUUCUUUGUAAAAGUCGAAACAUUAGCAGUUCUAGAAUAAACUUUAUCCACUUGGAUUCUUGGACAACGAAGUAAAGUUGUAUACUCCUCCACAGUAGGCACCAUGUCUACCUCCCCAAAUGUGAAGCAGCUAUAAGCGGAAUUCCAAAAUUGGGCCAAAGCUCGAAAUAAAUGUUCAUCUACAUUGAUGUCAAGCAAGUAGGGUAAAUCACCAUAAUUAUAGUAAAACAAUUGUUUGACUUUAUCCUCCCAUUGAGCCCAAAUUUCUUUCAACUCCUGAAGAUUGUUCUGAGUCACAUUGAUGCUAGUGUAAUCCCAUAACUCUGAUGCAAACCCCAUUGUCAGACUAUCACCUUUCUCGAGUUGUGACUUUUCUGACCAUAUUCGGAUAAUCGCAUUAUCUUCCACCUUGCUAAGAAAUUCACUUUCCAUGAUUGGCUUUUCUAUCUAGUAAUCGAAUGUGAAUCAACGCCUUUUACAAUGAAAUGCCAUGCAGACAAAAUGCCAUGCAAUCAAAACAAAAUAAGUUAGUAUCAAAAUUAAAAAUCCGAGACAAGCAAGAAAUAAUAAAGCACCUAUUUGAAGUAGUUCUAUCUAGGCUGGGUUCCUAGGGUUCACUAUAUGUGGUUUGGUUCUAAAGAUAAGGUACCCGAACCAGCAGAUUCCUCGAUCUUCACCCAUUAUAGGCUCAUAUAGACCGAGUUCGGUUCAGGGGAACACAUUUCCCUAUGGCUGCACGGAGAUGAAAAUCUCACGAAGACAUAGGUACGGAUGUAUCCCAAAAGCGAUCCACUAUCCUGCACGAAGGUGAAAACCUCACGAAGGAAAUAGCUUCUCACUCCCACUUAAAAGGUGUGACCAACGGUCAUGCAAUGCAAUGUGCAGAAAGAUACUAAAGUUUAGAAUACAAAACGUGAUGAAAACUAUAACUCAAAACCAAUGCAAUGAGAGGAUCGUAUAUUUAAAUCACAUUUUCAAAUUUCGACAAAAACACAAGAAAUGAUCAACACGUGGCUUGACUCUCUUAUUUUUUGAAAUCCCCAACAGAGUCGCCAAGCUGUUGACACCAUUUUUUUUGAUGGAAAACGGGGUCGACUUGGGUUUUUGAAAAUGAAAACAAAAACAGGAGUCGCCACCAAUCCUUUUUUAUAAGAUGUGAUUGGAUCACCUCGAAAAGUGGUUGUUUUUAAUAAAAGGUUUGAUUUUAUUAAAACAACAAGUUUGGUCCACGAAACUCAAAAAAUGGGUUCGGGAGUCGAUUACGCACGAGGAAGGAUUAGCACCCUCGAUACGCCCAAAAUUGGUACCUAGUUGAUUACUUAAUGUCUUAGUGUCGAAGAUUGAAAACUUUAAAGAAAUUUAAAGUACGAUCCUAAAAAAAAAAACUGGAAUGGCAUGGAUUAAAAUUCAAGAGGAAACUUGGCAAUUUGGUUAAACGAGAAAUCGAAACCCAGCACCUUAGGGCACGUUCCUCGAAUUUCCAAAUGCAAAAUAUUGCCUUAUUUUGAAAUUUUUAUGAAGGAUAUUAAGCCAUUUGAACGAGAAAAAUCGACACCAGCACCUUAGAGCGUGUUUUCUCGAAUUUCCAAAUGCUAAAUAUUGCCUCAAUUUGAAAUAUUCUCCUUUUUUUUUGAAAUAUGGUAUUUAUAUGCAUGAUGGGAUUAUAAAUAAAAUAACGCGACUAAAAAAAAUAAUAUGAGCACAAAAAUGAAUAAUAAAUAAAAAACAAAUCACUCAUGAAUAUACAAUAACAAGUAAAUAAAAAAAACUAAAGCAUUAAAUAAAUGGACAUAUAAAUAAUCAAAUAAAUGAAAAAAAAUAAAGAAAAUAGAUAAAAAAUUAUAAAAUAUGAAAAUAUAUAAGUACAUAUAAAAUAUAUAUAUAUGAAGGUAUUCAUAUUUUAAUACGUAAUAUAUAUAUAAGUAUGUAUGGACAUAUUCGUGAGAAAAACAGGAAGAAAAAAAUGUAUAUAGAUAUAUAUCUAUAUAGAAAAAAAUGUAUAUGGAAAAAAAUGUAUAUAGAUAUAUAUGUAUAGAUAUGUAUAUAAAUAAAAUAUAUAUGAAUAUGUAUGUAUCUAUUAAAUAAGUUACUAAAUAAAUAUAUAUGCGUGUAUACAUAUAGAUUAUAAAAAAGUAUAUAUAUAGGAAUCUAAAAGAGUUUAUACAUAUAAUGAUUUAAAAUAUAUAAUAUAUUAAAAGAAUUAAAUAAAUAGUAUGCAAAAACAAUUUAUAAUAAACAAUAAAUAAGAAACUCAAAACAAAUAAUAAUAAAGGAAACCCUAUUUUAAAAUGAUAAAAAAUAAAAUAAAAUAAAUGGACUAGGGACGAUACUGAAACCAAAUCGAAUCUGGGGGUUUUAAUUGCAAAAACCAUAAACAGGUCACUUAGGGAUUAAAAUGGCGCUCGCACAAAGAAAGAAGGACUAAUUGGGCAAUAUACCCCAGUCCUAGAGUGCAAUGUUCCAGCGCAGAGGACUAUAUAUGGUCAAAGGACCUGAUUGGAGCAGAAAUAAAGUUUGCGGCCCAAAUCGAAAAGAAAUAGGAAGUUGGAUUGCACUUCCACGCAAGGUGGAGGGACUAAAUGCAUAAAUUACCCAUUAAGGCAAAGCAUGCACAGAUUCCCCCCACCAAAUGGCGCCGUUUCACUUAUCCCCAUUUAAAACAAAAAAAAAUUUAUAACUUCAUUUUAUCAGUGUUUUAAAGAAAAAAAAAACUGAACCUAUCCUCUCCCUUUCAAAGUUCCCAGCAGCCAAACAUGGCCCACGCCGGCGAGCGGCGGUUCCAAAGGCCAAAGCUCCUUCACGAGCGGUGGUCGGAGUGAGAAAAGGAGGGCUUUUUAACCCCGUUCUCGACCUCCACCUUAAGGCCCGGUCCUCCAGACCAAACAAGCCGAAACAAUGAGAGACCUUUCGUCUCCUUCUCGGUCCGAUUCCAACACCGAAGAUGGUCUCCGGCGACGGGCUUUCGAGACCGGUAAGUGUCCCUUUUCUUUCUUUUUCGUUUUGUUUUUUUAGUUUCAAAGAGUAGUAAAAAAACAGAAAAUAGAAGAAUAUAUAAAAAAAAUUAUUAAGAACAGAGAAAGAAAUUUGGAGUCAACCUUUUCAAUUUUUUUGAUCUGCUCCCUUUUUUUUUGAAUACAGAUUUUGGUGGCUUUUAUAGCCAAAAGAUAAUCCUAAAAAUCUAUUUCCUAUUUUAUUUUUAUCAUUUCUGUCCAAUAUUGCUACUGCUGCUGCUGUUGUUCCCCUUUCUUUGCUUUGCUUGCAGGUACUGGUGAAGUCAACGGGUAUUGGAAGAAUAAACCUAGCCUUUUUUGUGCAAAACUGGUCGUGCUUCGGGCGUUGAGUGCACUGCAAAUGCACGAGGAGACGUACGGCGCACUGAGGCUGCUGGUUGUGAGCUGAAUUGGGCUAGGGUUUUGCCAUCUUGGGCCUCUAUUGUGUUUUUAUUUGGGCUACGGAUUUUGUUUUAAUUUUGUUUAUUAUUGUGUGUUUUGUGUUUAAGGUCAGGGUAGAAUUGGGCCCGUACAAAGUGGAUUAAGAUCUCUGCUCUAGCAUUGUUUUUAAUUUGUUUUAUUAUUAUUAAGUUAGGCUUGGAGAACUUUUAGGUGAAACCCUAAUUUUUUUAAAAAUAGGCAUAAAGUCUCUCUUUGUAAUCUUGAAUCUUUUUGAAUUUGUAUAAUCCAACAAUUUUAAAGAUGAGAUAAUAUUGAUUCCUAAUUUAAUAUAAUCAACGAGUCAAUAUUCCAUUUCAACUAAUAAUAUUGGCUCUUGCUUCUUUAUAAACAAAUUAAUAGUAUUAAAGCUUUAGAGUUUUUUUUUCCCAAUUGCAUUUUUUAUUUAUGAACUUGUUUGUGUUGUUAUGUCUUAAUGUUCUUCACUUUUAUUCUUGUGUUCAUUGUUGUUAUUCAUUUUAGCAUUCACAUUUUGCUUUUGUUCUUUUUUAAAGUUUAUUUAAGUGUAUUUGAAUAUCUUCGUGAGUCCUUAUUCAUUUUUGUCUUAUUUUAGUGUUCUGAUUUUUGUUCAGACAAAAAACAAACCAUUAUGUAAAAGAAAGAAAAGAGAAGGGAAAAAAAGCUUGGUAGGAUUGGAACCAAAAUCGCUUCGGAGUUUGGUAUUUUUAUAGAUUUGCAUCAUAUCGAGACAAAGUAGUAAAGGGGAAAAAUGAUCAUUCCUUGUUGGAGUCUAUCCUACAACAAUGCGAAUGUUUGAUAGAAAAUAAUGAAAAUACUAAAAAAAAGUAACUAAUGCCUUAAUAGUUUGUAAAAUGAGUGUGUACCAUUUAAGCUAUCUCAUAAGUGUGAGUGUGUUGUCCAAUGUUAUCAAAAACAUUUCUAUUAUUAAAGUUAUGGUCAUAGUCCAACUGUUUGUCCUAAACUAUAGUUAGUUACUAUUGUUAAACCAAAUUUUAUUUGAUAAAAGAUUUUGAUAUAAUAAAUUAAAGUGUUUUUUUAAUAUAAGUUAAAAUUGACAAAAUGAUUUUUAAACUUGAAGUCAAAGAAAUAAAACUUUGAAUAUUUAUAUUAAACUUUUAGAAAAUUUUGAAACAAUUUUAAAAUUAAGUGAAAAUGAUUUUAACCAAGUCAAAAUGAUUUCCAUCAAGUUAAAAUCAUUUUAACACAUCAAAAUGAUUUUCAAACAAGCCAGGAUUGCUCCAGGCCAAAAAGUAUCGAUAUCAUCUGGCAAAGUAUAAAUAUUUUUGGAAUUAUCGAUACCCUAGGAAAAAUCGAGACCAAACAUGCAUUUUUUCAGGAACCUUAAAAGUUAUCAAUACCGUUUUACCAAUAUCGAUAAUUUCUGAAAAUAAUCGAUACCUUUCUUAAAAACGAUUCUAAAAUAACAUUUUUUUCUUAUAAACCCUACAAAGUAUUGAUUCGGUAUUGAUACCUAUUUCUAAAAGUAUCGAUAAAAUAUUUUUUUGUUAUCAAAUACUCGUAGUUGCAGGUGAAAUAAAUACUGGUUUUACAUCCCCAAUGGUCAUAUUCACUACACCAACAACCUCAACGGUUGGGAAUCUAUUAGAGGGUAUAAAUACUAUCCUCUAAAGACUUACAACAUCAAGAAAACCACUUUCAAGCAAAAAUCAUCAAUCAAACAACCUUAGAGUUUAAUGCUUUCACAUUCUUCUUACAUACACUUGUGAGCUUUAUCUCUAUUAUCUUUCUCAAGUGUAUUUUAUUGUAUUUGAGCUUCAUUUUGCAAACAACUUAAUUUUGUAAGAAUAGUUUCUUUGUUUUCUUAUUAUUUGUAUCUCUUUGAGAGGGUUUGUAACUUAAGAUUUGGGGUAGAAAUCUUAAGGAGUUGUAAGGUUAAAAAUUGUCCUCAAAGGUUGAACAAAUUAGCGAGUUUGGAAAAAUCUUUAGUAGUGAAAAGUUAAUGUAGUGGAGUAGGCAAUUGGGGGCAAACCACUCUAAAUUCUUUGUGUUCAUUGUUUCAUUUUUGUCUUUGCUUUCGCCAAAAUUUUUGAAGGCCAAUUCACCCUCUCUUGGCAUUUUCAGUUUGUUCCAUCGAGCUAACAAUUGGUAUCAGAGUUAGAACUCUAGAGAUAGUUUUACAACCAAGAGAGAAGAUCAUUAAGAUAUCCAAAAUAGAAGCCACAAGUAAAGAAAUUUACUUCAUGACAUUGGAGCAAAAUUCCACUAUAUUGGGCGAAGGGCAUUCCCCCAUAAGGCCUUUUUUAUUCAAUGACACUAACUACUCAUAUUGGAGAAUAAGAAUGAAGAUAUUCAUCUAAGCUAAUGUCUAUGAAGUUUGGAGGAUAAUUACUAAUAGGUCAUCCAUUCCAAUAAAGAGGGUCAGAGGUGUUAUUGUCUCCAAUGAAGAGAGUGAAUGUUAUUGUCUAUGCACACUCUAUUUUGUGCUCUUGGUUCAAAUUAGUACAAUAGAGUCUCAUUAUGUGACAAUGCAAAAGAAAUAUUGGGACAAGCUUGAAGUCACCCAUGAACGGAUAAGUAGAGUCAAGGAGUCCAAGAUAAGUCUUCUCACCCUUGAUUAUGAGUUGUUUAAGGCAAAACUUGAAAAAAAGAAUCAAGGAGAUGUCUAAUCAAUUUACCCACAUCAUCAAUAGUCUCAAAACCCUUGGGAAGACCUAUCCCAACAAGGAGAUGGUGAAUAAGAUGUUGAAUAGUCUCCCAAUGUAUUGGGAAGCUAAAAUGAUGGCAAUAGAAUAAUCAAAAUAUCUCAACUCACUCUACCUUGAUGAGCUCAUUGGUUUCUUGUUGACAUAUGAAAUGAAGAUCAACCAUAAUGCACAAGAAAUCAAAGAAGCUCCAAAGAAAGUAGGAGUUGCCUUCAAAUCAACAACUUGUGAGAAUGAUGAAGACUUUAGUAAUUAUGAUGAUGAUGUAGAGAUGACAAUGGUUGCAAGAAAAUUCAAGAGGUUCAUGAGGUCCAAUAAAGGAAAACAAUUUUAAAAGAAGGAAGGACUCAAAAUUAAAUCAACCAAGGAGAAAGAUCCCAUCAUUUGUUAUGAGUUCAAGAAACCAUGACACAUCAAGUUUGAUUGUUCACAAUGGAAAAAGAAGGGGUCUAACAAACAAAAACACAAGGCCAAUGUUGCUACUUGGAGUGAUGAUGACUCAUCCAAUGAAGAAAUUCAAGAAGUAUCCAACUUAUGUCUCAUGGUCAUCGAUGAUUCUAAGGUAACUUCUAACUCAUCUAUUUCAAAUUAUUAUUCUUUUGAUGAGUUGUAAGAUGAUUAUGAUGAAUUGGGUUUGGAAUUUGAAGUCAUGAAUUCAAAACAUAAUAAAAAUAUUUCAAAUUUGAAAAAUGAAAAUGAAUUGCUUUCCAAAACCAAUCAUGAACUUGAAGAGAAAGUAAAUAAAAUGCAAGAAAUAAUUAAUGAGCUUGAGAAAAAGAAUUUAGACUUGCAUAAUGUAUUUUCUAAAGUUCAUAAUGGUCAUGAAAAGUAACUUGAGUUGCUUAAGAGUGGAAUAACUCACUCUAACAAAGUUUUAGAAAAAGGAGAAAAUUCAAAACAAAACUUUGUUAAAAAUAAUUUUAAUUUCUAUAAAUAUAGAGGUUCCUAAAACUUUUACAAUAGAAAAAUCAUUAAAAGUAUAUGAGUCCCUAAAGGACUUAAAACUUCACAAGAUAAGAACUUGAUUUCAAAAUGGAUACCUAAAAGGACUAAAAUUAUAGGAACUAAUGCUUAUGGACCCAAAAGAAUUUGGGUACCAAAAAUCAAACUUUAAUUCUAUAUUUGUAAAGGAGCAUUUAUUUGAGAUGGAUUAUUCAAGGAAAAACUUAUGGUACCUCAAUAGUGGAUGCUCAAGACACAUGAUCGAUGACAAGAGUCACUUUAUCAAUUUGAAGCAAAAAAAGUGGAAGAAAAGUUACGUUUGGUGACAACUCUACAAAACAAAUUGAAAGAAUAAACUCUAUUGGUAAAAACUCUUCAACUAUUAUUGAGAAUGUCUUAUAUGUCAAUGGUCUUAAGCAUAAUCUUCUAAGUAUUAGUCAAUUAUGUGAUAAAUGUUUCAAUGUCAUAUUUGAGUCUAAAGGUUGUAAAUUUAUUGACAUUGCCUCUAAUAAGAUUGUGCUUGUAGGACAUAGGAUAGAAUAUAUGUAUAUAUGGUGCAUUUAGAUGAUAUGCAUAACUCUAACUUAUGCCUUGUUGUUAAAAAUGAGAAUAACUCUUUGUUAUGACAUAAAAACUAGGACAUGCUAGCAUGAGCAUAUUGUAUAAAUGAGCUAAAAAUGACUUAGUAAGAGGUUUGCCUAAAAUUGAUUUUGAACUAGAUAAAGUUUGUCAUGCAUGUGUUAAGGGUAAGCAUAAAAGAGUUUCUUUUAAACCUAUUAAUGAUGUAUCAUCUAGUAGAGCUGUUCAACUAAUUAUUAAAUUGUUUUAUGUCGUGGGUUUAUUCUAUUUAUAAAAUAUAAAUUUUUUUAUCUCGUGGGUUUAUUCUAUUUAUUAAACUGUUGUUUAAUAUUAAUAUAUUUGACAUAGGAAAAAAAUAAAGAUAUAUUAAUAAUAAAAGUUUAAAGAUGUUUAUUAUUUUGAUUUUAUAUUCACCUAUUUAGUAAAAAUAAUUAUUACAUUUUAAGAAUAGAAAUUAGUAAUAAUUAUAGUGCAAGCCGAGGUGGUGUUCAUCUAAUCUGAUUUUUUCUCCUUUUAGUAUAUAUGAAAAAGAAAUUAGCACUUAUUUGGAAAAAAAAAGAUUGAUUGUAAUAUCUUUGCAAAAAUUACUUUUAAUUAGUACCUUAUUAAGAAAUUAUAUAUAUUCUUUUAUCAAUUUAACUUUCCAAAAAUAUAUACUUAUCUAUUUAAUGCUAAAUUAGGUUAAUAUUUUUUAAAAAGUUACAUUAAUAAUUAAUUAAUAUUGUAUGUUUUGAGGUUAUUACAUUUUUAAAUUGAGAAACGCUAAAACUAGAUAAAAAUUUUAAAGUUUAUCAUAUUUCUAUCAAAUUUUGUUAUAAUUUUAAAAUAUAUUUUAAUAAAUAUAUAGCCAAGUUUUGUUAAAAUUUAGUAAAAAUAUUAUUUUAAAUAAAUAUAACCUUUUAAUAAAAAUAGAAGUAUUUUAAAACCUAGUUUAAAUAAAUAUAACCUUGUUAUAAUAAAACUAGAAGUAAGCAAAUCAAUUGAAUUUUAGCUUGAUUGGCAUGUAUAUUGUUGUCAAUACAUGAGAACCUGGGUUUGAGUGGCUUGAAAGGUGUAGCAGUUGGUGAUGGCCACAUAUAAAAGCCAUCUAAGGCUUUACUUGCUGUAAAAACUUGGUGAAUAUCUCUGAAGAUCGCGUCAAACCAUAGAGAGGGCAUGGUGCAACAUGACACAUAUUUUACCCUUGUUCUUGCUUCCAAUGAAGGUGUGCCAUGCCAUAGAGUUUCUAUGUCGCGCUAUGAUGACAAUGUCUUGAGUUUUCAAGUUCAAAAAGGUUUUGUCUUGCCAUGAGAUUGUUAUGGGAUGACAUGGCUUCGAUUUGGCUUCUUCGAGACUUGUAAAAGGCCUUCGAUUGUUUGUACAUGCACCCUACUAAUGUCUAGCUCCUCUGUUACCAUAGAAAACUUAUUUCCUUCUAAUUCUAACAUAAAAUAACAAAUUAAAUUCCUAAUUCUAGAAAAUAAAAAACAAAAUAUAUAAUAUUUACAAAUUAAUUAAGUUCGAUGGUUUAAAAUCUACGUUGUGCUACCGGACUUGUCCAAGAAUUCCUUGAACUUCACCAUUGACUUCAUCUGUUGGUCUCGCAGAGGAGUGGAAGGCCAGGAACUGGUAGUAAUGGUUGAGCUAAUUGAGGCAGAACUAGAGAUACAACGACGAAAUUUGAAGCUCGUGCACUUGCCAUAGCUUAUGCCAAAUGAGCCAAAGAAGAGGUUACAGCUCCUAACGCCAUAGCUGGUACUUUUUCUUUCUUCGAUGUUACCGUACAUGCUUUGAUUGACCCUAGGUCAACACAUUCAUAUAUUUACACUACAUUAGUAAUCAAAAGAAAUAUGUUAGUAGAGUUGACUAAAUUUGAUGUUAGAGUAUCAAACUCGUUAGGUCAGUGUGUCAUUGUUAAUAAAAUAUGUAAAGACUGUCCACUAAGAAUUCAAGCCCGCGAGUUUCAAGCUAAUCUAAUGUUAUUGACGUUUGACAAGUUUGAUAUUAUUCUUGAUAUGGACUUGUUAAUGACCACCUAUCUCCAUCGAUCUCGCGAACAACGGGAAAGAGUAGAAAAUUGACACUCGGGAAUUAAAAUACAAUAUAAAAAUUACGACUUUACUGCAAGUGUAAUAGUUCAGUUAUAAUACUUGUAGUGUUACAAUGAAAUAUUGGAGUAUUCCAAGGAUCAAACCCAAGAGAAUCGUGGAUUGAACAAUUUUUAAAUAAACAUGUAAAAUAAAGAGUCUAACCAACUAAUUACAAAAAUUAUAUUACGGAAAAUCAUGAAAUCAAGAUAAAUUAAUCUAAUUUACUAUCUAACUAGAAAUGACUAAAUUGUAAAACAUGCAAAGUUGUAAAACUAACAAUUAAAAAACAAAUGGUGGUUGGUUGACAUUAAUAUGGUUCACUAAUCCUUGAAUUAGGUUUCUGAAUCGCUUAAACUCCCAAAAUGGCUCUAUUUUACCUCUUAGUCUUCAUUUUACUAAGUUAGACAAAUUAAUUCGGAUUAUCUCUUGAUAUCAUCGAUUAACCCGGGACUAAUGAAUUGGUUCCCAACAAGAUCUCCUCUUGGUAUCACUUGCCAAAAUAUUUCCUUAGGGUCAUCAAUCUUAAGUCCUUAAGUUCAUUCAAUUUAUUCCAAUUUGUUACAAUUUAGUCAUUCAUCCAAAAGUAAGCUCACCACAUCUCUAUCAACCAACCCUCUUCAAAGUUUAGCUACUGAUGCUGGAAAUAAAACUAACAACCAUAAAAAUGAAAAUGAAAGAAACCAUUAAAGUAAAGCUUGAGAAAAAUAUAUAAAAGUUGGGAUUUUUAUGCAAGAAAACUAAAAGGACAGGCAAAAAGAAGCACUUAACAAGAAAAUCAAAAGUAAGAAGCAUAAAAGGAACAAACUUUAACAAAAUCAAAGUAAAAGAAACUGAAAUGCAUUAAACUAAAUCUAAAAAUGUCUUACAACCAAGGUACAUGGGUUAAAAGUACAAAUAAAUCUAAGCUUUAGUGAUAACUAACUUUAAGAACAACUAAAACAAGAAGAAAAGUUGUAGGGAAAUGUAAAAUCUACAACUAAGGAAAUGAAAAUAAGAAAACCUAAGAAAAACUAAGCCUAAAAUAAGGUAAUGUGACUUCCUCUUUUCUUUUAGCAAAAUUUUGGCUGAUAUAACAUUUAUUAUGGCCCAAUUUGUGUACCCAAAAUACCCUUUAACGGGCUCUUCGAGUGGGCAAAGGCUACUUUUUUUAUCCAAUUUUGUCCCUCAUGAUAUCGGUAUCACGAUACUAAGGAAGAAGAUAUCGCGAUACCUCGAAUAAUUUUAAACUUGUGGGUCACGAUACCUAAAGUGGAUAUCGUGAUACCAAUGAAUGGUGGCAUCCAAUCUCAACUCUGUUGGAGGUAUUGUGAUUCCAAGGUUUGGAUAUCGCAAUACCCUCUCCUUUGGUGACGUUCUCGCUCAAUUUUAACAUCCAACACUUCCCUACAUCACUCAACCAUGUGUUAAGGCCCCCAAUUACACUAUUGGCCAAUUUGAGUCUCAAAAUGAGUAAAAAUAAGGCACUUAAACUUAUUAACCUAAAAUCUAAAAAUUACAAAAAAUCGUAGAAAAGACACUACUUUGCUUGAGAAUAAGCUCCUUAAGUAUACUGGGAAAGCCUAACUUGCCAUAUCAAACUAUGGUAGAUCAGUUAACUCUGCAUGAUUCUUUAGUCAAUUGUAGAUAGAAAAAAUAUUACUAAGAUGUUAGGAUGGUUAAUUGAUAAAUGUUGUGGCAAACAGAUCUGAUUGUUCAGCCAAUAUUAUUUCAACAAUAUCUGUUCGAGAACUAAUUAGAAAAGGUUCUGAAGCGUAUCUAGCCUACAUUUUAGAUACUAAAGUGUCAGAAUCAAAGUAGAACACGUUUCGAUAGUUAAAGAAAUCAUUGAUGUGUUUCUUGAAGAAUUUCUAAGGUUACUGCCCAAGAGAAAGGUUGAAUUUGUUAUUGAAGUAGCACUGGGAACUACUCUUAUCUCUAUAGCACCGUAUAGAACGACUAUUAUGGAAUUGAAAGAAUUGAAGGCUUAGUUGCAAGAAUUGUUCGACUGGGGAUUUAUUCGACUGAGCUUGUCACCUUAAGGUGAGCUAGUGUUAUUUGUGAGAAAGAAAUACGAAAAUAUGAGAUUGUGUAUCGACUAUCGGUAGCUGAAUAAAUUGAAUAUAAAGAACAAGUAUUCAUUUCCUCAUAUCAAUGAUUUAUUUGAUCAGUUGAAAGGAGCUACCAUGUUUUUGAAAAUUAAUCUCUAAUAAGGUUUUAUCAACUUAGAGUCAAAGAGCCAAAUGUGUCAAAAAUUACUUUUCAAAAUUGACACAGGCACUACGAGUUUCUAGUAAUGUCGUUUGGGCUAACCAAUGCCCCAUCUGCUUUUAUGGAUCUGAUGAACAUAAAUUUUCAUUUGUAUUUGUAUGAAUUUGUUGUGUUCAUAGAUGAUAUAUUGAUCUACUCAAAAAAUGAAAAUGAUCAUCAUCAACAUCUAACACUAUGAGUUUCUAGUAAUGUCAUUUGGACUAACCAACUCCCCAUCUACUUUUAUGGAUCUGAUGAACAUAAUUUUUAAUUUAUAUCUGGAUAGAUUUGUUGCUGUUUUCAUAGAUGAUCUAUUGAUCUACUCGAAAAAUGAAAAUGAUCAUGAUUAGCAUCUGAGAAUUUUACUACAAACCUUGCAAGAAAAAUAAUUGUUUUCAAAAUUCCACAAAUGUGAGUUCUAGCUACGAGAAGUGGGAUCUUUGUGUCACCUAAUAUUGGCUAAAGGUAUACGAGUUGAUCUAAAUAAAAUCUCAGUGAUUGUCAUCUGGAAACCUCCAAAAAAAAGUCAUAGAGGUGCAAAUUUUUUUGGGACUUGAUGAAUAUUAUCGACGGUUUGUAAAAGGCUUCUUGAUGAUAGCUUUGUCGUUAACAAAAUUGCUACAGAAGAAUGUCAACUUUAUUUGGUCAGAUAAAUGCCAAUAGAGUUUCGAAUCGUUGGAAGCAAUGUUAACAGAAGCUCUGAUUUUGACUCAAUAUGAAUCUGGAAAGGAAUUUGUUGUUCUCAGUGAUGUUUCACUUAAUGGUCUAGGUUGUGUAUUGAUGCAAGAGGGAAAAGUAAUUGUCUAUGCUUGUCGUUAGCCUAAGCCACACGAGAAGAAUUACCCUAUGCAUGAUCUAGAAUUGGUUGUAGUAGUUUUUGCCCUAAAGAUUUGGAAACAUUAUUUAUUCGAGGAGAAAUGUCAUAUCUUCACAAAUCAUAAAAGCCUAAAAUACUUAUUGACACAAAAAAAUUUGAAUAUGAGACAACGUAGAUGGCUUGAAUUACUAAAAUAUCAUGAUCUGAUUAUCGACUAUCAUCCAAGUAAAGCUAAUGUGGUAGCUGACACCCUAAGUCCGAAAUCUUUGUUUGUUUUGAAAGCAAUAAAUACUCAUUUAACUCUAAAUGUGAUGGUUCUAUUUUAGCCGAGUUGAGAGAUAAAAGUAUUUUCCUCAAAGAAUCAAGGUAUUGUAGAAUGAUGAUCUUGAGUUGCAAACGAAACAGAAACUUGUUGAAAAUGAUCAAACUUCUAAGUUCAAUGUUGAUGAUAAUGAGAAUUUCUAUAUUCACAAUCGUUUAUAUGUAUUGAAAGAUUCAGAGUUUAGAUGAGACAUUUUACACAAGGCUCACAAUAGCGCGUAAACGAUACAUUUAGGCAGUAAUAAAAUGUAUACUGACUUGAAAUAGGUAUACUAGUGGCUAAGAAUGAAAGGAGAGAUCACUGAUUAUGUGAAAAAGUGUCUGGUAUGCCAGCAAGAUAUAGUCGAAUAUCAAGCUCUAUCAAGCUUGUUACUGCUAUAAUGAUUCUGAAAUGGAAAUGAGGAUUAUUUACUAUGAGUUUCGUAUUAGGUGCCUUUGCCACCAAAAAAGAAAGAUGCGAUAUGGGUAAUAGUUGACAAAUUGACUAAAUCAACACACUUCGUUCCUAUGGGAAUUGAUUAUUCACUUGAGAAAUUAGUUGAGAUGUACAUUUCCAAGAUUAUGGCAUUACAUGACAUACCAUUUUCUGUCAUAUCAUAUCGAGAUCUCAGAUUUUCCUCCAGAUUUUAAGGUAAAUUACACGAAGGUCUGGGCACGAAACUAAAUUUCAGUACAACAUUCCAUCCUCAAAUUGGCAGACAACCAGAAUGGGUUAUUCAAAUACUUGAAGACAUGUUGUGAUGUGUCAUUUAAUGUGAAGUUAGUUGGGAGAAAUUUCUAUUGUUAGUUGAGUUUGCGUAUAAUAACAACAGCUAUCAAUCGAGUAUCAAAAUUGCACCAUACGAAACAUUAUACAAACGUAAAUACAGAACUCCUCUAUGAUGAUAAGAGUUGGGAAAAAGAAAGCUGGCAGGGACAGAUUUAAUUCGUGAAACCAAAGGAAAAGUUUGAGUUAUACGAGAUUAUUUGAAAGGUGCCUUAGAUCAAUAGAAAUAUUCUGCUGAUUUAAAAAGAAAAUACAAUGAAUUUCAAAUCUGUGAUAAUGUAUUUUUGAAAGUUUCACCUUGGAAGAAAGUUCUGCAUUUCGGUAGAAAAAGAAAGCUCAACUUGAGAUUUAUAGAACUAUAUAAGAUUCUUGAAAAGAUUGGUUCAAUAGCCUAUUGAUUAGCUCAGCCUCUGAAACUUGAAAAUAUUCACAGCAUUUUUCAUGUGUCACUAUUACGUCGAUAUAAAAUCUAUCAUUCUUACAUGAUAUCUCCUGAUGAAUAGAAUUACAACCAGAUUUGACGUAUAGUGAAGAACCAGUAAAGAUUGUAGCAUGGGAAGUAAAAAAGUUAAGAAACAAACGAGUGACUUUAGUGAAAGUGAUGUGAUAUAGACAUGGUACAUAAGAAGCUACAUGGGAUCCAGAAGAAACAAUGAGAUCUCAAUACUCACAUCUUUUCUCAGGUAAAUUUUGAGGACAAAAUUUCGUAAGGAAGGGAGAGUUGUAACAACCCGAUUUUCAAUGGUGUCGAAAAUAACAGUUUGGGAACCCCAUUUCUGUAGUCUGAGUUUGUAAAUAUUAAAGUUUGGUCCAUAAAUUUUGUUGAAUUGAUAGUUAAUUAAGGUACAUGGACUAAAUUGUAAAAGUUAAUCACUAUAGGUUUUUAAAUGACUGAAGGAAUACAUGAGCAAUUGAACCAUUUUAAUUGCUUCAAAUGGUGGUGGAUGUUAGUGAAAAUUCAAUAAUUUGGUUAAUCUUGAUUAAGAUUAAUUAAUUAUAGUUUAAAUUAAUUAAUUAUGGUUAAUUAAGUUAUAAUUAAAGUAUAUAAACAAAAACUAAAGAAAAACAAAUGACAUUUUCUUCUAUUCAUCUUAACUAAUUCUAAAAUAAUAAAAUAGGGUUUAAAGUUUUCAAAAUUUUGGCAACGAAUUGGUAUGUUCAAUUAAGUCAUUUUCUUGUAAUUGUUAUGUUUUUGAGGUAAUGAGAGCUUGAUUUAGUUAGCCCAUGUACCAAUUUUCAAAAAUUUUAAAGUUUGUGAAAGUUUCCAUUGAUGAAUUUUUAAAGAAAUUGGUGUUAAAUUGAUAUAUUUUAAGCUUAGAAGUGAAAAAGGACUAGAUUAUAAACUUUAAUUGUUAGUUUUGUUCAAAGGGUCUAACAUGUAUAAAUUUUGAAUUUUAUAUAAAAUUUCUAUAAUAAUAGAUAAUAGAGGGUCAUAGAAGGAUGUGAUUGAAAUCGAUUUCAAAAUUGAAGCUCAAAAUUGAAAGUUAUAGCAAUUUCGGUUUUACGGAAUAAAUUAAAUAAAAUGCAAAACUUUAAGGGCAUUUGGAAAAUGAUGUUGAACUGAUUCAUACAUAUAAUAGGAUGUUAUAAAAUGUUUAGACUUGAUAAAUUGAACCAAAUUAUUGUAUAGAUCGAGAAUUGAACCUAACAGAAGAUAAUAAGGAAAAGGCAAAAUUAUUGAUUAGUCCUUAAAUACUUGUUCGUUUUUUGUUUUUCCAGGUAAGUUCAUAUGAAACUUUCUAUUUUAUUUCAUGUUAUGAUUGAAUUGUAUUUAUUUUGCUUAUUAGUUUGGAUAAAUGUGAUUUGGUGAUUUUUGGCAUCAAUUGGACAAAAUUUCAAAGUAUGAAAAAUAUGAUAUUUAUGAGUAUGUACAAGGUACCAAAAUGGAAAUGAAAUGUUUAUAAGAUUGGUAUAACAUGUAUAUGUUGUUAUAGGGAUUAAAAUGAUAUGAUUACAGUAACAAUACCCGUGUGAACUUAGGAAAUGGUUAGGAUAUGUGUGGCAUAUUGUUAGGGUCAAAUAUGAAAACAAUUAGGGAUUUACAUGGUUAUAUGACAUCUAGCAUUUGUUACGGAUUCUCAAUCUAUAUGUAUCAUUGGUUUAGCCUAGACUGGUAACCUCAAUACGAUGUCAACUUGUGUGAGCAAAUUUAUAAAUAUCAACUUGUGUGAGCAAUGUCAGCUUGUGUGAGCAAUAUAGUCUCAUGUAUCCAAGUUCGAUUUACUAAGGUUCUUUCGGGAGAAAAUGUAACUUAAUGGAAAUGGAAUUAUUGGAAUGGAUUGAAUAUGAAUUGAACUAUAUAUAUGUUGCCUAUUUGAAUAUGAUUUCUUUUUAAUGAUCAUGAUAUGCAAAGUUAUGAACUAAUUGAUUUAUGAUGUAUAUACAUGAUGUUGUUUGAUAGUUAUCUUAACAUAGGCUAAAGGAUGCCAAAUUGAUUGUUAGGUGUUAAAUAUUUACUUAUUUAAAUUGUCAAGGUAAGUUAAGUAAAUUUUAUAUUGACUUACUAAACGCUCAAUAUGCUUACUCUAUUGCCUUCCUUUUCCUUAUAGAUUGCCAACUUGUGGAACGUGUCAAGCGGAUCACCGAGAAGCUCACACUAUCUCAUUAUUUGUUUGGUAGUUUUUCUAUUGUUUUAGAACUUGAUUUUUUGGCAUGUAUAUAGGUGUUAUGUAUUUUUUAAUCUUGAAUGAUGACAUAGCUUGAAAUUUUAUGCAUAACUAUGAAUAAUGGUAAUGCUUAUUGAGAUGGUAUGCUUUUGGCAAAUGGUUUGAUCUAUGUUUAUGAAAAUUGAAAUGUAUUGUUGAUAUGAAUUUAUAGUAAUAAAGAUGAUAUUUGGCUAAUGGUUUAAUAUGUAUAUCUUGAUAAAGGAAUGAUAUGUCUAAAGGUUGUUUAGAUGUUAUAAAGUGAUGUGAGGGUGAAUGUGGUUAUGUGUACUUGUUCCGGCAUGUGUAGGGAAUGUUUGAAUGUAGGAAAACUAGCCAAUUAAGCUCAAAAUGUGAAGGUUAUAUGGUAAUUUUGAAAUAAAUACCAAAUGGCUCAAAUUUUACCAAAAAUAGAGUCGACGUCCUGACGAGCAAUCUUCCUCAUUGUAAUAUGGAUCGACAGUGAGUUGCGUUGUAAUAUCGAGUGGCUUGAGGUCACGAUGUGAUAAAUUGUUUGGCUACGUCACGAUGUGGAAGAAGUGACAUCACGACAUCGGUCUUGAGAUUUUGAAACUUUGCAAUUUGGUCAUAUUUCGUGCUUGGGUCAACAAAAAAGCUUUCGUGAGCUUAAUUAAGAUUCAGAUUUGCUUGUGUAUCAUAAUGUAAAUGUGUUUAACAUAUAAUUGUAUGUUUGAAUGAUUGCUUUACUGUGUAAUUAACUGUAUUUGCUCCGACAACGAAUAUUGCAUCUUGUAGCUCGGACUCGAUGAUUAGGUCGGGUGAGGAGUGUUACAGAUCUCCACUAUAGCGAUCCGACAUUUUAAUUAUGUAACAUCCCGAUUUUGACCCUAUUCGCAACGGUGGUUUCGGGACCACGAAUCUAAGUCAGAAAAAUAUUUUAAAAUUAUUUUUUGGGUUUUUACUGUGUGAAUUUAUGUCUGUUAAAUUUUUGUUUAAAAAUUUCAUCGUUUGGAUGCCCGAUUAAAUAAAAGAAUUAAAUCGCAUAAAAUGUAAAAAUGGCUUUCUAAUUGUUAAAGGUGUUUAAUGGCUAUUAAAUGAAAAUGCGGGGCACUUGCAUGUCAAUUAUACCAUUUAUAUUAGUGGCGGACAAUACUGGACAAGGUUAGGUGAAUUUUAUAUUAUGUUAAUAAGGUUAAAAUGGUAAAAAGUAUAAUAAUAUGUAAUUAAAUAAAAACAAACAUAAAAUAGCCAUGCAAUUGUGUUCAUCUUAGCCGAAUGUUGAAAGAAAAAGAAAAGAAAAGAGAGUUAUUAGGUCCGGCCUUAUCUAAGUUCAAUUAAGGUAUGUAAUUAGCUCGGUUUUUGAUAAUUUUUACAUUUUUGAGAUCGUUGUUAUGUAAACUAGCAAGCCCAUGUUUCAAUUUUUGAAUUUGAUAAUUAUUUUUUGUUUUGCAAUUGUUGAAAGCUUGAUGAAUCUUGUGUUUGAUGAUAGAAAAUAAAUAAAUAUAUGUUGUUAGAUUAAUAUGUUUUGUAUUUGAAUUUUUGGCGAAUUUGAGUAAUUUAGGUUAAAUUGUGAAAAUAAUAAAUUGAGGGACUAAAAUGUGAAAUAAAUGAAAUGUGAGGACUUAUAUAAGUUUAAUGAAUAUUCGGCCAAGUAUGGUGUGAUGAAAUUUUGUUUAUUUUGUAUUUUGUGAAAUAGGGACUAAUUUGUGAAAAUAUGAAAUGUUAGGGGAAAAGUGUAAUUUGCCUAUAUAUGUGUUUUUGGAUGAAUUUAAUUGAAUAUGUGAUUAAAUAAGUUUAAAUGUUACUAAUUUAAAAGAAAAGGGGAAAACGGAAUUGGAUCGGGAGAAAUCUAAAGUUGUUGAAUAGUAGUCCCGGUUCGUUUGUCUUCGUUCGAGGUAAGUCUAUAAGCACAUAAAUGUUGUUAACUUUAAAUAUUUGUGAAUCUGAAAUGUUGAAUUGAAUUUAUGUGCAUAUAAAUAUGAAAUAGCCGAAUGUAUAUGUAUAUGGAAACAAUAUGUAUAAGUUUGAUUCAACUGAAAUACGACGUAUGAAAGUCCUGUACGAACCAAAGGAAUUUUGAUAAGUGUUUUCGAGUAAGACCCUGUGACCCUAUGUGGGACAGUGGCAAUCGGUUUGUAAUUGCAAAUAAGACCUAGUGUAGGACAGUGGCAUCACUACGUGAAUACAUGUAAGACCACGUGUGGGACGUUGGCAUUGUACGAUAAAUGUGAUUAUUCAAGCACUCUAUUUAAUUCCGAAUGAUUCAAUGGGAAAUGAUAAGUUGUGAUCAAAUAUGUUAAACGAGCUAAAAUAUGAUCAGGUAUGUGAUAGUGGUUUACCUAAUUGGUAAUAAUGUAAAUUUGCUUUAUUAAUAUGUGAUAAAAAAUAUUCAUGAUACUAUUGAAAAUGUAUGUGUUUAUGAGAAGUAUAUUUGGCCUUAUGAUAUGUAUAAAUAUGUGAGAUUAAGCUUGAUUAAUGAGUAUAGGUAAAUGAAGGCAUUUGUAUAUUCGGAUAUAUAUAUAUGAUAGUAUGACUUUGAGAAUUUGAUGAUAAAUUGAUAAAGUAUAUAGGUAUAUUGGACAAGUUAAAGUUUACAUAUGAAUGAAAUAUGUGAGUUAUGAAACUAUAAGCUUGAAUUUAAAUGUGAUUAAAAUAGUAUAAAUUGGUUUGGUUAAUUAAAUUUGUUUAUGUUAUUGAAGUGUUUAUUUGCUUAUGAUUUACUAAGCUAUGGUAGCUUACUAUGUGUAUAUGGUUUGCCUAUGUAUUAUAGAUUUUGGAAGCUAGUUACGGGAUCGGGGAUCUUAAGCGAAGUCUAUCACACUAUCGUUUGCUUAUCGGUACUAUAAAAAGUUAAAUUUCGAAGCUAUGACAUGUAUAGGCAAUACUACAUUUUGGAUUUAUGUUUGAAUGUUGUGUAUAUAAUAUGCCAUGCGAAAAUGGCUUAUUAUUUUGAUGUGUGGAUUAUAAUGUUUAAGUUAUGAUAGUUUAGUAUUGGUAAGCAUGCUUGAAGUGUUUAAUGUAAUUGUCAAUGACUUUGAAUUAUUCGGUCAUGGUCUAUAUUAAUGAUAUGUGUAUGAUAUGUUUUGGAAAUCCUUAAGAUUUAUUUUGUUGACUUAGUUGAUGUUCAUUUUGAUAAGAGUAUUAAAUGACAUAAGUGAAUAUAAGGUAAUAAAUAAAUGUGUUGUAAUAAAUGAUUUGGAUAAAUAAUUUAUGUGUGGUGGUUAUGAGCUAGUUGUGAUUCGGCAUAGGUACUUAUGAGUUUGAUAAAUGGUUUGUUAGUUGGUUCGUGUUUAGCAUGGUUAAAUAAAAUAUAAAUUGAUUGAAAUGUAGUAUUUGAAUUUAAAAAUUUAAUAGAAGGAAUUGAUAAAAAUUUUGGUUAUAUGUUUAAUUAUGUAAUAGUCGAAUAUGAAAUCAUUGAAUUAGUCUUGUAUAUGACCUUUGUUUUAUAGUUCAUGAUAGGUAAUGUUAUCAUGUAUGGAUUCGAUUUUGGCUAGUUAAAGUGUUAAUCAACAUGGCUGUUUUGUAUUAUGCUUAUAUGUACAUUUGUGAUGAGUUAAUGAGAAAGGCAAAUUAUGUUUGAUAAAUGGGUUUGGUUCUUUAAAAUGCUUUGGCUUGUUAAAUGUUUGAGUUAAGUUGAUAGUGGACAUUGUUAAAGCAUAAAUAUUAAAUACACUUGCAUUUGGCUCAAGCUUUGGGAAAAUUACCAAAUGAAUAGUAACAUAUGUUAAUUAUUGAUAAUGAGUAAUUUGAGUACAUGCUUAUAUUCGGUCAAAUAGUAUGAUAUUAUGGUGAUGUGUUUGAUUUAUUAUUUAAUGACAUGUAAUGUUUUUAUUUAGUAUUAUUAUUUUUGCAAGCAAGUUAAGGAAAUUGGUAAUUAUGUUUUGAGGUAUUAAUAUAUACAAUGAGUAAUGCUAUUUAAUAGACCAUGUUUUCUAUCAUCUUUGCCGCUUAUACUAUUAAUCAAUGUGUUUUGAUAUAUGCUAUAUUAGAUGGUAAUAGAUGCAUGAUUAUAAUGUAAUAUUCAAAUUUUAUAAGGUGAUUAGUGAAAUGUAUGAAAGAUGUGUAUUGUCCGGUAAUGCCUCGUAACUCAUUCCGGCGACGGAUACGGGUUAGGGGUGUUACAAAUUAUCAGUACAUUAGAAUAAGAUGUUUGCUUUAGUGAGACCAAUAUUUCAAUUAUAUUAUUAUUUUUAAUUAAAAAUCUUUAGAUUAAGUUAGGCUUGAAUCCAUAUUUUUCUUUUAAAUAGGCAUGUGGCCUGUUUUGUAACUUUGAACAACUUUGAAUUUGGAUUAAAAUCCAUUUGAGAGGAUUUGAUCAACUUCGCCUUUGAUGAAUUUAGCAAUUCCAGAGGUGAAAUGUUGUGAAUUUUGAUUUGCUUCUUGAUUCUUUAUAAUUAAGGGGUCAAUAUUCGUCCUAAUUAACAGUAUCGGUUCCUACUUGUUUAUAAACGAGUCAAUGGCCCAUGUUAUUGAAAACUUUUUCGAGGAUUUUGUUUCCAUUCAUGGUUGCUUGGUUUCAGAUCAACAUUUGAUCUCCAAUUUUAGUUAUAAUUGCAUAUAGCUUUCUCAUAUGAUCUCCAAUUUCAAUUAAUUCUUUUGAGGUGGCGAGUUGGAUUGACAUCUUCUUUGUGUGUUGAGUUGGACUAAGUACAAAGAUAAGUUAGGAGACAUUUGAGCACACUUUUUAAUAUUUAAACUAAUCUAAUAUUAAUAUUUUCAGUCAUACUCAUGUUUGAUAAUCUAUAAUAAAAGAAAUGAUUGUACAAUUUAUUUCAAUUAUUUUGUAACAUGCAAAUUCUAUGGACGAAGUUGUGGCUCUUCCUAAUCGACCCAUCACAAGAAGCAAAGCAUGACAAACUAGAUUCAUUCAUUCAACAAUUUAUUUCCAACAAAGGAAUUCCAUCAACAUUAUGAUGUCGUACAAAGCUAUUUCUCUAACAUAAAUUUAAGCAUUUUGAAUAAAUUUCCAAAGUGUGAGGAAAAUUGUAAUAAAUUUUAUCUUAGAUAAAUAAACUUUUUUUUAAAACUAGUUUUAUUUAGCUAUUAUCCUUUUAUUUAUCUUACAUAAUUAUGUUUUUUUUUUAAUUUAAACUAGUCUUAUUUAGUUUUUUUAUUUAUCUUAGAUACUCUUUUUUUAAUAACCUAGUUUUAUUUAGAUUUUUUUAGCUAAUUAGACUUUUUUUAAAAUUUAAACGAGUUUAUCUUUGUAUUUCAAAUGCUACGUGCUAGCCUAUAGAUGGGAGCCUUGGACCAUAUUAUUUGAAUCAGGUCGGAUCAUCCAGUCAGAUUGGGAAUCAAAAAUCAUUUGGGAUACUAGUUUGAAUAACUUUGGAUUUCACAUUAAUAUUAUCCUUUAAAUACUUAAUCUUCAAAUUUUGAUUUAUCAAAUAGUCUAAUUAUAUUUUUUAUUUAAUUUUAAGUAAUAUACCAAAUAUAUUUUAUAGCUUAAAUUCAAUAAUUAAUUUUCAACAUUUAAGUUUUCAAUUUAUCAAACAACACAUAAGUAUAAUGCUUUUUUUAGGGGCGGAUAAAAGCAACGAGCUUAAUAUAAAAGCACGAGUUUAGAGAAAAUUUUAGAUCGACCAUUAUGACCUUUUUUGUUCAUUAUAUUACUGAAUUUACCAUUUAAAUUAUUUUUAUUAUUUAUGAGAUUUAUCACAUUUAUAAAUUAAAAUUUUGAUUUUAAUAAAAUAUUUGGUUAAUAAAUUUACUUGAGAAAAUAAUUUAUCAUACUUAUAAAUAAGAAUUUGUUAUUUAUUAAAAGACUUUUAUUAUUAUAUUGAAUUACUUUGUAUUUAAAGUAUAUUGAAUUAAUAAUUAUAUAUUUUUUACAAAGUAUUAUGUUGAAUUUAUUGACUAUUAAGAAAAUAAAAAUUAAAUAGUGAAAAGUUUAAUUUACAAAUGCUUUAAUAAUUACUAGUAUUUUUUUUAUUAGCACUAGAUUUUAAUUAUCAAAAUAAGUGAUAUAUUUUAAUUAUUUUUCUUAGUUAUGUUUUGAAUAAUGUUGCUUUGCAUUAAUUAUAUGAAGUAAAACUAUAUUGUACAUUGAAUAAGGUACAAAUGUUUUAAUUAUUAUUUUGAAUUGUUUUUAAAAAUUAUUGACCUCUUUAGAGACGACAUUGUUAGGAGGGGUAACCACGGACUUCAAACAUAGAUCGUAAAACGAAUAUAGAGAAUACUAAAAGAACAUAUUGAUUUACUGUAUAUAAUUUUUUUAAUAUGGUAUAAAUAUUUUAAUUAUGAUUUGAAAUUUGUCUUACUAUAUUUCAAUUGUUAAAUAGGUUAAUAUAUUUUAAUUAUGUUCAAUAAUUCAAAUAAAAAAUUUAAAAAAAAAACUAAUUACAAUAGCUAAAAUACAUUGUUUAAAAAAUAAAUUUAAAAAUUAAACGAGAAAAUUUAAAUGUAACACUAGAAACUAGUAAUUUUUCAUUCAUAAUCAAAUACAUUUAUUAUAACUUUGCUUUGAUAGCAUGUCUUUAAGUUUACUUUGAUAGCAUGUUUUCUUAGUUUCCUGGUUUUUUUCUUUCUUUUUACAUUGGGCAAUUUUCUAAUCAGAACUGAGAUUUUGUGUAGUUAAUUGAUACGAUGGAGAGCGAGAUGGCGACACUUUCCAUUGAGGACGGAGAAGAGGAGCCACGACAAUUCAAUUUGGGAGAUGAUGGUACUGAGGCCAUUUUAUAUUUCUAUGUGGUGGGUAGUUUUCUUAUUGCGAGUGUCAUUCAGUUUCAAGCCAUGCGAACCACAUUGGUUAAUUUGUGGCACCCUCUUGGGGAGUAACGAUCACAAAUCUAAGCAAAAAGAGAUUUUUUAUUAUUAUUUUGUUUUAUUAUGAGAUUGAUCUUAGCAAAGUCUAGGAGGGGAGCCCAUGGACGUUCAAUAAUCAUCUAUUGAUUUUCAUAGAUUAAAGCACGUGGAAGAUCCGCUACAAGUUCCCAUGGACGUUCAAUAAUCAUCUAUUGAUUUUCAUAGAUUAAAGCACGUGGAAGAUCCGCUACAAGUUCCUUUAUUCCAUGUAGAUUACUAGGUCUAGAUACAUGAUAUAUUGGUCAGUUUAAUGUCCAAAGGUAUGGUAAAACAGUUUGGGGAUUUUAUUGGUUAGUUUCUAGACUACGAUGCGAAGUCUAUAAGUAGGGGAUUUCGGGGAUAUAUGAGAACUCGCGUUAGGAUCAAUAUCCCGGGUCCAUUGAAACGCAGGAAAAAACUGUUCUAUCCCAGAAAAUUAUGUAUCUGCUCAUUUCCAGUAUGAUAGAUUAACUAUUUUUUACUUUUUGUGUGGGCGGUUAGGUCAUGUGGAAGGUUUUUGUCCAGUCAGAAUUAUUCAUGGGGAGAAAGAAUUGCCACUAUAAUGGGACAUUUCGCUAAAGGUCAUACUUAGAAGAUCAAUGGUGUCCAAGAGUUAUUGGUUACGUGAGGAGGGUGAUGUUUCUUUCUCAGUUAUUAUGGGAACUUUUUCUGAUAAGGCAAAGUCAGUUACUAAAGAUGAUAUUCAUGGAUUGUUUCGAAAUCCUGAUUUCCUUAAUCAUGUUGGAGCUAAUUUAGGCAUAAAUCUGGGAAGUAAAAAAUCGGGAGAUAUUGGGGAAAUUGGGAGUGUUGAUUUGAAUAUGGGCCCGAGUGGUGAGGACAGCCUAAUGGAUAUUGGUGAGGAUAAGAAACGUCAUCAUAUUACACCAUCUUCUUUUAUUUCUGAUGCUUAGGGUUCAGGGAAGACUUUUACUAAACAGACAAAUGUUCAAUUAUUUGAGAUAUCGAUUUGCUCUGCGAGGUAGGGCAGUCGAAAGUAAUAAAACUCCUAAUUUGAAAUGUUCGAGGGCUAAGGCACCCUCGGGAUAUUUAACACCUUCGGUAUAUGUUGACGGAGACUAACACCAUUGAAACUUUUUUAUUGAAACAAAGCUACAGAGUUUGAGAAUGGAAAAGGUUAGGCAAAGUUAGGGCUUUGUGAAUGAGAUAAAAGUUAGUAGCGAUGCUACUAGAGAUGGUCUAUCAUUAUGCUGGAAAUAGGGUUGUAAGAUUUCACUUCGCAGCUUUUUAAUGAGUCAUAUUGAUGUCAUGGUAAAAGAUGAAUCGGAGGGUAAUAGUUAGAGGUUUACGGGGUUCUAGGGGCAUCCUAAGGGAAAUCUUCGCAAUCAAUAUUGGGAGUUGGUUCAAGAUUUAUCUGGAAGAAAUAAUUUUCUAUGGCUUGUUAUGGGGGACUUUAAUGAAAUAGCUUACUCCUAUGAGAAGCAAUGAGGUAGGUUAAGAAGUGAAAGGAGUAUAGAGGCCUUCCACUUAGCACUUGAUGAAUGUGAACUCUCGGACUUGGGCUAUAAAGGUUAGUGGUUUACAUGGGAGCGUGGAAAGCUUCCUCGUGCUAAUAUUCAAGAAAGACUUCAUAGGGUGUGGUGAACCUGGUGUGGUGCGAAAUGUUCCCUAAUUUUAUAGUGCAGCAUUGUGUGCAUACUAUUUCUGAACAUUGUCCUUUUUUACUCAAUAUUGGUUGUAUCAACAGUUUGCAUGAGGCUAGGGAGUAGAGUUUUAAUUUGAAGCGACUUAGAUUGUAGAAGACUCAUUUAAAGGGGAGGUUAGAAGGCCCUGGUCGAUGUCGAAAGGUACUGUUCUCGAACGUAUUAAAUUUGUUGGCCAUGGUUUGACGGUUUGGGCCAAGAAUUUGCGACGUUCUUCGAAGCUGGUUUUUAGUAAUUUAUAGAAGCGAGUGGAUGAAUUGAAUAUGACAGACCUGGAUGAUAAUAUUUUGAAGAAAUUGAUUGUAACCAAGAUGCAUUUAAAUAUAGAGAUUGGCAAGGAUAAAAGUAACUAGGAGCAAUGGGCGAGGGCCAAUUGGUUGUGUAAUGGGGCUUGUAGCACGACUUAUUUUCAUAAAUUUGUUUCCCAGCACAAACAAAUAAAAAUGAUUGAUUAUAUUGAAAGUCUCAACGGGCUAGGUGUUACGGAUGACAAUGGAAUUGAACAAGUUUUUUGUCAUUAUUUCAUUGAUCUCUUUACUUCGCAUGAGCAAAGAGAUGCAAGUCAAAUCCUAUUGGGCAUUUCUUGUCAUGUUAUUGAUGCCAUGAAUAGCUUCCUUCGGUCAAAGUUAAAAGAAGACAAGAUUUUGGCAGCCCUUAAUAGUAUUUAUUCCAAAGCAGGCUAAUCCCCGUAAUAUGACCCAUUUUUGGCUAAUUAGUUUGUGUAAUUUAUUGUUUAAAAUUAUUUCCAAGGCCAUUGUAAACAUAUUACAGGUGAUUAUUCCCCAUUGUAUAGAUGAGUCAUAUAGUGCUAUUGUGACUGGGAGGCUGAUUACAUAUAAUAUACUGGUGUCUUUUGAGUUACUGCAUUCUUUCAAGAAAAGAAGAGUCGGUCAAAGGGGUUCAUUUACGCUUAAGCUCAAUAUGAGUAAAGCAUAUGAUCAAGUUGAAUGGCACCUGGUCGAGGAGAUUAUGUUUAAGAUGGGUUUCACAGUUGAUUGGGUCACGUUAAUUAUGAGAUGUGUUAAAUUAGUUAGCUACUCUGUGGUGUUGAAUGAUGAAGCUAAGGGGAAUAUCUCCUCUUAGAAAGGACUAGGCAAUGAGACCCUUUGGGCUCUUUCUUCUUUCUAUUUUGCAAUGAAGGGCUCUCGUCCUUAUUGAGGUUGGCUUGUCAAGAUGGUAUGUGUUGGAUCUGGAGUCCUAAGUGUAAUAUUUUCAUCUAAGUAUACUUGUAAAUUUUUGAACAUAUUGGUUAAUAAAAUUAUUCAUAAAUUAUAUUAAAACUUUAUAUAUUGUCCUCACAUGAUUUUUGCAUGCAAAGCAAAAUGGAAGUAAAUGUUGCUCAUUAGUUGUCUAAUGUUUAACUAAUAUUAAGCGGCAUUAUGUGGUAGGAUCAUAAUACAAAAAGACAACUUAUAUUAGUAGACAAAUCUAAACAUGUCCUUAGUCUAAUCGAAAAUGAGCAAACCGAUGGAAAGACUAAUAUGUCAUCUAUCAAGUCCAAUUGGGGAGAUGUUUUAUCUUGGGCACCGGAGCAGGUGACUCCCAGAAGAUAAAGACAUAGAUGUGACUGACUGGACUGAUAGUAUAUCAGAUUGGACCCAAGAACAACAGAUCCUGAAUCUGUUUAUGGAUUUAUUCACUUGUGACAUUCAUAGUGUGGCAUACCUAAAUCCUAAGUGGAUGGCGGACUAUGUAUUCAUGACUAUACACUUUGAUGUAAGUAAAAGCCUGAGUUCGAAUAGAUAAGGAACAAAAAUUUGGUGCGUUGGGUGUACGACUUCUACAACAUGUAACAUCAUUCACAACAGUGAAAUUCAUAGCUUGAGACAUGGGUAAAUGAUAUCCUCUUAUUGGCAUUACAUGGUUGAUGAAAAGUAAAUGUGGUCACGGGUCAUUCAUCUUUGUGAUGAAUGACUUGAUUACUAUUUAAUAGUAAUUGACUUUUUAUGAAGGAAUAUGUAAUAGUUACUAUGAGUUAAAUAGAAUAAUAUUGGGAAAGCAGAUAUAAUCCCAAAAAGAUUAAGGAUAUCCUAUAAGGGUAACACAUAUAUGACAGGGCCAUUAGACGAGCACUAAUCGAGUUGUUUUCGUAAUGGUAUACUGUUGGGAGAGCUCAGUUAUGAAACUAUAGUGGAAUGACUUUGUGACUAAAUGAUUUUAUAAUUAAUAGGAGAGAAGUUAGAACUUAAUUAUAAAUCAUUUGAGCUUUAAUUGCAUAUGUCAAAUCGGUCUCUCCGUUAACUUGUUGAAACUAGAAAUGAAUUGCGUGUUUGAAUUGAAAUGAACGCAAUUAAUAGAAAUAAAGAAAUUGAAAACAUUCAGAAAUGGUUAUGGUUUUCUUUGAAAUGGAAAAAUGGAAUCAUUUAGAAAUGAAUGUGGUUUUCUCACAAUGGAAAUGGAAUUGGAAAUGAGAGAUGAUUCAUUUGCAAAUAUACAUGGAUUACUCAGAAAUGAUCAGAAGAAUGAAUUUAUGUUUUUGAGCUAUUUUAGAGUCUGAAAAUGAAAACAAACCAUUAAGUCAUAGAGAACUAGUUGAAUUAUAAAAUAGUAAAUAUAUUUUCUUAGAAAUUUUACCAAGGGUAAAGUCGUCAUAAUUUUACUAGGGGUAAAGUUGGGAUAAGAAAAUUACUUAAUAUAAAAUAUUAAAGUUUAUUUUUGAAAAUAGAAAAAUAGAAUCGAAUUGGAUCAAAUUACAAAGUACUUGGUCGAAAAGUCCAAUAAGUACUCGUAAUGGGACCCGAUGUGAGAGAGGCCCAAAAUCCCCUCAUGGAACAUGUAGGGGGCGGUAACCCUAAUAGGAAUAUUAGGGGAUGUCAUCCACCCUACUCCUAUUCUAAGUAGGAAAUUUUUUAUUUAUUUGAAAUAAACAUCUCUAAUUCAAAAAUGGUUUUAUCUUCUCUCUCUAUAAAUAGAUGGCACCGGUAUGGCUAUUAAACAAAACUUUAAGAUAUUGUUACUCUACCGAAAAAUAGAGAAAAUUACUCUUAACUAUUAAAUUUAUUUUUUCGGAAUAACAAUUUUGUCGGUUUCCAUUUUAAAAGAGAUUUUUCCUUUUCACACUAAAGAGAAAAUAAAACUUUUUCUAGUUCUGUAUUUUGAUUCAACUGGUUCAAGCCCACACUCGAAGCAGUUCAUGGUACGAGAAUAGCGAAGAAGAUUGUUUGGUUGAAAGUCGAAAAUGGCAAGGAUCUAUCUAUCUAGAAACACAAGUACAAUUUUGGUCUAGGGUUUAUUGCUAUAAAUAUCACAAAUCGGGUUGGUUCUUCAAAAUUUUAAUUUUACACUAUGCAAGAAAAUCAUUUUCAAACUAAAUUUUUUCCAACAAUAUUUAGAAAGGGGUUAAAGUUAGCAUAUCUUGACCAACAGUGUCCCACUUAUUUUUUGCAAAUGAUAGUUUGAUUUUUGGGGAGGCGACAACAAAUGGUGUGGAGAGUGUUAAGAACAUCUUUAUUGAGAAUGAAGAAUGCUUGGGACAGUUGAUUAAUUUUAGUAAGUCCCUUAUUUAUUUUAGCUUAAAUGUAAAAGUGAAAGAUCGGGAGUUGGUCACUCAGGCUCUAGCGGUACGAAAUUCUUUAGAUCUUGAGAAAUAUUUAAGUCUUCCUAUUACAGUAGGUCGAAACAAGAAGAGAGUUUUUCAAAGUAUCAAGGAUAAGAUCCAAGAACAAAUUAAUGGGUGUUUGCAAUCGAACCCUUUCGUAAGGUGGCAAGGAGGUAUUCAUAAAGUCGAUAUUACAGGCUAUUCUCAUGUAUACAAUGUCCUAUUUCUUACUAUCGGGUUUUUUUUGUAAGGAGCAAAAAUUGAUUAUGUGUCGGUAUUGGUGGCAAAAAUCGCAGUCACAAUGGGGAAUACAUUAGUGUUCAUUGAGGGAUUAGUGUGACUUGAAGGAGGUUGGAGGCAUGGGUUUCCAUAAUUUUUCUAAAUUUAAUAUCGCACUAUUAGCUAAACAAGAGUAGCGUUUACUUUGUAACCCCACUUUAUUAGUGGCUCGAGUGCUGAAAGCUAAAUAUUUUGCAAAUAGAGAUUUUUUAAUAACUGAGCUAGGAAGUCAAUCUUCAGCGAUUUGGCUGAGUAUAUGGGCAGCAAGGAUCCUUCUUGAGAAAGGGAUCAUCUAGCAAGUUGAAAGUGGGAGACUCAUCUCCGGUUGGGAUAUGUAUGGGCUCCCAAGAGACAAACCCUACAAAGUAUAAUUAACUCGAAUGAGUGGAAUUGAGUGGGUAGCAAAUUUGAUUGAUGAUCAAACCUAGAAAUGGAAUGAGGAUUGGAUAUUGACCUCAUUUAAUAUUCAGGAGGCAAGGAAAUUUCUGAGCAUUCCACUAGUGCAACAUUAGACAACAGAGAUGGUGCCUUGAAAGCUCAUGUGCGUACACGGUUCACAAUGGAUACAAACUAUUACUUAGAGGCUUUCUUAAGACUGAUGAUGACACAUAAAAAUUUAUAGGCCUAUAUAUUCGAAGCUUUUACAUUUAGAUUUGGCAAACAUAUGUGCUGGAUAAGAUGAAAAUUACAGUAUGGCGAUUCAUGAACAAUUUUAUGCCUACUAUUGGAAAUCAUCCAUAUUUAUAGAAAGUCAAAGAUAUAGGUAUCAGAAAGAUAGGGGUAUCAAAAUCUGGGAUUUAAGGCACCAAAAGUGGGAUUGAAAUUUGGCAUAAGAUAAUUGCAAUUUUGAUCCCUGACCUCAACUAUAAAUAGGCCUAACCAUUUCUCUUCUUCAUCAUCCCAAAUUUUCCAUUCUCUACUUAAGGCAUUGUUUUCUCUCUAUCCCUCUUUGUAAAUUCUCACUUUUAUUUUGGAGCGAAAUAUAUUUGGUAGUGCCCGAUGACGUAGGAAAAAUUUGUUGAACCUCGUUAAAUUCUUGUGUUCUUUAUUGUAUUAUUCUGCAUGAAUUGUGAGUGUGAUUGUAGUGAUUUAUUGCGCUAUUAAAUUACAAUUGAGGGAUAUCCUGGCUAGGAAAGACCUGGUACUUAAGCGAUCCUUGUGGUCCACCUCUCUUUCCUAGGAAUUGAACUUAGUGUGAUUUUUUAGUACAAUAAUUUUACUCUUUUACACGCUUUCGUACAAUAAUUGGUAUUAGAGCUAGAUUCGUACUUGGGGAAUAUGAUCGUUCACGACACUGUUCACAUACAAUAGUUGGGAUUGAGGAGAAAAAUGCAAAAGGCAUCGUCAUCAGUAAAGACUACUGUGACUAAUGCAAAAUUUGAAGUAGAGAAAUUUGAUGGUACCAAUAAUUUUGGCAUGUGGCAAUGUGAGAUCCUGGAUGUCUUAUGUCAGCAAGAGCUGGAUAUAGCCCUUGAAGAAAAACCUGACAAGAUGGAUGACAAGGAGUGGGCCAAGAUCAAUAGACAGGCGUGCGGAACAAUUCGCCUAUGUUUGGCUAAAGAGCAGAAGUACUCUGUCAUGAGGGAGACAUCAGCGAAGAAGUUGUGGGAUACACUGGAAGAAAAGUUUCUAACAAAAAGUCUUAAAAAUAGGCUUUAUAUGAAAAAAAACUUUAUCGAUUCACGUAUGCACCCGGUAUGUCGAUGAAUGACCAUGUGAACUCAUUCAAUAAAAUUUUAGCAGACUUGCUAAAUUUGGAUGAAAAAUUUGAAGAUGAAGACAAGGAAUUACUGUUGUUAAAUUCUCUUCCUGAUGAAUAUGAUUAUCUUACCACCAUAUUGCUUCAUGGGAAGGAUACAAUCACAUUUAAUGCAGUCUGUAGUGCGUUGUAUAUAUAUAAGACUCGAAAGAAAGAUAAAAAAGAUCACAGAGAUACAACUACAGAAGUCUUAAUAGUAAGAGGUCGUUCGCACAGCAACAAAUCUGGUAGAAGGAGUAAGUCCAAAGGGAGACCUGCCAAAGAUGAAUGUGCUUUUUGUCGUGAGAAAGGGCAUUGGAAAAAGAAUUUUCCUAAGUUACAAAAGGGUAAGGCUAUUUCUGAUGCAUGUGUAGCGGAGCAUGAUGAUGAGUCAGACUUUAGCUUUGUUGGCAUGGCAAUGGCUUGUCAUACAGAUGAGUGGAUUUUGGAUUCGAGAUGUACUUACCAUAUGUGUCCUAAUAAGGACUGGUUUUGUAGUCUUAAAGAACUAGAAGGUGGAGUUAUUUUUAUGGGCAAUGAUAGCUCUUGUAAGACAAUGGGAGUAGGUACAAUCCAAUUGAAGAAUAACGACGGCUCAAUUCAAGUCUUGACAGAUGUUCGCUACAUACCUAGCUUAAAGAAAAAUCUCAUCUCAUUAGGGGUCCUAGAAUCUAAAUGGCUCACAAUCACUUUGAGAGAUGGAUUACUAAAGGUAGUAGCUAGGGUAUUGACGGUGAUGAAAGGCACAAGAAGGAAUAACCUGUACUAUUUAAAUGGAAGUACAGUUAUUUGAUCAACAUCAACAGCAUCUGCGAAAGAUACAGAUUCAGAGGCUACCAGGUUAUGGCAUAUGCGAUUGGGACAUGCUGGUGAAAAAGCUUUACAGAGUUUGGUGAAGCAAGGCUUGUUGAAAUGUGCAAAUUCUUGCAAAUUGGAAUUCUGUGAACAUUGUGUUCUAGGCAAGCAGACGAGGAUAAAAUUUGGUUCAGCAAAUCACAAUACAAAAGGGAUUCUGGACUACGUUCACAGUGAUGUGUGAGGACCUACUAAAGUGGCUUCUUUGGGAGGUAUGCACUGUUUUGUUACUUUUGUUGAUGAUUAUUCAAGAAAAGUAUGGAUGUAUCUAAUGAAAAGAAAAAAUGAAGUUUUGGAUGCAUUUCUGAAAUGGAAAAAGAUAGUGGAGACCCAUAUUGGACGAAAGGUUAAACGACUUCGAUCAGACAAUGGUACUGAGUACCAGAAUGAUCUAUUUCUACAAGUAUGUCAAGAUGAGGGCAUUGUGCGACACUUCACUGUUCGAGAUACACCACAAUAAAAUGGGGUGGCAGAACGUAUGAAUCGGAGUAAUUCACAAUACAAAAGAAAUUCUGGACUACGUUCACAGUGAUGUGUGGAGACCUAUUAAAGUGGCUUCUUUGGGAGGUAUGCACUAUUUUGUUACUUUUGUUGAUGAUUAUUCAAUAAAAAUAUGGGUGUAUCUAAUGAAAAGAAAAAAUAAAGUUUUGGAUGCAUUUCUGAAAUGGAAGAAGAUGGUGGAGACCCAAACUGGUCAAAAAGUCAAGCGACUUCGAUCAGACAAUGGUAUUGAGUACAAGAAUGAUCCAUUUCUACAAGUAUGUCAAGAUGAUGGCAUUGUGCGACACUUCACUGUUCGAGAUACACCACAACAAAAUAGGGUGGCAGAACAUAUGAAUCAGACUAUACUGGAGAAAGUUUGAUGUAUGUUGUCUAAUGCUGGAUUGGGCAAGAAAUUUUGGGCUGAGACAGUUACAUAUGCGUGCCAUCUAAUUAACCGGUUGCCAUCAGCAGCAAUAAAUGAAAAAACUCCUAUGGAGAGGUGGGCUGGUAAACCUGCUACUGAUUAUUAUUCUUUACAUGUUUUUGGUUCCACUGUAUAUUAUCAUGUAAAAGAAUCUAAGUUAGACCCAAGAGCAAAGAAAGCAUUAUUCAUGGGUAUAACUGGUGGAGUAAAAGGCUACCGUCUCUGGUGUCCUGAUACAAGGAAGAUUGUUUUCAGUAGAGAUGUGACUUUUGAUGAAUCAACCAUGAUAAAGAACAAUGAUUCAUAAAAGGAUAACAAAACUAGUGGCACUUUGCAGUAGGUGGAGCUUGAAAAGGUUAAUGAUGAUCCAACUAAUAUUGAAGGGACAAAUGAUGAAGAAGUUUCGACCCAAGAACUUCUACAGCAACAUGGUUCAAUUGCAUAUAGGACAAGAAGAGAGAUUCGUAUGCCUGCUCGCUUUGAUGAUAUGAUGGCCUAUGCACUUCCAAUUGCAAGUGAUGAUGUUCCUUCUACUUACACAUAAGCAAGAAGUAACCCUGAUGGUGUAAAGUGGAAGCAAGCUAUGAAUGAAGAAAUAUAGUCUCUUCAUAAAAAUAGGACUUGGGAGUUGGUGACACUACCCAAAGGAAAUAAGGCAAUUGGAUGCAAAUGGGUAUAUGCAAAGAAGGAAGAAUUUCCUGGUAAAAAUAAAGUUCGAUACAAGGCUAGAUUGGUAGCAAAAGGUUACGCUCAGAAAGAAGGAAUAGACUACAAUGAAGUGUUUUCUCCAGUUGUGAAGCAUUUGUCUAUUCGAAUUUUGCUAGCCUUGGUUGCGCAAUAUGAUCUUGAACUAGUUCAGCUCGAUGUGAAGACUGAAUUUUUACACGGUGAUUUGGAAGAAGAAAUCUAUGUGACUCAGCCAGAUGGAUUCAAGGUUGCUGAUAAAGAAAAUUGGGUUUGCAAACUGACAAAGUCGCUUUAUAGAUUGAAACAAUCUCUGAGGCAGUGGUACAAGCGAUUUGAUCAGUUUAUGAAAGGGCAAGUUUAACAGUUGAAGAAGGCACUAUCAAGUGUUGUUGACAAAGGCAGAGAGAAUUGUGUGAAGAUAAGAUUAUUCGAAUCAAAUCUUCAAGGUGGAGAUUAUUGGAAAUCAUCCAUAUUUAUAGAAAGUCAAAGAUAUGGGUAUCAUAAAGAUAUGGGUAUCAAAAUCUGGGAUUUAAGGCACCAAAAGUGGGAUUGAGAUUUGGCAUAAGAUAAUUGCAAUUUUGAUCCCUGAACCUCAACUAUAAAUAGGCCUAAUCAUUUCUCUUCUUCAUCAUCCCAAAUUUUCCAUCCUCUACUUAAGGCAUUGUUUUCUCUCUCUUCCUCUUUGUAAAUUCUCACUUGUAUUUUGGAGUGAAAUAUAUUUGGUAGUGCCCGAGGACGUAGGCAAAAUUUGCUGAACCUCAUUAAAUUCUUGUGUUCUUUAUCGUAUUAUUCUGCAUGAAUUGUCAGUAUGAUUGUAGUGAUUUAUUAUGCUAUUAAAUUACGAUUGAGGGAUAUUCUGGCUAGGAAAGACCUGGUACUUAAACGAUCCUUGUGAUCCACCUCUCUUUCCUGGGAAUUGAACUUAGUGUGAUUUUUUAGUACAAUAAUUUUACUCUUUUACACGCUUCCGCACAACACCUACUAACACUAAUUUGUGCCUAAGAAGACUAAUGGCUGAUACAACUUGCCUUUUUUGUCACCUUGAGGUAGAGACUGGCCUUCAUGCUAGCCAAGAUUGCCAAAUAGCCCUACAGGUUUAGCAAAAUUUGGAAAUCAAUUGGGUGAUAAAUCAAACAGAGAACUCCUUGGUAAGUUGGAUUGGACCAUUAUUCAAUGGGAGGAGUAAUUAUCUAAAGCUAAUUAUUCUUGUAGCAAUCUGGGCAAUUUGGCUCUCAAGGAAUAGGUUGGUGCAUGAAAGCAAACAAUAAACAAGUUCUGAUAUUUUUACCACUGUAUUGGGUUAUGCUAGAGAAUUAGAAACAUUAGCAGGGGAACAGUUAAAGCUUAACCCAACAGAGUCAGUUGGGUGGCGACCUCUUUUAAAAAAUUUUGUUCAAGUAAACUUCGAUGUGGACUUCCACAAGGAUCUAGAAGCGUCAAGUACGGGUAUUAUCAUCAGAAACAAUGAAGGAUUUAUCAUGGGCGCAACUUGCUUAUGGAAUUGUUACAUACCUCAUGUUCUAAUUGCGAAGGCCUUAGCAAGCACCCAAGCAAUCAAAUUCGCUCAGGAGUUGGCUUUCCAAUGUGUAGAAGUAGAAGGUGACUCAUUGGUGGUGAUAAAAAAGCUUAAAUCGACAUGCAUUGACAGAUCAGUGAUUAGUAAUUUCAUCUGGGAAGCGAAACAAAUUUCUGUGGGCUUUGAAAGAAUCAAGUUCCAACAUAUAAAGAGAGGGGGAACCGAGUAGCCCACCUGUUGGCCAAUGAAGGAUUUCGGGUUUAGGGCGGUUUGGUGGAUCAAAGAAGCUCCAACGGUGGUUCAGGGAGGUUAUGAAGAAAGAGAGGCAGGACAUCCAUCAUCCCAGCUGAAUGUCACGAAACAAAUGUGUUGAGGAGCUGGAAGGUCUUAUUCAUUCUCUAGUAGAGGAGUGAUUGUCUCAGAUUUGAUCUGGUUCGUCGUUUUAAUUUGUAAUCUAAGAUUUCGUACUGGCAUGGGAAGAUCCCUAGGGGAUAGAAGAGGAAAGGAUUUGGUUUUCUUUAAUUUUUGUUUUUCUCGAUUUGCUUGAAAAUGUGUACUGUCUUUACUUUAUGAUAGUUACUUUUCUCUUUCUUUACUAAUAAGAGGAUGCCAAUUUGCAUUAAAGAAAAACACUAGAAAGUAGUAAAAAAAAAUCGAGAUUCGUCUAUUAACCACUUGGGUUUUUUGAACUGUAUAAAGUUAUAUUUUGCCUUUUCUUUCUUUUUAAGGAAAAAAUAGAAGAAAAUGGUUGAUUGAAGAAUCUGUAUCCAAGUUUUCUUCGUAAAAUAGAAAUGGAGUCAAACUGCAAGCCAUUAUUGACGGUGAGUUUUUAAAAGCAUCUUAAAUUUAAUUAAUAUGCAUUAAUUAGUUAAUAAAAAGGUGAUUUGGACGAAUAUUUACUAUGUUGAUGGCACCGCUCACCACCAUGAAUUAUGGACCGCCAAUUUUUUAAUUCAGCCACGGAAAAUGGAAUUACUGCACAUAUUUAUUAUAAUCGGUUUGCUAUAUUCUUUGCCAAUAUUGCACAUAUUUAUUAUAAUCGGUUUGCAAUUGUCGGCCAUACCACUUUCUUUGCCAAUAUUGCUACAAACCAUUCUUAAUUUCAUGUUGUCGAUUAAGUUAAAUCUCUAUAAUAAUUGGGUUUAAAUUUUUAUUAUUCAAAUAUCAAUCUAUAUUUAAUAUAUUACUAAUGUAUAAAUGAGGGGUUUUUUAAAAUAAUAUUAAAAGAAUAAUUAUGUAUAAAAAUAGAAUGUGAAACAACUAAAUUACGAAAAUGGUGUGUUUGUUAUCGUGUAUUUCAGUACUGCCUAUCAGUUAGGCAGCAUUACUCAACUUUUUCUCCAAUCAUGACGUUUUAAAAAAAAAUUUAUUGGUAUCGCUUGACACAGUAGUGACAGCAAUAUAUAUGUUUAAAAAUACAUGUAUGUUCACAAGUAUACACGGUGGAUAAAAAAUAUGAAAACAAAUAUUUUUUUAUUGGUGUCGCCUGACACACCGAUGGCACUAGUUUAUUUAUUUUUUAAAUAGCCUGUUAGAAAAAAAUUUAAAAAAAUAACUAUUUUAUCUUAUGAUCAAGCAACACCGGCCUAACGCCUACCAUAGAUGUGACCAAUCGGUCACGCCUUGGUACAAUCGAGGCACCUUUUCCUUUUUUUUCAUCAACUUUUUUUUUUUUAUCAACCAUUCUUUUUAAAAUUAAAAUAGUAUCAUUGAUGUGUCAACAACAUCAAUAACAAAUGUAUAUUUUCAUAUUUUGAAAUCAUCGUGUAUACAAUAUAAAAAUACUGGUAAUUUCUAAAAAUGUAUUUAUGUAUUGUCACGUCAAGCACACCAAUAAAUUUAAAAAGAAAUAUUAUAAUUACAGCAUGAUUAAAAAAAAUUAAGUAAUACCGUCAACCAAUCAGAUGACACCGAAAAACACUAUAACAAAUACUUGUUUUCAUAAUUAAUUUAUUCCCACCUCAAAAAUAAGAGCUUUGUGUUAUAUUAGUUGAAAAUUUUAUGUAGGACUUUAGUUAGUCUAAGAAUCUUUAACUCAACUAGCCAUGAGGAAUUUAAUAAAAAUACCUUCCCCGUCUCUUAAGUAAUUUCAUUAUUUCUAUAAAUUUAGAAUCCUAUUAAUUUCGAAAAUCAACCUACCUUUUUUUAUUUGCUAUUACAAAAACGAGUUAUAAAUUUCAUUAAUAUAGUAAAAAUUUUAGUUUGCAAAGUUUAAACAUUUUGUGAAUUUUUAGAUUUUAAAUUUUUAAAAAAUUUUUGAAAUAAUUCUUUUUUUUAAAAUUAAGAUCAAGUUAUGUAAAUAUCGAGAAUUUAAAUUGUUAUUAUAUCAAUCAAAAUUAUAUAUAAUUGAUUGAAAAUAUUAAUUAACGUGAUUACUUGUUCUUAGUUAUUCAUUUCCAAAAUUAACUGAAAUUAAAACCCUAAAUAGAAGUUAAACAAAAAAAACCUUCAAUUAAUUUAGGAGCGAUCGAACUUUACAAGGUUCCUAAUUCAAAAUUAAGUUUAAUUCCAGCCCUAAAAUAACUCUUAGUAACCAACCAACUGGUUUGAUUAAUUAUUUAGGGUAUAUAUGUUUGGAGAGCACGGCGUAAUUAAAUGAAAGUGUAAUUAUUGAGAAAGUAAUUACACUCUUUUGUAAUUAUAAAGAACUGUAAUUUCUUAGACAUGUUUGACUGAUAAAGUAUAAUUACACUGUAUUCCCUUAUAUCAUGUUUAGUAGUACAAAUUGUAAGUACAUAGUUACAUAAUUCAUGUUUUUAAAAAUAUUAAUUAUUAGUAUAAUAAAAAUAAUUUCUAAGUGAGUAAAAUAAAUUAAAUCAAAUUAUUAUCUGUAUUAUUUUAGUCUUAAAAGUAGUUGAUAAACACGAUUACUAAUAAAAAUUGCAUGAAAACUAAACAUAAUAUGCAAUUUUAUCUAAUUGUUCUACUGCAUAUUUGUUGGGUUAUUCACUUUAUAAUAUUUAACAUAUGCUCCUUAUCAUCAUCUAUUGAUAGUUGACCGAGGUAAUUAUCAUUCGAAUUUAAAUUUGCGUCAUUAAGAUUAGGGGUGAGCAAAACUCAAUUCGAUUCCAAAAAAUAGAAUAAAAUUUGAAUUUCGAGUUGAUCAAAUCGUGUUAAUUAAUUUUUUUCGAGUAAACUCGAAUAAGUAAUUCGAGUUUCAAGUUCGAGUCGAGUUAAAUUUUACAAUUCAAAUAACAGAUUGGUGUAAAUACCUCUUUGGUCUCUAUCAGUUUUGAAAAAUGAGCAAUUUGAUUUCUCUCUCAAUAAAAAUUACACAAAAAAUUAAAAUAUUUAUAAAAAUUCCAAAUAUUAUACUUUAAAAAAAUUUAAAAAAAUUAAAGAAUAUAUAAAGAAAGUUAAAAGUUUACUUUUUUUUGAAAAAAUAAUUUUAGGACCUAAAUAACCUAACUAAUGAUUCAAGUUUAUCCUACAAAAGUAUCUUCUUCUUCUUUUUCUUAUUUUGCUUUGAAAAAGUUUUAAAAAAUAUAUGGUUUUAAAUUUGUGUGCUCUAACAUAGAAUUUGUUAUAUUGUAACAAUAUUUUAAUUUCACAUGUUUAAUUUUUUUAAUUUACCUCGAACAAUUUCACCAGAUUGGAUUAAAAAAAAAUCAAAUCGAGUUAGGAUGAUAAAAUAGGACUCGACUACUUGAUUAACUCGAUUUUUUUUUCUUGAUUUGAUCAAACACUCGUCCCGAAUUAAGAUUAUCAAGAUUUCCUUCUUCCAUGUAUCCUAUGAAGUAUGAACCAUCUCAGUUCCACCUAUAAUUGAAUUUAUAAAAUAUGUAACAUGCUCUUAUAUUAUACUAAGGUGAUGUUGUUAAUAUGAGAAAUAUAUUCUUUUAGAACAAAAAAAGAUCUUCUCAACCAUAUUUCAAAGCCUUGAAUAUCUCAAACUAAAGAGUUUGCGAGUUGUCUAUAAUACUUGUGUCUAGCACUAUUUUUUCAAAUGGUAUCACACCCUAGGAUAUGAUGCAAGAAAUUUUUUUUCUAUUUGCAUAAUUAGCACCAAUCUUAUAAUUUUUGGGUUUAUAGUUCAAAUAGUCUGUAGCUUCAAUUAUAAAAACUUAUAUAUACUUAAUUUGGAGAAAGACUUAUACUAGGUCAUUUUCCAUUUUAUUAUACGUAAAUUAAAUAAAAAUAAUUUAUAAUGUAUAAUGUAUAAUAUUUAUAAAAAGUUUUAUAAAUUUUCCAAAAGUAUAUUAUUUUUAUAAUAUAUAACAUGGACAAAUAAAUAAGUUAUGUCCAUAUUUGGUCAUAACUUUUUAUAAAUAAUUUUUUUAUAACACUAUUAUAACAUGUAAAUUAUUUUUAUAAUAAACUUUCGACCAUUACUUUAGAAUAUUUUAAGAUUUAAAUAAUAUAUUUUUUAUAACUUUAUAAAACACACACAUUAUUUUUAUAAUAUAGUUUUUUAAGAUUUAUAAGUAAGAAAAUUUUGACCAUUACCAUCCCAAACACCAAUACGUGUUCAUGUUUAUAAUAUAUUUUUUAUAACUUGUAUAAAAAUAUUUUUUUAAAAUUGGAUUUAAGUGUAAUUUCUCCAAUUUUGACAUUCACACUAAGAAUUGGGAAGUGUAAUGAGAUGUUCCAAUUACACCCAAUUCGAUGAGACCACCAAUUACAAUAAUUAUCCAAACAUACCAGCCUUACAUAAUCACAAAUAAUUGCACCAAAAUCCAAUUAUUAUGCCACUUUCUAAACACUACCUAAAUGAAUUUUCCCAAUGCAAUUAAAAGAUUUACCUUUUAUCUUUAGCCAAUUAACAAUAAAUUUAAUCCAAGCAGAAGUUUAUUUAAAGAUAAGUUUAAAACAACUAAAACUAAAAAGGGUAAACUACCUAGUUAGUCACUCAAUUUUUAGGGUGCUUUCAUUUUGAUUACUCAAAAUGAAAUUCUUACAAUUUCACCACCUAACUUUUAAGUACUUUCAUUUUAAUUAUCCAAACGUUAAAUCUUUAAUGGCAGUUAACUGUACACGUACAUCAUGUUUACACUUUCAUUUUGGUCACCCAAUUCCUAUGUCACUUUCAUUUUGGUCACUCAAAAAAUAUCUUCUUUUAGUAUUGAUCGGGGUAAAAAAAAUAUUAAUAAUUAAAGUGAAAAACAAUAGAAACUGAAAUAAUGCAUUAAAAAUUAUUAAAUUGUACUUGUUUAUCCCAUUGCUGAAAGUUUUAAUUUUUUCAAUAUUGAAAAUUAUCAAAAUAAAUUAAAUAAAUUAUUGAAAAACUUUAUCCCUUGAAAGUGUUAGUCGAUUUGUUACUAUAAUAUUGAAAUUAAUUAAUUUAAUCUCCUAAAAUUUUAAAUUUUCAAAUUAAAAUCAACUCAAACAACUCAUAUUUAAUAAUUGUUUACGAAAAAUAAAUUUAUGUUGACUAUAUGAUCUUGAAUUUUCCAUGCUAAACUAAAAGUAAAGAAAAAUCCUUAUUUUAUCUUUCAUGCCAAACAAAACUCAUAACUUUUUUCAUCACUUAUUUACCCAAACAAAGAACAAUCAAUUAAUUUAAUUAAUUGUAAGGACUUUUCUCUUUACUUUCUGCUUAACAUGAAAGAUUGGAGAUUAUAUAAUCAAAAGAAACUUAAAAUUUGUAGGCAACUAUUAAAUAUGAGUUGUUUUCAUUAAAGAUAAUUUGGAAACAUAAAAUAAAAUUUUAAAAUUUAGAAGGAAGUUAAAUUAAUGACUUCCAAUAUUAUAGUAACAAAUUGGAUGACGAUAAAAUUUUUAAAAAUUUAUUUAAUUUAUUUUGAUGUUUUGAAUUUUAAAAUUUCAAUAUUAAAAAAAGAAAUUUAGAUUUUUCGGCAAUGGGAUAAACAAGUAUAAUUUGACAAUUUUUGUGUAUUAUUUUAGCUUCUACCACUUUUUUACUUUAAUCCUUGAUUUUUUUUACCUCAACCAAUACUUAAAAAAAUGAUAUUUUUUGAGUGAUCAAAAUGAAAGCCACCUAGAAGUUGGGCGACCAAAAUGAAAGUGUAAAUAUGAUGUGACAUAUAUAGUUAACUGCGUAUUAGAGAUAUGAGUAAAAUGAAAGCGAACUAAAAUUUUGAUGAUAAAUUGCAAGAACUUCAAUGGAUGCAGAUUAGCGAAUAAGUAGUUUACCCAAACUGAAAAUUAGCUCAUUAAACAACUCAUUCUUUAACAUGACUUUUGAAAAAGAUUGAAGACAUCUUUCAAAAUAGAUAAAGAUCAUAUUGAUAAGGAUAAAGACGAAGAAAAUCAUGUGCUAAAAAUAAGUAAGGUCUUUAAAUUAAAGAUUUUAGAUUAUAGAGUUUGGACCCUCACUCACCGUGUCUAUUUUCUUUUUCCCACUUUAUACUCCCUACAAAUAAAGAGGGGUUUAAUAAUGAUAAUAAUAUCCAGUAAUUGUGAUUAGCACAGUGAUGGACAUGGUCCUCUUGUUUGACCCUGCCAACCAUUGCAACCCUAGUAGUGAUACAUGCUCCUCUUCCUUGAUUCCUGGGGCUUAAGCAAAGCAAAAUUAUCAUUUAAGUGGAAAGUGGAAGGAGAUGAUGACACGUCUCUUCCUCCUGAAUUCCCUCUUUCAGUUUCAGCAUACUGCCUAUAUGAAUCUCAUCUUCCUCCUUCCUCAAGAUUCUGCCUCUUAUACAUUCACAUCAAUCAUCUAUCAAAUCCUUGCUUCAAACUCAAAUCCCUAUCUAACACCACACUCAUCUCUUGACACAAUGAUGUAUCAAGUUACGUAUUAUCCAUCAAAUAAGAUUGUUGAUGAGGUUUAAAUUUUAUUAGUUGUUAAUGAGUACUUAAUCAAUUAAAUCUACCCAUCACUUCUAAGCAUCCUUUCAGAUAGGUGGUGUGUUUAAAAUUAAUGGUUGCGAUGGAAUUAGUUAUUAUAACAAUGAGAUUAGAUACUAUAAUUGUGAGAUAAAAAAAAAUAAAAUGCACUCUAUUGAAACGAACAUUUUAUGUUCCAUCAUACGAGCAUAUUAAUUGAGAUUUGAGGGUCCAAUCCAAUCAUUUUCCCAAAUGAAACGAACCUGAAAGAGGAAUUUUCAGCAACAAAUUAGAAAUCAAAGAAAGAAAAGGCUCCUAGGAAUUGUUCUUAAACUUGGUUACGCAAUUAAACUAAGCCAGCAGGCAGAGAGCAUAAGAGAGGAAUGUGAAAGAUAAUGAUUCACAAAAGCCAGAAAGCUGGAAAGAAUCAAAUGAGUGAAAAAAGUUAUAACAAUCUUUAAUCAUCUAAGUCUAGUACAGUAAUGAACAAUGACAUUCAAUGGGGUCGACGAUAAAAGUUGAAAGAUCACUCGGAAGAAUCAAAGUCCAAAAAGCUCAAGGAUUUUGAGAAACAACGUGCCACUGCCAAUGGGUUUCGGAAAAAUAAUUACUUUCUUUAUUUGUUUGAUGGAGGGUAGAGUCCAAAUGCAAAAAGCCUGAUGAUUGAUUGGAUUUGGAUGAAUUUGAGGUGGGCUAAUGCUAGACCCAUUUUCAGAGAUUGUACUCGACCCAUUCAUUCAUCUAACCACUUCAGUUCAAAUUCAAUUCUGAAACUUAUAAACACAAGUGAAGCGAAGAGAUGAGAGAGUCUCCAUAAAAAACAAACAAGCGUAAAUACUGCCGUGAAGCCGCAGAGGUUUGAAGUGAAGUGAAGUGCAUUCUGGCUGGUCGACAAUGGGGAUUUCGAGGUUUGUUUUACUCGUGUUUACGAUCUCAAUGCUGGCAUCCCCGGCACUCUCCGAUCUGGUUCUCUCCAAAGUCGAUCGACGUGUGAGUUUCCAUCUUCUCAUUUCAAUUUUCAUUUCUCUUCCUUUAAUGGAUUUAUUUAUGAUGAUUAUGUGAGUUCGGUUCUCCGAUUUAUUCACUGCCUCUUCCUCUCCAUUUUCCUGUUUCUCAAACUUAAUAUCCUGGGUUGAUCGAAAUGCUUCCAUAGCUGUGUCUCUACCAUCUCUUCAAACCGUACCUUUUAUGCUAACUUCGUUUCGUGUGGUCUUGCAGAUUUAUUUGACAUCCCACAUUGUUCGAAUUUCUUCAACUUUAGAGGUGCUUCACAAUACUUUCUCUUUUCACUCUCAAGUCUCAAAGUUGCUAAUGUUAUCUCUUUUUGAUUCAUUGUUCAAAUCACUAUCUCCUAUUCUUAAACUUUGCUUCUCUUACAAUGUGCUGUUAUAUUGUUUCUAGGUGGAGAAUGCAGGUCCAGAGACUGUGUCUAAGGUUUUGUUGGCUUUUCCUGACCUUCAAGCCCAAAACUUGGCAUAUUUGAUGGCUUCCCCGCAUGAAGCCAAAGCGAAAGUCAAAGUCUCUGUUGUUUCUUUCCCUAUUGAUGUCGUCAAACCAGAAGAUAUGCCUCCUGGUGUAACAUUCUAUUCGGUAUCAUUUCCACAGGGAUUAACCGUGGGCGCUAGCUUCACUUUUGAUGUUUUGGCUGUAUUUACCCAUGCCUUGCGACCCAUGCCCGAGCAAAUCGGUCAGGCUGAUAUUCAGCUUGUACUGUACCAGGAUAGUGCAUACUAUCUGUCUCCUUAUGUUGUCAAGGUCCAGUCUCUAAGUCUUAAGCUGCUUGAUUCUAGAAUUGAAUCCUAUACAACACUGGAGAGCACAAAGGUCCAGGGUUCAGAAAUCAAAUAUGGUCCUUAUGAGAAUCUCCCUGCAUUCUCAUCCUCACCUAUAACAGUUCAUUUCGAAAACAAUCUGCCCUUCGCUAUUGCUCAGGAAUUGGUGAGAGAAAUAGAAAUAUCCCAUUGGGGUAAUGUGCUGGUCACUGAGCAUUACAAGCUCAUCCAUGGUGGUGCGCAAAGCAAGGGUGAAUUUUCCAGGUUACUUUCAUAUGUUUUCCUUCACAGUUUCUGGUCCAGGUUGGAGAUUCGUUUCUGAUGUAUUACCUUGACAUUACAGGCUUGAACCCCAAGCCAGAGAAAAUGUUCAAGGUCCUUCAGCCGUUAGGUAUCUUGUUGCACAUUUGCCUCCUAGGGCUCAUUCUGUUUACUACAGGGAUGCAAUUGGCAAUAUAUCUACGUCCCAUCUGCGGGGUGACUCCAAAAAGGUUAUAUUGCAGAUUAGGCUUUAAAUAGUAUCUAUGACCUGAUAUUUCAUUUUUACUGAAGUGCUACUCGUCUUUACAGACAGAAUUAUUGAUCGAACCAAGGUAUCCCAUGUUUGGUGGCUGGAGAACAGCUUUCACCAUUGGAUAUGGCUUGCCACUUCAGGACUGUUUGUAUGAAUCAGAGGGGAGGCGCUUUCUUAACAUGACAUUUAGUAGCCCAAUGAUUGAGUUGGUUAUUGAUACUCUCAUUGUGAAGGUUGGUAGCAUGUCUUUCCUUAGGCCUCAGAAUUAUGGUGCAAAGAAAUGAUGGGAAAUGUCCUUCCCAACCUUGGCUAAAACUUUGACUUAAAAAGUGUAUUUAAGUACGUAUUACAACUAUUAUUCAACUAGGAUAUUAUAAUGCUUUGUCCUUCAAGUACUCAAAUUGGCACCUAUGCUUCAUUAGAAUUAAGAUAUUUGCAUGUGUAAUAUAGGAAUUGCAGUCUGGUGAAUAAAAAGAAAGUUGCUUUCUUAGCAGCCUUACUUUUACCUGGUACUUUGACUUUUAUAGGUUGUGUUGCCUGAAGGUUCCAGUGACAUAUCUGCAGCAGCUCCAUUUUUCAUGAAGCAGUGGCAAGAGGUAUUAGAAAGCUUAAGAUUUGUGUUUGUAUUUGACCAUCUUUUUUUUAACCUAGGGCUCAUGUGUUUGAGUUGAAUUUCGAAUCUGAAGUUUGUUGUCUUUUAUGUAUAAUGUGCUUAUGGUUGUAUGCAGACCAAAAUCUCCCACUUGGAUAUUGUUGGUAGAGCAGUAGUUGUGUUGGAAAAGACCAAUCUUGUGCCAGAGCACAAUCAAUAUUUUCAGGUACUCUUUUGUUCUCCAUGUUCAAUUGAAAAGGCAUGCACACUGGUUCUAGCAUAUUAGUUUGAAGCCUCUACUCUGGUGCCUCCAUAUAUAGAAUUUUGUAUAGUAGGAUAUAUCAUAACCCUAUAUUUUACAGGGUUAUGUACUUUAAUGGUUUACUGUUUGUUCUUGUGUUUGUUUACCUUACAGGUCUAUUACAAAUUCAACAGAUUAUCGAUGCUUAGAGAGCCACUGAUGUUAAUUUCAGGAAUUUUCUUCUUUUUUGUUGCUUGCAUUGUUUACAUGCAUGCUGAUACAUCAAUCUCCAAGUUUUCUGCUUCUUAUUUAGCUAAACAGCAGUGGGAAGAGGUGAGUAGGAUAUCACUAUGCCAUUUACUUGGUUCACCCAAAUCAGCAUCUACAAAUGCAUUGGUUAUGGACUUUGCUUUCUGCAAUUUCAGGUUCGGGUUGCGAUUCAGCAGGUUCAUAAUAUCAUAUGCCGGUGCUUGGCAACACACGAUAAGCUGGAAGCAUCUCUACGCGACCUUUCUAGGACAGGAGAGGUGCAAGCUUGUAAAGCUGCUCGAAAAUCUACUGAUGGUUUGUUAAAAGAGCUGUCAAAAGAGUUGAAACCGUUGAUGACCUUCUUGCAAUCUUCCCCAUCAGCUGUUCAAGUAUUAUCCAAGGUUCACUUUUCUUUUACUUGUUUCUGUUUAGUUUGAUAUCCGUCUUUUUGCAUUUUUAGUCCUACUCUGAAGAAGUUUGUUAAUUAAGCCUUCAUAGGUGACAAUGUUUUCAUUGCAACUCUGUUUGCUGUGGAUGUCAAAUUCUGAUUUGCAUUUUAGGCAGUGUUGUUUAAGUGAUUACUUUGGUGCUGUCUCUAUAGGUGGAGGAGCUGGUGGCUAAGGAGAGAGAAUUGCUAGAAAAGUUGAUGGCAAAGCACUCAACAGCAGUGGAGGCCUAUGAGAAGAAGUCAGGGGCCCGGGAUAUUGAGAAUCGGAUUGCUUUGCAGCAACAGAAAAUUACAGCAUUGAGGCAGGAAGUUGAUGAUCUUCUCGAGUUCAUUGAUGAAAUAUGAAGUAGGAAUAAUAUUUUGGUCCAAACUGCAGAAUUUUACCUCCAAUCUGCAUCACUUUGUUUCACUGUUUCAGUGCUUUCUUUUGAUUCUUUGUUGAAUAUUGUUUCUUCCUUAAUCUAUAUAUGCAAGCGUCUGCCCAAAUUAUUUUCAAGAAGAAAAAGGGUAGACAUUUAAGUGAACUUCACCUACCUACACCCAUCAGCCAUGGCCUAAUGGUCCUUACAGUAGCAGAGUAAAUUUGGUAAGCACGUUAUUAUUAUACCAUAAAAAGCGAUAUGGUACCCAAAAAAAUGAAUUCAAGAUGUAUACAUGAACUUGAAAAAAUUUACACAAAAUAAUUAUUAGUACAUUAAAACAAUCAUGACACACCCAUACACAUGGUUUAAUUAGCUAUAACUUAUGAAUAAGGGCAACUCGAAUGUAAAUUGUAUAGUCCAAUAUAUUAAUCAAUGGAAAGUAGGAAUGCAGCAGGGUGGGCCUUAAUUCUCCGGGGGUGGCAUCACUUGCAAAAGCUCAAUAUUUAGCUCGAAUUCGGCUCCUGGCUGCAGACAGAAAUUUAAAAAAAAAAUGAAUGAUUUAUUUUUUGGCCACAAUAUGAAUGAUAUCCUACAAUCAAAUCUACCAUCAAAGUCUUGUACUAGGAGUUAGAUUGCUGUCCCCUUCACUCAAACAUUGAGUAAAUUAAUUUUUAUAUGUUAAAUUAAAGAACAAGCUGGUUCUUUAUAUUAAAAUUUUUAUAUAUUUCUACCAUUAAAAAUUAGCUUAACUGACAAAAUAAUUAAAUAGUCACACCUAACAUACUGCAUGUAACUCAUGCUGACAUGUAAGGAUCGGGUUUUAAUAGUAAAACUAGAUGACAUUUUAACAGAACGACUAAUUUACUUUUUAAUUAACAUACAGAGACUAAUUUGCUCAUUCUUCGAGUUGAAGUCACAAAAUGCAAUGAUUUUAGGUCAAAUCUGCCUGUGUAUUUUAACUUGUGUAUUAACUAUUCUUCUUUUACAAAGCUAUCCAAUUAGCAGACACAGUAAGCUUGUGCUUGAUGAAUGGGGGAAUAACUAUUAGGUAGCCUCACCAAUAACAAAGCUUUGCAUAAGAUAAUUGGGACAUUACCGGGAUCUCAUUCAUUCCUUUCUGCCCAUAGCCUGCCUCUGGAUGAACAAUGACAGUCCUCUGAAAAUUAAACUAAAACCAUGAGGUGAUGAUGACAAAAAAAGAAGGGAAAAAGGUCCCAAACUACUAAGGUGACUGAAAACAGAGGAUUCUUUAACCAAACCUUGCCCCCAACUUUCAUUCCUUCUGUGAUAUAAUACAUAGCUGGUGGGGGCUUUGGUGCGGCUUGUGCUGAAAACAGACCAUUUGGAUUAUCUACAUAUUCCCGUUUCCUUUCCUUCCCUGGAGUAGCUCCAACCUUGAAUUCAUAUGGCUGAGUAAAAGAUAACACCAGUGUUAGACUUUGAAGAUGAUGUUUGUCUUUUUUUUUUUAAUUGAAGAAAACUAGUGUGGUAUAACCUGGGCAAUGAUGCGAUUCCCAGCUAAAAGCUUAGACUCCCGACUUGAAACAGCAGUUAUACCACGAUAUAUGCAGUCAAAGUGCACCUGAAAUAGCAAACAAAAGAAAAGGCAAGGAAGAGUGAUGAAUAUGAAUCCAUGAAUUACAAAUUAAGACACCUGUACAGUUGAUCCUUUCUCUGCUACUGGACCCUUCCCUUUCAAAAUAUCAUAGUACUUCAAUCCCUCGGCUGUUGAGUUCAACAAAAAAAAAUGGGAAUUAAUUGUAGAAAGAAACAAUGCAGAAAAGACAAUGAUAAAAGCAACUAACGGGUGGUGAGAUAGUCUUCAAUGGGGAUGGUCUUCUUGUUGCGUCUCUCCCUGGCUCCCGCCUCAGAGAAAUGGGGCAGUGGAAUGAGAGUGAGAGUAGGCACUGAAGAGAGCAAUAUGGCACUCCUUCUGGAAAUGGGCACUGAUACAACGAGCUGGUUUGUGUUUAGGGUUUGAUUGGCAGUGCAUUUGGGGCAGAAGAUUAGUUUAUGAAAAUCAAGGAUCCAUCUCUGUAGAAUAGUGGCUGAAGCUGAACCCAUCUUUUCUCUUCUGUUAAAAGCUUAAGGUCGUUACACCUUUAGACACCAAACCCCAUCCAUUUUCCUCCUCCAAUUACCUUUAUACCCUUCACCCAACUCUUUCCCUACAGUUUUUUUUCUCUUUUAAAACUAUGAAUUAGUUAUUUAGUAUACAUUAGUAAAUUGCUUUCGAAAAAUGAUUUAUAAAAAGUUAGUUUUUUUCGGAAAGUUAAUAUUUUUUUUGUAGUUGAAUAAAUCUGUAUAAAAUGUUUUCCUUUAUUUGACAAAUGCCAUAAAUUUUUUUCAUAAAAACUGUUUUAAAAUGAAAUAAACAUACAAAUGAGAAUUUAUUGUCUUUUCAUUGUUUAAUUAAAUUUAUUUUAUAUCUAUUAAAUUUAUAUUUUACAUUAUUUUUACAUAUAUUGAAAUGAUUUAUUUAUAAAUAAAUAUAAAUAUAUAAUAGUACUCAAUUAUUAAACUAGAAUAUUAACAAUCAUAAAUUGAAAACAACUAAAGUCGAGUAGAUACUCUUGAUUGUGUUAUAAAAAAAGAAGAAGAAAAGAUUAAAUAAUAAUAAAUUAGCUUCCAAAUCAUAAUUAGUACUACAAAUUAAUACUAAAACAUACAUAAUAUAGAAAUGUUAACCCUAAUCCCUAAACCUACCUAAUAUUUCUAGCCAUAUAAUCAGUCCACUUAUAUUGUGCAAUCUCAUCUCUCUUAAUAGACCAUUCUCUUGCUUUUUCUCUUUCUUCUCGCUCCAUAAGAGUUGGUAUUAUCAAAUCAGACUCAGACUCCUCAUAUAAUACUUGACUAAUUAAAUCAUUAGAAUCAACUCCCAUUAUAUGAUUAUGCAUGAUACAACAAGCCAACACUAUAUCUACUUGGGUUUGGAAAUUUCAAAAUGGUUCAGCAUCUAACACAUGAAACUGUUUCUUCAAAAUCUCAAAAACACGCUCAACAGUGAUUUGCAAUGAUGAAUGACGAAGAUGAAAAAGUUCAUUUGCAUUUUCUGGCCUCUGAUCACAAAAAUCUUUUAAAUGAUAUUGGACACCACGAUAUGGAGUAAUAUAUCUAUUUUGGAUGCCAUAUCUAGCAUCAACAAGAUAAGAUUUACCUACGAUUUUACAAAACAUAAUUAUUACUGAUAAAUUAUGAGCUUAAUUGAACUAUUUUGUAUAAUUAAUGUUAAUUCUUACAUUCCGGAAUUCUAAAUCCUCUUAGGCGUGCAAGUGGAUUACUAAAAAUACGAAAAUCAUGUGCAUUACCUUUCCAACCAACUAGAACGUAAGAAAAUUUUAAAUCAAUUGUAAUGACAGCCAAUACAUUUUGUGUUGUCCCUCUUUUACGGCUACUAAGUAUAAAAACAAGUUAUUUCUUAUUCUAGGGCAUAACAUGGAAUUUUGUAGAGAUAAGAAAAAUAAUAAUAAGAGCAGAAGCAGUAAAAACAAAAAAGAAAAGAAAAGAAAAGUAUUAUGUAGAUAAAUAAAUAAACAAAAAUUUGUGGAUAGAUUCAUUACGUUAAAAUUUCAAGUACAAAGUCCACUUGUUUGAAUCCUAUUAUGAUUGGCAAAAUACAUGUCAAAAGCUUAUACAUGCAAUGGGUAUAUCAAUAGCUGGAAGAGAAUGAUGAUUUUGUAGGGUGACAAUAAGUACCAUAACAAAUUUUAAGUUAGUCAAAAAAACCUCUCAACAUAGAGGUGUCACAAGGUAAGUGUUUUCCUUUAAUAUUUUAAUCAUGUCUGUCGUACAUGUUUUUCCCCAGAAUUAGUUUGUCUUUAAUCAAUAUUUACAUUUUAACUAAAAAAGCUUUUUUUUUCAAAAAUGGAAGUUUUAAACUGAAAAAAAAAAGCUUCAUUUUUAUUUGUUCUUGGUUUGUUGUGUUUACCACUCAAACAUAGAUGGCCAAGAAGAUAUGAAGCCCAUCUAUGGGACAACAGUUGCAAAAAGGACGAACAGAGCAAGAAAGAAUGACAAGGUUUUUAGAAAUUUUAGAAUUACUUUUUACACCGUUUUAAAUUGAAACGCCUCUACAAAGAGGAAAUGAUUACAUAUAAAAUGGGAUCCAAAAGAAGGGGGAAGAAUUGUUGUAAUAACUAAACCCAAGAAUUCUUCACCUCAUCAUCUUUGUUUUCUAUUGUUAAUAUAAAUCACUUCAACUCAAACAAACUACCAAAAACACCCCAUAAGAAAAAAUCAUCAGAAACAUUAGAAUUUAGAAAGCUUGUUUAUUUUCAUCAAUGAUGCAUUUUAUCAAACACUUUCUAAGUUGAACCCAAUCUUUACAGAACACAAAAGAAUCCCAAAUAAUAAUAAGACCUCCAAAAUUGCCAUUUGAAGAUUGACCAAUAAAUUAUUGAUUAUCAUAGGGCCAUAAACAAUUUAUUAACCGAUCAACGCAAUUUCAAUCUUGGACUCCUCAAUAAUGAAAAAUUGUACUUGCAAAUCAAUCCAGUUGCUUAACCUUUCUUUUCUUUAUACUCGAUACUACAUAAUGACCUAAAUUUCACGGGCAUCGGAAAAGUAUGAUAUCAGGCCUCCGUCUUAGUAAAUUGAGUUCGAAAAUAAUUAUUAGAAAUAUUUACGAGACUAGUUGUGUGUUUAAUUAGGUUUUAGAUAGGUGAAUUUAGCUUAAUUAAGAGUAAUUAGGAAAAAGGGAUUAAAUUGAAUAAAGGGUAAAAGUCUAAUUAGAGAUCAAAAGAAAAUAAGAGGGACUAAAUAGGUAAAUAAGCCAAUGGCUUAAGAGUAGGCGGCAAUACAUGGAAAAAUCUUAGAUUUUUCUUGAUUAAUAUUAUAAAAAUAUUAUUUAAUUAAAACAUUAUAAAUUAUAUUAAUUAAAGUUAAGAUAUUAUAUUAUUGGAAAUAAAUAAGAUAAAGACAAUGUAUGGUAAUAAAAUUUGUACAUGUGUAAUAUAUAUAUUUGUACACUUGUAAUAUAAUUGUAUAUUUUCUUGAAUUUUAAGUAAAAAGAUAUUUAUUAUUUAUUAUAAGUAUUAAGUUAAGAGAUAUUUAUUAAUUAAAUAAUUAAAUUAUAAUAUUUUUGUGUGAUAAAUAAAAUAAAUGAUGAUAAAUGCAUGGUAUAGAUUAUAUUGUACAUUUAUAAACAAAAUAUAUAUAUGUGUACAUUUGUAAUAUUAUUAUUUGUUGUUAAAUAGAUUUUUAUUAAAUAAAUAAAAUAAUUGACAAAUAAAUGGUAUAAAAUUUAUACAAGUGUAAUAAAAUAAAUAUGUACAAAUGUAAUUAAACAAUUGGUUUACUUAAUAUUUAAGCAUAAGAUAUAUUAUAUUAAUAUUAUAUUAAUUAUUUAGUAAUUAAAAACAAUAAAGCAAAUAAAAUAAAGUAAAAGAAAGAAACAGAGAAGAAAAAAAGAACAGAAGCUCUUUCGAAAACAGGGAAAGAAAGAAGAAAAAGAAAGAAAAAGGGAAAAUAAGGUUUUAAAGCUUUAAAGGUAAGUCAAUUAAGUCCUUUUCUUUUAAUUUUGAUGUUUUAGAAGUCUUAGAACAAAGUUUUGUUGAAAUUAAGCUAAAAUUUUGUAAGUUCUUAGAUUUUUUAACAUGAUUCAUGUUGAACAAAUUGUUAAAUUAGGGGUUUGGUUGAUAGAAUUUCUAGUUAGAAUUGAUAAAAGGAUUAAAUUGUAAACUAGGUUAUAAGUUUUACAUAUUUGGGAUUAAGUUGUAAGAAGUUUUAAAUUAGGGUUUUAUUAUGAAUAUUGAAUAGUUGAGUUAAAUAUGACAAAGAAUUAAGUAGAAAAGAAGUAUGAAUUAAGUUAGAAAAGUAAGUAAACUUAGUAGAAUUAAAUUGGGAAUAAGUAGGAAUUGAAUAAAAUUUAAUUGUUAUUAUUAUUAUUUUUAUAAUUUAAUGUUGUAAUUAAUAGUGAAAAUAAUUAUUAUUUUCAUAGCUAACAAAGAAUUCGAGGCAUCGACAUCGAAAGAAAAGAAGAAAGCUAUCGAUGACUAAAACGGGAGAUUUACGGUUUGUAUUACUAUAAUUCAAGUUAUUUAUUAUUAAAUGUUAAAUUUUAAUUUAUGUGUUUGGUAAAUGAAAUGUGAGGUAAGUGUUAUUAUUAUUAUUAUUAUUAUUAAGAUGAGUGGGAAUUAAAUUGAAUAGUUGAUAUGAAUUAAUAUUUGAAUUGUUUGUUGAUUGAAAGCGGGAAGUGAAUUUGAAUCGAAUUGUGACUGAUAUUAAAUUGAAUGGAAAUGUAUUGAGUUGUGAAAAUGUGUGAAUUUAUGAAUUAAUUAUUUAUUGAAAGGUGGAAAAUGAUUGAAUUGAAAAUAUGAGAAAUUGUGAUUGAGUUGAGGUUAUAUGUGAUUUAAAACCCUAUUAACUAGUCAGGCUGAGUCGGAUAUAGUUGGCAUGCCAUAGGAUUGGAAGAGUUCAGGGAUACUUCGACCUCGAGUCGAUGAGACACUGGGUGUCACUAUAUUUCUUCGGAUAGAUUCGAUGAGUUACUGGGUACCAACUUUCUUCGGCUUGGCCGAUGAGACAUUGGGUGUCAACUAUUGCUUCGAAUUAUCCGAUGAGGCACUGGGUGCUAUACUGGAGUGUUUGGUUGGAUCCGUGUAUCCGCCAAAGUCCGAGUUUUGUUAAUAGGGUAAAUAAUGAAAUGAUAAACUGAAUGAGUUGAUCAAUCGAGCUAUUGAAAUGAAAUGAAAAGUUGAAUUGUGAAUUGAAAUGUGAUAUGAGAUUGAGAAAUGAAUCUAAGGUUCAUGAUGUGUUCAAAGCCCAAAUUGUGGAUAUAUGAUAUUAAUUGAUAAAUUGUUAUUGUUGUAUUAUGAAAUUUGAGUUUAAACUUGUAUGUAUGAUUUGUGCAUGAUAUGUUUGAUGAUUAUGUUUUAUUGUUAUUAUUAUUAUUUGAAUUAUGGUAAUACCACUGAGUAUGAAAUACUCAGUGUACGGUUGUUUCCGUGCGCAGGUCGAUAAAAAUCAAAGGUUCCGGUUCAGCAUCCAGAUCAAUCUCGACUCCAGCAUAAAGAUUUUGGUGAUGUUUUCUUCCUUAAGUGAAAGUGGCAUGUACAUAAGGAUUAUAAUGGUUAUUUUGGUAUGUUUAUAUAAUUUUGUUGUAAAGUAAGAUUUAAGUAUAUUUAAGUAAAUAAAUGCCUUGGUUGAAAUACUGGAAUUGGGUUGAUUGUGUUUUGAAAUUUGCAGGGGUUUUAUGUAAAAAUAAGCUGAAAUACUGUCGAAAUUUUUAAAAAAAAUGAAUGAAGCCAAUUAGCAUAAAUUUAUAUGAAUUUAUAAUCAUUUUAUAAUAUGUUUGUUAUUUAUUUAAGAAUUAUUUGUAAAUUGUCUGAGAUAUCUAGUAAUGCCUCGUAAUCCUAUUCCGGCCACAAUUUGGGGUUAAGGGGUGUUACAUACUAAGCUCCUUAGGUUCUAAGAUAAAAUACACAAAACUUUAGUAUACCUGUAGAGUCAAACUUGGAAUAAAGAUAAUAGAAGCAAAUAUCAAUAAACUGCAUAAGAAACCAAUAAAGUGAAUCAAAGCAACCAAGCCGACCUAAACGCCACCAAAAGCAUUAAGAAUAGAAAGAAGGGAGUUGUACAAGAUAUAUUGGCAAGUAUUUACUUUAAUUGAUUUACGCAAAUCAGUUUAGCCCAAAGUAAAAAAAAAUUAUAAUAAAAAUAAUAAAUUCACUUAAAAAUAAACAGACCUAUUUCGAAUGAAGCAACUAGCUUCCAUUUCUCUAAAAAAAAUAAGUUGAAUGCAAAACCUUGAUAUGAAAAAGACAAUGAUGUACCUUGAUAAGACUAGAAAGAUCGUUUUUGUUUUUGUUUUUAUUUUUAUUUUUGAGGGUUUCUUCAAAAUGCAAACAAGAAAGGAAGACUUGGUAAGAAUGACGGUCAACCGACAGAGAUGAUAAGGCAGAGAUGAGGAUGUGAGGCCAACGGGUAGAGAUGAGGAGGAGAGGUGGAGGCCGAUGGAUAGAGAUGACAAGGAAGGGAGAAUGACUGUUAUUCAAGUCAGUGAUGAGAGUGAAGAGGAGAAGGGAAAAUGUCUUACGGGAUGAAAAUCAAUAAAAAAUUUUCCUUAAGAAUGCAUUGGUUUUACCCCUGUUUUGGAGAAUGUUUUUCUUUGAGAAUUCAUUUUCCACCAAAUAAACACCGUAAAACAAUGAAAAUAUUUUACUGGCAAACAAACGAACCCUUAAACUCAUGGAUUUUGAAACGAGAUUGGUGAUCAAAUUAGUCAGGUCACCAAUUUUUGAUUCGAUGGUCAGUCUAAUUUUAAUUAAAUAAAUUAUUAAAAAUUAUAAAAUUUGAAUUAACUAUCAACUAAAUCAAUUUUUAUCUUGAUUCAACUGGUUCGUAGGUUAACUAGUUCUUUCCCUUUCUCUAUACUAAUGUAAGAUAAUAAUAAUAAUAAUAAUCCUUUAACAAUAAUUGAUAGACAAAAGUUAAUGACGAUUUGAAAAGAAAAGAUAUAGAAUGUAAUGUGGGUGACAAAAUAUUUGUAAGAGUGUUGUCUUGAAAAAAGAUUCUUUGAUUUGAUAAGAAAGGUAAACUAAAUUUGAUACUCAUUAGACCUUAUGAGCUACUUGAACAUAUUGGUCAAGUGGUUUAUCGAUUAGCUUUACUACUUGAGCUGGAUAUGAUUCAUAAUGUUUUUCAUGUCUCUAUGUUAAGAAGAUAUAGAUCAAACUCAUCUCAUGUUAUAACUUUUGAAGAAGUUGAGAUUUAUCUUGAUUUAACUUAUGAAGAGGAAUUUGUGAAAAUACUUACUCAAGAGAUCAAGGAGCUUAAAAAUAAAAUAAUUCCUUUGGUAAAGAUAUUGUGGAGAUAUCAUGAUAUGGAAGAGACAAUGUGGGAAAAUGAAGAUACGAUACUUCUUAAGGGAAGGGAAAGAAAUGUAAUGCCUUCAAAACUCUGGUACUAUUAUAAAAGAUUAUAGGAUAUAUAAACAUAAAUCCAUAAAUAAACUUGUAAAUAAUGAGCAUUAUUUUUAAAUAUCUCACAAUAUAUAUUUUUUUCUUUCAUUAAGAAUAUUAAAAUCUUCGUAUCUUUCAAGCUGAUAUAGAAAAUCACAUAUUUUAGAUUGUUGCUGGAACAAGAAUUUUGCAUGCCUAAACUACUUAACCUCCAACCAAAUAUUGAAUACUAUCAAAUAAGCUAUAACUGUAUUAUGAAACUAAAAAUAAUUAUAAUAAAAUAGGUGACAAAAGAAAGAUAAAAUAUGAGGGAAUAAUUCUUCUUCUUUUAACCUUGGAUGCGUGCUCUAUUUAUAAAGCUUAAAUCACUACCCGUUACAAAUACAUACAUAAAAAAAAUAGAACACCCUGUACAUUUUUUAGAAGGUACAGGAAAAUAAAUUUUGAGGUGUGCAUGGGUCGGGUCGGAUUUAGGUCGGGUUCAACUAAAAAUUUAGGCUCGUUUGUUAGGCCCGGCCUGAAAAAUGGGCUUAAAAUUUUGUUCAAGCCUGACCCAGAUAAAAAUGUUAAAAUUCGGGCCCGACCCGGCCCGCCCAUAUUAGUUUUUAUAUUAUUUUUAUAUAAUUUUAAUACAACAAAAAUACUAAAAACAUCAAAACAAAUGUUUCUCAACAAAUUGAAAAUAAAUUUUAAAAAAUAUAUAUACUUAAAUAAUACUAAAAUAGAUGUAACUUAACAAGCAAAUGCCUCUAAAAUAAUAACAAAAUUAACAAUAAAAUAAGUUUUAUACAAUAUCCAAACAAUAACAACAAAAUAGUAGUAACAUAAUAGUAAAAUGGUAGCAAAAUAAGGAGAAAACAAUAAGAAAAUAAUAUUAAAAAGCAAAAAAAAAACAGAUUUUUUUUUGUCAUUUAGUGAAUUCGGUUUGGGCCAAAAAUGCCUUACCCGAGGUCCGGCCCUUUUUUAAACUGGCCUUAUUUUUUUUCUAAGCCUAUUUUUCGGGUCUAUAUUUUUGCCUAAACUCUUCCACAUUUCGAGCAGGCCUUCAGACUGGGCCGGGUGGCCUGACCCAUAGUCAGGUCUAUUACAAACAUAAGCAAAUUUAGGGGUACACAGGGGCACACCCCGGCCCCGCCCAAACUGUGGAAAAAAAUUUUCAGCCCCAUUAUAUUUUAAUAUUAUUAAAAAAGGAAAAAUUUUGUGUUUAGCCCUCGAAGUUUUUAAAGUUUUUUAUAAUUUGAUUUCUUUUAUAGAAUUUAUAAUUUUAGUAACUAAUAUAAUAUAAAGUAGCAUCUAAAUAUUAAUCUAGUAAAAACAAAGUUCAAUAAUUGUAAUACUAAGUAUGAAUAGUAUCUAAAUAUUAAUUAAGAAACUUAAAUAAUUAUAAUACUUAAUACAAAUUGAGUAUUAAACUUUUUUUUUUUAAUUUUGGGGAUUAAGAUUAUUCCAAAUUUAAAAAUAUAUAGUUGAAGGUAGACUUAAACCAUUCAACAUGUAUAUUUUAUAUAAAUAUAUUUUUUCCCCUUUCAAUAAAUUUCACUUCACCCUAAUUACGAUGUUAUAAAAGAAAAGUUUACCGCAAUACUUGGAUUAAAAAAAUAUGAUUGUUUUUUCAUAAAAGAGUGCAUGAGAGCUUCAAGGCAAAUUCAAAUUUUGUUUAAUUGUUUAUUGUACUUAUCCCAAUAAAAAAAAUUUGAUUUAUUUUUCAUAAAUUAUAACUGUACAUGCCAUAUUUUGCUCGGGUUUUAAAAAACCCACAUUACAGAUAGGCCUAUAUGGCCCAAAUAAUAAAACAAACAAGGGCCCAAAGUUACGGUGGCCCAAACUACAGGCAGAAACCCUAGUGUUUCAACAGCGCCGCAAGCCUCCGAAUCUUCCCCGAUCUUCACCUGUAAAGAAACAAAACAACAAAGGAAAAAAAUCAAAGAUUUGUAAUCAAACAAUAUUUGUUUCUUGAUUUAUUUUAUUCAUUCGGCUAUAAAAAAGCCAUAAACACACUGUAACGAGGGUCUCGAUUCAAAAAUCAAUAAAAAAAAGCACAAUUUUUACAACACAAACAGAAACAAACGAAAUCUAAGGUUGUUUUCUAUUCUAUUUUAUCAUUUAUUUAUUUUCUUUAUAUAUACUAUUAUAAAUCAAAAUAGAGGAGAGAAACAACCUUUUCUCUUUGGAAACGCCGUACGACGGCCGAGGGAGCCACCCCCGAGGAUCGGUGGCCAGAAACCGAAAGGUUUCGUGUUGUUUGAAAUUUCCUUGCUGGCGUUUUGAAGGAUUUAAGCCCGGAUUUGGGCAUAAGGGUGUCGAGAAGGCCAAAAGGGAAAUUUUCCUUUUUUCCGGCCACCGCAGAUGGUGGUGCCGGCGCCGAAUAUUGGCGGUCGGCGCGAUGGCCGAUGACCGACCAAUGGCCGGAAAAUCAAGAGGCAGAGAGUGUUUUUUGAGGGUUUGGUUUUUUUUUUUUUAAAUGUGUUUUGAAAUGAAAUUUUGUUUUAAUUUUGGUUUAAAUAGCCAACUGAAAACGGCGCCGUUUUGAGGUGAGGAUCCGCGCGUCGACCCGACCCGGACCCAGGAUCUGCGCGUUUUUAUGCGGAGGGGCAAAUUGCGCUUUUGGCCCCUCCGCCUUUUAAUAUAUUUACAAUUAAUUUUAUUUUCUUUUUUUAAAACUUCGCCUUUAAUUUGUUUUUAAUUUCAAUUUAAUCCGCCCUGAACGGCGCCGUUUUAGAGGAGAAGGGAAAAUUUUCCUUCCAGCCCCUCUAUGUAAUUCGCGUGUUCAAAUUAGCCCUUUGAGUUUCAUUUAUUUGCGGAUUUACCCAAAAUUUUUCAAUUGUUGUUCAAUUUAGUCUUUUAUUAUUAUUUUCCUAAUAAACUUUAACGAUUGUUAUUGUUUUUUUAUUUCUUUUGCAAUUAUUCUUUUUAAAUAUAUAUAUUUUUAUUUUAUAUGCCCAUUUUUUUACUAAUGUUUUUCAUAUUUAUGUGUGUAUAUAUUUUUUAAUUUUCGAUAAUAUUGACAUUAUUUAAUAAUUUUCUUAAUACAUCUUAUGUUUGCAUAAAUACAUUAUAAAUUUCACAAAUCAAAGUUUUACAUGAAAACUCAUAUGUAUGCCUUUAAUUCUCCAUAAUUUCAUUUAUUUUAUUUUUCUCAUUUAUUUGAUAUUUUAUAUGUCAUUCGUUAUUUUUGCUUUUAUAUUAAUUCAGCUUGUUUAAACUUCAUGUUAUUACAUCAUUGUUUAUUAUUGUUGUAUUUAUUAUUAUAGCAUUUGUAUGUAUAAUAUGACAUCAUAUCAUUUUUUUACUCGAUUUCAAUGUUUUUAAAAAAAAUUGAGAUAAUGCUUGUAUUUAGAAUUUUUCAAGGAAAUUGCGCCCUAACGUAUUGGGUUCCGAUUUUCUUCGUUAAAUCUAACAAUCGAGUAUUUCUCUUUAAUCAAAAAAAUAAUAAGAACUCAUUAUUGGGAAUUCAACACGUCGUGUCCUAACGUAUUGGGUGUGACGCAUUGAUUUCUCGAAAUGAAUAUUUUUUCUAAAAAAUAACAAAGGAAAUAUUCCGAGUUUGGGAUUUUAGAGGAAUUGUGCCCUAACGUAUUGGGCCGCGAUUUCUUAAAUCUUGAAUAAAUGGAUAUUCUUUUAAAUUUUUAUUACACGAGUAUUCUGGCUUAAUUCAUUUUGGGGAAAAUUAGAAUGUCGUGCCCUAAUACAUUGGGUGUGGUAUUUUCUUUCUCUGAAAUGAUAAAGGUCCUAAUACGUAACGUUUUUUAGUUUUUCUAAGGAUUACAUUUUUCAAAUUUUCGACAUUAAGACGUUAAUUAGUUAACUAGGUACCAAUUUUUGGGCGUAAUGAGGGUGCUAAUCAUUCCUCAUACGUAACCGACUCCUAAAUCCAUUUUUCUGAAAUUCGUAGACCAAAGCCGUCUUUUUAGGUGAUCCAAUCACACCUCAAUAAAAGAUUGGUGGUGACUCCCAAUUUUCAUUUUUUAAAGUCGACAACCUAAAAAUUUUGUUUUUCAAAAGAUGGUUUCGACAAUAACUAUUGGUGAGUAAUCCUAGCACAGAAAUUAAUUAAGCAAUUUAAUAUUGUUUGGAUUACAAUGGAACUAGUGAAUUAACUUAAGGCUUGUCAAAGGAAAAAUCAAUAUUAUGUUGAUGAUGAUGAUGAUCAUCAUCAUCAAGUUGUGUUAAAUGUUGAGGAGGAGAAAGUGCGGCAGCUUCAAUAUCAGAGAGAUCAGUGUCGGAGGGGUAAGAGAAGUUGGAAUGGGUGGGGGAAUUAAGAACCCCAUCGGUUUGAUCACUGGCGGUGGACCUAUGUUUGUGAUUGUGCAGAAAGUGUAAAGGCGAUGUCCCUCGGCUCGGUGUGGUGUUACCGCUCAUUGACACCGACAUUGGGCUACUCAUCCCUCCUCCUCCCUUUUCCUUCUGCUUGUUUCUCUUCUUGGCAGCCUUCCGCCAAUUCUUCAGAGCUUUGGCUGUUUGCUCUUCGAAUAUUGCAGUUUUCAUGUGCGAUCCCAUCUGCAUUCAUUCCAACAUAUAACUCAACAACAAAUCCAUCAUCAUAAUGAUAAAUGUUAAUGCGUUUUGGUUCAACCCAAAGUUUUAUGGGUUCACAAGUCAGAAGAAUACGUCAACAAGUUUGGUAAUUCUUGACCAGGGUUUUAUCUCUUUACUCUGCCAGGAGUCUUACAAGUUUAUAGAACGAAAGUGACUCGUAGUGUCUUGGCAAGGUUAAAGUACUCAAGACCUCUAGCAUAUAGAGAAUCUCGAAGGAGGGUAUCACUUGAGUUAAGCACUCUGAACUUGUAAAGCUUUUGACAGAACAGGAAAACAAAAUCCUUAUUGAUGUACUUCUCAACCUGCAAACUCAUGGGAGUUUCAGCAAAACCAAAUCACAUGGACAAAUAAUGAUAAUCACUUGUUCUACUACUCACUUGCGUCACCAAGGAAUAGAGCGGGAAGGUAAUGUAGCUGCAUAGAAUUUGAAGGAACAGCCCAACAACCACCCUUCCCACUACAAAGUACGGUUUCUCGUGGAUACAAGAACCUAGGCUGUACUUAAACUGCACCAUAAAACAUAUGAAUCACUGUAUAUGGAAUUUCAGAAUAAAUAGAGUCAAACAUUGAAUAGAGGAAGACACUACUUACCACUACCCAAAGGAAAUAUGCCAUCUGGAAUGCAUUCUGCAUAAAUAUCAAUCAAACUUAAUUAAUAAACCAAUAGAUGUCAAGCUGGUAAUUAAUUAAGGAAAACAUGAUUAAUUUACCUGAAAUAAUGUAUAAUGUAUCAAGAAGAGAAUCCACCGGGGUCGAUUAAACCAGAAAAACUUGUUAUUUGGCUCCACCACUGGUGCCCCUCUUACCACUGCACUCCUUUCCUGGAUUUCUUCCGCCAUUUCCAUUAUGAUCAGUUCAAGCUUUGUUCCAACCAAUACAAGUAUCUACACAAUUCACCAAAUCUUUCUACUUUUAUUUCUCAAUCCAUAACAUAUAAAGUUUAAUUAAGGAUGUGGGUGGCUUACAGUCAGUGGGACUAAAGACAACCAGGUGAGAGUUUGCCAUUCUGCAUGCACCACGUAUAUUAUAUUAUAAGUACUCCAUUUAUUAAUUUAUGAUAUGCUAAUCAGAAAGGGGUAGAAUUACAAACUGUAAACAUUUAGAAGCAAGAAGAUGAUAGCAAAUGCCCACAGAGGUGUGCUGCAACAUCACAAAAACCAACAACCAAUAAAUUUCAGAGUAGCAAUAUAAAGUUAAUUUAAAUUUAAAGUGGUUUUAAACAGACCUGAUACCGACAACGACUUUGAAAUCGUCUUCCAUGGAUCUUUUGAUGUAUUUAUGGAAGUCAAAUUUUGUGUUAGCCGCAAAAUGUGCCUGCAUUAACCAUUAAUAUUUGGUGAUUAAAGUUGAACUCACCAGCUGAGCAAUUUGCUAAUCAAAUUAUUAGAUGAUGUACGCCGGCCAAUUACUUACGUUGAUAAAGCCAUUGCGCAUGGUCAAAUAGUCCACCUUGCUCACCGAACCAAAGAAUUGCCUGAAGAAGGCCACCUAUAAUUAUAUUUUUAGAUUUUUUUUAUUCCAGCUAACCAAAUAUACUCAAAAGUAAAUUUAUAAAUCCCUUUACUUUAUUAAUAUAUCAAAUAUUAAUCAGAAAUGUAAAACUGUAAAAUUGCAUAACUCUGUUUGUCUCUCUACCUAUUUACACUCCAAUUUUACAAAAAAAAAUUAUUUAUUUAAUUUUGUCUCUUUUAUGCUUUGAAUUUACGUUAUUUGUUAAAUCACUUUCAAAUAAAUGAAAAAGUUUAAUGUUUGUUAACUUUGUUAUGCCACACCAACAAUUAAUUAACUUUUUAUAAUUUUUAAUUUUUUAAAUUUAAAAAAAUUAAUUAAUUGUUGCAUGAUAUCUAUACGUGUGUUACUUCAAUAAAGUUAAUAAUUUUUUAUGUAAAUUAAACGGAGGGUCAAUUAAAAUGAGAAAGGAUUAUAUGAAACUGUAAUUUCACAUUAUCCCUAUUCCUUUUCAAUAAGAGAAUGAAAAAUUAGAUUUUUCGAACUAAUUUUUAGCAUUUUUAAUUGGAUUUGAAAUUUUUUAAAAUUAGGUUUGACGAAGAAGUUGGAAGAAAUUGGAAGAGUCUUACUAUCCAUCUCAUGCCCGGAAUUGUGGAGAAACCAGAAUGACGUUUGACGAAGGAAGUUUGAUGGGUUAAUCUGAACCUUGAAGGAUCUGAUGUGUAACAUAUACAAAUGCAAGUAUCAAUAUCAAUCACAAUUUCCAAACAUUUUUUUUUCCAUACAACCUUCAUAAUUUAGACCUAAAAGGCAAGGCGAAAAGUAGAAAGACUAACCAUUUCUGUACUGAUACUCGAGAGUUUUAGUUUCUGAUUCCCAGGACUCCCAUUUCUUCAUCUGUUCAAAUUCAAUUCACCACAACUAUAAUAUCAGCUCUACAACCAAACCAGUUGAUCUUCAAGGGGAAAAGAAAAAAACUUACUUUGGCCUUAGCCAGUAGAAUGGUGGCUACACUGUAAAGAACAUGAAAGACAGCAAGCGCAAAUAUGAAUAUGUGCAAGUCGUGCAUCCCGCUUUGUGUAAUCAGGGCAACUUUACCCUAUCAUUUCAUACAGAAAUUAAUGAUCAGGUUAAUUAUCAACAAUGUUGAAAAUAGAUUAAAAAAAAGGGCCGGCGGCAUACUUUAGGGCAAGAAUCUUUUCCUUUGGAUGAAGCCAAGACUCGACGCCAAACCAUAUCUUCAGCAUAAGAAAGUAACUUUCUCCGGCGAUCUUCAUCGCCGCCGCCGCCCCCUUUGUUGCCAUCUUUACCACUAUCUCCUGCAUACCCAGGCUUCCGUUUGCAUGGAAGCAUCGUAUAUCCUAUCUUUUCUGGGAUACAUAUCGCUGGAAUGGAAUAUGUUCCUAUAGUAAGUAGUAAGGAUAUGAAUCCCAGUAGCAUCAACUCUGCAAAUUAUAAUGGAAUUUAAUUUAUUAAGGAUUAGACUGCAUUUUGCCUACAAUAUGAUGAACAAGUACUAUAUAUAUAUAACCUAACCAGCUUUUAUUUUCUCUAAAGCUUCCAUCAUGGCUUUCUUCUGGCGUUUUUGAAACCACUGCAUGUCAUCAACAAAGGUUAUAAUCAUAAUCAUAAUCAUAAUUAUUAGUAUGAACUUUUCAUUAGUAGAUUAAAUACCUUUCCCAGAGAAUGAAUUCCAUGUUCUAUGAGUAUAGAUAUGAUCACAAAUAUUGCACACACAACUGCAACAGCCCAUGUUGGCGUUUCCUCCAGUGACCUUUCCUUAGGGGUAGCCAUUUUUGCAAAAACCAAAACGCUUAGUAAUGUAAAAGUAUAACAAGAAGGCGGAAUGCAUAUAAAAAUGGAGUGAAGAAAUGCAAGUGGGCAGCGCGUUUGGAUUUGAGACACGGUUUCUAUGAACAAAAGUUUGUCAUGAUUUGCAUGGUUUUAUGUGGAAGGUUGGUGAUGGGCAAUAUGGUGAUCUAGGUUAACAAUCCCGUAGCUUAGGACAAUAUAGAAUCAAGCCGGCCAAUGCAGCCAAUCCAAGGGAGAGAAUUAAUGUAAUAAAGAAACAGAUAUUGGGAUCCACCGGUGGUUAUUUAUAUUCAAUUAUCACUUAGUAUUAAUCAACACCCAUCUGAUAUAUAUUAUAUUUUGUCUGAGAUUGAAAGGUGUUGGACUGUGUCAAAACCGUGGUCCACAAGCCUGACUUUCUCCGGUCUAGACGUAUUCUACAAUUCUAAAUAUAAUUUUAGGGAAUAAUAUACUUUUCAGUUUCUUCCUUCGUUUAACUUGAUAACUAGACUCAUUUUGGUAUUUAAACUUAAAUUCCGUCAAGAUUUAAUGAUGUGAUUAGUUUUAUUAAAAUAGGACCGGAUCGAACGGGUUGAGAGUUAGACGAUAUAACGGCCGAACAAAGGAGUUGACUAGAUUAACUCGACAACGGCUUGAAAUUGGUAAAAAUAAAAAAUCAAGACAAAAAUCAAUAGUUAAGCAGGUUCAACCGGUUUAGUAAUUUUUAAAGAUUUUUAUGAAUUUUUAUUACUUAUUUAAUUAUUGUUGAUUUAAUGGUCGAAUUGGUUGAACUGGUUGAAUAAAAAAUGAGUGGUUUGAUCUGUUCAACCACCAGUCUAAUUAUUAAAAUAGUAAAUAAGACACAUUGAGAUUAUACACCACAUCAUCACCUAAAAUUUUAUAUAAAUUUUUUAAGUAAUGAUUCGGCAUAAUCUUAAAAUGUCACAUCGUUAAAUUUUUAUAUUUUUUAAAUUUAAAUUUAAUUAUCAAAUUUAAGUGUUAAAUGAAAAAAAAAAUAUACCAAAUGAACCUAAUUACAAAAUUAAGAGAUAAAUAUUAUGUUAUUCCGUAUAUUUAUUAAUGGAUGUGGGAUUUAUAUUUGUGGAUCUUCCUAAGAAAAACAUUCUUCAUUACCCUGGAGGGAGGGGGGUUUAGAACACGUGUACCUAAUGAAUUUUACUCCUUCCACUAGUACAAUAUUUAUUUAUUUAUGGGUCCUAUUAGUUCUAAAACAUAAUGAUUUUUUCCCCUUCAACUUAGAAAAAUAUUAUUUUAAUUCUUUAUUAGAUCUUUCGUCUUUUUUUUAGGGUCUGUUUGAUUGCCAGUAAAAUAUUUUCCGUAAAAUGAUUUCGGGAAAAUGUUUUACUUUUCUGUAAAAUGAUUGACUGGAAAAUAUUUUCUAGUGUUUGAUUGAAUCUGUGUAAAAUAUUUUCGGCUGUUUGGCAGAUUUCCUGAAAAUAUUUUUCGAAAAAAUUAUUUUUACAUAUAUUGAUAUAUAUUAAUAAAUUUUUAUAUUUUAAAUUAUUUUUACAUAUAUUGCAAUGAUUUAUUUAUAAUAAUACUCAAUUAUUAAGCUACAAUAUUAAUCGUUAUAAAUUGAAAAAAAUUAAUAUCAAAUAAAUUAUUUGUAAUUGUGUUAAAAAACAAGUAUUGAAUAAUUAAAAAAUAAGUUAUUGGAAAAUCGAUAAACAGAAGCAAUUUUCUACCGGAAAUGAAGGAAUAAAUGAAGGAGGCGAUAGAGAGGAGAGCACGGAAAAUGUCUUACGGAAAUUGAAAGGGCAAGACAUUUUCCCUAAAAUGUAACCCAUUUUCCCUUGUUUUGGAGUUCAUUUUUCAAAUGGAAAAUGUUUUCUGCCAAUCAAACGCUGGAAAAGUUGAAAAUGAUUUUCCGGAAAAUCAAUUCCUUCAAUCAAACAGACCCUUAAUUUAUAUUUUUUUCACAACACGAUGAAAAAUUAAUAUUUGUUAAUUUUAUUGACGUGAAUAAUAUAUUAAUAUUUAAUUAAUUUUUAAAAUUUAAAAAUAUUAAUUUUUUAUAAGUUGUAUACUUUUUAAAUCAUUUGAAUAUUUUUAAUGUUUUAAAAUAUUUUUUAUAACUUUUAUUAAAAUUUUAAAAUUUUAAAAAAUUAAUUAAAUAUUGAUGUACAUGUGACAAUCCACGUAUAUGUUACAUCAAUAAAGUUAAAAAAAUAUUAAUUUUUCCAUUUAUUUUAGAGUGAUUUGACAAAAAAAAUUUAAAAAUUAAAUGGAGAUUAAAAUGAUUUUUAUGUAAAGUUGAAGAUGGGCGAAACUAGGGAGCUGACAGGACCUGGCCCUUCUAAAAUAUAAAUUUUUUAAAAAUUUAAAUUAGUAAAAGUAAAGUUGUACUUUGGCCCCCCUAAAAAUGAUAAAACUUUGAUUUAAUCUUUUAAAAAUUAUAAAGAUAGAGGUUAUUAAAAUGGUAAACAAAUUUUCUGACUUCUCCCCUGAAGUUGAAGUUUUAUCGUACCAAAAAAGAUCAUACAAACUAAAAGAAAUAAGUAAUAUGUAAAUUUAAUUGAUGACAUAUAUAUAUAUAUAUAUAUAUAUAUAGUAAAUGAGAUUGGUUUGUUGGGAUUUAUUUAGUAUAAUGGUAGAUUUGUAGGGUAUUAAUGAUGAAGGAUUCAAACAUAUAAUAAACCUUGUUAACAUAUAAUAAAUUUCACUGUCCAUAGUAUCUGUGUAUUAAUUCUUUAAAAUUUAAAAUUUCUCAUUAAAUUUGUUAAAUUAAAUUAUACUAUUUUCAUAAUCUUAUGCGGCAAUCAUAUUAUUACACGGGUAAUACCAUGUUAGUUUACUAUUUCCACAUAGUACUUAUAAAAAAAAAAGUUGUAUCAUUUUAAUUGAUGGAUUUAUAUGAUAAAGACUAAGAAUAAUCAAAUCGGAGAAUAGAGACUAAAUUCAAAACUUAUACAUAGUAUGAGACUAAUAACAAAAUUGGUCAAACAGGUUUAACUGGUUCCGUUUGGGUUAUGAUUGAAAUUUUAAAAUUCAAAAGAUAGAAGAACUAAAAUUGACGAAAUUAGAGUAAAAAGACUAAAUCGAAACUUACGAAAAAAAAUUUUCAACAAUUCAAUACAAAAUUUAUUAUUCUAGGUCGAAUCCAAUAAGAAGAAGGAAACAGUCCAAUCUAAAAAGUUAAGAGAUUGGGCCGAAAGCAGAGCAACAGAUCCACGGCGAAAUUUGGUCGUCAAGCUCGUAGCUGAAGGGCAAAAGGCAGCAUAGGUAUCAUCGAACUAACUCGUCCGCUCACUCACUCACUCACAACUCAGGAGGAGUAGCAACCGGGUUGGAUUAUUUAUUUUGUUUCCCUCCUCGUUCAACUGUCUCGUUUCAUUUCUUAAAAAAUGACUACCCUUUCAAAUUCUUUGGUUUUAUCGACAAAUCCUCCCCUUCAACUAUUUUCUGGUAACAAUCCCUUCACGUUUCGUUUUUCUUCAUUCUUAAUUGUUUUAUUUUUAAUGGAGUACGAUUUAACGUCUAAUGCAUCAUGAUUGAGAAAAAAGAAGAAAGUUUCUUAGCAAAAUAUAAAUCCAUGCUCGCUGUUUCCAUGGACUUGGAUUCAUAUCUCAUUGUUGAAGUUGUUGAUGGGUCUUAGAACAUUGGCACCUUGAGGCUAUUGAUUCUAAACUAAUCUCCUAUUUGCAGAUUCAAGCCUAUAAUUUAUUAUAUUUCCUAGCAUAUUUGUCUUCUUUUUUUGUUUUUUUUUUGGCAUGCUAUUAAACCUAAGGUAAUAUUGACUGCAAGUGCUGUCAGGUAGAAACGAAAGAAAGAUGCCAAUAGGAUUUGUUGAAAGUACUUUGGUUGUGGAAUUAAUUGUUAGGCUUUAUUUUUCGUUAUUUCUCAUUUUAGUUCAGCAUUUUACAUCUUUUGAUGCAAGAAUCUGGGUUUAACAUCAAUUCAAAAUUUCAAUUUUAGAAUUUGUUAAAUCAUAGCAUCAUCAACAUGUUAUUUUCCAUCCUCUGAGAUCAUAAGAUUGUUUUACCUUUGAGACCAUAGCAUCAUUAACUCUAAUUUUUGUUCCAUCCAAGCUAUGUUUUGUGCAUUUACAAGUGUACCAUCCAUUUGGUUUUAAAAGCUUUGAAAGGCUGUUCCUUACCUUCCCUGCGCAAUUUUUUUUGCUAGGCUCUCAUGGGAGUGCCAGCUCCACCAACUUGGCAUUCAAUUCUAGUCAUUUAAGGAAACUGCAUAUUUCUACCUCUAGAAGGCCUCUCACUGUUCAAGCUUCAUACAGGUAUCAUCUUUCGGACAAUUUGAGCCAAAUAAUGAAUGAUUAUUCCUGUUAAUUUUCCUAUAACUGGGAGAUAAUUAAAGAAGUACUAGCAACCGUAUGCUUAGGUUUGUGUGUGUGCUUGUGUACGUGCAUAUUCUGUUCUCUCUUUUGUGUUUUUUGGAUAUGUUCUGUUGGGAACAUUAGCAUGUAUUAUUACCCAAGUUGUCGGCUUCAUAUGUUCUUACAGUGAUGGCGAAAGGUCAAGCAGUGCUAAUGCCUUUGUUGGAGGUUUUGUUUUGGGAGGGCUCGUGGUUGGUGCACUUGGUUGUGUAUUUGCCCCUCAGGUGAUAUUACCGUUGCAAAUUGCUGUAGAAAUUAUACUAAACUAUCUCCUUGCUCUCCUUUAUGUAUAUUUGUUAUUUUGACCAAUUAAAAAGCCCCCAUAUAAUUUUCAAUGGAUUACACUCUACAGCUAUAGUUUCAUAAUUGACUAACUCCCCCCCCCCCCCUUUUUGAUGUCUAAAACAUACAGCCAGAACUCUGGAAACUAUUUAUGUUUGACUAUUAUUUUUCCUAUGUCAACUUACUAUUAAUGACUUAUAUGAUGGUGAUUGUCGACUACUUAGAUUCUUAUGCUGUUUGCCUUCUAUAGAUCAGCAAGGCACUAGCUGUAGCUGAUAGUAAGGACCUUAUGAAGAGACUGCCUAAAUUCAUAUAUGAUGAAGAAAAAGCUUUGGAGGUGAGCACUUACUCUGUUCAGAAUUAUUGUCCUCUAAAUAUUGGAAUGGCCUGAGUAGUGUGUGCUUUGAAGUUGAUGGACCAGCAUUUAUGUGUUGUCUGAAGUUUAUGGGUUUAAAAGCAGAAUAAUGAGUGACCUUUAAUGUGUAGAAAACUCGGAAGGUACUGACCGAGAAGAUUGCUCAGCUGAACGCUGCCAUUGAUGAUGUUUCUGGUCAGCUUCGAUCUGAAGAUGCCCCGAAUGGAGUUGCUGUAAACUCUGAUGAAAUUGAAGCUGCCAUAUGAAUUGCCUUACGAAUGGUGGUUUAACUAGUCUGUUAUUAAGAAAUAAUAGGGAAUUUGUUGUAAUUUUCCUGUUUUCUCGACAAAACAGUGUAACUCUGUCAUUUGAAUAUGUGGUGAUUGUUGCUAAAAACAUGAAUACUUUAAAAACUUUUGCCGUACAUGAAGGUAAGAUGCUCAAGGUUUGCGACAAGUUUUUCAGAGCAGCAUUUGAGGUGUUUCCUACUUGUAAUGUUGAUUUAAUACUUGGAACAAUCUUUACGUAAAAUAAAUAUCCUGCAUUUGAUGUUUGGAAGAAAAUUUUAAUCGAAUCUCUUUGUUUGGAAAUAGAAUACCCCUCUCUCAGUCUCCGAUGUGGGGUUUCAUUAUUAUUAGCCUCAAAAUUAGUUUAUCCUUCGAACGUACAAUGACAUGGAUAUUUUAAUUUCAUCUAAAUGUUCACCACCAUCCAAAAUAAUCUCCUCGUAGCCAUAAAAUUAUUGCUUGUACACAUCUUGGGCACUGCUCCAUUGAGCUUGAGUCCUUUCUCUCUUGACGACUUGCAGAUUUUUUUUUUUUUUGUGGUCAUUUAACACAGUGCAAAACUGCUAAUGCACUUGAGAGAAAUGACAAGGGAUGGAGCUGUGGCUGAAAUUAUGAGCUUCAGUUCUCCCAUACAAUCUUAUCACAUAUAUCUUGAACACCCUCCAUAUUCACCACACGUUACGUUAAUUCACUUUCAACCAUAAUUUAUAUCCAAUGAUAUAUUAACCAAAACACCAAAUUCAAGUGUAUAAAUAGUAGUGGGGAGGUUCGUUGAUCUUUUAGUUUUUAACUACAGCCAUCAGCCAUGGCAACAAACGCUGCUUUAGCUCCUUCAAGAAUCCCUGCCAACACCAGGCUUCCAUCUAAGACCACUCACUCUUUCCCCACUCAAUGCUCUUCCAAGGUCUCCCUCUUUCUUCUGCUUUUUGUUGCUCUUUAAUUUGCUUCAGGGUUUUAUUUUCAUUUCGGUUUUGUUGUGCAGAGACUGGAAGUGACUGAAUUCUCUGGACUUCGAUCCAGCUCAUGCGUCACCUUUGCCAAGAAUGUUAGAGAUGCUUCCUUUUUCGACGUGCUGGCUGCCCAACUUACUCCCAAGGUUCUUGCACUCUUCUAAAUAACUUUACUUUUUAAGAGAUAAGAUUGUCCUGCUAGUCUUACUACUGUUGCAUAUGAUAGUGCUGAUGGCUUGAAACUGUUUGAAAUUUAGGGUGUAGGGGUACCAUCAACAUCUGUUAGGGGAGAAACAGUUGCCAAACUGAAGGUUGCAAUCAAUGGAUUUGGACGCAUUGGCAGGAACUUCCUCCGAUGCUGGCAUGGCAGGAAGGACUCACCCCUCGAGGUGGUUGUUGUAAAUGACAGUGGUGGUGUCAAGAAUGUAAGUAACUUAAGUUUCACUUGUCAUGCUUUAUAAGAGCUAACCUAUGAGGUUUGGUUUGAUUAGUUUCAUUCAUUAAACUGCGGUAUACAAUAUAAACACAGGCUUCACACUUGCUGAAAUAUGACUCCAUGCUGGGAACUUUCAAAGCUGAUGUGAAAAUAGUUGACAAUGAAACCAUCAGUGUUGAUGGGAAGCCCAUCAAGGUCGUCUCUAACAGGGACCCUCUCAAGCUUCCUUGGGCUGAACUUGGUAUCGACAUUGUAAUCGAGGUAGGUCCUUUGCCCUUAAGUGCCCUUAAACAUAUCCUGCAAUCUAUUAUUCAGCUUGUUCUAAAGAGUAUUAAUUAUAAUUGAAUCAUUUGACAUGCACCUUAAAGGGAACUGGAGUCUUUGUAGAUGGCCCUGGAGCUGGAAAGCACAUACAAGCUGGUGCCAAGAAAGUUAUCAUAACCGCUCCAGCUAAAGGUGCAGACAUUCCAACCUAUGUUGUUGGAGUCAACGAAGGGGAUUACGACCAUGAGGUCUCGAACAUCAUCAGGUCAGUUUUGAAUGAAGAGUUGCAUGCUAAUAGAGCAGUAACGAAAAUCAUUCCCCUUGUUCCUUCUGUUCUAGUGGUUUAGAAUUUUAUUGCCAUUUUGUACUUGCAGCAAUGCUUCAUGCACCACAAAUUGCUUGGCUCCUUUUGUGAAAGUCAUUGAUGAAGAAUUUGGUAAGCAUUUCUCAUAUUUAUGUAUCAUUUCAAAGCUUGAACAUUUUGAGAAUGAUCCUUUUCUCACUUUGCCAAAACUGAUUUGCAGGCAUUGUGAAGGGUACAAUGACAACCACUCACUCUUACACAGGAGACCAGGUAAUCAUACUAAUUAACCAAACACAAACACUCACACCCAAUUGAAUUGCUUGAGCAACGAAGAAAACUAAAAUUAUUUGUUGGUGAUGGUCCAGAGGCUAUUAGAUGCUUCGCACCGUGACUUGAGGAGAGCCAGGGCUGCAGCAUUGAACAUAGUACCAACAAGCACAGGUGCAGCCAAGGCUGUCUCUCUUGUGCUUCCUCAACUCAAGGGAAAGCUGAAUGGCAUUGCACUUCGUGUGCCAACACCAAACGUAUCAGUUGUUGACCUUGUUGUGAAUGUUGAGAAGAAGGGCAUUACAGCUGAAGAUGUGAAUGCUGCUUUUAGAAAGUCAGCCGAGGGACCAUUGAAGGGUGUAUUGGAAGUGUGCGAUAUUCCUCUUGUCUCAGUGGACUUUAGGUGCUCUGAUGUUUCUUCCACCAUUGACUCUUCCUUGACCAUGGUCAUGGGAGAUGACAUGGUCAAGGUGGUGGCCUGGUAUGACAAUGAAUGGGGUUACAGGUGAGCUUUAAGCAAGCAAUCUAAAAUCAGUGUAGGUGAUGUUUAUAUUUGAUUUUGUAGAUUAAUAACUGUUACAAUGUAAUAUGCAGCCAAAGGGUUGUUGAUCUGGCACACUUGGUGGCAAGCAAGUGGCCGGGCAUGCCUGUAGCUGGAAGCGGUGACCCCUUGGAGGAUUACUGCAAGACAAACCCAGCAGAUGAGGAAUGCAAAGUUUACGAGGCUUAAAUAGUUGCAACUUUAUGAUUGUUUUUUUCUUUUACUCGCAGAUGGUAUAGUUUGUGGCCAAGGGUUUUCCAAUGUUCAUGUUAACAAAAAAAAUAAACAGCUCAUUUUGUAAUGACAGCAGAGUGACAUGAACAUAUAACAUUUCAAUGCAUGCAGCUGCAAUCAUCUUUUGAAUUAAUUACUUGUUGCUGUGUGUAGUCCUUCUAUCAAUUGCAUCCUACUUUCUCAUACAUACAUACAUACAUACAUACAUACACUUCAGCUAGUUGGAAGAAACGAAGCAAAAACUGAACACCAAAGUGUAAAGUUGUGUUAAGCUUUAAAAGUUUGAAGAGAAGAGGCAGAAGGAGAAUGGGGCCUACCAUGCAUAACCCGACAACAACCAUUUGCAUUUAGCAUGUGGUGAUAUAGAAUGUUAGGCUCUUAAUCAAUAUUCAAUCAUAAUAUCCUUAAUUAUAAAAAAAAUCCUAGUUUAUACAUAAUCCAAAUAGAGAAUUGAUUAUCAAUGUAAAAAACCCUCGAGCCCAGUCCAAUAAUGGUCGUUGAGUUCUUGCUUUGCUGCCAAGAAUGUUGAGCUCUUCAGCAAAAAUCUUCUUUAUAAUUACAUAUAAUCUUCUCUUUUGUCACAGUAGCUACUCCAUCUCUAGCAUCACAAACCAAAGGGUUUCUUACCAAACAACCACCAUAAUAUUCACCUUUCCAUCGCCAAGCAUAACACUAUACAUGAAUUGAAUGCCUCACAAACACAAUUUCAAAGCCCUCCAUCAUUCAUGAACUCUUUAACAAAACAUGAAAAAGCUUCAAUAACAACAGCACCUUAAAAUCUGAAAGAGACAACAAUCCUCACUUAGCAAAACAUGAAAAUGAAAGCAUUAAUGUCCGAACUCAGUAUUAGUAAUGACUCCUCCAAGAGUACAAGAAAGAAUGAUGUUCCCAUGAAGUUUAUAACUACAUAUGCAGAAGUUUAAGAUCAUAUACCUCACAAGGUAAGUCACCACGCUCACUGUAUUUGCCAUACUUGAAACUAAAAUCCCUUUUUCACUUUGAGUUAAACACUAUGAUAUCAUGAUGGACUCACUAAACCACGGAAACGAACACGAAAGGUUGUAUGUACUGACUCAGUCGCGGAACUACAUAUGUGAUUGUAAACUCAACUGGUUCAAAAAAAAAAUUGCUUAUAUAUAUAUUUUUAAUUUAUAUAAUUAGUAAAUUGAGCUCACAAAAAAAUUGUAAAAUAAUCCACCAAAAUUUUUCAAAAUUUUAUUUUAUAUAAAAAUAAAUUAAUCUCUCUCCACUCACUUUCUUUUAAAUUUUGUCUCAAAAUUCUUUUAAUCUCUCACACAUUCUCUAGAACAAUAUUUAGUUUUUUAUUGAUUGAAUGAUUUUGAGAUAUUGAUUUUGUAUGAGAUCUCUAGCAUCUUGAUUGACUAAUAAUUUUUAAAAGUUGAUUAAUAAAAAUCCCUGUAGAAAUUAGGAUUGAUUAUCUUUAUAAUGUUGAAUUUCUUAAACAUUGAUUAGGAAUUGUGACCAUACCAUGUACGGAACAUUGUUUUCGGCACAUCACUAACUUUCACUUUUAGUUGAUAAUAUUCGAAUCUCAGAUCAAUUUUGGAGAAUACAAUUACACCUUUCAAUUGAUCAAAUAUGUUGGGAAUUGACCCGAUUAAGCAACAAACAAGUAAUUAGAGCUAGUUCAAUUUUCGUAGAUCAGCCCGUUCAGAGAUGGAAACAACAAGGUUUGACAUUGAGAAGUUUGAUGGUGUCACAAAUUUCAAUCUGUAGCAAGUUCGGAUGAUGACAAUUUUAAUUCAGACUGGGCUGAAAAAGGUCGUUACCAGGAAAAAGCUCGAGAAUCUAAAUCAGUCUAAAUGGGAAAAGCUUGAUGAAAAUGCCUUGUCUGCAAUCCAGUUGUGCCUCGUGAAUAGAGUAUUGCAGGAGGUAUUAAUGGAGAAGACCUCAUCCACCUUGUGGAAAAGGUUAGAAACUCUUUAUGCUAAGUCUCUGGCUAACCGUUUAGUGUUAAAAUAACGUCUAUUUACGUUUCACAUGAACAAAUGUGAGCUUCUUAGAGAUCACAUCAGUCAAUUCAUUACCCUUUUAAAUUAUUUAAAUAACGUUGAGGUUCAGAUUGAUGAUGAAGAUCAGGUUAUGCUAUUAUUGUAUUCUUUACCCCCUUCAUACAAGUCUUUUAGGGAGACCCUGAUUUAUGACAGAGACAAACUCUCAUUCGAGGAUGUGAAGAGUCAUUUGUUGAGUAAAGACAAACUCAACAAUGAGUUUGGUUUUGAUAGCAAGACAGAUAAGCAAGCUUCUUUUUUGAUAACAUCAAAGAAGCGAGACAAAAGGUGCCGCUAUUGUAAGAAGUUAGGUCACGUCAAAACAGAUUGUUUUAAACUGCGAAAUAAAAGGGCUACUGAGAGUAACGAGGAAGAUGUAACUGGUGCUAAUUUGGCCAAUGAAAGCGGUGAUGAUUUCUUGUUAGUGUCAAUGAGCGAAAGCUCUGAACUUACGUCUGAAUGAACCCUAGAUUCAGGAUGUUCUUUCCAUAUGUGUCCCAAUAGAGAAUGAUUCUCCACAUACAGUUUGGUUGAAGGUGGAGUUUUGCGCAUGAGAAACGAUUCAUCCAAUAAGAUAAUUGGUAUUUGUACUAUUAAAGUUAGGAUGCACAAUGGGGCGAUUAGGACACUCUUAGAUAUUAGGUAUUUUACGAAAGAAUCUCAUCUCAUUGAGUAUUUUAGACUCGAAAGGUUGUAGAAUCAACAUUAAGUCGAAGGGCAUUAAGGUGCCUCAUGGGGCUCUUGUUUUAUUAAAAGGUAAAAGAACCGACAGUCUUUAUAUUUUGGAAGGUUCUAUAGUGACCGGUGUAAUGACCCGUUUUUAGUGAAAUCGAAAUAGUGGUUUCGAGACCACAAAUUUGAAGUCAAAAAAUUUAUUUUAAUAUUAUUUUGUGAUCUACAGCAUGAUAUUAUGAUUGCAUAAAAAUUUCGUUAAGAAAUUUUACUGUUUGUAUGCUCAAUUUGUGAAAAAGGACUAAAUCGCGUAAAGUGCGAAAGUUGUGUUCUAUUAGCUAAAGGUGUUAAAUAGCUAUAUAACUUUAUAGUGGAGGUCUUUAUAUGGUAAUUAGACCAUUAAAUGUGAUAGUGGAUGUACGUGGAUGUACAUGGCUUGGUAAUUGUGUAAUUUUUAAAGUUAUGUAAGGGUAAAAUGGUAAUUAAGUAAUAAAAGCUAAAUUAAAUCAAAUGAAACAAAAUAGGCCAUCAUAUUUGUGUUUUCUUCCACCGCACCAAAGAGGAGCCUUUCAAAAGCUUGAAAAUUUGCAAAGAAAAUUCCUUGCAUGUAAGUGAUUUCUAAGCCUGUUUUUGAUGAUUUUUAUGUUUUAUGGAUCGUUGUAGCUUAACCUAGCUAACUAGGGGACUAAAUUGAAAAAUUGUUGAAUAGUUUGAGAUUUUCCAUUGAUGAAAAUUCUAGGGCUUUGAAGUUUAAUGGAAGAAAAUAAAUCCUUAUUGUUUGUUAAACAACUUUUGGAAAGAGAUUUUUAAUGGAAUUGUCAAUUAUGGGCUAAAUUGAGAAAUAUAAAAAUUGUGUGUUAAAUGUGUGAAAUUUUUAAAUGUAUGGGCUACUAUAUGCACAUAUAAAAUUUGGCUAGGCUUACAUAGGGGUGAAAUUGCAUAAAUUUCAUUUUACGAGCCUAGGGACUAAACUGUAAAGAAGUUAAAAGUAUAAGGGCAAAAUGAUAAUUUUUCCAUAACAUGAAUUUUGGAUUGAAUUUAAUAGAAUGAUGCUUAAAUUAGUUAAAUUUGAUUAUAUAGAUCAAGAAAAGCCACAUUCGGAUUUAAAUCGAGGAAAGGAUAAAGUCGUGGACUAAACGAUCGUAUUUCUCCGUGCGAGUUUAAGGUAAGUUUGUGUAAUUAAAUUGUGUAGUUAUAUACUUUAAUUGAAAUAUAUGUAUGUGGAUUGUGUAAUUUCAAUGUAUAAUUAUCGAAUGCAUAAUCGAUGAAGUAUGAAGAAUACCGAGCCUCAUUUGAACCUUAAAAAUUCGUAGGAUACAAAUGACAUGUCAUUAGGGUUACCAAUUUUGGUUGAGAUCCUGCAUGUGUUGCGGACUCACCACAGCUUGUAUGAGCUUACCGAUUUGCAGCUCAUGAGAGCUUACCAAUUCUCAGCUCGUAUGAGCUUACCGUAUUUUAGCUUUGAAGAGUUUACCGAUUAUGGCUCGUAAGAGCAUACAUGUACAGGAAUUGACGGACUUACAGUUCAAUACACCUCGCGUGUACUACUCGCGUAUCUAACGAUAUUCUAAGCGGUUUAACGGACAUAGUGUUAUUACGAGAUUAUACAAGUUCGAUACGAACUAGUACAGAUAUUUACAUGGAGAUGAUUUAUAUAUAUGAUAUACGGAUAUACAGUAGAGAUGGUUUAGUAAUUGUUGAAUUCAUACAUGAUUCUUGAUUUUUAUGUGUAUACAUGACUAACUUGGUGAAUGGUUAUGUGAUAGGCUUUGGCCAAAUUGAAUUGAGCUAUGCUUUGAGUUACUUACCUAAAAUUGUGGUUAUAUGGUAAGUUUAAUUCCAUGUUUUACGAAUUUACUAAGCUUAAUUGCUUACUCUGUUUAUUUUUCUGUGUUUUAUAAUGUCUCGGAAGCUUGUUCGGAUUAGAAGUCGUCAAGGGUCGCAUCACACUAUCAAACAAUAUUUUGGUACUUUUGACUUAUAUAAAUAUUUGGGUUAAAUGACAUGUAUAGGUCUUUUGGCUAUUGGAAACCCAUAUGUUUUGUUGUGUUGUAGCCAUUUAAUUUGGCUUAAAUUUGGCUAUAUAUAUAUGUAAAUAGCCUUAUAGUAUAUGAUGUAUGGAAGUUAUAUGAAUGUCUUUAUUUUGAGUUGGUAUUUUGGGUAUCAAAUGGUUGAGAUUUAUAAGUGGCAUACAUGCUAAGUUUUAGGCACAAAGAUUUCAUAUAUGUGUUUGACCAAUUAGGUACAUUUGGAUACAUAGUUUGCAUUAUUAUGAGUGGUCAUUUGAGGUGCCUAUAUGUAUCAUGAUGGUAGGUGAUAUUAUUACAUGUUAUAAACUUGAAAUUGGUUGGUUUUGAAUGCCUAUUUAUGUCAUGGUUGUAUGCAUAUUGAUGUGUGUAGGAUGGUACCAAUUUGGGUGAGAAAUAUGGUUUGAAAAAUGACCUAUUUUUGUCCAUACGAGCAGAGACACGGGAGUGUGUCUCAGUCGUGUGUGACACACGACCAGGUGACACGGCCGUAUGUCCCAUGUAACUUUCUUAGAAAUCAAAUCAGUAGCUUCACAUGGCCUAGCACAUGGGUGUGUGGUUUGGGCGUGUGAUACAAGUUAGUAUACCGUCCAGUUUUCACACGGCCUAGCACGUACGGCCUGACACACAGGUGUGUGAGGCCAUCUCGAAGGGUACACGGCCUGGCACACGGGCGUGUGGGUUGGUCGUGUGACCCAAGUCAUUGAGUUACACGGGGUCAGACACGGGCUAGGACACGGCCGUGUGUCCCUAUUUUGAAUGCCCACACGGCCUGAGACACGUGCGUGUCUCUUGGCCAUGUGAGACACACAACCUGGCCACACGGACGUGUAUCCCCUGCACUUUGAAAAUUUGUAAUGUUUUUCUAAAAAUUUCUUGAGUACUCGAUUUAGCCUCUAACCACUUUUAAUGUCUAUAUUGGGCCUCGAGGGCUCGUAGUUGGGAUCAUAUGAAUGUUUAUGAAUGGUUUUUGAAUUGAAUGAGAAAUGUACAUGAAAUGUUUGAUUGAUUGAGUUAUAAGUCCAGUAAUGCUCCGUAACCCUGUUCUGGCGUCGGAUAUGGGUUAGGGGUGUUACAACCGGUGAAAUCGAAUGUCCCUCGUCUGUUAUGGAGUCGAAGUCAACUCAUUUAGAGCGGAGGCAACUUGGUCAUAGGAGGGAAAAUAUAUGUUCAUUUCGUUGAAGAAGAGGUUCUCUUUUGGAUGCAGGUUUUAAAAAGUUAGGGCAUUGUAUUCGUAAAAAUUAGACCUAAGUUAGUUUUGAUUUGGCAGUGUACAAGUUGAAGGCUAGAAGUCUUCCAGUUUCUAAGCAUAGAUUCGACUCAGUUAAUUCCCUGCAUAGUUCAAGAUAGGCCAGUGACGGGCUUUGGCAAAGACGGCGUUGUGGAAAUAUGAUUCAAUUUGGAGAUUUGUUGAGUAUGACUCCUAUUUCAGUCAAAUUUGAGAAAUAAUCUUCCAGUUAAACUCUGUUUAUUUAUUUCAAUCAAACUCUGUUUAUUUGUUUUAAUCAAACUCUAAUUAGUCUAGAUUAUUUUAUUAUUAAUUGAUCUAUGAAUUUAGCCUAUAAAUAGGUUCUUUUACAACCUUAAAAAAUAAACCCAUUAGAGAUUAGAACUCAUAACACUUUUGGAGAAUUUUAUAUUUAUGUUUUGAUGGUUCAUUGUUCUUUUGAGUUUCGGGGUUUAGUUUUUAUCUCCAUCUUUGUACUCUUCGUUCUUUUGCUAUUAUAGUAAAAUUAUCUUUGCUUGUGGUUUUUUUAUCCUUUUUGGAGAGAUUUUUUCACGUUCAAUUUGUGUGUUCAAUUUCUCAAUUUCUUCCGCUAUUUUUACUUGUUCAUUGCUUAAUCGGGUCGAUCCCUAACAAAAUAGAUUGUCAAUACACGGAAACAAAUAUCUAUUAUUGAUUGUCAACUUAUUCAACUGCCAAUAAUUAAUACAAAGUGGCAUCGACCUAUCUUGCUUUCUAACAAAAAGCACCGAAGCUCCCCAAUAUGAUAUACUAGGGUGUGUAAAGCCUCAGUUUAGGAGAUCAUGUAAUUGAAUUUUCAACUCUUUUAGCUCCGUUGGUGUCAUACGAUAUGGAGCAAUAGAGACUAGGGUUGUACCUGGGUAAACCUCAAUUACAAAUUCAACCUCGCGAUCAGGAGGCAAUCAUGAUAAUUCUUCUUGAAAUACAUCCGAAAACUCGCAUAUUGUCCAAAUCUUACUCAUUUGACUUUCAUCCGAACUCGAGUUAAUAACAUAGGCCAAAUAUAUUCCACAACCUUGAUUCAGAAGUUUAUUAGCUCGAACCAACGAAAUGAUAUGAGUAGAAUCACACAAUCUUAUGCCCUUGACUUCAAUGAUGUCACCUUCAGGACUUUGGAUAAAGAACUUCUUUUUACGGGAUUCCAAAAUCAUUUUAUGCUUGGUUAACCAAUUGAUUUCUAAAAUUACAUCAAAAUCACCAAAACGGCAUGAUCAAUAGAUCAACUGGAAAUGAUUUAUUCUGGAUUUCUAAUAGGAAACGCUUGCAUACUUGAUCAACGAGCACUAUUUGUCCCAAAGAACUUGAAACGGAUAUUGGUAUGCUUAUAACUCCAACUUCAAUUUUCCCGAUUUCAAGAAGCUAAAAUUAAUGUAUAAAUGCAUAAAGUUAAAAUCAAUUAAAGCAUGAACAGGUGCAAAAUAUAAAAGGAAAAUACAUGCCACAACAUCGGUAGCAUCAUCCUCUUCUCUGUUUCAGAGCUCUAGCUUCAUAUUUUUUCCCUACUUUUUUCUUUAUUUUCGUUACUUUUAAAAUGUUGUUUUAUUAUCUCAAUUAUUUUUCAAAAAUAAUAGACUUGUAUUAUAAAUCAGAUCAAUUAUCAUUUAAUAAGCAAUGUAUAUUUUUAAAAAAUAUAAAAAUAUAUUAUUUAAUGAAUUUUAAAAAAUAAAAUCACGUGUGAUACACUUGUCAUUGUCCAAAACUUGAUAUCAAACUAAGACUUCAUUUCUAACAAAAGCCUAUUUUCUCAAGUUAUAAAUAAAAAGAGAUAAAUAUCUUUAAUUGUAUUUUACAUGGUAUAUUUGAUUUGAUUUGACAUUUUCAUAAGUAUUACUCAGAUACUGUGCAAGCAGGGUUAUUACAAGUCAACAUAAACUGAUUAAACAUAAUGGAAAACUAAACAUAAGUCUACUGUUCCCUACCCAUUUCUUUCGCUUUUAAAAAGAAGUUAAUAUUUUUUGGUGUUUAAAUGAAUUUGUGUAAAAUGACAAAUUUCGUAAAAAAUUCAUAAAAGCUGUUUUCAAUGAAACAAACAUGCGUAUGAGAUUUUCUUGUCUUUUCAUUGUUUAAUUGAGUUUAAUUUAUAUCUAUAAAUUUAUAUUUUACAUUUUCUUGGUAAAACAAACACAAUAUAAAUAUAUUUGUUAUAAAAUAUUAUAAUCGAAAUUUAUUUUAUAAUAAUAAUAAUCAAUCUCAUAUAUAACCUUAAUAAUAAGUAAUGCUUAAUUAAAGCUUAAUUUAAAUUGCAUAUAUAAGAGUACAUAUUGACGCAUUAGAGUUGCAAGAGAUAAAUGAAGCUAAGCAUUAUUUAAACAAAUGCUUAUAUUUAUAUAAUUAAAACAUUCAUAUUAUUAUACUAGGUUAAAAUAUGUUAUAAGUCCUUGUACUCUUCGUAACUUUGAAAUGUUGUCCAUGUACUUUUAUUUUUAGGUUAGUCCUACUUUUUAAAUAUCAAAAUUCAGGUUCAACUGUUAGCGUUAUUAAAAAUAUUUUGUUAAAUUCAUAUUCAUUAUUACGUCAUUUUUUAGUUACAUGAAUACCGAGUAUUUUUUUUAUUUAGAACCGUGACAUCAACAAAAUUGAAAAAAUAAUAAUAACGUUAACAAUUAUACUUGAUUUUCAAAUCUAAAAAGUAGAGAGACUAAAUUCCAAAUUUGUGAAGAGAACAUAGACUUAUAGCAUAUUUUAACUUUUGUACUACAAAACAUUUAUUAUUAAUAUAUUUAUAAUUGUAAUAAAUAUUUAUCAUUAAAAUAUUAAUAUUAAAUAUUUUUCAAUAAUAUUUGAAGAAUAUUAUUUAAAAUUAUUAUUUUUAAAAUUUACUAUUAAAAUAAAAUUGAAAUAUUAAAUAUAAUAAAUUAUAUUAACAAUUUAUUAUAUGAUUAGAUAUAGAUAAUUAAAUAUGUAUGUUUAAUAAUAUUGAAAAUUAUAAUAUUAUAUAUUAAUAUUUUAUUAAUUUUAAAUAUUUUUAAAAAUAAAAAUUUAUUAUUAAUUUUAGGCUUGAAAAUUAAUUUUUAUAUAGAAAAAAAUUAUCUAUAAAGGAAUUUUUUUUUGUUAGAAAAUGUCUUAUGCUUUUAAAAACAGGAAAAAUAUUUUUUGUUAACCUGAAUAAACCAAAUAAAUAUAAAAGAAUAGGAAAAAAAGGAAGGUGUUAAGUGUGUUUCUACUAAAUGCUUAUAUUUCCAAUUGAAUGAAGGGGCAUCUCCUAUUUAAAAAGCCAUUCCAAUGUGAUCCAACUGAUUGACAACAUAUAAAAGGUAUUUAGAUGUUAUUUAUACCAAAAUUUAGACAUUUUUGUUAAAUAAAGAUUGUGAAAAUGCAAAUAACCAAAGUCAGCAGUCGUAACACAAGUUUUAUAGUUAACUCAGCUGACAUGUGUGUGGAUAUGAUUGGUUAGCAUGGCAACGAUCGGACCAGGAGGUUGGACUUGGACACGAAUCAAUUGAAAAUACGCCAAGCUCGCCAGGCUGCCUUGCCACCCCUAAUUGACCUUUCCCCUUCUAUUGCGGUAUUCUGCAAAAUUUCCCAAUUCCAUAACCCUAGAUUCAGCAUUUCCCAAUUACACUCCCAACAUUUUUACCAUCAUUCAUUACCAAACUCUGGCACGAUAUGAGGCGAUCUCGGAUUUUCCUUUUGCUGUUAGCCAUCUUAUUUUCUCCGUCUAUACGCGGCUUCUUCUGCUCUCAGAUCUCGCAAACUGCUCUUUCCAAUCGUUUCCUGCCGCCCCCUCCUCCGUAAGUAUCUUCAGCUCCUUAUUCUCAUUGGAUUAAUGCAUUUAGGAAAAAAAAAAAACCUGAUCUUUGAUUUUUUUUUUGAAUUACGAAUUUUGCUAUAUCUGUCUAUAAUGGCUGCUGCAAGCUAUGUGGAGUUCGCUUAAAACCCUGAAAUCAGUUCUACUCAAAUUGUAUUUUGUGUCUUUAUUUAGUGACGAUGGAUUAGCAGUGGUAGUUACUCUGGAUGGAACAAUGCAUUUAGUGGACAGAGUAUCAAGGAAAGUUCAUUGGUCGUUUGCAUCGGGCAGGCCUAUUUAUUCAUCUUAUCAGGCCUUCCUUGACCAGGACAAUGAUAAGCUUAAUGCAUCUGGACCCAACAGUGAUUUGUAUGUUGAUUGUGGGGAUGAUUUGCAACUCUAUGUUCAUAGCAGGAGCCAUGGAAAACUGGUAUCAAUGCUUAUCCUGCUUCUCUUUCUUACGGUUGUCUGUCCCAUACUAAUUUUGGGGUUUCUUAGUCAUUGAUUCUAUUGUCUAUGAUAACUAUUAAAUUUGACUGAUUGAUUGGCUUGGAAAUCUUGUUUAUAUGCUUUAUUGCUUUCAUACUGAUAGCAUCUUUUUCAUCUCAAUGGUUUUGCACUCUAGAAAAAACUUGAACUGAGCGCUGAAGAAUAUGUUAGAAGAACACCCUACAUAGCAGAGGAUGGAGGGAUCACUUUGGGAGUAAAAAAGACCUCUAUUUACCUUGUUGAUGCAAAUUCUGGUAGAAUAAUACAAACUUAUAGGUCAGAUGAUCCUCCCUCUACGCUAGAUAUUCAGAAUGAUGCAGGUAAAACAGUUCGUUGGACAAAGGGUGCUGAUGCACUGGUGGAGUUUGGUCCUUUUAACUCAACAACAGUCAAGCAGUUUGUCUAUAUUAUGAGGACAGAUUAUGUCCUCCAGUAUUAUUCUCCAAACUCUGCUGAAGUAUUAUGGAAUGUGGCAUUUUCUAAAAUUGAUGCUGAAUUUCGAUGUCAAGGACCAGAGGAAAAACUUUCUGCAGAUUACAUGCAUGAUUUUGAGUUGCAAUUGCCAUGUCAGAAGAGACCUGUUGUUAUCCAAGUUCGUGAUCAUAAAUUGUUGGAAUCUCUCCCCGUCUUUGGCUGGCUUGAUGGAAUAAUCCCACUGCCUUCUUCAAAUCAAAAUCCUCGCUUGCCGCCUGCUGAUGUACUGGCUCUUCCUAGUGACAAACCAUGGCUUGCUUUGCCAGCUUCUGAGAUGGAAAACCCUCUUAUGUUGGAUACCGCUAAUACAAACAUCACUACAAGGUUUGACAUCGCUGGAUCAAGCAUACAACCUUUCAUUUCUUUCUUUGCUACCCUAUUGACUAUCAUUGUCUUUGCCUUUUACCGCUUAAAACGAGGUAAGGGGAGUAAGCAGGAUCAGGAAGUUAAAUUGCAAUCAGUACCUAAAAAGAAAAAACCUAAGAGAGUUGGGAAUAGUAAGAGCAGUGGCAAUAACGAGAAAAAGAACAAGCCUGUUUCAGAGGAGAAUAAUGUUGGAAAUACCAACACACUUCCUUAUAUUGAAAGGAAUGAAGCGAAAUCAUUGCUGAACUUUACAGAUCUUGUUGAUGGCCGAGUAGAUGGGCGCCGAAUUGGUAAGUUACUUGUUUCCAACAAAGAAAUAGCAAAAGGAAGCAACGGUACCAUUGUGCUUGAGGGGAUUUAUGAUGGUCGUCCAGUAGCUGUUAAACGUCUUGUGCAGACCCACCAUGAUGUGGCUUUGAAAGAGAUUCAGAACCUUAUUGCUUCUGAUCAACACCCUAAUAUUGUUCGCUGGUAUGGGGUCGAGUUUGAUCAGGAUUUUGUUUAUCUCUCUCUAGAGCGUUGUACCUGUAGCUUAAAUGACCUGAUCUAUGUAUGCUCUGAAUCUUUUCAAAAUCAAGCCAUUGUCAAGGAUGAAGAUUCAAAAUUCUUCAAUGAGUGUAAUGUUCGAUUGCAUAGUGUGAUGGAAAAUAACAAGGUUAUUGAACUCUGGAAGCCCAAUGGACAUCCUUCGCUCCAUUUGUUGAAACUAAUGAGGUAAAUUUCAUAUCCUUAAAGCUUUCUCGUUCUCUUCUGCUCGUGGGUGUGUGUUUCUUUGUGUGAAAUUGGUCAGAAUUUGACAUUGUUAUCUUUUUCUGUAGAGAUAUAGUCUCUGGGCUUGCCCAUCUACAUGAACUUGGCAUCAUACAUCGAGAUCUAAAACCUCAAAAUGUUUUGAUAAUCAUGGAGAAGUCUCUAUGUGCAAAGCUUUCUGACAUGGGCAUUAGCAAACGCUUGACUGGGGAUAUGUCUUCCUUAACCCGCGGUGCUACUGGUAAGCUUAUCAAUCACGUCUGGCAUCAUUCAGCAACAAUUAAACCAUGCACGUUUCGUGAUACAUUGCUUGUGUAAAGAUUGGUCAAAUUAAUUCUUUAUAAUGUUGCUAAAUGUAGGUUAUGGAAGUUCAGGCUGGCAAGCACCUGAACAACUUCGUCAAGGACGCCAGACACGCGCUGUGGAUUUAUUUAGUUUAGGCUGUGUUUUAUUUUUUUGCAUCACUGGUGGUAAACACCCAUAUGGGGAUAGUAUUGAACGUGAUGUAAAUAUUGUGAAUGACCGAAAGGACCUCUUCUUAAUAGAGAGUAUACCAGAAGCAAUGGAUCUUUUCUCUCAUCUCUUGGAUCCCAACCCAGAAUUGAGGUAAUCUAUCAUCCACAUUUUGAUGAUCCUAUAACUAUGCAUUCGUUGAAUGCCCCUGGGUUUAAUAUUUGAGCAUUCAGAUCUUCUUGUCUAUCUGCACAUAGAAAAGCCUGUGAAGUGCAUUCUUAAACAUAACAGAUGGAAAAUAUUUAAGCUUAUCAGGGGUUGUACGCAACACGUCUCCUCUAACAACUAUAUUUUGAUAUGUGGUAGGCCAAAGGCACAGGAUGUUUUGCAUCAUCCGUUAUUUUGGAGUUCUGAGAUGAGGCUUUCAUUUCUUCGAGAGGCUAGUGAUCGUGUUGAAUUGGAAGACAGGAAGAGUGCAUCAGAAGUAUUAAAUGAAUUAGAAAGUAUUGCAGCAGUAGCUUUGGAUGGGAAGUGGGAUGAAAAGCUGGAACCUGCAUUCCUUAAUAACAUUGGACACUAUAGGAGAUACAAAUUUGAUAGUGUUCGGGACCUACUGCGGGUAAUAAGGAACAAGCAAAACCACUACAGGGAAAUUCCUCAAGAUAUCCAAGAAUUAUUGGGGCCACUUCCAGAAGGAUUUGAUGGUUAUUUCUCUAGUCGAUUUCCAAAACUGUUGAUUGAGGUUUAUAAGGUACUCUAUAAGCACUGCAAGGAGGAGAAAUUCUUCCAGAAAUAUAUGAACAGCAGUAUAAUCUAAUCUAAUUUUCAUUUGUUCCUCUCCUCUUUAACUGCUGUUCUUACUGUAUAUAGAAAUUGUAUCAUACUGCAAACAAGUGUCAGUGAUUAAUGUAAUAUAUUGUAAUUUAACCUUAAGUUUCAUUUUGUAGUUUCAUCUCUUCUAACCUUAAGAUAACAAAGGCAGUUCAUGAAACUAACCUUGUGUGUUUCUAGAUCUUUGGCAGCUUCAUAUACCGCCAAAGUGGAAAAAAAAUCUAAACAAAAAUAACAGGGUUGGCUUGGCAUAGAAACAGGUGAAGAAUUAUUUUUAUUAUUUUAAAUGAGAGUUAAAAAAGAUUCUUGUAUGAUUCCCCAGUCCGUGACGAAGCAUUUCUUAUACUUUAUACAUAAUGGGUUAAUCCGACAAACCUCAGUUUUAAAGCUUCUGCUUAUCAUUAUAGAAUACAACAAGGGCAUGUAUAGAAAAUUUCAGUUUGGAGAAAUAAAUGUAGGGUCUUCUUAUUAAUUAUGAAUUUAUAUACUCCCCUCAGGAUAAGUGUGAGAGACGCGUUUCAUAGGUGGGAACACAAACACAUUGCUUUGUUGUGGGAUAUAGUUGGAUCCUCUGCUAAUGUUGGUGUGGACCCACUGAUCAGCUUCAGUAGUAAUAAUAUUUUUGACAAAGGUGGAAAGAUACUGUUCCUCCUCUGAAUUUUUCAUCACGUUCUGUCCCCACAUUAUCUGACAUCCUCCCAAUUUCUCUGCUCAAAUGCAUUUGGCAUUUCAUGCCAGGAAACUGUAGGUACUACACAUAUCUUCACUUCAUUAGGAACAUCAAUACCUUGAUCCUUUGAACCACCAAAUGGCUCUUCAUCUCUUCCACCUCCUCCUCUUCCUCCUUCUCAGCCCAUUAUCUUAUGUCUCUAGCGUUGGCAUUAACUAUGGCACUCUAGGAAACAACCUGCCUUCUCCAAAGAAAGUUGCUCAGCUCCUCCAAUCUACGCUCAUUGAUAAAGUUAAAAUCUAUGACACCAACCCUGAUAUCCUUGAAGCCUUUUCCAACACCGGAAUUGACCUUAUUGUUGCCGUUGAAAACUACCACGUCGCCAACAUUAGCAAGGACGCAGCCGCAGCCGACGACUGGUUUGCCACUCGUGUGCAGCCCUUCAUCCCCGCCACUUCCAUCGUAGCCGUUUGUGUAGGCAACGAAUAUUUGACCUCCGAUGAUAAUUUGGACCCUGAUGCACUGGUCCAAGCCAUGCAAAACUUACAUGCUGUGUUAUUAAAGCGUGGUCUUGACCGUAAGAUCAAGGUCACUACCCCGCAUAGCAUGGCUGUUCUUGCUUCCUCGUUUCCACCCUCGGCUUCAACCUUUGCCACAAAGCUUAUUCCCACCAUGAGCUCUAUUGUUGGGUUUUUGGCUGAUACUGGUGCACCUUUCAUGGUCAAUGCCUACCCUUAUUUUGCAUACAGGGAUAACCCCAGCACAGUUGAUUUAGAGUAUGCAUUGCUAGGGAACUCGACAGGGGUCCAUGACCCUAAGGGUUACAUCUACCAUAACAUGCUGGACGCCCAGAUUGAUGCUGUUAGGUCAGCUAUCGAUGCCAUUGGCUUUGGGAAUCUAUCAAUGAAGAUCACAGUGUCAGAAUCUGGAUGGCCCUCAAAAGGAGAUUCAGAAGACACCGCAGCUACACCCAACAAUGCAAAGACCUACAAUACCAGGUUGAUUGAGCGUGCACAGUCUAAUAAAGGGACACCCAUGAAACCUAAGGAUAACAUAGAGAUAUUUGUGUUUGCUUUGUUUAACGAGAACAAAAAGCCAGGGGGUGCGAGUGAGAGAAAUUUUGGGAUUUUUAAUGGGGACGGGUCUAAGGUAUACGAAGUGGACUUGAGCUGCGAGUUCUGCAGCAAUGGAGGUGCAUUCGAGAAGAUGUCGACAAGCGGCCAAGUAAGGGGUCCGUCAGUAUGGUGCGUGGCUAAACCACAUGCAGAUGAGAAAGUACUUCAAACUGUGCUGGAUUUUUGCUGCGGCCCUGGUGGAGUUGACUGUAGGGAAGUUUAUGAAAGCGGUAAAUGUUUUGAGCCCGACAAGCUUCACGCUCAUGCAUCAUAUGCCAUGAAUGCUUACUACCAGAUGCACGGCAGGAAUUAUUGGAACUGCGAUUUCAAGGGUACUGGCCUAGUCACCUUCAGUGAUCCAAGUAAGUUGAUACUAUUUAAAACACCAAUACUUAAAUCUUUCUUUCAUUUUCCCCCAUUAACUUUCAAUUAAUCUUUCCUGGGUCAGGUUAUGGGACAUGCCGGUAUCGACAACAGUGAUUCAACAGCUUAGAUGUGGUUGAUUGACAACUCUUUUGUAUUUGAUUGCUGGUAUUGUGGAUUUGAAAUUCGAGUAAUGUAACGUGAACCAAGUUCAAUAUUAUCUUACGGAAAGAGUUUGGGUUUAAUCGGCGCCGAAAGGCAGAAUUGAUUGAAUUUUGAUUUGAUUGUAAAAAGGGUGUUGCUUUUGUGGGAAGAAGGUGGGACAUUGGCACAUGGCCUCUAGGCUCCACCAUUAAAGGCUUUUCAACUUCAAAGAGAAAAGCUCUUCCUCUUUCUUGGGCGGGAAUCUUGGCUAGGCCUGUGGACCCGUCUCGGGGACUGAUAAAAUGGGCCAUCGCAUCCUGUGCCGGACCCAGAAUUUCCGCUUAUCCUUUGAUUUUGCAACUUGUAGGCUGAAAAACGAAAACGAAUUCUUAAAAUAGAUUGAUUUUUUUUAAAAUAUUAAUAUUUUUAAGUGUUUAAAUAAUCCUACAUAAAAUAAUUUUUUUAUUCGGUAAAUUUUCAUAAAAUUAUUUUUUUAAAAAUAAUAUUUUAUAUAAUAUUAAUAAUCAUAUGUAUAUAUAUGAUCUAAAUAAGGUUUCCAUGCAAAUAGGGGCAGCACCAAAGGGGCUUGGUACGAGCUUGGCCUCUCUUAGUAUAUUUGCGUCUUUAGUCCUUUAAAUAGCGAUAAAAUUUAAUUAAUAAAUAGUAAAAUUUUUAUUUUGAUUUCUUAAAAUUUUUCAAUUUAAUUCCCGAUUUUUAAUUAUAAAUUUUUUGACUUCGACUAACGAUGAGGACUAUAAUGAAAACUUUCCUCUAAAAAAAUGUAGAAGAACAAAAAUAUGAUAGAUAAAUCUGAAACCCUAAAACAUGCCAAAGCAACAUUUAAUUGCUAACUUGAAAAAACCGGUCGCAACAACUCUUUCGCCCACCCAUGAAAGACCUGAAGACGAAAACUCUUAAUUUCGAUACUAGUUUAUAGAUUGGGAUUGCUCAUUUUCUACCCAUGCCCCGCAAACUAACAUCCUUCCUACUUGUGAUUUUCAUUCCUUUUUAACAACAAAUAUUUUUUUAUCUCUUCUGCCUUCAAUUUUUUUCCCACAAAAUUCAAUCUUCAAUAUUUUAGUUGUUUUUAAUCUAUCAUUCAAAUCUUUUUAGGAGAGGCCCUUUUCUUGGUUUUUUUUUUCGAACAUUUCAUUUUGAAUUACAAAUUUUGAAAUAUUCAAUCUCAAUAAUAAAAUCUUGGUGCCCAUGAAUGUGAUACGGACUAUUACAAUAUCUCGCCUCAAAAGCUAGCUUGCAAUUGGCACAUAACAGUUUACCACUCUCCAUAGCCCUAUCACCCAUGCGGGCUGGCUUUGUGCUGGUUUAAUCUAGCAUUGAGUGAACACUAUAAUGUCAGAGUCACCACCCGCACUACACAAUUGUAAUUGGAAGAUAUAAUGGUUGACUUUAAUACCAAUUGAUACAGACUUUUAAAGAACCACACUUCAAAAAUUAACUAUUGAGGUUGAAGAGACUAGGUCCAUAUAAACUGUACUAAAAAAUCUCAUAAUUUACUAUAUAAAAUCCAAGUCCCACAUAUUGCAAUUUGCACAAAAUAAAACAUUCCAAUCAUAAUAAAAACUUGAGUAUUGCCUUUUCCAAUGCCUAAAUAAAAAACAUAGGCAAUGGUGUAAGAAUCUACACAAAAAUCAUGAAUGAACAAAAUUGAUAAACUAGGAUCAAGAUUCAAAGCUCCCAUUCCAAUGCAAAUCGGAGAAAGAAAGAAAAAGAAUAGUUGUGUGAUUUUUUCUCCUUCUUAUAAUAGUAGAAAUAAUUUCAAUUCUCAUGGUUGUUUUUCAUAAAUAGUUAUCACUUGUAAUGUUUCAUCUAUUUUUGGAAUCAAUUAUAUUAAAUAUUUUUAUUUUACAUUACUAUAAAUGUUGUCUGAUUUUAGGUUUCUAUUUUUUUUUUUGCACCAUUUGAUUUUUAUUACUUCUAUAAAAGUUUAAAACCCCAUAGAAUAAAAAUCAUUUUAAUAAAAAUUAUUAAUUCUUUAAAAAGAAAAUAUCAUUGUAACACCCUUCAUCCGAUCUGAUCACAGAUUCAAGCAACAGAUGUUACACGUAGGCACAUAAUAUUGUUUUGAAAUCACAUUCAUACAUUUGCGUUGUAACAUUUCGAAUAUACAUUUAUGGUUCAUAUUUAUUCUACCAAACCUAAGUACAUGUCAUUUCUAAAGUCCAAAAUCAUAUAUCAAAAGAGUCUUGAAACUUUAAGAGUUGAUGUGAUCCUCAUGAAGAAGUACUUCUUGUAUCUUCAAUCUACUUUCUUUCAUCUACGUGUUUAAACAAACAUGUUAAGUUAUGUGAAUAACUUAGUAAAUACUCAACUAAAUUCAAUCUUACCAUUUAUAUAUACAAUUUAAAUAAAUUUUGAAUAACAUUUAUUCACACAAUUUCUUUCACUAAUAUAUUUAAACUUUUAGUUUAUUUUACCAAAACAUAAAAUCAUUUAAAUUAACUUUAUAACUUAUAGUUUUCACUUCAAUAUAUACUAUCACUAAUUAAUUUUCAUAUUCAUAUAUCAAAAUCUUUCUUGUUUCAUAAAUGUAACAUAAACACUUGAUUCACAUAUUUCAUUUAACACUUAAUUCACAUGUAUUACUUAAACAUACAUAUCACUUUUGUAGUCCUUAAUGAAUCUCAUAGAAGUUCAAUAAUUUCGAUACAUUGCAGAGAUCCAAGCCAAAUACAAACUAUCGGCCUAUAACGAAACUCUGAUUAUGGGAACUCCAGUAAACAUAUCAUAUAACCCAAUACUCCUCUCCUAAUCCCUUCGAACCUCCGUAUCACCAACCUAGUUCCCAUCCGAACCCCCAACCUCUCUCAACUCCAAAAUCAUUUCAUUAUCAUAUAUCAUAUUUCUUCUGAGUUCACUAAGGCAUUUAUUCACAUAUCCCUUUCAUAUAACAUACUUGAUAUAUCACACAUAUAUCACUUAGUAUCAUAUUAGUUAUUCACUUCAAAUCACAUAAACACAUUCACUACAUUUUUAUUUCACAUACACUUUAUUCACUAUUCAUAAAAAUACAAGCAUAACAUAUAUUGACAACACUUAACACUUUAGAUUUCAAUUCACUAUCAUUAAGCACUUUACUUUCUUAUAACACUUGCUAUUUUAGCACACAUAAUAACUUUUGAAUAUUUUACAAUUUAGUCCUUAAAUUCAUGAGAAUUCAAUAAUCAUUAUACCACUUUACACUUCAUUACUAUCACAUAAUACUUCAUUUAAGUGUUUAAUUACAAUAUUGGUUUCACAUAACACCUUCUAUAUACUUUGCAAUUUAGUCCUCUCUAUAGUAAUUUCACUACACUACAUCUAUUCACUUAUCAAUUUAUGACAAAUACAUAAAUUUUUACUCUUUAUAAUUUAAUCCUUAAUUUCAUUAAAUGUACUAAUCACUAAGUUAUCACUUUAUCAUUUCUUACAAUACUAACAUACCUUUAUUUACAUAUUCAAUACCAAAUUCAAUAUUCAUAAUCAUAUCUUAUUUAUUAAAAUUUUAAAUACUCAAAUGUUAAAAAUAAAAUAAACAAGCUUGGAUUCAAUUAAGUAUUUACCUUCUUUUUUUCACUUGAACUCAACCUUUUUCUUUACUUUCCUAUGUUUUCCUUUCCUUUUUCCUUCAACUAAUUGAUUUCCAUGGUAGAAAAUGAUCCCAUAACACUCUAGGAUAUGAAAUUAGGCUAUGGUUUUAAGAUAGAAUAUCAAGAAUUUUUUUUUGCUUUCCUUUCUUUCUUUCCCUUUUAUUUUUAUUAUCCAAGUUGCUUCCAUCCCACUUUAUCUCUCCUCUAGAAACCUCUACAUUUUUCCUUUUCUUUCAAUUUAAUCCUUAUUUCACCAACCAAUUUAAUUCCUCCACUUUUCAUCCAUAGUUACCACAUUUUUCCUUAAAACUUUACAACUCAUGAGCUUAGGUGUUUUAACAUCAUCAUUAUGUUUCCAAACAUCAUUAAAAAUGAAAAUUUUGCAUUUAGCUCCCUCCUCCACAAAAUGAGAAAAUUGCACUUUAAUCAUUUUACUUUUCCACUUUAUUCAAUUUAGUCCAUAUAUAUGAAUUUUCCAACUCCACAUAUCAAUAUAUAUCUCCAUGUCACAUUCAUAAAAAAUAUUUCUUAAAUUUUUCCCCUUUUUCCAAAAUAGUAAAUUUAUACUUUUAUUCCUUCAACUUUUAAAAAUUUACAAUUUAGUCCUUACUAAAUUUCAUUAUUUAUACUUUCUCUCCAAAUACUUAAUCCACCUUUAAAAUAAUUUUCAUUUCUUGGAAACCAAAAUUUUGGGAUAUUACAACUAUUAUUUAUAGGAACCAUUAACUGUAAUAAUAAUAUAAAGACAUGACACAUAGAACAAACGAUAAAUAAAUCAUUGCAAACUAAUGCAGAAAUGUCAUGUCUAUAGAAGAAUCUAAAAAAAAGAGAAGGACAAACUGACAGUAAUUGCAACACUAGAAUAAUUCAAAAACAAACCAGAGAUGUAUCAACUUGAUUAAACCGCUGAAAUUUGCAUCCUAACCCCGCCAUUAUCAAAUCAACCAGAUGAUGGACACUAAUAAAAAAUGCUAAAAGCCCCAAGAAACCCACCACUAGACAUGUCCAUUAGCCCAACUCGAAGGCUUACCUAAAAUGUAGGAGGGUUUGUGCAAAAAUAUAUGCCUAAAAAAGAGGUUUGGGCUUAAGAAUAAAGCCCGUUUAAAAAAUGGGUUGUGUUUCGAGCAAGGUUUGCUCAACCGGGCCCGACUCGACCCAAAUUUUUUAACCUUAUUCCCAGACUCCCAGUCCCUAAUUCUCUUUCUCGACUAUUAGUUCGUAAAAAGAAAACCCCUAGUGUCGCUCACCCUCUCCACCAAGGACCUCCAGCACUGCUGCUCAUCCGUCCAUCUAACUUUCCCACUCCACCCCAUUAGCGUUACAACUUAUGUUGUCCAUCUUCCAAUUGUUUCCUCUAUCAUUGGCGUUCACCACUGUUGUUUUCUCUGUCGCCUUCUUCGCUCCAGCCUUCAUUCAUCAUCGUUGUCUUCCCAUUGGUUUGCUCAAUAUAUAUGCACCAUACUUCCACUGCUUCCACUAUUGCUUCCACAAUUAAUAUAUUUUGUUCUUUUAUUUUUCUUAAUAUUUUUUCCAAAUCUAUUUUGCUUUGCUUCAAUGUAUAUGUUUUCCAAACCUGAUAAAAUGAAAGAUGUCAAUUUGCAAAUUCACAAUAAUAUGAUUUCAAGUAUUGUAGAAGGAUGAAAAUUGUAAUUUGAUUAAAUAUUAAUGUUGAAAUUAUAUUUUAUUAUUUUAUUAGUUUUUUAGAAUAAUAAAUUUAAUUUAUUUCUAUAUACAUUAACUUAUUAUAAAUAGGUAAUUUAUAAUAUUGCAUACAAUCAUUACUAUUGAACAACUUUUUUUUAUAAAUUUCAUUUUUCAUAUAUUUUGUAUUAUUAGUGAUUUUUUUAUAUUUAUCACACAUCGUAUGGGGUAUUUUAUAAUCGAAAUAGUGAGAUGAUUAUGAUAGUAGUAAGGUGAGUUAUUAUUUGGUUUUAGGUCCUAUGCAACUUAGAAGAUUUAUUAUGUGUUAGUUGAUGGUGUUGAGAUUUUCGGAGUCAAAUUGGUGAUGAUGUUUGGGAUUCAAGUUCACCUACCAAGAUGAAUUUACCUUUAUUCUUUCUUUAAGGGCAUCCCUAUAUUAGGGUCUUGGUUAUAUGCAAUCGAAAAAAUUUAUUAUGUGUUGGUUGAUGGUGUUUAUAUGAAUUUACCAGCCUAUUUGCCAUCUCUUCUUCCCAAACACCCAGCUUCACAAGUUGGCCAAUGUUUGAUAGGUGUUCAAGAUCGAAUUUUAAAUAAAAUUCAUGCUUACUUUCACUCUUUUACAUUUUCAAACCUUUUAAAUAAUAUUUUGAUUAUUCAAUUAAUAUGUUGCAUUCAUGCUAAAAAAUAAAAGCAUGAGUUCAUAUUGGAUUGCAAGCAUUGAAAUAUAUUAUGCACCAACCGCUGAAAUAUAUUAUUUUGUGUUCAAAUUUGGAAUGUUAAAUAUGUAUGCCUACGAAAAUGAAUGAUCAAAAUCCACCAUCAGUACUUGUAUUUUAGCAAGCUUUGAAAUCAUGCUAUCAUAGUCAACCAUAUAUGUAUUUAAAAAUUGAUUCUAUUCUUUUUUUUUAUCUUUUAUAUAUUAAUUGAGUUUUUACGAUUUUAAGACUUGAAUUUUUAUGACAAUGGCUAGUUCGAACAUAGUUGUGGAUGAUAGGUUUAAUGAAUACGAAAGUGCUCUCAAACGUCAAAAUUCUACUACAUCAAAGGUGUGGGAUGAAAUGACAAAGCUUGAAUGUGAGAACAAUGACAAAUUGAAGGCAAAAUGUAAUCCUUGUAUAAGUAUCUUUCCUGCUAAAUAGUCUAGUGGAACCUCUCAUUUAAGACGUCAUUUAAAUAGUUGUUUGAAAACAUUUAAUAAAGGCAUCACUUAUUACACUAUAGCCAUUCAAUCAUUUUUAGGACGUGCUUCAUUUAUAAAAGCCUACAAGUUUGAUGUUGAUAAGUGUCGUCGAGUUGUUUCUACUUUUCUUAUGUGUGGCAAGCAUUCAUUUAGGACAAUUGAAGAAUCGUGAUUAGAUACAUUUUGAGUAUUGCUAGUCCUAAUUUUAAGAAUACAAGUAGACAAACAGCUACUAGGGAUGUCCUAAUGUAUUAUGCAAAAGAGAGAGAUCAUGUUAAAGAAGAGUUGGCUAAAGCACCUAGUUUAGUUUGUCUAACUCUUGAUAAACUUUAAACAUACUAAUGAUGAAUACAUUUGCAAUAUUGCUCAUUGGGUUGACAAAGAUUGGAAGCUACAAAAGAGAAUCCUAAGGUUUAGAGCUUUAUCUUCUCUGUAUGAUGGUUUGCACAUAGCAGAUGAACUUAUUUUAUGUUAAUCUCAGUGGGGUAUAGACAAGAAAAUUUUUAGCAUCAUUUUAGAUAAUGCUUAUUAUAACGAUGUUAUGGUUUAUAGUCUUAAAAAUUAUUUUUGUGCAAAUGAAGCUCUUUUGUGUGAUGGUGUUUUCUUUUUCAAGUUAGAUGUGCACAUAUAUUGAAUAUUAUAGUUAAAACUGGUUUGGAACUUGCUGAUGAUGUUGUUGAUAAGAUUCGAAAUGGAAUUAAGUACAUAAAAAAGUCAGGAAUUCGUAAGAAAAGAUUUUAUGAUAUAGCCGCCAAAAGCUUUCAUUUGAAUGUGAUCAAAAAGUUACAUCAAGAUAUGUGUGUGAGAUGGAAUUCUACUUAUUUGAUGCUUGAAUAUGCUCUUUACUUUAAAGAUGUGUUAGAUUAUUGGGGCCCACGAGAUAAAGAUUAUCAAAUAUUUUCACUUUCUGAUGAAGAGUGGAGCAAUGUUGCUAUUGUUUGCAAAUUUUUGAAAGUCUUUUAUUAUGUGAUUUGUGUUUUUUCUGGUUCUAAUUAUCCAACGACUAAACUUUAUUUUAGAGGAAUUUGAAAUGUUCACAAGGUCUUAAUUGAUACAGUUAAAGGCCCUCAUUCUUUUUUAACUCCAAUGAUUAUGCAAAUGCAAGAGAAAUUUAAUAAAUAUUAGGUUGAGUAUUCUUUGAUAUUGUCAUGUGCUGCAAUUUUUAAUCCUCGUUACAAGUUAAAUUAUGUGCAGUAUUGCUUUACUACAAUCUAUCGGGACUCAUGCUUCAGACUUUGUGCAAACCAUGAUUAGCAAUCUUAAACUCUUGUUUGAUGAGUAUGUUAAGAAGUCCAAAUCCACGUCUUCCUCUUUAGCCGGGAGCUCCAAUGUUUCAGAUAAUGAUCCUAUUGAUUCUAGUUUGCAUCAACUCAAUGUUAAUAUGGCUGAUUUGGAAGGAGAUUAUGAUGAGAGUGAUGAUUAUAAACAUUACUUAAGUGAAUCUAGUACUAAGAUUGAAACGUCACAAUUGAACAUUUAUUUGGAAGAACUAGAGCUUGAGUUGAAUAGCCAAAUAGAUGUAUUGGAUUAUUGGAGCAAAAGUUCAAUUCAACUGUAGCUUUCAUUUUUGGCUUGUAAUCUUUUGGCAAUUCCAAUAUCGAAUGUAGCUUCCAAGUCGGCUUUUAACAUGGAGAAGAAAGUUAUCACAUCUUUGAAUAGUUCCCUUAAACCAAAAAUAGUUCAAGUCAUUGUUUGCUUUUAUGACUGGAUGCAAGCUAAGGGGUUUUCAACGGGUAAUUAUUAUUCUCGUUUUAUUGUUAUAAUUUUAUAACAUUUUAUCAAGUUGAUUAUCUAACUAUUUGUUCUUUUUUUCAUAUUGGAGAUUGAUUUCAAGAAUGAUGAGAAUAAUGAUGACGAUGAGGAUGAUGAUUCUUUGAUUCCUUUCUAGGUAUAUAAUUUAGCUUAGAAAUUAUAACUUGUUAUAUAAAAUCAAAUAUGUUGGUUGCUUGAUAUAUAAAUAUUUUGAUUGGUUGAUUACAUUUUACAGGUUGUUUUUGGUGCUAUUUUGGGUAUUGUCACUGUUGUUCUGUUGUUGUUUUUAAUGUUCCGCGUCACUUUUAAUUUUGUUUGUAUAUUGUAGAACAUUUGUUUUAUUAUUAAUUUUGCUACUAAUUUGAUACCUAUAAUGAGAUUCUAAUAUUUCCUCUUUGUUUUCUCUUCCUCAACUUUUUACCAUCCAAUUAUUAGAUUUCAUGUUUUUCAAUGUGACACUAAAGAUGAAAGCUAUUGUUUCUAUUUAUUUCCAUUUUCAUGGCUAUUUAGACUCUUAAUUUUGUAGUUUUUAGCCUUCAAGGAACAUUAUUGGAACUUAGCUUAUAAUUUUCAUGGUAUGUACCAUAGUGUCGAUCCUAUCAAAGGGAAAAACAGAAGAUUGAAUUAUGUUAUUUAAAAUAACCAUGAAAAUAUUAUGAAAUAAUCCAAAACAAAUGGUGUAAAUUGUAAAAGCAAUGUCUAUACCGAGCACCCUUGGUGAGUGAAUCUGAUGCGGAUUGUGGUCUAUCACACUGCAUGUAUAACUCGAAUGUCUUUUUUUUUAGUAUAAAUAUUUUUUAAUGUACUUUUAAUUUUUUGAGAAAUAUUUAUUUUCAUGUUUGUAGUGUUUUUGAUAUACUAUAUUUUUUAAAUUUAUUUUGUAUAAUAAUAUAAAUUUUAAAAAAUGGGUCGAGCCCGGAUUUAACAUAUAUAAUCUGGGCCAGGUUUGGACAAAAAUAUAAACCCCUUUUCUGGGUCAAGCCUACCAGUCGGGCCAAAGAAUUUGGUUUGCCCCGACCCAUGGACACCUCUACCCGCCACAUUACUAAUGCACAAAAAAUCAAGUCUUAGAUGGCCUAUCCUUCUCAUCGUCAUCUCAGAUCUAUCGCCAUCACUAUAAUCCAUCAUGAUAAAACCCUUCGAGAAUGGUUCUUAAUAAAUUUGUCUAAUGGAACUAGAAACAACGGAGAAUCAACAUCUUUAUUCUACCCUAUUUUUACAUUCUCUAUUAUUGGACGCAAAUUAGGUCCUGAAUUGGGUUCUCUAUAAGAGUGAAGCAAUUAACUAUUCUUUGCCUUGAAGUUGUAUUAUUGAUUCUUUUAGAAGCUUCAACCAAUUAACUAUUCUCCAAGUGCACCCUAUACUCGUCAAGCUUUCGUUGGAUGCAUACUUUCACCACUCCUCAUUAUGGGAGUCUUGGAUGUCUUUGAAGCGAUGUAUAUACUCCAUGAGAUCUUCUCUUAAUUUCCGAUGCAACUCAACGUAACAUCCUUUUGGCUUUGCAACUCAACGGAAUUAGGAAUAAGGUUGACAUACCAAGUGUAUGCCUUCUUUGUCAAAGACAAAUUUCUUUUAACUUCAAGUCAUCGUAUAACCCAACAAUUUCAAGUUAUUGGUAAUUGUAAAGAGUGAAUAGAAGUUCAUCAUGUGACUAAGGAAAUGAGAAGCACUCAAUGUCACAAGAAAUCUCUAUAUUUGAUUUAUCAAGUUAAGCUAUCAAACAUUUUAAGAACUUAUAAUAUUUUAGGCUUAUUUUCAUUCCUUCUACUUUAAUAAAGCAGUAUGAUAUGGAAUAUCUUUUGCUGAACAUUCUUAGAACACAUUAUUCUUAAAAAAGGUUGGUUCAUAAUUAUUAUUUUUAUUAGAGAAAUAUUAUUCCAAGCAAGAGGGUCCUUUGACUCAAAAUAAACAAAAUUACUAAAAUUACCCUUUAAAUACAGCCCAAUGUUAAUUCCAAGCUUUAAAAUUGGAAAGUAAACCGAUCAUAACUUAAAACUUAUACCGGAUUAAACACAAAAAUUAUAUCCAAAUUCACUUGAUAUGUCUUGUUCCCUCAUGCAAGGAUCUCAAACAAGUUGCAAAUUAUUUCAUAUCAGGAUAUGGUUCUUGCUGGAAGUAAAAAUGUUUUUAUUUAUCCAAAGUAAGCAAAGAUUUUGCUCCGUUUUAUGUAGUGCUGCAAGAAAAGACAAUGGUUAGAAUUACAAAGGCGAAGCCACCCUUGAUGCUGCUAAUGCUAUAAACGUAAUGCUUUUCAAUUAACUCCAAAGAACUUGUACCAUCGCAAGGCUGCAAAGCCACAUGCCAUAACUGACUGGGAAAAAAAGGGCAUUCAAGCAACCCUUUAGAAUAUAACUCUCAACCCAUGGUGAAAGAAUUGGCCAACUUUAUUCCAAAGAACCCCAAGUCCACCUUCAGCUCUAGGAUUCUGCAACUUUAUCAUUCAAUGCUUCAUCCAUUACGCAGUGCGAAUGCAUUCAUUUCAGUUAACUACAAAUCAAGUUGGUCAGUGCCCAGAUGUAUCCCAUUAAUAAAUUCAGAAGAUACCUAGCUCUACUUAUAGAACAAACAAAAAGCAGUGCUCUAAGAUGCAAUUCGCGAAACUCUUCACUGUCAUGGUUUUGCUUGUUCAAGCAUCAAGAGAUGCUUUUAGUCUUUCUUCUAAACUCUGCGCAAAAUCAAAGAAUAAAACCUUGAGGGACAUGAUACCUUCCCAUUAAUAAUGGAAAAGCCAUGUUUAUUACGGUUAAGAAGAACACCAUCAGUUCAACCUUAUCUACUUACUAACCUCAGUGCUUCAUUGUAUUUCUAUGUAUUGAUCGGAAGGUAUAUAUGAUUAUACCUAGAACAUAUGCAUGCUAGAACAUCAUCAAGGUGACAGAUAAAAGAAAGAAUAUAUAUAUAUGACGGCAAAGGAACGUAGUGGAAAUCAGAAUCGGAUUCCUGGAUCAAUCAAAACCAAUAAUAAAUUUAAUAUAUAUAUAGCAAAAUAAGCCAUCAAGAAUAGCAUAUUAUUUAGCUAGCUAUAAUAAAUUAAAAAGGGGCAGAUGAUAUAAACUCAUCAACAGCCCGAAAAGCCAAAUCAACGAAUGAGAACUCGGUACUUUCACCUACAGUAGCUAUGGCUAUGGGGGAAUGCAGGCAACAUCACGUGCAUUGCAUUGCAUGAUCAGAAUGAAAAAUGGAGGGCGGGGAUACCCUGAUUUGAUUGGCUGAAAUGAAGUAAGGAAUAAAGUUUAAAAAAAAAAUUGGAUGGAUGAGGCUUAAGAUUUAAGAAACCCAUCAUUUCUAAUUACCAUUUAAGUAAUAUUAUAAUCAUGCACAAUCACAACACAAUAUCUAAUACUUAUUAUCCAUUUAGUACAAGUUGAAAUAAAAUUAAGAGUUGGUUAAUCAACAAUGGCAUAUGGUAGUAUACAUAAUUAUGGGUAUGAAUACCCAGCUUGCUUGCUUUUUGUUUUGCCUUUAACACACUACAUAGUAUCUCCUAUUUAACUAGUAAUUUAAUAUAAAAUAAUUUUAAAACUCACAAAUUUAUAAAAUACAAAAAAUUAAUUAAUAAGCUACACAUAAUAUCAUCAUAAACAAAUCUAAACGUAAUAAAUGAACCCCAAAAAGAGCUCAUAUACAUAAUAUAAUUAAUCAUUAAAUAGAAAAAGGAAAAAGAGUUAUACUUAGUUGUGUAUAUAUAUAUAUAUAAAAGUAUCUUAGCCGAAAUUAGAAGUUCUUACCAAUGAAAGGCAGCCACGUCAAGCCCGGGAAUCCGAGGCUCCAUUAACUAACGGACGUUAACGAACCUAACCACAGAGCUGUGAGAGGCGUUAAAAAGGCAAGACAGAGAGAGAUCCAACGGCUGGGAAGCACUGGCGGCAACUAACUAAAAUGAAACCCAUCCGGUCAACCUAUAGUUCCCACCAAUAAUUGAAAGCCACUUGGAUUAACACCAUCCUCGGCCCGCGACAGCUUACAAGAUCCAGCUGAUUACCUGGAAUCGCCGGUGGCCAACCACAUAGCAACAAGGAACAGCAACAACUUUUUCCUUUUAAUUUGUAAUUUUAAUUUUAUUAACUUUCUUUUUCAUCGUCCAAUUCUCUCUUUUCGACGCCUUUUGCUUCUCUCUCUCUACCUCUCUGUCUCUGUCUGUUUCAGGGUUUUCUUUCUCUUGGAUCAUCAUCAUCAUCAUCAUCAUCAUCAUCAUCUUACAGAUUACCCAAAGACAAAGCACCAAAGCAUCAUCAUUUUCUACCCUUUGUGAGAGUUUCUUUGCUAUUUUUUUUCCUUUUCAGCUUACUCCAAUCCUUGGAGCUUCUUGUUUAUUUCUCUAAUCAUCUGGGUUUUUUUUUUUUUAAAAAUUUUGUUACCUUGAAUGAAUAUUCUGAUGUUGUUUUCCUCGAUUGGGUGGGAGUUUUUGGAGUUAUGAUCUGGGGUUCUUUUGGAAACAUAAAAUUACCCCAACUGCUUCAAGUUAUUAUAAAAAGAAUAACCCAAUUUUUAGAUGGUUUGCUGGAUGCCUUCAUCAAAGGUAAUUAAGGGAUUGGUAUCAUAUUAAGUUAGGAUUUUUCUUGUUUUGAUGCUAUCUGCGUUAGGGUAGUUUGAUCUGGGAGUUGACUUCGAUUCGGAUAUUUUAGAAAUUUUCACAGCUUUCCACAACCAACUGGUUUUCUCAGAUUUUUUUAUUGCUUGGGUGAUUUUUUAUUAGCUAUUUUGUUUAUCCCUGGACGUUUGAUUUUGUCUCAAGAAAAUAUAAGUUGGGAUAGUUUUUGAAUAUUCAAUCUUUUAUUCGGCACAUAUCUGAGAAGUUGCUAUAGAAUUUGGUUGUUUUGGCAGAAGUUACUCCAAUAAAUUUAUAUAAAGGGGUUUGGCUUAUUUUUGUUUAACUUGAAAGUGUUCUUCGAGGUCUUUGAUUUAUGGUUGGGAAAGGAAUAUGGCUGCCCGUAUGGAUUUUUCACCUCCAUUUGCAAUCAUAGAAGGUGGUUACACUAACGAUAAUGUACCAGACAUGGAUAAUGAAAAAUUGGAUAAUGAAAAACAAGUCACUCUCGGGAAACCUCCGCGCCACCUCUCCAUUAUGCAACAUUGUGUGAGUUCAGGGAGGCUGAUUGCUGAGGCUAAUUUGGUAUGUUUAAUUCCUUUCUAUCUGACCCUUCUUUUCAUCAUUAUGAACUGAGGAGCUUGAGCUUUAAGGACUUUCUACAUUAGCAUAAAAUCUGAAUGCAGCUUAGUUAUUAGUUCAAAAUGAAAACUCUGAAACAUUUGUGAUUCUGAUGAUAUAUGUUCUUGUCACCUGCAUUUGUGCUGCAUAACCUUUUGGCUUUUGACACUUUUAGAGAGAAUAACUAUUAUCCUGUUCAUAUUUUGUUGAAAAUCAUCACCUUGAGAAAGGUUUUACAUUGUUUUAUUUGAUGCUAUAAAAGUAGUUUCCUGAAUUGCUUUUACUAACUACUUUCCUCUUCUCUAGGAAUUGGAUGUUGGUAUUGUAGUCCUCAAGUCAUCUUCUGAUGAAAAGACUGAGUUUUUGCCGGUCUUGCGAUCAGGAAGCUGUGCUGAGAUAGGACCCAAACAGUAUAUGGAAGAUGAACACAUUUGCAUAGAUGAUCUUAUUGGACAUCUCGAGACAACUACAAAGGUCCCUUCUCCGGGAGCUUUCUAUGGGGUAUGCUUAUUUGAAUCUACCAUAUAUGACCUGGCAGAUGUGGUUAAUAAGUAAUCUUGGUGAACCAUCUUAAUUUUCAUUAGAAAUAGCAAAUUUUGUUAAUGCACUUCCUUCUGACAAUCUGUCUUGAUUGCUUGUCUGUAGUUAAAAACUCGUGUCCUGCUAUAGCUUCUACUGAGAUAAUAUAAUAUAUAUACCUUUGUGUGGUUAGUGUUGACAAGGUUUGGAUGUGGUGUUUGAAGCAUGUUCUAGGAAAACGGAUCCUGAAGAUAUUAUCCAGGCCAAAAGGAAAAAUAUGUAGAAACCAGCACAUAGUUGUCUCUAAUAUUGUGAACUGCAGCCUGGUUUAGAGUAGCAAUCCAGCAAGUUUUUGAACAUUACAAGAUCCUUUUUCCCUUAGAUCUGCUGCCUCAUUAUAACUUGCUACUUAAUUUCUAGGUUUAAGGUGUCUAAACAUGUCAGUUCUAUUCCAUAUACAAUUAGCAUGAAGGUGGUUUGGGAAUCUUUAUUGGCCAUCCUUGUGAAUUGAACCUUGCCAAUACUUGUGAACAGGUUUUUGACGGUCACGGAGGAACAGAUGCAGCCAUAUUUAUUAGGGAGAAUAUCCUUAAAUUUAUAGUUGAAGACUCUCAUUUUCCAAUUUGUGUGGAGAAGGCAAUCAAGAGUGCUUUUCUGAAAGCUGAUUAUGCAUUUGCAGAUGCUAGUUCUCUUGAUAUAUCAUCUGGCACCACUGCAUUAACUGCACUUAUUUUCGGAAGGUGAGUGACCCACUUAUCUGCAAUGGUAAUAUUCCAUUUUGACGUUAUUUCCUUAAAUCCUCUUCUAGCAGCCUUUGUUUUGGUUUAAGAUGAUCUGAAAUCCUGUGCGUUCAGUGAUUGGUGCUGGGUUGAAACUGGAAAUAAUGUGUUAUCAGGAUAUAUUAUGCAUUAGUCAAACCUGAACUCAAGGUCUUCUUAGUAGUCUUUACUGUUCUGUAUUCUGAAAGCCAGGAAUUGGGUCCCUCUAAACUCUAAUAUUAGUUAUCUUUUCAAAGGACCUUGAUAAUUGCUAAUGCUGGAGAUUGUCGAGCUGUGCUGGGAAGGCGAGGUAGAGCAAUUGAAAUGUCCAAGGACCACAAACCUAAUUGCACAUCUGAAAGACUAAGAAUUGAGAAACUUGGUGGAGUUAUUUAUGAUGGCUACCUGAAUGGGCAAUUAUCUGUGGCACGCGCACUUGGAGACUGGCACAUGAAGGGGCCGAAAGGAUCUGCCUGUCCUUUAAGCGCCGAGCCAGAGCUGCAGGUGACAGACCUUAGUGAUGAGGAUGAAUUCUUGGUAAUGGGCUGUGAUGGGUUGUGGGAUGUUAUGAGCAGCCAGUGUGCCGUGACUAUGGCGAGGAAAGAGCUGAUGCUUCAUAAUGAUCCUGAAAGAUGCUCAAGAGAACUUGUCAGGGAAGCAUUGAAGCGCAACACCUGUGAUAAUUUAACAGUGAUAGUGGUUUGUUUCUCUGCUGAGCCUCCCCCUCGAAUAGAAAUACCACAAUCCCGUGUUCGGAGGAGCAUAUCAUCAGAAGGGCUAAAUUUACUAAAGGGUGUGCUGGACUGUUAACUGAUGAAACAAGCGAGGGUUGAACCAGAUUUGUGCAUGAAUGCAUUGGAGGGCGAAAUGGUCGUGGCAUUUUUCUACUGAGUAGCUGCAGCUGCCCCCUUCACACCAUGGCUAACAUUCAUCCUUCAUCCAGGGACAUCCUUGUCGUGUAAAAUAUCAUUCUUUUUGGUUUUUAAAUCCUGUACACCUGAGAUAACUCAUGAUGUAGCUCCGAUUUGCAGGAUUCAUUGUUCUUCCUUUCUUUCUUUCUUCAUCUGCUCACUCCUCUGUAAAUAAACUGAAUCUUGAGAGAUAUGUUCUUGCAGUCUUUCACUAAAUCAAAUAAUUUGAUAUCAUUGACCAUUAAUGGUUAGUUAUCUGGGUACCAUGCCUAGUUUUUUACGUUGGAAGAUUUUCCGUAAUUCCAUCUCAGAGUUCACCAAGCCAAGGAAUACGCAAUUAUGCAGGCAGCAGUAGCUAAACAGCAGCUGUCGAGUCAAGUGUCGAAGAACUUUAGGUCAUGAUUGUCAUGGUGUCAUCUCAAGUCUUAAUGGCUCAGUAUACUGUCAUGGUGUCAUCUCAAGUCUUAAAGGCUCAGUGUACCCUCUGUGCAAUUGGAAAAACAGCAACACUAUUGCAGUGUGGUUCUUUUUACUGGAUAUCAAUCCAGCAGCUAUAACAAAUUAAGCUUUCGUGUCAAACCAUCCAACAAGGAGAAGGAAAAGUAAUACACUACCAGUUUAUUAAGCUAUUAACGAGAAGAAUCCAAGAGGUUUUACUUUAAAGAAUCAAAAACAACGCAAGAAAGUGACUUGAAUUUAGAAGUUGGAAACAGCAAAUACAUGGUCCAAAGAGCGAAACUUGGUUUCAAGUUACGGAAAUAAGUCUCAAUAUGGUCCAUAGAGCAAAAUUUUGUUUCAAGUUACAGAAAGAAGUCUAAAUUAAACAGUCGCAUUUCAAUACUGCAGCCACCAUGGAAACUUUUUUCCUUACAAUCUCUUCUCCAGCUGAACCACAAUAGUUAUAGUUCAUCAUUAUCGGAGUCUCUAUCACUGCAUACAAACAAGUGUCAAUGUCAGAACACCAGAAACCUAGGAAAGAUUGUCUGUGCAAGUGCCACAAAAGUAGGCUGUUUUUUUUUUAGAUAUAAAACAAAGGUAGACUGUAAAUCUAUAUAAAAUAGACUUUUAGGAUAGAGUCAGAACUGGUUACUUGGAAAGGGGGGAAAGAGAACAACAAAUAAAAUCAAGGAUACCUUGACCCGCUGCAGUGCUCACUCAAGUCCUCACAUAGAACUUUGCUUACAUCUCCUUGCUUAACGGAUCCUUUCUUUAUCAAUUCUGUUAACUGCAUGGGUUUGAUAGCAAAGUAAGAAUCAAUAUUUCAGAUAUGCAUUAAGCUCACAAGCAGGUUUGAAAACUCACCUCAUCUUCAGUUUCCUCCAGUAACCUAUACCAGAACAAAUAUAAACUAGGUUAUUAUAGUUGACAUUCACAAAUUAUAUUAUAUCAAACAAACUACUGGCGAAGAAAUAGAAAUUCAUAAAUGAGACAUAAUACAAAGAAUAGUGCAAUCUCCAUGCAGUCUCACCGUCCACAAUAAGAGGAUAUAUCUUUUGAGUAUGCCUUAGCUUCUUGCUUAUCUAUCAAUAAAUUAAAAUGCAGAAAUAGGGAAAUAAUUUAGAACUUAGGAAACGAUGGACUUUGGAAACAAAAAGAACUAGAAAUUAACAGCAUUUCUAAGAACACGAUAAAUAUAGAGGCAGCCAGUAUUAUGAAAGUAAAGAAACAAUGGCUUGGUGAAUGGCUAGGAAGAAAUACAGAAAUCCUAGAGAUAUCAAGCAAAACCAUCGGAGAAAUGGCAUAUGCACAUGCAUAGGCAACUUUUGCCUCAUAUAUAUUAACAGUAUAUGCAGAAGUGUGAAUCAAAGAUCAAGUCCUUGCAUUUUUGUGCACAAAAUCAGAUUAGGGGACUAAUUACAUCUGCAGAGAAACAUAUGAUUUCAGCCUGUCUCUGAUAGUGCUUAUGAUUGAUCAAGGACUUCACCAGCCAGUUUUAUUGUGCACCAACCAUAAUUAGAUUAUUUAUACUUGCCACUUCCCAAAAUAAAAAAAAUAAAAAAAAUGAUCAGUACCAAUAGUGAGGAUGUCCCAAUUAUGCACUUUGAUCCACUCACGUCGAGAUGAAUCUAACUGCAAAGUAAAAAAUAGAUAUGAAGAUAUAUGCACUUGCAUGCCUGAAUACAACAUGUCAUAAAGCAUAAUCAACCAUAAAACAGGUAUCAGAGAAUAUGAACAAUUUACAUAUGAACACAGUAGUGAAACCUAUAAAUUUGCAUGUUUUGCCAAUGCUGCCACAAGUUCAGUAUCUAAUGCUACAUGAUAAUAAUUAUAUUAACGGCACAGUUGCUACAAGAUAUAUUAAAUAUCUGAAAUUUCAAGGGAAACAUAAUAUCAUGUUUAAAGAUGUGUUUCUACCACGAAUAAAUGCAAGUAAGAAAUAGAGUGCAAGUAUGAGCUACCUUUUCAAGAGUGUAAUCUUGCAUCUUUUCACAAAGUCCAUCCAAUAGCUCAACAGCUCUAAGCUCACUCAUCCUAAAUAGAAAAAGACAAAAAAAUUAGCAAAGUUAUCACUUGUACAGGGUCCGGGGAAAAUAAUCCAUUGAUGAAAAGUAAACACCCGUGCAUGAGGUAUCCAUGCAAUCUUUCAUCAAUCACAAAGGACUAAGCAGCAGCAAAUAUGCAGCACCCAUCAAUUAGGCAUGCUUUAGUAAAACAUUCCCUUCUGAAACAUGUUACUCAUAAGUCAUAAUAUAGCAAAAUAGUUAUCAUUUUGUGUUAGAUUUUGCUAAAGAAUGUCAUUAGGACUCUUGUUAAGGCUAGUUAAGUUAGUAUUAAUAAUAGUAUUUUAUUUUAUUGCAAUGGUAAAUACUUGUUAGCAAAAACCUACUGGUACAAAUUUCAACUGUUGUCAGAGCUGAACCGUUGGUGGUAUCCAAAAUGUCAACUAUUUGUCAUUGUUAAAAUGUUCAUUAUCAACUUUCUUCUCAAUUUUCAGACGAAAUUUUUUAGGUUCUAUUUCCCUAUUAAAAAGUUUAUUCUCAUUGUUCAAUGUUUUGCUUAAUUCUAAUGCUUCCUUUUAUUACCAUUGUUGAUGUUUCACUUAUUUUUAUUGCUAUUGUCUCAUGAUGUUCGUAAUAUAUUCUUCAACACUAAGCCCAACACCAAAAGAAAGACCGGAAGCUCCGUUAAUUCAAUUUCUAAAAUUAAGAGUUUAAUCGAGACUAACUAGCGCAUGCAAAUCUGCAAUGUUGGUUUUCCAUGAAAAUUAUUAUUACCUGUAAUCAAUAACCUUUCCUUGGCGUUGACCUUUCGAGUCCAAACGAUGUCUCAUAUCCAAAUGGUUCCUGGGUUUUUCCUACAUAUAAAAAUUCUUGUAUUAAUUACCAAAUUACAGCUCAAUUUGCAGAAAGUGGCGUUGAUUUAAAGGUUUCUUACCUUCGAUAGUUGAAUCUCUAGCUCUGCCUGCAAAUCAUCGAACGAAAACAAAAAUCAGCUGAUUUAUUUCAUAAAGAGGGGAAAGGAAAAAGGAUGGGAUCGGUGUGGUUUUGAUUGUGAGUGAAAGAGCAUAUGUUGAUCAAAGGUUUCCAUUGUUACCGCGACGGCAUUGCAAGCGGCACACUUGUCAUCGAUGCAAGCGGCGAUGGAAAAAAUGGAGAAGAUGGAAAGGAGCCACAACAUGGGAGCUGCCAUCUCUGGUCUUUUGUUCAAUGUUCUCGAAUUUUCCCUUGGCACGGGAACCGCGAUCGUUGAGUUGAGUUGAGUUACUUAUUUUGAGGAGCUAAGGCUAGAUCCGGGUUCGGGCCUUUUCUUUACAGCCACCAACAGGCCUUAUUGCAUGGUAAGUUAUAUUCCACCCCACCCCUAUGAGCCGAACUUUAUUCAAAUUCAAGUAUUCAACUUAAAAAAUUGCAAACUGAUCGGUUUAAUUUAAUGGCACAAUAAUAAAAUUAACCCUUAAUAUUUAUAUUUUUAUCAAUUUAGUCAUUUUUUCUUUAUUAAACUAAAUUGACCUUCAACCUUUUAAAAAAUGAAUUGAAUUGUUUUUUUUGUUUAAAAUAAUAACUAAAACGUUAAAUUUUUAAACACAAUAGCUCACAUGACAGAUCAUAUGUACUUCAUAUAUUUUUUUAAAAAUUCAUGAACUUUUUAUAUAUUUUUUUAAUAUUUUAUAAAUUUUAAAUUAUUUAUUGAUGUGAUAUAUAAGACAAAUAGUAUCAUAUCAACAUUAAGUAAACAUAGGUACUUGAACUUAAUCUCAUGCUUAAAUUUAAACAUACUCCAAAAUGUUUAAAAUAAAUUCCAACCUCAAAACACCGUCGUUUUGUUAUUCAAAAUGUUAAAUAUGUAAGUGGUAAAAAUCAAACUCAAUUUAAAUCUAAAUCACUUAAAUAGAGGAUAAAAUGUGUCUUAUCACAUUCGAAUUCACGUCCUUCUAUACAGGGGUGAAAUUAGAAAAAAAAAUUAGGGGGUUGAAAUUAAAUUAUAAUUUUUACGAUCAAUUUCAUCAUUUUAAUAGACUAUAUCUUUAUUAUUUGUAAAGAAUUAAAUCAUUUUUUUAUAUUUUAGGGGGUAAAGUGUAAUUUUACCUUUACUAAUUUAAAUUUUUUAAAAAUUUUAUAGGGGUCAUAUAAAAAAAAUUUAUUUUAGGGGGUCGGGGCUGUCAGCCUCCCUAAUUUCGCCAUAUAAUAAUAAUAAUAUCAAAUAACAUUUAAACUAAAAUUCAAUUGAGAAUUUGAAUUUUUAUUUAUAUUAAUUAUAGUUGAUAAUAAUAUUUUUUUCAAAAAGUUGAAAUUAGAGGAUUUUACAAAUGGAGGAGAUAGUGCACAUGUCUAAUGGUUUUACUUGCAUGCUAAAUUUCAUUUAGAUUUUUUCUAUCAUUUAGAUUUUUUUUAAUAAAAAAUUGUUAUAAAUUGUAAAUGUAGUGACGAAGUUGAAAUCAAGUAUAAAUUAAUGAAAUACUGGUUUAAUUAUAAAGUGUUUUUUUAAGGAAAAAGUUUGAAUAAUUUCAAUAUUUUACAUUCGGGUUUUAUCAUAUGUAAAUUUUUGUGUGAGGUUUUUUAAUUAAUUCUCAUUUUGUAUGAAUUUUAUCUAGAUUUAUUUUAAUUUAUAUUUAUAUUUUGUUAUUAUCUAUAUUGUAGUUAUUCAUAUCUAUAUUGUUUUUGGUUAUAAUUGUAUUUUUAUAUUUUUUUCCUUUUUCAAAUGACACUUAACCUUAAAUUUAAUCUUUCUCCUACGUUCAAAUUGAAAAAUAUCAAGCGCUUAAGGAAGCCGAACUUAUGUCUCUAAGUUGUUGCAAUAAAAAUAAUGUUAUAUAAGCUAAGACUAAUCAACCAUAUAUAAUAACAACUUAAUAUAUUAUACUGUCUAAAAAUAUAUAUAUACAGUCAAUUUUCUCUAUAAGAGUCUCAUUCGUCUAUCCAAAAUUUGUCUAUUAUGGAAAGGUGGUUGUUAUACACCUAUAACAAGAUGCUAUUAUAGAGAGAUAAUUGUUGUAAGCUUAUUAUAAAAUUCAUAUCAUAAAUUUCCAUCAAAUAAACAAAGUGAGAAUUAUGUUAAAAAAAGAAAGAAGAUGGUGGGAAUCAAAUAAAACAAUUAAAAGACGUUAAUAGGUUUAAUAGUUCAUUUUUUAGUGGUGUCAAAAAUGGCGGUUUUGAAAUCCCAUUUUCGAUGAUUGAGGUAUUAAUGUUAAUUUAAGUUUGGUCAUUUAAUUUUGUCAAUUAGAUAGUUAAUUAAAGUAAAUGGACUAAAUUGUAAAAGUGGUAAAAUUUUAUUGUUAUGGAUUUUCAAUUAAUCAAAUGACAAAUUGAGAAAUUCAACCAAUUGUUAAUAGCCAAACGGUGGUGGAUGCAUAAGUGUCAUCCACAAAUUUUGUUAAUCAAGCUUAAUAUUAAAUUAAUUAAGAUUUAGUUAAAUAAUUAAGUUUAAUUAAACGUUAAAUUAUGUAUUUAAGAUAAAUCAAAAAGAAAUGAAAGGCAUUUCUUAUCAUCUUUUCAUUUCAAGAAAACAAAGAUGGAGAACUAUGUUCUUGUAAUUUUUAUGUUUUUAAUGUCCCAAGAGCUUAAUUUAAUUAACCCGUGUAUCGAUUUUGUAAAACUGUUAAAGUUUUUAAAAGUUAUUAUUGAUGAAUGCUUGAUGAAAUUGGUGUUAAAUUGUUAGAUUUUUAAGCUUAGAAAUGAAAAAGGACUAUUUUGUAAAGUUUAAUUACUAGUUUUUGAACAUAGUAACUAAAGUGCAUAAAUUUUCAAAUUGAUGUUAAAAUUAUAUAAUUAUAGAUAAUAUAGGAUUUUAAAAUGAUGAAUUUGAGAUUGAUUUCGAAAUCGAAGCUCAAAUUUAAAAGAUAUUACAAUUUCAGUUUUAGGGACCAAAUUGAAUAAAAUGCAAAAAUUUUAGAAAACAUUCAAAAAAUAAAAUUGAACUUACAUAUGCAUGUAAUAGGAUGUUAUAAGGUAAUUGGAAUUGAUAAAUUGAAAUGAAUUAUCAUAUAGAUCGAGAUUUGAAUCAAUCAGAAGAUAAUCGAGGAAAAAGAAAAAUUACAGAUUAGUCCUUGAUAUUUCGUUUGUUGUUGUUUUUUUCAGGUAAGUUCAUGUGGGACUUACUAUGUUAUAUGUGUUAUGUUUGAAUUAUGUUAUAAUGUCAAUUAGUUUAGGUUAAUUGUAAUUUGAUAAUGUUGGCCUCUAAAGGACUAAAUCGUAAAGUAUGAAAAAUAUAGUUAUUCUGAAUAGAUACAAUGUAUUGAAUGCAUGUGAAAUCGUUAUGUUAUUUAAUGAUAUGUAUAUGAUGAUAUUAAAAUCUUUGAAAUGGUACGGAAACAAUAACGAUGCCCAUGUGAACUUACUAAACGAUUAAGAUAUGAAUGACAUGCCAUUAAGGUCCAAACGGAAAAAUGGAUGGUUCAAUCGAAAAGAAUGAAAAAGGGUGUUUGAUAAGGGAUUAAUACGGUGGCUUGAGAUCCAACAUAUAUUUCGAAUUCUCUAAAGCUAGUGUUAGCAACAUCAAACUAAGCUCGUAUGAGCAACCCUAGUCUGAAGCUAGUGUUAGCAGCCCAAAUAUGUCAACUCGUAUGAGCAAAUCAAUCUCGUGUAUCCGAGUUCAAUUUUCUAUAGUUCCCUAGGCAAAACAAAAACGAAACGGUAAUUAAAAAUGGAAAUGAAAUGAUUGAUCAUGGAUUGAAAUGUUAUAUUUAUAAAUUGAGUAUAGUUUAAUAGUAUAUGUUAUAAUAUGAAAUGAUUAUAUAUGUAUAUGAUUUUGGUAUUAUAGUUUCAUAUGCAAAUGAACUAACAUAGUGAUUGUGUGAUUGAAUUGUGCAUGAAAGUAUAAGGUUGCCAAAAGAUGCCAUGUUUGUACCAAUGUGUUUCAAUUGCUAAAUUGUUGUAAUGUUAAUGUAAGUUAAGUAAAUUCCAUAUGGGCUUACUAAGCAUUUAAAAUGCUUACCUAGUUGUUUUCCUUUUUCUGUAGAUUUUUGCUUUGCGAAAUGUGUCGGUUGGAUCACCUCUAAGCUCACACUAUCUUGCUAUUGACUCGAUAGACUUUUGCUCGUUUUAAGCUCGAUUAUGUGGCAUAUACAUAGGUGUUGCUAUAUAUAUGUUUACCUUGAAUGAUAGUUGGACAUAAACCUAGGAUAAUGCUUGAUUUUGGAUUGGUAUUGGUUAUAUAUACAUGUGUGUAUGUUGGUAAUAUGUUAAGCUAUAUAUGUAGUACUUGAGUGUAAAAUUUGGAAGUCAAAUGGUAUGUUUAAAUGAUGGAAUUGAACGAAUUUGCAAGUUUGGAUGGUUUGAAAUUUUCAAAAGUUUAAUUGAUAGGUUUAAGUACCUUAUUGAUGUAUAAAUGUUUGACUGAUUGAGAAGUUGUUGAAAUGAAGUGUUUAGGUAAGCUUUGAAUUGGUUUUUUUUGCAGGUUUUUAGUAUGCUUUUAAUCACUAUUUGAGUUUGAGUUGGUUUGGGCAUGAAAUAAGUACAAAAAUGUAAGUUUUGACAUAUUUGGCACUGAGGUAUCGAUACCCUAGAUAAAGUUAUCGAUGCUUAGUGAUUUUCUUCAAGUUUUUCAAACUUUGAACCUUAAAAUGGUAUCGAUACAAAAGGUAAAGUAUCAAUACCUUGAAGAAAGUGUCGAUACUUUAAGUCUGGUAUAAAUACUUUUGGUUUUAAAUUGAUUUUUUUGAAACAUUAAAGCUCAAAAUGGUAUUGGUACCUAGCAAGAGUAUCGAUACCUAUUUUGAAACUUUGAAAGCUUUGCAAUUUGAUCUUAUUUCAUGUUCGGAUUAGUAAAUGAGCUUUCAUAAGCUCGAUUGAGUCUCGAAAAAGUUUGUUUAGCAUGUAAUGACUACAUGUGUGGAAUAUUCGAAUGUUUGAUUAAUUUAUUUACAGUGUUUUUUACAGUAGUUGCUCCGGAAACGACUAUAGCAUUCCCAUAGCUCAAACUUGACGACCGGAUCGGGCGAUGAGUGUUACAACAGGUGCACGCAUUAUUGCUUUUAUGCAUUUUUUUAUUUUACAUUCGUUCACAUGAUUAAUUAUAAAGUUUAUAAAUCUAACAAAUUUAAUUAAUCAAUAUGAAUUAUCAAAUUAUAUUAAUUGAUUUAUAGUGGGUUACUAAAUUCAACUAACCAAUUUACAAGAAAAUGUAUUAAUAUAUUAAAAAAAUAACUUUUUAAUUUAAAAAUAAAAAAGAAUUGAAAUGUUGUAUUCAAAGGUGGAAAUUGGACGAUGAAACAUGGGUCCACACAUGUAACUACCCUAGAAAAUAGACCGCCACUCUCACGCCGGGCUUUUCGCUAUAUCACUCACUUACCCUCACCCACUGCUGUGUGCGUGCAUCCAACGUGCUGUAAUUAAAACACCGAGCCCAACCCAACCAAUUUUUAAAUUCUUUGAUAAUUUGAUUUACUUUUUAAAGAUUUAUUUAAUUAAUAAAAAGGAAAAGAAGAAACAAAAAUAUUACUACUGUCUGUUACCUUGAGAAACCUGACAGCCGCGAGAUCAUCGAGAGCCGAGCCCACUAUUGCGCAUCUUCGAAGUUGGUGCCCAAUGGAUCAACGGCUGUGAUAUGGCUUGCACCUUAACAAUAAACAUUGUGAAAGGCGUGGAUGGAAACUUCAUAGGAAGAGGAUGAAUAAUAUGCUUACAAAAUUAAAAUAGAGAGAGGCAGCAGAUAAUGGCAAAAGGGUAAAGCGAAUAGCUGAGUUAGAGCUGAGCUGAGCUCACGAGUUGGUUUUUUUAUUCAGUGCUGAGUCGCUUUACCAACCUAACGCUUUUUUUUUUCGAUUAAAUUUCCAUGGGUUUCUAAUAAACGAUCCCUUUCUGCUUAAUUAUUUUUCUUGAUCGUAAUCCUCCAUUCCUCGCUUGCUGCAAUGUAAGUUUCUUCUUUUUUAUCUUGUGUGUGUGUGUGUGUGUGUUUAAGAUUUAGGUUUAUGACGAAUUAAUCUCUCUCCUUUAAGUCAUUUGUUAAACUAGAUUAGUGCCAUUUAUUUACUUUGAAACGUAAUGGGAAACGAAAUCUGCCGAUCUCAUUAGGAUCUGAUUCAAAUGAGGGCUAUGAAACUUUCCAAUUCGAAAAUGGAGUCUAUGGAUCUGUAAACGACGAUUUAUUCCUGAAAAAAAAAACUUUGAUUUUAGCUAAAUUCUACCUUAAUGUAAUGGUAUUCAUCGUUGUUCUUGUUUUCUUUUUACAUCAUUAAUUUCAAUUUGCAUUCAUCUGCCUUUGCGUUAUUUUCUGAUUCUUUUAAGAAGCUCUUGCUAAUCAAACUACUUUUUAUUGUCUUUGUAUUCAAUAUUUGGAUAUUUGUCUAUUUUGACUCUGUUCUCUGAUAUUAUGUUCAUUAGCAGUAUUAGGCAGGCUAGGGUUUCACCCUUUCUUGUUUAGCAUUGCUAUUUCAUAGUUCUAAUGCUAUAUGUUAAUAUUUCUUUCCUGUUCUGUGUGUAUGUGUGGCUGCAAUCUCAUCAGUCUGUUUUUCUGUAGAUGCAAGAGUCUUAACCAAAAUGCCGCCGGCAAUAUAGAAAUGUGUCUGCAACUUUGCAUGCCCUGAGUUGGAGACCAUAAUGUUUUCUGAGAGUGUGAGUGAGGAAGCGCUUCGCCAGGAUUUUGAGACGCUGACUGUGUCUAAACGACUUGUGAGGAGUGUUAGCCAGAAGUUGAGGAAAAAAAAUCAUAGAGGUGAAGGGGGUGAAGAGGAUAAGGUGAGAGGGGUUUCCUUGAAAUGUCUUACUCUAUAUGGUAGAGGUGGUGGUUGCAAAGUGGGUGCUGACACAGGUGAGGAACUUGGUGAUCCAAGUUAUAGGAGAAGGUCAAGUGCCAGUGAAGAAGGAAAGGUGUACAAGUCAAUUUGUGGUAUAGAGGACAAUAAUUUCGAUUGCUUCUCAUAUGGUGUGAGGGAGAAGUUUUGGAAGAAAAACAAUAGAAAGGAUUUAGAUCUUGAGGAGUCAGUACGAAACAGCAGGAUGCAUAUCUUUCUGCCUGAUGACAUUCUAGAGAUGUGCUUGGUGAGACUACCAUUAACCAGUCUUAUGAAUGCCCGGCUUGUGUGCAAGAAAUGGAGACACUUGACCACAACUCCUCGGUUUUUACAGAUGAGACGAGAAGGUUCAUGUCAAAAACCAUGGUUGUUUCUCUUUGGUGCUGUUAAGGAUGGCUAUUGCUCUGGGGAGAUACAUGCACUGGACGUGUCUCAAGAUCAAUGGCACAGGAUCAGUGCUGAUAUACUCAGAGGUAGGUUCAUGUUCUCAGUUGCCAGUAUGCAGGAUGAUAUUUAUAUUGUUGGAGGUUGUUCAAGCUUAACCAACUUUGGGAGGGUAGAUAGGAGCUCAUUCAAGACACACAAAGGUGUGUUAGUCUUUAGCCCUCUCACCAAAUCAUGGCGUAAAGCUUCAUCUAUGAAGUUUGCUAGAUCAAUGCCUAUUUUAGGAAUAUCCGAGGUCUGUUCAGAUUUUUCGGUCAUUCAAAGCCAUCAGAAUCGACAUGAUAGGCAGUUUCCCAGAUCCCGAGUUGGUGGGGUGUCAGAUGUUUACGAGGAUCCUCACAGGCUUUCACUCAGACGUCAGUACAGAAAUGCUUUUGAUGAAAAUGGGCCUUCAUUAUUACCAAAUAGAAGAUCAUACAAGUUUAUUAGACAAAGAAGUGAACAAGCAAAUAUGAAGGGUUGUAAAAGGUUCGUGUUGAUUGCUGUUGGAGGUCUUGGAUCUUGGGAUGAGCCACUGAAUUCUGGUGAAAUCUAUGAUUCUUUAUCAAAUAAAUGGACUGAAAUCCAGAAGCUGCCUAUAGACUUUGGGGUCGUUUGUGCUGGUGUUGUUUGUAAUGGGAUGUUUUAUGUUUGCUCUGAGAAUGACAAGUUAGCGGGCUAUGACAUAGAAAGAGGUUUCUGGAUUGGAAUCCAAACCUCUGCAUUUCCUCCCCACGUUCAUGAGUACUAUCCAAAACUUGUUUCUUGUAAUGGUUCCUUGUUUCUGCUGUCUGUCUCUUGGUGCGAGGGAGAUGGGCAAAUUGGUCGGAGAAACAAGGCCGUGAGAAAAUUGUGGGAGCUAGAUCUGAUGUAUCUUACAUGGACCGAGGUCUCAGUACACCCUGAUGCUCCAAUGGACUGGAACCCUGUUUUUGUUGCUGACAGGAACUUAAUAUUUGGUGUUGAAAUGUUUAAAAUAUUUGGUCAGGUUUUGGAUUUCUUCACAGUGUGUGAUGUGUCUGAUGUGGAGAUGAAUUGGAGCCAUAUUUCUAGGAAUCACAUGGCUCAUGAAUUAGAUGCUUCUUCUUGCAUGACUAAGACAAUGGCGGUGCUACAUCUAUAAUGUCUUCUGCUGCAAUGCACUGUAAUUCAACCAGAAAAUUAUAGAACAUGAGAUGAGAGCUGCUCAUUUAGGGGAUUUCGCUCAUGCAUUCCUACCUGUGAAUUUUCUUAUUUAUUUCUUGGAAUUUCCACAAUUUGUACAAUGGCGACCACCACAUCUGGUCUCUAGUACUUAGCCUUGCUAGUAAUUUCUUCACCAUUGUUCAUAAACUGAUUAUGUAUUUUUCAUCUUGCUUCUGUUGCAUUAUCUGUAAUAAAUUUCUGUCCGUUCAUUCAUCAAUGUUCUUGUCCUUAUGUUUUCUUAGAUCAAGUUGCAUCAUUUCUCAUUUCUAAUUAUAGAAAAAAUGUACUUUUUUGGAGAUUGAGAAUCAAAAAGCAUCACUAUUCUUGAAUUCAGAAAUUUAAGGAUUGAUUGAAUGAUGUCAAUGCUGAACUUAAGGAUUGAUUGAAUGAGCUUAUCACAUAUAAAAUACCGUUGCUGCGUCCAUUAAAUGAAUGAAUACUGACAUUCAUUUUAGAUAUGACUAGUGCUCGGAAGUUAUUUGAGUUUGUCUUGAAAAAAGUUAGAAUUUGAUUCAGUCAUUAUUGAGUUAAACUUGAGCUAUUGAUCGAACUGAAUUCAAAUUUAAUAAUACUUGACUCGAUAAAGUUUUUAUUCAUAUUUUUAUAUUAUUAAAUUAUGUUAAGCUUAAUUAUUAGCUUGAGUAUAAAAAUUGGUAAACGAGCUUAAUUGAGCUGGAACUUGAGUAGUUCAAUUAUAUCUCAAGCCGAGUUCAAGCUUAAAAAUAGAUGUUCGAUCAAGCUCAAGCUGAAUAUCAAGUUUGAGCUCGAACUGAACGGUAUUGGAGCUCGGCUCGACUCGAUUACACUGCUAAUCUUAGAGGGGAGCUUACCUCUAUCUAAUUUCUAGUAAAAUGGCUAUCCCAACCUUUCAUUCAUUCCACAAAAGGGGCCUCUAAAGUGUUAAUAAAAAUGAAAAGGCAAUAAAAGAACUAAAGAGGUCUAUACCAUUCAAUGCCAAAAACAAUAGUAGUUCGUAUAAAGAAAUGAAGGUCAAUGAAAAUAGCAUCAUUAAGAACAAAUGAACAAUUUCUUGAAACCCUCUACAAGUGGGAAAUCCAUCCACAUAUACAGCAAUAUAUCUACUUUCAAAACUAUCCACGUAGGGAGACAAAAGGAUAAAAACUACAUACACGUUGCUACUCACCCAAAUAUGCAUGAGAAGCGUGCAAUACAAGAAGCUUAUCCCAUGUUUGGAAAAAUUCCAGAGAAGUUUGGGAUCUUGUCAACGUGCUUCAGGGCGCGCUCCGCAAUCUGCCGGGUUCUGUAGUCCGCAUGGUGGAAGGCAUCAACAAGUGCAGUGCUCACAUUUUGAUCUCCAGAAACUUCAUAGGCUAUAUCAUCAUUCCUUAAAAGUCUCUCUACAACCCAAACGGCUCUUCUCCUCAAAUUCUCUGUUUGUUUCUUGAGUAACACGUCAAGUAUGGGCUUAAUUCCCUCUGCCUCGCACAAAACGGACACACCUUGCUCAAUAUCAACACCAUCAUCCAACAAGGUGGAAAGUGCAGCAAGUGCUGCUUCAACCACCUUUGCGUUGGUGUGAUCCAAGAGAGCAACCAACUUAUGUACAGCCUGUCCUUCCAAAAGACAAAAGCUCUCUUUAAGUGAACAUGUUCCCCGGUGGACGCGACACAAUCCUGUUAUAACGGCCUGUUUGCUGAAACAUGGAAAUAUAGUAGCACAAAAUCCUGGUGGUGGCAUCUCCGGCAAUCUUGUCAAAUUUUUGGAUUCUAGAGAUAAGUUCUCCAGAGCUGCGGCAGAGACCAUCUGGACAUUGUCAAUACCAUUGGUCUGAAGCAAAUCAACGAAUAACGCUGCAAGACCACGCUCACGGCAAAGAGCAACAGCAACAGGCUCAUCUGAUAAGACAAAUGUAACCCUUGCAAGCACCCGAACAAGUCCUUCAAGGAAUGGUGUUACGAAGCGAGUGCCCCUAAUAUCUCCUUGCUUGAUUUUAACAACUCUAGAGAUGAUCAACUGAAAAGCACCUUCAUCUAGCAUUUGCCUUGUGAGGCCCACAUCCCUCUCUGGGAGUUCAGCUAAGAGGCCAGCAGCUGCUGCCUGUUCUUCAGAAAUUCCUGUAUUUUCUGAUAUGACUCUAAUUAGGCUGCUGAGCUGACCAACUGUUCCACGUAGUGCAUCUGCUAAUUCCUGACCCAUGUGAGGAGAGAGAUUCUGGAGAAGUUUUAUGGAUGCCAUCCGCAAAUCCUUCUGUGGAACCUCUAUAAACUGAACCAAACUGAUAGUAGCUCCAGAGCUUUUAAUUGCAGCAACAACAUUCAGAACUGUUGUCGGAGAAUUGGUGAGUCCAACUAGAACUUGAAGAAGCUUGCACUCGAUUGGUGGACCAGUGUUGCUGAUUAGAUGAAGUAAGUUAUGGACAUUGUCUUCAGAAACAAGAGUCUGAUGGUCCAGCCCAAUAGGAAUGGAGUCAACAUCAUAUCCUGAGUUUACAACAUUGGACAGAAUUGUGGCAGAGACUUCUUUAAGUCGCAUGGGAAGCUGAUUUGCACCAACAGUGAAGAGGUCUCUGACAAGAGGAGGAAGUAUUCCUGCCUCAAUCAACACCUUCGAGCUUGCAUCAAAAGAUGAAAUCUGGUUAAGUGCCUUCAGAGCAGCUUCUCUUGAUUGCAUGUUACCACUUUUCAUGAUAUUGAUUAGAGAUUCACCUACAGUUUUUGCAACGUGUACCUUCACAUCAUUAUUCAGAACCAAGUCACCAAGAUAUGCAGCCAUGGAAUGCUUUGUUUCAGGUGGACCUGCAGCAAUAUCAUUUUACAUCAACUAUAGCAAUGUAAAUGAUUAGCAUGAAAAUUCAGAUGUCAAAGGUCAAACAUAAAAUACUUCCAGCUCAAAUAUUUCAUCCCAGAGUGAGCAGCAAGAAAUAACUAGCAAGUUACAGGGUCAGGACAAAUGAACUAAGGACUAUAUAUGAACACUAGAAGGCAAUCAUUGUUACAUAAAAUGAUCUGCAGUCAACUGACAAAUAGUGUAUUGACGAGCACGUUUGCAGGUAUAAUAAAAAAGGGAGCAUCAAAUUUUUCAAUGAAACAAAGACUAAGCCAAUAGUACAUGACUCCGCCCCAGAAAAAUGGAGGACCAGUAUGCUGGCAGCAAGUUAGCAAAAGCAUAAACAUGUCAAGGAAAGGGAAAGCACCUUCAAGAAUCUGGGUCAAAAGAGGCUGCAGUCUACCAUUUUCAGCCAUCUGUCGGACAUUGUUCUCACACUUCUCCAGAUUUUCUAGAGUUUUAUCAGCUUUCUCAACAGUUGAAAUGUUCUCAGAUUUACUGCUGGUCAUUCCAAUUAAUAUAAGAAUUGCUCCAUUAAUAGAACCAAUCUUCUCACACAAGGCUUCAGAUUUUGAAAGUUCAUACAGCAAAGAGACAGCCUCCUCCCUCUCCUUGGACUGUUCAUGGGACAAGAAUUUAACUAUUGUGCGCACAGUGUCCCCCUCAGCCAAUAUUGCCUGAAAAAUAAUGCAAUAGUUAAUAAUCCAGUCCUGGAUGCAUACACUACAAUGAUCUCAUUGUCACUCAACAGGAAAACAUCAAACCUAGAACAACCUUAUUAUCUUCAUCUUCCUCGACCACUGCAAGGAGUGUCUCCAAUGCUUUGCACCGAACUUUACGGCUGCUGCUCUUUAACAUGUCAACAAUCAUAGGUAUCAGAUCAGCAUUGCGUACAGCAUGCUUAUUUGAUCGGUUCUUUUGGCAGAUACGUUGGAUAAACCUCAGAGACAGCAGAACAUCAUCUUCUGAACUGUUCAUAUUUAAUGAUCUACGAGCCAUAUCAAGCUGGGCUGCUUCAUUCCUAGUAGUCCACUCUUCAAUGGUGUUCCGCAAAGCGAUACUCGGGUUUAGAUCCGCACUUUUCAGUUCUUUUUGGGUCAAUGGGCAAACCAGCCUCCUUCCACUUUCCCUGCAUUCCUUGAACCAUUUUUCAAUUGCUUCACGUUCAAAUGUUUGGCCAUUUUCUAACGUCACAGGGUCACGCAUAACUUGCUUAGUCAAAGGGCAAACAAAUGCAUCAUAAAGGGGCUCUAUGUGCAGUCUCUCAAAAUGAUGGCUAUCAUCUGACUGACUGCCAGGGUCGUAACUUCCGUCCCAGCUCCCAGCCAUCUGACUUAUAUAGUCACCACACAAAAUACAAAAUUGCUUAACAAAUAAUCAGCUUCUUAGAAACUUGUACUAUUAACAGAGACAACAACAAACUGAAUAACCAAUGAGAUAACAAUCUUUAGAAGGCAGGCAGGGUACAAUUAGAAACAGCAAAAUCAGAGCUCAAAGGUUCAACCAAAUUCAAGCAGCUACAGAGUGACCAUAAACAACACUAUGUUUUUAUAUGGAAAAAGAGUGUAUGAAAAACACGAUUCCAAUAUUAACCCUCCAUUAGCUUGCCAAGGUGAUGCAGGAUACUAGGAGAAACUAAGUGCUUAUCUAGAAUUGGUUGUAUCAGAAUUAAGACAUGGAAAUAAAGCAUUACAGAAUACAUAUAUACAGGGGAAAAAAUCCCAUCACAAAAUCCCAAAGCUCAAUUUCCAAAUCUAAAUUAAGUAAGUCGACUGAGCAAUGAAUUUAAUGAAAUUAGAUUAGAAUCUAAGUGGAAAAAAUGGAAAUCAAAGAAGUAGCAACUACUUAACACCAACCAAAUAUAAAGUGAGAAAAAUUUAGAUUAGAAAAGCAGCAAGUUCCGCAGCUGCAACUCAGAGCUGAUUUAAAGAAAGAAAGAAGGUAAGAAAGGAGUAAUACCCUUUUUUAGAUUUUGAAGAGAGACAAAAAAGGAAUAGGAAGGAUGCGUUUGACAAAACUCUAGUUCUAGUUCGAAAAAUCGCUGCACAACUGAGGUUGGAAUAAAGCGGCGAAGUGGAUUCUUCCCAUAAGGUGUUUGACUUGCAUGAAAUGAUUAAAAUCGGGGGAGUUUAGAAAGAAUUUGAAUUAGGGUUUGGAUCUUGAUGUUGAAAGUGCUGAUGAUGGGGUUUCUUCUUUUGCUGAGAAGAAAAAAACAAAUGGGAAUAGGAAGAAACGAAAGAAAGCAGUGGAGAAAAUUAAAAUUAAAAUUAAAAUUAAAAUUAAAAAAUAAGAUUAAGAGUUGGAAAAAUAGGAAAAGUUGACCCAAAACGAGUACAGUAGUCAUCCCAUCUCAUUUGCCAAAGAGAGAGAAAGGGGGGGCGUAUGGAAUGGAGGCACCAACUCACCAUUCAACCUCCGGUGACCCCACUCCCCCAUCAGUGCUCCAACCAUACCCCCCCCCCCCCCAAAAAAAAAAGAAGAAAAAAAAAAACCAUGAAAUAUAUUUGCUUUUACUUUUGGCCAUUUUGCUUGGUAUCCAAUGAUACAACUGCAACCGGAGGGAUAGAGGGAGGGUGGCUGCCAUUGCCUUGGGGGAUGUAUUUUAAGAGCAACAUUGAUUCAACUCUAUUUCAAAGUCAAUCUAUGUGCUCAAUUAGUAAAAAUCUGUUCAAACAUAAAUACACUACUCACUAAUUACUUUAAUUUAUUACACCUAUUUAUAGCAAUACUAUUUUCAAACAUAAACGCAAGUGCUUCAUUUCCCGUCUUUGUUGGGCUAACAAUGCACUUGCGCUAAUGUGCAAUAGAUGAAGUGAAUGCACUUUCCAAAAAUUUAUCAAAGCAAUUGUGUAACUUGCACUUAAACUUAUAAUCUCUUAAAAUGGGUUACAACCAUCAUCAUACUCAAUAUCUUUCUUAUUGUUCACUAUAUUAAUGUGAUUUCUUUCACUUUUAUCAUACAUUCUUUUAAAUUAAUUUACUUAUCUCUCUCACAUUUUAUAAAAUAUAAUCUUUUUUUAUAACUAUCAUGAAAAUGCUGGACCCCAACAUUGUACCCAUUGGCCAAGGGUGAUCAUCCCAUCUCCAAAAUAUGGGAGCAAUUCGCAAAUUUAACUUGUGUGAUAAUGUAAUUGUAUGUGUGAGUGAGUAUGUGAGUUAUACUUAAAUGAUAUAUAUAUACAUAAGCUAUCUUAGAAAUGCUACAAAUAGUGGUUCAAAUGUUUCAUUCGAGACCUUUUGGUAAUUUGACAAACUUGAGCAUUCUACAUUCUUUUUAUAAUUUUCUCAUUUACAAUCACUACAACCACCACAAUGAUCUCUAUCCUUAGCCAUUUAUCAUCUUCACAACUAUCAUCUAGCACCGCACUUGUUCUUCGGAGUCUGCCUUGAUCUUUCUCUUUAUCAUCUCUCCAUGAUACUUCAUUUUUUUAGUUUAUAACGCUUAAUUACCAUAACAAAAUAACCAUUUAUGUUUUGGAAACUCUAAUAAGGUGAAGUAAUUACAUGUAAUGUGACACUUUCUACCUUUUUUUUUCUUUAAAUUUCAUUGAAAAUCAUAGUGAAUGUUGGAAAUUCAAAUACUCUAUCCCUUCCUAUAUCUAAGAUUUAAUGAAGAUGAUGAAAACAAACGAGAGAAAUGACAUAAAUGAUGGAAGAAAAUAAUAGGAAACAUGAUCGAAAUUAUCUAUCAAGUUAUAUGAUUUUCAAACAUCACCACUUCCCAAAACUAACCCAUAAAAAAUAUUUCCACUGAAGUUACCCUAUCCAAAAUAGUAAUGUAGAGAACACUUGUCUAGCCAAACACUUGGAUUUCAAUGGCAAGUGUUGUACAAGGAGUUGUGCCAAGAGUAUUAGGAGCUAGGUUAGUACUAAGGAGAAGCUUUUAGUACUGUUGAGUAAUUUUUUGUUGUGUUUCAUUAAAUGGGACAAUCGAAUAUUUAUAUACAUGGUUACUGUUCAUGGAAUUAACGUUCUUAGUAGACUCUAUGCAUGUAGGACACGUGUAUUGUUCUGGGCUGCCUAUUGGACUUUGUGGCCCCUACAUGGGAACUCAUUGGGCAUAUACGAAUUGAGACAGCAGGCUCCCCUUGUGAGCACCCCGUGGCAUGUGUGAACUGAGAUCGUGAGCUCCCUUUGCGAACUUAAGGUGGACGACCCAGACCUUAUCUAGUUCUCGGGUUGGUGAUCUUAAGCACAUAAAAAUCUAGUCUCCACUAUUAGGUUUAAAGAGGGCUAUAAAGUGGCGCUUCUUAGAGCCAUCACUUCACAUUUAUACAACCUUGCUAAAUAUGCAACGACCACUGAGACGUGAUGUUAACUUUGUCACGUGUACAGGUGGAUCACAUCUGUUUAUAUCUGGCUGUUGGUGCUCUUCGGUCAUUUGAAUUGUCCAAACGUGGGAAAGAGAAACUUAUUUAAAAUGGGGGUUUUUAGAAACCCUAAACUUACAAUCUAAACUUAUAAUCUUAACAUUUUCUGCAAACAAGCUUGAUCGAGACUUUCUUCAAGGUAACAUCUUCUAUCAUUUUCUUUUCUUUCUACAUAAAAAACAUGUUAAAAAUAAAACGUGCUGGUGGUCGAAUAAUUCUUAGUUGUCCACCGCGAGCGCAUGCUUCGAAGGUUCUUGUAGAAGCUAAUUUUUUUGUUUACACUACAAAAGAGGAAGAAAUGAGUCAAGUUUUGAGUGCACAAGGGAUUCGAAUCCCCAAUUUUGCUUACAAAUUUUCCAUCCCUUGUAACACCCCUUACCCGAGACCGUUUCCGGAGUCGAGCACGAGGCAUUACUUAGCUUAUCUUACCAAUUCGGAGCAUAAAAACUAGGUUUGAAAAUUUAUUUCAUUAUUCGCAGCAAAUCUGUCUAAUCGCGCAGCAGUUACUAAAUUAAUUAUAACUUGAGCUACAGAACUCGAAAUUUAAUCCCGUAAAUUUUCCCUGAAACUAGACUCAUAUAUAUACUCACCAUAAAAUUUUUAGAAUUUUUGGUUCAGCAAAUUAGUACAGUUUAUUAGUUAAAGUCUCCCCUGUGUCACCACCAGACUGCCCUGACCUCUAGUCACUAAAAAUAAGUUUUCUCACUAUAUGAUUUUCAUAUGAAGUUCUUACUUGUUUCUAUAGAAAAUAGACUCAUUAAGGAAUCUAAGCAUGUAAAUUUCAACUCAUAACCAUUUUUGUACAAUUUGUAAUUAUUUUCUAAACUCAGAACAGGGGACUCCAAAAACAGUUCUGACCCUAUCUUACUAAAAUUCACAUAUCUUAAAAUAUAAAUUUCUUUUUUUCUACACCGUUAUUUUUCCAUGAAAAUAGACUCAAAAAGCUUUAAUUCCAUAUAUCAUUCACCCUCUAAUUCAUUUUAUACUAUCUUGGGUGAUUUUUCAAAUUCACGUCACUGUGCUGCCUGAAUUCUGUUUCUUUGCAAAAUUUUAUCCUUUCAUGAUUUCCAUGCAUAAUUUAUCACCUAAUCUUUCAUAACAACAAACACCUUCAUCCUUAAUCAUUUUAAUAACCAUACAUCAUCAAAUACUUACACAUCACUCAUUAGCAAAAUCAUCACUACAAACAUACAAAAUAACUAAAUCCCUAUACAUGCCAUAACUUAAACGUGUUUCGAUAUAAAAUACCGAGCAGUUGUAGUUGAUGGUGUGGACGAUCUCCGACUUCUUUAGGAUCCUUGAAGUAGCUUUGCAAUACUAUAAGAGAAAGAAAAAUAAAAGAAGUAAGCAUAAAGCUUAGUAAGUUUACUAGCAAAUAAAUAACAAUAUUUAACUUAAAUAAUUAAACUCAAUGUCUAUAUCUCUAGUUUACUCUUUAGUUAAUCUCAUACUAGUUCUCUUACUUGUUUACUUAGAAUAUUUGUGUGCAUAACUUACUCAAUCCCUGCUGCAUCGUUGAACAUCAAUUGAUAGUAUAAUAAGUUCUUAAGUCUUACAACUUACCUGAGCUUGCCAUUUAUGCUUUAAACUGAACUUUCAUGAACAUGAUUCGUUUACAAGCCCGUUGAACUACAUUGGAAUAAUAAGGAUACUCGGGUCUCUUCUGAUAAUAACAUGCCAAAGCCAUGUCCCAGACAUGGUCUUACAUGGGAUGUUCUCGUGAUGGUGCCCAUGCCAUGUCCCAGACAUGGUCUUAUAGGGGACCUCUCAUCUCGGUGCCAACGCCAUGUCCCAGACAUGGUCUUACAUGGGACCUCUCGUCUCGGUGCCCAUGCCAUGUCCCAGACAUGGUCUUACAGGGGACCUCUCAUGAUCUUAAGGAUGCCAAUGCCAUGUCCCAGACAUGGUCUUACAUGGGAUCUCUUUACCCAAAUGUCAUGACAUUCGUAUCCAGUACCAUCCUUAUGUAUCAACGGGACUUUUAAAUUUUAAUUCUCUAUCAUUUCAUGCUUGGAUCAUCAUCAAAUAAAUUCAUAAAAUAAAUUCAUAAUUGCUGGAAAUUAACAGCAUUAAUAAUAAAUAUUGAAAUAUUGCAUUUAUUUACCGUAAACUUACCUCGGUACCAAUUAUAGCCAAAUUCACCAACUUAGUCUUCAACUUUAUUCUUCCCUUUGUCUAACCUCGAGUUUCGUACUUCUUGAUCUAAAAUAGUAAAUUUAACUUAUUUAAUAAUCACAUUCAUCAAAAUAGCCCUCGACUCUAACUUUUUCAAAAUUAUAAUUUUGCCCCUGAACUUUUACAUAAUUACAUUUUUGCCCCAAGGCUCGGAAAUUAAACUUCAUCUCUUAUUCUUAUGUUUUAUAACAUUCUGAACAUUUUUCCCUUCUAUGGCAACAUCAAAUUCUAAUUUAAUCCCUUAUCAAUACUAAUUUUAUUUUUGCAUUCUAACUUUAUAUUCUCUCUUAAUUCUUACUAUAAAGUCAAUUUAAUUCCUCAAUUUCACCAUAAAUCCCUAAUUUCGGGAUUCUUUCAAUUUAAUCCCUAUCGAUUCAAAACUUAUAUUUUAUUUUACAAUUACGUUCUUUACUAACUUCUAACUUGAAAUUAAAUCAAUUUAACCCCUAACUAAACCUAUAUAUUUUUCUUUCUCAAUUCAUACCCUUAUUCUACCCAAUUUCUUGCUAAACUCAUAUUUAACUAUUUAAUUUUUAUCAUGUUUUCAUAAUUCCGAAUUUAUUUCAAAUUAAUCCCUAAAAUUCAAAACUUAUAGUUUAGUUUACAAUUCAAUCCUUUAUUCAAUUCCAAUCAAAAUUUCUAUCAAAUACAUCCCUAAUUUAACAAUUUAUUCAACAUGAACCAUGCUUAAUAAUCUACUAACUUCCAAAAUUUCAACUUAAUCAAGUAGUAUUUUGUUCUAGGAUUUCAAAAAAAAUAUCAAAAUUAAGAGAAAAUGGGAUUAAAUUGACUUACCAAAUUACUUUGAACCUUAAAACCCCAAAUUUCCCUUUUUCUUUUCUUUUCUUUCUUUCUUUCCUUCCUUCCUUCUCUGUUUCGUUUUGCUCUCUGUUUCUUUCUUUCUCCCUUCUCUGUUUUGUUUUGCUCUCUGUUUCUUUUCUUUCUUUCUUUGUCAUAUAUAUAUAAUAAUAAUAAUAUAAUAUAAUAUAAUAUAAUAUAAAAACAUAAUUAUUACUUACGCAUGUAUAAUAUAAUAUAUAUAUUUUAAAUUAAAAAUAUCUUAGAUUUUUCUUUUGUUAUGCCGCCUCAACUUUAGAAAAAGGCAUAAUUUCCUAUUUGGUCCUUUAACUUUUCUUUAAUCUAUAAUUAAACUUUUAUCCUUACUUCAAUUUAGUCAUUUUUCAUAAUUAACUAUCAAAGCGUUAAAAUUUCUUAACGAAACUUUAAUAUUAUCCUGUUGACACUCCGUAAAUAUUUUUAUAAAUAUUUACGGCUCAGUUUAUAAUAUCGAGGUCUCGAUAUCUCGUUUUCGACCCAAUUUACCUAAUAAUUUCUUUUAAAUCACAAAAUUCACUGAUUUAAAAAUAUUUCUAAAAUCACACUUAACUUAUAAUUAUUAAUUAAUAAAUUUUUCUAACUUUUUCAUCAAUUUUAGUGAUCUCAAAUCACUAUUCUGACACUACUAAAAUUUGGGCUGUUACAUCCCUGAUGGGUCUCACAGGCUUAGUGAUACUAGUGAUGGCAGCUUCCUACUCCCCCUCUAUGCUCUAGAAGUGGGGUUCUACUUGCCUUUACAUCAUUUCUUCUGUCAUUUUCUUCAAGAUUACCAGAUUGCUCGCGAUCAACUCUGCGGGUUCUUUUUGUGGAUUGCGAUGGUUUAUUUUAUUGAUUGUUGCUAACGUAAUGAAGCACUAUAGCUCGCAGUGUUCCAAAGCUUAUAUCUAUUAAACGCCCAAAAUCGAGGUAGCUCAUCAGGCUUUUACUAUUUUUCUCCCCAUGAUAAAGGCAAGACCAUAAUUGCGAACAAAUGUGCUAAUCUUUGGCUAAACAGGGGAAAAUAUAUCAGGGUGAGAUGUAGGCUCGUAGAUGGAUUUAGUUUUCCUACAGAGUGGUCCACGCCAAGUAUAGACAUGUGUUCAUUUAGGCGAACCGUUGGGACAAAUGGUUGUUCAGCCUAGUUGGAAAGGCUUCGUGCUAGUAGUUUAUUGGUUAUCAAAGAUCUUAUAACCGUGAGAAACAUAUUUUGAUAUCGUUUAGAGGGCCUUAGUCCUAAUAGAUACAGACGAGGUGACAGCAGAAAAGUUACUGAUGCCUUAGGUGCAAACCCUGAAAGACGGACAUGUCCCUAUAUAGCCAAAGAUGCCCACGAUGACUUGGGUCUAAUCCUGACAGGAUUUAAAGAGGAACCCAAGAAAUUCUUUUACAAUUACUGUAGGAUGAGGCAUUGACCCUAGAUUCUGGUGGUCUUAUCGCGGGCAAAAAGCGAUGCCAAUAUUAAUUUGAUAAUUGCUCCUAUUGAUACUGAGAUUGUUGGUGGUGUAGAUGCAGCUCGCAGUUUAGGAAGCGAUUAUGAGGAAACUACCAGUAUAUUGCGAGAAAUUAACGAAGCUAUGAACCUUCGAGCUGCUCUGAGGGACAUGUGCAAGAAGCGCAGGAUUGAAAUGAGGGAUGUUAACGUGGUUACCAGCAGCGAAGAGGAAGCAGAUAGUGGCAGGUUAGAGUUUCGCCGUAAAAUGAGGGUAAACCAUGCUAGACAUUUUGUUGUGAUGGCCACCACUCAUACUUCUCCCUCAGCGAGAUCACACUCUACAACUCAUAAAAGUUCUCCUAUUAUUAUCGUGGUAGUUCCCUUCCUCUUGCUCCUAUUUGUAUUUCUCUUUUUCCUCUACCUCUCGCUGAUGAGCCAUCUGCUGAAGAUGAUGGCGAGCUGGUCCUAGGUCGCGGGAAUUUAAGCACAAGGGAGUUGCAAAACAUGAUUGAAAAGUGGAAAGCUUUUGUGAUAAAAGCUGUAAAAAGGAAAAUGUGUGCCAGUGAGUCAUUAGGGAGUUCGCAGAAGUCUAAUUUAUCGAAACUCAAUUCCUUUCUGCAAGCUCUCUUGGCCAAGGCUAUUGUGAUCAGUUUGGGCCUUGACGAACAUCUUGUUGGGGCAUAGGCUAAUUAGAAAUAGCUCGAAGAAAAUCUUGAGAGCACUCGGGAGCAAUACUUGAAGAUGAGGGAUGAAAACGAAGUACUCUAUAAGUAAAAAGAAGAGCUCGUUAAGAAAUUGAAGGUUGCACAAGUGAAAAAUGAUGAAUUAUCUAGCGAGGUUAUGGUUGAAAGAGAAAGAAGUAAGGCCUUAAAUGUUGAGUUAAGGAGAACUAUUGAAGAGCACAAGGAAACUGUGAGUCGAGUCAUUGCUGAGUAUGAAGCUGCAAUGGCGAGUUAAAGCACAAAUAAGUCAAAGCCUUUAAAAAAAUUAAGAAGACUUUAGAAACCAUGAGUAAUCUCACUUCUGAGCUCAAGUCCAACAUUCUUCUGCAUAUUCAAGUUGUGGUUGGACCCUUCAAUGCUUGCCAAGUUGACUUUGACGCCCUCUACGAGGUAGAUAUGGAUAAACCUUGUUUUGAUGUUCACUUCCCUUCGGGAGUUGGUUGGGAUGAGUUUGCAUCAAAGUGGAAGAACUCAAAAGAUUUUUACCUUGAUGAAGGUCAUUCUGAGUCGAUCGUUAUGCCUACUAAUGAAAAUAUCACCACCACACCUGUUGAAAAUAUUGAAGUUGUAGAAAGGGAAGAUGAGAUCACUAGGGAUCUUGAAGGGGGGAGGAUGCGCCUUAAAUGAUUGUAAAUAUGUUUUACUCUUAUUAUGAUCUUAAUAAGAAAAAUUGAAGUUUAGUUAUCAGUGUUAUGGUAUUCUAUCAUUCUGCAAACUCGAGCAAAAUUUUCAAUUUAAUCAAACCUUGAACUUAAGCAUGUUUUAAAAUUAAAGAAAUUUUAGGCUUAAGUGAAUUUUUGAACUUAAGUAUGUUUUGAACUUAAGUAAAUUUUUAAUUUGAGUAAAUUUCAAACUGCUUUAUCUAAAAUCCUUAAACAACUUAGUGUAACUCGAGUCACUAACUGCAUUGGAGCUGCGAGCUCGAAUGUGUGAACUUUUAUACAGUAAGUUGGGAACGUAGGUCUGCUACUUGUGUUAGAGUUGUGAGCUUGAGCCUGUAAGCUUUUAGAGUUGUUUUUAGAGGUUGCGAUCAUAAACCGACAAAUCUUUAUAACAUUAGCUGGGAUCGUAGGUCUGCUAGUUUUGUUGGAGAUGCGAGCAAGCUCUUAGAAUAUCAUCUGGGAACAUAGGUUUGCUAGUUGUUUUUAGAGGUUGCGAUCAUAAAUCGAAAAACCUUUAUUACAUUAGUUGAGAGCGUAGGUCCACUAGCUGUGUUAGAGCUGCGAGCUCUUAGAAUAUCAGCUGAGAAUAUAGGUCCGCUAGCUAUUUUUGGAGGUUGUGAUCAUAAACUGAAAAACCUUUGAAUAAUACUAAGUACAAGUGUAUGUGAGGAAAAUAUUUUUAUUCAAAGAGUAAAAAAUUAUACAUAGUACUUUUUGAGGUGGCGCGCAUUCCAUAACCAAUUUUUUCUAUGACAUUGUAUGAUCCUUCCUAAUUCGGAGCCAUUUUUCCUUGCUACGAAGUUGGAAAACUAGCCUCAGUAUUUCUUAAGACAAGAUCGACUAUUUGGAGCUGCUUUUUUUUACCUUAGAGGUUUAAUAACGAGCUACUUGUUGAGCACCCGCUGCGUUCUUGAUUUCUACUACUUUUCUGAAUUCAUAGAUCAAAUCAAGGUUAAGCCUGAUGGCUUCCUAAUUGAUUUCUUCAUCAAAACACUGGGUUUUGUGCGAUCUCAUGCCAAUCUUAGUAGGGAUUACAGCCUCUAUGCCAUAAACAAGAGAAAAAGUUGUUUCUCCUGCUGCAGUGUGGGGCGUAGUUCGCAGAGCCCACAAAAUUCAUGGUAGCUCCUCUAACCAAGUGCCUUUGGCCUCACCAACUUUCUUUUUCACGGCUGUUAGAAUUUUCUUGUUUAUCGCUUCUACCUGCCCAUUCUUUUGUGGUGUUUUAAUUGAACUCUGAGCCAAAGCUAUAUGAAGGUUAGUACAGAAGUUUUUGAAUUUUCCCUGAAACUGUGUACCAUUGUCUGUAAUGAAACCUGCAAACAAUUGACUUCCAGAAGAAAUACUCCAUUUGUUUCUCUAUAAUGGUUGCUAAAGCUUCAGUUUCAAUCCACUUGGUGAAAUAAUCUACAACCACCAUUAUAAACUUCUUCUGUGUCGUGGCUAUUGGAAACGGGCCAAGGAUGUCUAUUCCCCAGGACACGAAUGGUUAGGGGCUUGACAUAACCUGAAGAGGCUCUAGUGGUUGCCGUUGUACCUUGGCAUAUCUCUGGCAAGAGUCGCACGUGCGAACCAACCGACGUACAUCCUUUUGGAUUGUAGGCCAGUAAUAUCCUUGUCUGAAGAUUUUCUGGGCAAGUAGUCUUCCACCCAAAUGAUCACUGCAAAUACCCUCAUGAAUUUCUCGCAUCACAUAGUCAGCAUCAGGUGGUGAUAAACAUCGCAGUAGUGGAUACGAAAACCCCUUUUUAUAUAAUAUACCAUCUAAAAAGGUAUACCUAGCAAUUAUAGGACACAAUAAAUUGUUUUAAUCUAUCAUGGAAUUGAAUAAAUUGACAAAUAUCUACUUAGUGUUCAGAUAUCUAAUUCACUCAGUAUGAAUAUUUUAGAUAUUUUUAGUUUGCAAUAAUGACAUACCUUGUAGCUUUGCAUUGUAGUAUUGCGAGCUCCAUUUUUUUCCAGAUUAUAUUGUGUGCCUUGGGCUGUGCGAACUAUGGGAGUUAUCCAAGUCUCCUCCUGAUCUACGCAUAGAACUUGUGGCAGAUCAUAGCUCAGGGUAUCCCUAUGCUAGAUCUGGAUUUUUCCUCUUUGCUUAAUGACAACAGAGGAUACUAAUUUGGAUAAAACAUCUGUAUGUGUGUUGUCACUUCUUGGGAGCUGCUUAACCUGGAAUUUAUCAAAUCUUGUGAGCAAUUGGGCUACAAUUGCAUGAUAUUUUUUUAGCAUCGCUUCCUUUACAUCGUACUCACCAUUCAUUUUCUUUGCCACCAACUGUGAAUCUGUGUGGAUGGCUAGAUCCUUCACCCCUAGUUGGCAUGCUAGCUGUAGUCUCGAUAUCAAAGCUUCAUACUCUGCAGUGUUGUUGGAUGUUUGAAACCCAAAAGAUAGUACAUAUUUCCAACUUCCUUCAUAGGUUGAUUAGUCAUGACAACGACUGGAUGAGCCUGAAAGUACGAAUGCAACUUAAGAGCUACAAUAAUCAAAGCGAAGAUACACUUUUCUAUUUUUGAGUACCUUAGUUUGUUGUUUUAGAGUACCUUGUUGAUGUAAAACACUGGAAAUUGGCAAACAUCCUCUACUCUAACUAACACUACUGAAACUAUCUCCUCCGAGGUAGCCAGAUAUAGAUAGAGGGUUUCUCCCACUAGUGGUGACUUUAGAAGCAAUGGAGAGGUAAGGUACAACUUUAGUUCUUCAAAGGCUGCCUGACACUCUUCAAUCCAUAAGAAAGAGGUUCUCAAGGCCCUGAAGAAAUUGAGGCAUUUGUACGACAUCCUGGAAAUGAACCUGUUGAGUGCCACGACUCUACCUGUGAGGCGUUAAAUAUCUUUUACUGUUUGCGGGGAAAGCAUUUCUAAGAUCACGCAGAUCUUGUCCGGGUUUACCUCUAUUCCCUUUUCUAAAAUCAUGAAGCCCAAGAAUCUGUUAGCUCACACACCGAAAGCACACCUUUUAGGAUUUAGUUUCAUGUUGUGGGCCCUCAAAACUACAAAUGCCUCGAAUAAGUUUCGCACAUGCUCCUCCAUAGAUCCACUUUUCACCAACAUGUCAUCCACAUAGACUUCAAGUCCGUGCCCUAUCUGGUUUUUGAAAAUUCUGUUCACUAAUCUUUGAUAGGUUGCUUUUGCGUUUUUGAGACUGAAAGGCAUAACUCGAUAAUAGAAAAGUCCUUAUUCGGUGAUGAAAGCUGUCUUUUCCUGGUCACUCUUAUCCAACAGAAUCUGGUUAUAGCCUAAGAAAGCGUCCAUGAAACUCAUGAACCUGUGACCUGCAGAGGCAUUAACUAAAUGAUCAAUCGAAGGUAGAGGGAAACUAUCCUUAGGACACGCCUUGUUGAGGUUAGUGAAAUCAAUACACAUUCUUCAUUUGCCAUUUGUUUCUUCACCAUAACCACAUUCGACACCCAAUUUGGAUACUCAACCUCCCUAAUAAAACCUUCCGAUAACAGUUUAGCUACCUCUUGUUUUACUGUUUCCACCACCUGUGGAGCAAACUUCCUCAUCUUCCACUAAACUGGUUUUGCCUCUGGGAGCACAUUCAACUUGUGAACGAUCACCUGGGGGUCCACCUGUAACACCCCAUACUCGGUCAGGACGCCAAGCCAAAUAUUGAGAUGCCACACCACCGUCUCACUACUUGUUCAUCUAAAACGACAUGUUAUUUCUCAUGCAUCUAUUUUUUUUAUUAAUAAUAACAUAGCAUUAUCAUGAAUUAUAAACCAUACAUUCACUUUUUGUUGAUAACCCAUGCCAAGAAUUCAUAAAAUAACAUAACAUAGGUAUUAAUCGUGCAUUAGGACCACUUAUCAAAUUUUCCCAGGAGUGUUACGUAGGCAUCAAUACCACGUGGAAAAUUGAUACCAAACUAGCAUUCAAUUUCUCGCCAAAUUUCAAAACAUCAGAAAAUAUCAGUACCUUUCGUAAGGUAUCAAUAAUUACACCUCGAGUAUCAAUACUUGGGCCAAGGUAUCGAUACCAAAUUUAAAUUUUGACUUGCUGCACUGUUGAAAAUACAGAGGUAUCAUUUUAAAAGCCCUGAUAUCGAUACCUCUACUUCAGGUUACAACAUUUUAGCAUAUAAGAGCAUUUAAAUCAUUCAAACUCAAGCCUUAAAGAUCGUGUUUCAUUCACCUAGUCAUAUAAGCAUCAAAAUGUCUAAAACAAUAGUCUGAAUACCAUAUCCACGUCCACAUGCUUCUAAACAUACAUUAUAUGAAAAUAAUCCCAAAUACGUCUUAACAAACCGAUAUAAAUAUCUACCACAUUGCCUUUUUAUUUCCUAAAACUAGAAUAAGCAAAACACUUUUUAUAAUGAAUAAAGAAUGGUUUGGAUCAAUCCCUCGACAGCCACACCAUUCACACCAAGAAUGCAACUACUCUGCAAGGGAUAAAAUGGUGUGGGUAGGAUUAACAAGCUCAGUGAAUACUUAGAACAACCACUACUCAAACAAGUCAUCAUGCAUCAACCAAACAACAUACAACAUAUUCCCAAAACAUCAUUAACUAAGUUCCAUAAUUCACAUAUUUAGCCAUAUUUCAUGCAUUCUUUUACACAUUAUUUAUAUGAAUGUUUAGGCAUAUAUAUAUUCUGACACACAUCAAUCACAUAUAAGCACAUAUAAUUACAUACAAUCACAUUUAAUCAAAGUGUAUGAUAAUUUGGCACUUGAGAUUAUGAAACGUAAAGUGGAUUCUAUUACCACUUAUCGGAUACAUGGAUCUCCAUCACACCAUACACAUACAUAUCCUGAUGAAUGAAGCUUUGCUUACAUUCCCUUAUCUCUCCAACAUUGUCCUUGGGUUUCAACACCCAUAUAUCACAAUCACAAAUAAGUGAGUACUCACAAUCCUAUGGCAUGCUAACUAUAUCCAACGAUCUCAUUAAGUCACAAGGCCAAAAUAUCCAUAUUAAUAUCACACAUUUACUUACCUAUUUUUCGCACAUAUUCGCUACAUUUCCAUAUUAUUAACACAAUGUAAUCUCUGUCAUAAGGCAUGAAUAAUGUACUCUCAUAUUCACUUCCACAACAGCAAACAUAAACUCAUAGCACAUAUCAUAGCAUCUCAUAUGUUCAUGAUUUCACAAUUUCACAAAUUCAUAAACAAACAUAUCUCACAUUUAAUCACAGGUUCGAGAACACUUACACUUGAAAUUUAGAGUAGGGGUUUAGGCUACCUCUAAAUUCCCAAAUACAUAACGAAUCAUCUAAGAGUAGCAAUUCUAAAACACUCACCAAACUAUUUGCUUUUGCCGAAAAACCGAAAGCUUAGACAAGUUGCCCUUUUCCCUUAUCUCUACCCUUUAAAGGUCCUAUCGAGUCCGACACUUCAACAAGACAAACCACGCAUAUAUUUAAUCAACAAUCAGUUAAUAACUCACCUCAAACAACCACAACCACAAACAGAAGCCUAAGAUGCACUCUUCUUUAUCCAAAACCUUUAGCACGACAAGCUUAAAAUUUGAAUAACUAAGUCUAUCUAACACGCUAUACUCAGCCUGAUUGCCAAGCCCGAAUAUCAGGAUGCCACACCACCGUCUCAUGUCGUAACCAACAAGUAAAAGCUCAUUCCAACGAAACAUCUAUCAGUUUGCUAUUCGCAUCGUUCUUAAGUCAAUCAUACUAGCUAGUUAUCAUUAUCACGUGCUAAACUUAUAUUGAAUAGUCUUAUAAACAUAUAAUACAUGCAUAAGGUCAAUUCAGCAAAAUUCUCAAACUAGGUCCGUAGGUAUCGAUACUAACACAAAGGUAUUGAUAAUUUCUUUAAGUGGUAUCGAUACCAUCUAGAAAAAUGAUACCAAACUUGCAUUCUAUUUCUCGAUUAAAAAUCAAAGUCUCAAAAAUUAUUGGUACCUGUCGUGAAGUAUCAAUAAAUUUACCCCGAGUAUCGAUACUCGAGCAAAGGUAUCGAUACCAAAUCUCUAUUCUGACUUCCUGCACGUUUCAAAACACAAAAGGUAUUGAUUUUAAAACCCGAUUAUCAAUACCUUUGCUCCAGACCUCAAAAAUGAGCAUACAUAUGUAACUAAUCCAUUCCAAUUUAGUUUCUAAAAAUCAUACAUAAAUUACUUCGACAAAUAAUCAUUCAACAGCCUAAUUAACAGUUCGAGCAAGUAGCGUUAAUCCAUUCUCAUGUUCAUGAACCCAAGCAUCACAAUAACAUGUAAUCCUUAUAAACUGAACCAAAAACCAGCAUAAUGUCUAGAAAUCAACAGGGUUGUAACGAGUCUACCACAUUGCCUUAUUCCUCAAAACGUAAAUAAAUAUAGAACACCUACGAAAUAAUGCAAAAGUCUUGCUUGGAUCACUUUUAGGAACCACACCGUUCACACCAGCACACAACUAAUUUGUAAUGGUUAAAGAAUGGACUGGGUGAGCUUAACAAGCUCAGCGAAUGCCUAGAAGAACUACCAUGCAAACAGUUCAUCAAGCAUUAAUGAAAAAACCAUAUUGCAUAACCUUAAUAGUUCCAAGUUAGUGUCAUAAUGUACUUACUCAUGUAAUAUUAUUAGUUCUUUUACAUGGUAAACAUAUUCACUUUUAAGCAUAUAUCCUAUUAAGCAUAUAAUCACCUAACAUUCAAACAUAUAUCGCAAUAUUAAAAAAUAGGUUUAUAGAUAAAUUGCAUAAUUGUCACAUACUCAUUUAGGCAUACAUCACGUUACAUAUAUAUACAUUUUAAAAUAAUUUGGCAAUUGAGCUAUAAAACAUAAAAGUGAACUCUAUCAUCACUCAUCGGAUACGCAGAUCUCCAACACACCAAACAUAGACUCCUAGAGUCAAACAUGUCCCAAAAGUGAAGCAUAAAGCUAGCACUCUCAUUAUUUCCCCUCACAUGUCCCGUUGAAUGGAGCUUAGCUUACAUUCCCUUAUCCCUUCAGCAUGUCCCAGGGCUUCAAUGCCCAAAAUCACUAUACAUAUAGGUGAGUACUCACAAUCCUAUGGCAUACCAACUAUAUCCAAUUAUUGCAAAAUCCCAAGGCCAAAAUAUCUGAAUUCAAACACAUAUCACUUACCGAUUAUCCGUGCAUAGCUAUUGUAUAUUUGCAUCUUUAGUAAAACACUUUCACUAACAUUUAACAUAUACAUAACAUGUACAUAUUUUCACUUUCACAACAGUUAUCAUAACCACAUAUCGCGUGUAAUAGCAUCUCUUUUCAUUUCACAUAUUCACAAACACAUAAGCACUAUGUUCACAAGAUAACAUUGGUAUGAGAAAGCUUACACUCGAAAUUUGGAGUAGGGGUUUAGGCUACUACUAAAUUCCAAAAUAAUGUAUUGAAUCAUGUCUGCAAGUAAUUAUUCCAAACACUCACUAAUUACGCUUUCGUCGAAAAGCCGAAAGCUCAAACUAGCUUUUCUUGCCUUUAUCUCUACUCGAAGAAGGUUCUAUCGAAUCUGAAACUUCAACACAACAAAUUCACACAACAAUGCAUCCAAAAAUCAGUUAAGGACUCAUUACAAGCAUACAAAACAUAAGCCUAAACUAAGUUCUUAUGUAACCGAAACCUUUAACAUAGCCAACUUAAAACUCAAAUAUCUUGGUCUAUACUCAAUCUUUUUGCCUAAAACCAAAUGCAUUCAUCUUAUAAUUCACAUACGAAUAAUUCCCAACCUUUAAAAUACAAUAAAAUACUCAAUUCAUAAUAUCAAAAAUUUCGACAUGUUUUAUGGUUAUUUUUUAAAAAAUUCAUUAAAACUCAAGAAUUCUUUAACAAAACUUCAAAGUAAGUUUAGAAACCUUCUAAUUAUGUUAAAAAAAAGUUGAAAAACACUUUGAAACUACAUUUUAAUGUAAAAUUUCGAAAUCCACCAUUAACGACCCAAUUUUCGGCUUUUAUUUAAAACAUCCAAUUUAAUGGCUAAAAACUUGGUUUUAAAGAAUAAUAACAUUUAAAACUAAUAGGAAGAUGAAUAGUUGAUAAAAAACUGAGUGUUUGAUUAAAAACUCAAAAAAACCCACAACCUUGACAAUUGAGGAAUCUAUGGUGUUUUUAGGUGUUUUUCUUGAAGUAUUAUGGAGGUUUAAUGUUGUAAGGAUGAUGAAAAUCAAAAGACUUGAGUUUAGGAAAAAAAAUAUAAUGGAGGGGAAGAAUUAACAUGCAAUAUAUAUAAGUGGGGGAGGUAUUAGGUUGAAUUUUAAAAUUUAGUUUAAUUGCUUCAUAAAGACUCACAAUUUUGACUCUUCUGCAAAUCAGUCCUAUUUUCAAAACUAAAGGUAUUUAAAACUCAUUUUCAGAAAUUUAUAAUUUUCUAAUAACCAUAGUAAAAAAAACAUUACCGAUAAACCAUGUUGCAAAAUUCCGAACACUCUAAGGCUAAAAUUCUUAAAAUACCCAUAAAACUCCUAGGCCCUAUUUUUAGGUGCGACGGUCCAUGUCUAAUCUUUUCGUAUGAAACAAAUUCCAUUCAUCUACGACUAAUUCCCAACCUUUAAACUUUACAAAACUACGAGUUUUAAGGUACCAAAAUUUUUCGACAAGUUUUGACCAUUACAGCGAAAAUUCAUUAAAACCUGAGAAAUCCUUGACGAAACUUCAAAGUUACUUUAGAAAGCUUCUAAUUAGGUUAAAACUAAUUGAAAAAUACUUUAAAACCAAGUUUUUAUCCACAAACUCGAAAUUCACCAUUAAAGACCCGAUUUUCGGGUUUUAAUCAAAACAUACAUUUUAAUGGCUAAAAACUCAGUUUUAAGGACCCAAUAACAUUAAAAACUAAUAAGAAUGAGAAUGGUUACCUUUAAUAAGAGGAAUAACGAGUUUUUGAUGUAAAUCUAGAAAACCCACAAGUGGAGAAGAUGAUGGAAUUGGUGAGAUUUUUGGGUAAUUUUUUAAAGAUUUAGAGAAGUUUAAUGCUUGGAAAUUAUAGAAAUUCAAAGUAUUAUAGUUUGGGAGUUAAAAAUCAAUUGAGAGAGUGAAGAGGAGUAAGGGUUGGCAGGUAGGGCAAUGGGGAAUAAAUCUAUCGUGAACAAAACUGGGAAUGGAGGGUUUAAGGGUUCAAUUUCAAAAAUCGGCUAAACUGCAACAUCAAUGCUCUAAAAUUUGAAUCUUUUACAAAAUAGUCCCAUUUUCUAAAAUUAAAGACAUUUAAAACAUAUUUCCAAAAAUUGACUUAACUUUAUGAAAAUCAUUGUCGAAAACAUUAUUGAGUACCAACCUUUCAAAAUUCCGAGCUCAUAUACGCCAAAAUUCCUAAAAGACCCCUAAAACUCUGAGGCCCUAUUUCGGGGGUGUGACAACUCUCCCACACUAAAAAGAAUUUCAUCCUCAAAAUUUACCUGAGCUAAAAAAAUACGGAUAUUAACAUCUUAUCGCUUCCUCGAUUUCCCAAGUGGCCUCUUCCACCUUAUGGUUGCACCACAAAAAUUCAACCAAUGGGACUCUUAUGUUUCACAACACUUUCAUUUCAUGAUCUAAAAUCUCUAUUGGUUCCUCAUCAAAAGUGAGAUUAGGUUGAACCUCAAUCUCUUCUACUGGCACAAUAUGUAACGAAUCCGAAAGAUACUUUUGAAGCAUAGACACAUGGAAAACAUCAUGAAUUUGAUCAACUUCUGGCGGUAAUUUGAGUGGAUACGCUACAGGUCCAACCCUCUCGACAACUUCAUUUGGUCUGACAUACCUUGGACUUAACUUACCCUUCCUUCCUAACCUCAAAACCUUCUUUCAAGAGGAAAAUUUCAAGAACACCUUAUCGCCAAUUUGAAACUCGAUGUCUCGACGUUUCAAAUCCACAUAAAAUUUAUACCUAUUUGUCGCUUCCUUCAACCUCUCGCAUUUCAACUUCACUUUCUCUUCGGUCUCUCGAACUAAAUCCACUCCAACAACUCGCUUUUCAUCCAACUUCGUCCAACAGAAAGGAUUUCUACACUUCUUACCAUACAAUGCCUCAAACGGUGCCAUGUGAAUACUCGCUUGAAAACUGUUAUUAUAAGCAAACUCUGCUAAGGACAGAUAUCGCUCCCAACUACCACUAAACUCGAUCACACAACUUCGUAACAUAUCUUAUAGAACUUGAAUUACCCUCUCAGAUUGGCCAUCAGUUCGAGGGUGAUAAGCCGUAUUGAAAGUAAGCUUUGAUCCCAAAGCCUCUUACAAACUCUUCCAAAACCUUGACGUAAACCUCAGAUCCCUAUUAGAAAUAAUCGAAACUAGUACCCCAUGAAGACGAAUAAUCUCAGCAAUAUACAACUCUGCCAACUUCUGCAACGAAUAAUUGGUUCUCACUGCUACGAAAUGCGCACUCUUCAAAAAUCGAUCAACUAUAACCCGUACCAAAUCUUUCCUUGACAGAGUCAAUGGCAAACUCGAAAUAAAAUCUGUAAUAAUCCUUUCCCACUUCUAUUCAAGAAUCGCAAUAGGUUGUAACAACCCUGAAGAAAAUUGUUGUUCAACUUUCACCUUUUGACAAACCAAACAUCAAGCCACAAAAUCUUUAAUGUCAUGCUUCAACCCAGGCCACCAAUAAAUCUUACGGAGAUCGUGAUACAUUUUACCAUUACCAGGAUGCAUAGGGUAAGGACUACUAUGCACCUCGUUAAGGAUCACUUGCCUUAAAUCCACAUUUUGUGGCACACACAAUCUACCUCGAAAAUUCAAAAUACAUUCUGCAUUAAUAUCAAUAUCUCCCUUAACACCUUGCUCCACUUGUCGAAUCUUUUUCAACAAAUCUCCAUCUAACAGUUGUUUUUCCUUAAUCUGUUGCGACAAAGUUUGCCUCACUUGAAGUUCAACACACAAACCACCAGCACUAGCUAAACUCAAGCGCGCAAACGUAACUCUCAACUCCGUCAUUGACUUCCUACUCAAAGCAUCGUCAAUAACAUUCGCCUUACUAGGGUGAUAUUCAAUCAUACAAUCAUAGUCCUUUAAAGGCUCAGGUCCUUUUUAGAGAGGAGGUACUUAAGACUUUUAUGAUUAGUGUAAAUUACACACUUUUCUUCAUAAAGAUAAUGACGCCAAAUCUUAAGUGCAAACACCACAACAACUAACUCCCAAUCAUGAGUAGGAUAGUUCUGUUCGUGUGUCUUCAACUGCCUUGAAGCAUAAGCCACAACUUUACCCUCUUGCAUCAAAAUGAAACCAAGUCCCGAAUAGGAAGCAUCACUAUAAACUACAAAAUCUUUUCCAGGCUUCGGUUGAAUCAACACAGGUGCCUUUAUCAACACUACCUUCAGCUAAUCAAAACUCUUCUACCUUUCAUCAGUCCAUUCGAACACCACACUCCUCUGAAGUAGUUUCGUUAAGGGUGCAGCAAUGAGAUAAAACCCUUCAACGAAUCUACGGUAGUAACCAACUAAACCUAAGAAACUCUGAACUUCAGUAACACUCCUAGGCGGCUUCUAUUCUAAAAUUUCCUCAAUCUUCUUUGGGUCCACAUGAAUCUCUUUUGCCGAAACCACAUAGACUAAGAAUGCCACUUUCUUAAGACAAAAUUCACAUUUACUUAAUUUUGCAAACAAUUACUUGUCCCAAAGAAUUUGUAGAACAACCCUUAAGUGCUCGUCAUGAUCCUUCUUAGAACGAGAAUAAACCAAAAUGUCGUCUAUGAAGACAACCACAAACUGAUCCAAGUAUAAAUGGAAUACUCGGUUUAUUAAAUCCAUAAACGCAGCAGGGGCAUUUGUUAAUCCAAACGACAUUACCAAAAAUUCAUAAUGCCUACACUGAGUCCUAAAAGAAGUUUUCAACACAUUCGACUCAUUCACUUUUAAUUGUUAAUACCUAGAUCUUAAAUCAAUAUUUGAGAACACUAUUGCACCUCGAAACUAAUCAAACAAGUCAUCAAUUCAAGGCAAGGGAUACUUAUUCUUAAUAGUUAACUUGUUUAACUGCCUAUAAUCAAUGCACAUCCUCAUCGUACCAUUAUUCUUCUUUACAAAUAAAACCGGUGCACUUUAGAGAGAUACUCUCGACUGAAUAAACCCUCUAUCUAACAACUCUUGCAACUAAAUCUUUAACUCCUUGAGCUUUAUUAGUGCCAUGCGAUAGGGCGCAAUAGACACUGGUGCAGUACUAGUAGAUCUAGAAUCUACUAAGGCAAACAAUGGGAAAGAUCACAAAGUGAAUGUACCUGUAAUAACAUCAGUUGGAUAUUGAUCAUCGAGUUCCUUAACAGUAUGAACCCGAGCAGGACCACCAGACUCAACCUGUGAGGCCACAGUGUGAGCAAAAAUCCGCUGCCCAACCGGUCUCGCAUUACCUCUACCACGACCUCGGCCUCUAGCAGGCACAGAAAUAGGUGCUAAACUCUGAGUCUGCAAAACCUCUACUUUACCUCUAUUUUAUUUAGGCAAUCCCUCAGAAAAUGUCCCUUUUAACCACACUUAAAGGAGCCGCUAGUCAACUUAUGGCACUCGCCAGGAUGCCUACAAUCACAAUGAGCACAAAGCGGCCAUCCAGAACUACCAGUGCUAGUCACAACAUUAUUCUGUUGUUUAGACUGACUCAGUCGAGAUCCACGUCUCGCAUCCCUACCAGAGCUGUAAUUAUCACGCCCCUCUUGGGCGGACAUCUAGAAGCUCCAUCGGAAGCCUUAUUACCAGUCUUAGCUACUACAGAAUAAGCUGGCUCAGCCAAGUCUCCUCCACAACCUAGGCUUUUUCCACAAGCUCAUCAAACAACUCUGUAUUUUGGGCCACUAAAUAAACCUGAAUCUCACGAUUGAGCCCAAAGCGGAACCUUUUACAAUGAUACUUCUAAGUCAAAACCAUCUCAGGAGCAUACCGACAAAGGUGCACAAGCUCUACCUCAUAGUCAGCCACAGACAAGCUACCUUGCACAGGAUCUAAAAAUUACCACCAUAAGUUCAUCAAACAACUCUGUAUUUUGGGCCAUUAAAUAAACCUGAAUCUCACGAUUGAGCCCAAAGCGGAACCUCUUACAAUGAUCCUUCUCAGUCAAAACUAUCUUAAAAGAAUACUGACUAAGGCGCAUAAACUCUGCCUCGUAGUUAGCCAUAGACAAGCUACCUUGCACAAGAUCCAUAUACUGCUCGCCCAUAAACUUCCUUCUAAAAACCUCAAGGAAGUAAUCCCAAGUUAAACGAUCAAUUGUCGUACCUCUCUUAACCGUUUUCCACCAACAAUACGCCUCCUCAUCAAGUAAGGACACGGUGCAACCCAACUUCUUAUCGUCAGAAUAUGACAUCUGCUUAAGGAUCCUUUCCACUCAUUCCAACCAAUACUCAACUACGGUCAGAUUAGUCCCUUUAACCCAAAAAAACUCUUUACCACCUAAUAUUCGAAGACGUUUAAACGAUAACCCACGAUUCACAAGUGUAGGAUUGACAGGUGCAGGAGUAGGGUCACCAUCAGGAAUCCGUUCGAACGCUCAAAUUAUCACUUCUAUCAGAGGGCCUACUAUCUCAUUAGGAAUAUUCACUCUACGCAGAAGCAUAGAAGGUGCAGAGGAUGUACUAUCCUCUUGAGCACUAGCUCUCAAAUUCACAUGUCUAGGAGGUAUAUCUAGUAAUCUACUAUACACAAACACAAAAACAAAUAACAAACGGUGUGAGUGGUGGGGAAAUGAUCCAAGUCUCAUUCCUACAAGCAACUAUAGAAUUAAAGGUAAUGUGUUCCCAUUCCUACCCCACACGCAUUACAAUCAAGAGACAUCUCAUGCAAUUCAAUAGUUUAAUCACUUGGGUUUCCAAGAUCUAUGGGUUGCGAAACCGCAAUCAACAGAUCAACAACAAUCACCUAGGUUCGAGAGUUAUUGAACCUAAACUCUAAGACCACCAAAUGUAACACCCCAUAUUCGGCCUGGAUGCCAAGCUGAAUAUCGAGAUGCCACAUCACCUUCUCACUACAUGUUCAUCUAAAAUGGCAUGUUAUUUCUCAUGUAUCUAUUUUUUUCGAUUAAUAAUAACAUGUCAUUAUCAUGAAUUAUAAACCAUACAUUCACUUUUUGUUGAUAACCUAUGCCAAGAAUUCAUAAAAUAACAUAACAUAGGUAUUAAUCAUGUAUUAGGACCACUUAUCAAAUUUUCCUAAGAGUGUUAUGCAGGUAUCGAUACUGCCUUUAUGGUAUCGAUAUUUCCUUUAAGUGGUAUCUAUACCAUUUGGAAAAUUGAUACCAAACUAGAAUUCUGUUUCUCGCCAAAUUUUAAAACAUAAAGAAAUAUCGGUACCUUUUGCAAUAUAUCGAUAAUUACACCCCGAGUAUCGAUACUUGGGCUAAGGUAUCAAUACCAAAUUGAAAUUCUAACUCCUUUCACUUUCAAAAAUACAGAGGUGUCGUUUUAAAAGCCCUAAUAUCGAUACUGCUACUUCAAGUUACAAAAAUUAAGCAUAUAAGAGCAUUUAAAUCAUUGAAACUCAAUCCCUAAACAUCACACUUCAUUCACCUAGUCAUAUAAGCAUCAAAAUGUCUAAAACAAUAGUCCGAAUACCAUAUCCAAGUCCACAUGCUUCGAAACAUACAUAAUAUGCAAAUAAUCCAAAAUACGUCUUAACAAACAAAUAUAAAUAUCUACCACAUUGCCUUUUUAUUCCCUAAAACUAGAAUAAGCAAAACAUCUACUAUAAUUAAUAAAGAAUGGCUUGGAUCAAUCCCUCAAUAGCCACACCAUUCACACCGGGAAUGCAACUACUCUACAAAGUAUAAAAUAGAGUGGGUGAGCUUAACAAGCUUAGUGAAUGCCUAGAACAACCACUAUGUAAACAAGUCGUCAUGCAGUAACCAAACAACAUACAACAUAUUCCCAAAAUGUCAUUAACUAAGUGCCAUAAUUCACAUAUUUAACCAUAUUUCAUGCAUUCUGUUACACAUUAUUUAUAUGAAUGUUUAGGCAUAUAUAUAUUCUGACACACAUCAAUCACAUAUAAGCACAUAUAAUUACAUACAAUCACAUUUAAUCAAAGUGUAUGAUAAUUUGGCUUUUGAGAUAUGAAAUGUAAAGUGGAUUCUAUCACCACUCAUCAGAUACAUGAAUCUUCAUCACACCACACACAUGCAUAUACCGAUGAAUGAAGCUUUGCUCACAUUCCCUUAUCUCUCAAACACUGUCCCUGGGUGUUAGCGCCCAUAUAUCACAAUCACAAAUAAGUGAGUACUCACAAUCCUAUGGAAUGCCAACUAUAUCCAACUGUCUCAUUAAGUCACAAGGCCAAAAUAUCCAUAUUAAUAUCACACAUUCACUUAUUGAUUUUCCGCACAUAUUCGCUACAUUUCCAUAUUAUUAACAUAAUGUAAUCUCUAUCAUAAGGCAUGAGAACAUACCCUCGUAUUUACCGUCACAUGGCAUGAAUAAUAUACUCUGAUAUUCACUUUCACAACAGUAAACAUAAACUCAUAGCACAUAUCAUAACAUCUCAUAUGUUCAUGAUUUCACAAAUUCACAAAUUCACAAAUAAACUUAUCUCACAUUUAAUCACAGGUUCGAGAACACUUACACUCAGAAUUUAGAGUAUGGGUUUAGGCUACCUUUAAAUUCCCAAAUACACAAUGAAUCAUCUAUGAGCAGCAAUUCUAAAACACUUACUGAAAUAUUCAAUUUUGUCGAAAAAUCGAAAGCUUUGACAAUCUUCCCUUUGCCCUUAUCUCUACUCGUUGAAGGUCCUAUCGACUCUGACACUUCAACAAGACAAACCACACAUAUAUUCAGUCAAUAAUCAAUCAAUAACUCACCUCAAACAACUAUAAACACAAGCCUAAGUUACACUCUUCUCUAACCAAAACCUUUAGCACGAUAGACUUAAAAUUUGAAUAACUCAGUCUACGCCUAAUCUCUUUGCCUAAAAUGAAUUCUAUUCAUCUACUUAUUCAUCUACGACUAAUUCCCAACCUUUAAACUUCACAAAACUACGUGUUUUAAGGUACCAAAAUUUUUCGACAAGUUUUGGCCCUUACAAUGAAAAUUCAUUAAAACUCGAGAAAUCCUUGACGAAACUUCAAAGUUACUUUAGAAAGCUUCUAAUUAGCUUAAAAAUAAUUGAAAAACACUUUAAAAAACCAAGUUUUUAUCCAUAAACUUGAAAUUCACCAUUAAAGACCUGAUUUUCGGCUUUAAAUCAAAACAUACAUUUUAAUGGCUAAAAACUCAGUUUCAAGGACCCAAUAACAUUAAAAACUAACGAGAAUGUGAAUAGUUACCUUUAAUGAGAGGAAUAAUGAGUUUUCAAUACAAAUCUAGAAAACCCACAAGUGGAGAAGAUGAUGGAAUUGGUGAGAUUUUUGGGUAAUUUCUUGAAGAUUUAGAGAGGUUUAAUGCUUGGAAAUGAUAGAAAUUCAAAGUAUUAUAGUUUAGGAGUCAAAAAUCAAUUUAGAUAGUGAAGAGGAGCAAGGGACGAUAAGUACAAAAAUUGUCAUAUUUAUUUAUGUAAUUAAUUUUUUUAUUUUUUUACUACACCUUAUAAUAUAUUUGUUGAAUCCUUAAUCCAUUUGUGGAGGUCUAAAAAAUUCCACUGGCAGUGUACCAAAUAAUUUUCCAUAUAUAUUAAUAAAAGAGUAGUAAUUUGAUACAUCACCUGUGAAAUUUUUUAGACUCCACAAACAGAUUAAGGGUGUAACAAAUGUCAUAUAUAUAUUUUUUAUUUUUUUAUUUUUACUACAUCUUAUAGGAUACUUAAAACUUUAUUGAGGAUGUAUAAGAUAAUUUUUCUUAAUAAAAAUAACACUUAAUUUAUUAUUGCUCUUUUAUUUAUUUAUUUUACACAUAUUUAUCCUUUGGUGUCAAUGCAUGUGAAUAUUGUUUUCCUAACACCAAGAAAAUAAAAUCUCAUGUACUUGGUAAAAUGUAAACAAUUGUGUUUGGUUAUUAACAAUCUUGACACUAAUAUUGCAAAGUAAUCACAUUCCUAGUAGGAGCACUUCUUAACACGCUUAAACAUCAUUUAUUGGCACUUUAUGUGAAUGCUAAAAAAGAUGUAGAGCUAAUUUUAAGAGUAACAUUCUAUAUUGAGAAGCUUGUAAAGCUAACUUUAAGAACAACACUCCAUGUUGGAUGUGUUGUGGAAUUAACCUUCGCAAAAAAAAAAUCAUAUUCAGAAGGCUUUAGAGAUAACAUUAAGAACAACAUUAUAUGUUGAAAAGGCUAUAAAGCUAAACUUAGGAAGAAUAUUGACAUGUUUCUUGAGUUUUCUCUAUUGGGGUGUCUAGGAGAGCAUGUCUUUGAGAUUCAAAUACAAACAAUAUUAAAAAUUUUGUUUCUUAACAUUUCUUUGGAAAACAAGGGUUCCUCUCCCUCUCAUUGUUGGACAAAUAGUGCAGUUGUAUUCAAGUGUGCAAGUAGCAUUCUCCUUGAGAAAAUGUGCUAUUUAAGUGUAACGCCCACAUAAUCGCCACAAUACCCACUAUCUUUAUAACUUCUUUCUCAUUACUCACAACUGGUAACACAAUCACAUGAACAUGAUUUUUCACAUUCUCAUUACCCAUCACCUGUAGCAUGUUCUUGAUAACUUACCUCCCUCACCCAGGUUCUAUAAAAUAUGACAUUUCUUUUGUAACCACCUUUUUGAUAACUACCUUGGAAAGACUAUUAAUUGAAGGUCAAAGAUGAGUAUGUAUAAGUGAGGAUGACCAUCCCUUAGGGAGGUAAGUUAGGGAGCAUAAUAGCUAUGACACCUUAUACCCGAUUCAAUUGUUGGAUCCGAAUAUAAAAUGCCACAUUUCAUUACUGAAGCAACUCACUUUUUCAUGUUUUUUUAAAAGGAAAUAUAGUGGUAAAAUUAUUUUAUAAAAAUUUUGGUAGCAUUUUUUUCUAUUUUACAUAAAAACCCUUGUAAGAUUUAGAUUUCACAAAAUACCCACAUUCAAAUAAUCUCCCAAAUCAAUUCCCAACACUACGAUUUCUCAAAACAUAUCAAUAAACUAGAUUUCUACGCUUUACUAUUUUAUCAAAACAUUAGUUAUAAAGUACUAGCAAAGAAAAUGUAACGAAAAUAUUUAAAUUCAAUUUACGACAUAAUAUUAUAUAUAUACAAGCCUAGGUACAUGCCAUUUACAUCAUCUAUAAAGUAAAAUUUUUACCAACAUUGUUUGAUCUAAACUUCGGUACUUCAGAUGCUGUUGGAACAACCUAAUGAAUCUAACUACCUGUGUACAGAAAAAUAGACAAACCGUACGCUGAGCAAUUUUUAUGCUCAAUGGUGCUAAUAUAAUAUAAAUCAUUACAUAAGUAUUAAACAAAAAUUAAUUGAUAGAAAUAAACUAAAACAUGAUUAUAAAUAUCAUUAAUAACAUCACAAUAAAAGAAAAUUCUAAUAUUAAUAAACUCUAAUAUUUUGAUAUUGACAAAUCGAAUAAAGAAAAUAAGCUUUUUGAUCAAAUUCAAAAUCGUGUAAUUAAUUUAAUUUGCACAAUAUGAAAAUAAAAAUAAAUUCAAUUUUUGUUUUUGCUUUUCUUUAAAUUUGGACCCUGUACUAAAGUUUUGACUCUUAACUAGAUACACAAAUCCCCCAUCCCGAUUUGUUUGGCAAUGAUGGCUAUUAGAGUAGUUCACGAUCCUCUGGGAAUUGGGAUUGCCCACGACCCUCUAGGAAUUGGGGCUAACAAUAAUAAUUGUUCAAUUUGGCCUGUUCUCCCUCGACCCUCUGGGAAUUGAGGAGAUUUAAAUUUUUUGAUAUAAAGACUCUAUGACAUGCCAACUAUAUCUGAUUUAGUCUAACUUAGUAAAACUGGGUAAAAACCAAGUUUCAUGAUCCAUUUCAAUUCUGUUUCAUGUUCAAAUCACAUAUCGUCUAAUGUAAAAUUAGGCUUCCAAUUCAAAACAUAUUAAUCAUUUUCUUGCUCAAUCAUCUAAAAUCAUAAUACUCAAAUCCAAAUCAUAACCAUGAAUUUGCUAAUUUGAUCAUAUGAAAAAUAUAGUAUUCAUCUCGAAACAUAAUUUUAUAAAUAUUAACUAAAUCAUUCAAACUCAUCCAAAACUCAUAAAAAUAAAAUAAAAUAAAAUAAAUAUAACUAAUCAUAGUAAACUAAAUAUUCUAAAACUUUAUGUAAUGAAAAUAAGAUAUUAGCACAAACUGAAGUUUCAAUCGCUUUACUCCUCUUUGCCUUUCUCUUUCAAGAUGUUCGCUUUGUUUUUAGCUACAAUAAGAGCAGUUCAAUACGAAACAAUGUCAUUUAUCUAUUCUAAUACUAAAACUAAUAAAAACAAACUUAAAUAUGCAUGUUUAAUCAAGUUAGCAACUUAAGUUUCCUAGUCCGAAAUUCGCAUAUCUUUUGACUCGAUUAUCCGUUUUCAAUUCCGUCUUCACCAGUGUACUCACUACUUCACAAGCUAUCAUUUAGCACCAAUAUUACACAAAGUGGCUAAAGUUCUUUACUUCCUCCUUAACAUGGUCAAAUAUACUAAGUAAACUUUCCAUCCAUUUUUAUUUCUUUUUCACACUUCUAACAAGCUAGAACUCAUUUUCUAAUCAUUUCCUAUCCAAAAAAACAUACAUACUUCACUUAAGUUUUCUAAGCUUCUAUCAAUUUUCUUUAAUGGCAACUUUCAAAAUACUAGAUUAAAAAAAAACUAUUGGUGUAUAUAUGUAAAAAAAGCUUCAAAGAUUCAAAAUCUAUGAAAAUUUUGAAGAAAAAUCAUAUCUUAAGCUUGAAUUUGAAGGAAAAAUAGUGAAAGAAAUUUUUUUUCUACCCCCUUUUUGUUUUCGUGAAAAAAAAGAAAGAUAUGAGAAAGAUUUCAUCUUUUCUCUCCUUUUCUCUUUUUUGUAUAUUAUAAUAUUAAUUAAUAAAAUAUUAUUACUUAUUAAAAUAUUAUUAAUAAAAAUAUCAUUUAAAAGUAAUCAUGAAACCAUUGAUUUUUUUAAGUACUGAUAAAAUUGUCAUUAAGUCCUUUCCAUCAAUAUAAAAAUAGAAUAAUUGCACUUUAGCCUCUAUACUUUUCCAACUUAUUCAAUUUAGUCCCUGAACUCGAUACCAAAUUUUUAACUUAACCACAUGCUCCUACUAAUAAUCCUCAGAGUUUUCAUGUGUGACAGUUUCCUCUAAAAACGAUUAUAAUUUCUUAUACUACUAUUUAUUUAUAGAUUGCUUAUUCAAGGACUUCUACCAUAAAUAUUCUUCUUCUCUCUUCUUUUCAUUUAUUUUUUUUAAAGUGGGGAUGUUACACUAGCCUUUUAGAUGGAUGGCUAUGGGAUUGACAUGGACAAGGUAUGACCCAACAUAUGUUCCAUGAAAAUGAAGGACUCAACAUUUCACUUUCCAAAAUCGGGUUAGAAAAUCAAGGGUUAGUGAAUUGAAAACCAGAGUUAGGUUAGAUAAUUAAAAUAAAUAGGAAUACAUUAUUAAAAUAUGAAAACAAUUAGAAUUAAAUCUUAAGGUUUAGAAAUUAAAAUUAAGUGCAUGGAAAUUAAUUAGGUCAAAACAGAUUUUUAAAACGAGGUCGAAUUUGAAAAUAAUUUAGAAAAUAAGCUUUAAUUGAAAAAGGAAAGAAGCUGGAGGAGGUUGAAUGGACAAUAGCCAAAUUCUUUAAAAUUGGUUACCUAUUUAACAACCCCUAACCAUCCAUUCGCUCUCAUUUUCACAUAUCAUUCAAAAAUUUUCCAAACACCAAAUUAGAGCUUUUCUCUUUGAAUUGGUUCAUCCUUUUUUAUUCUUAAGUUUUCUCAACACAAAUUCCUCUUUCAAUUUCAAAGAAUAAUCAAGUUUUCAUCCUCAAUUCCUUUAUUGUUCCUCACAUGUCCUAGUUUGAAUUUGAUCUUGAACUUAUCGUUUUUGUCAAAUUAAGGUGAGAUUCCAACUUUUUAUGAUUAAACUAAGUGUAUUGUUAUUUCAAUUCGAUUUUUAAUUGAUUUACUCAAAAUUUCAAUAGAUCAAUUAAUUUUAAAUAGAUUUAUAGCUUGAAAAUGAUAGAUCUCGUAUUACUAAGCUAAACUUCUAUUUUAAAGUGAUUUCUAACUCAUUUUGAUCUAAUUAAAAUGUAUUUGAUCUUAAUUUAACAAGUCCUUAAGGAAUUUAAUCAAAUCAAAUGUUUUCCCAUUCUUAAGAUUUAUAUAAGCUUGAUUUUUCUGGAAAAGUUAGAUCCGUGUAAUUAAACAAAAUUGAUGGUUUAGAUAUAUAAUUAGAUGAUAUUUAGGAUGUAUGAAAUCAAAAUUUAGGCUUAGAAACGAGAUUGGAGUGGUUAAACAUCUAUUUUAGCAAAACUAGCUAAGUUUUUUGUAUUGAGAAUGAGAGGCUUUAAUAUGUAAUUUUGGAGUGAUUUAGUUGUGUUUGCUGCUGUUUGUAAUGCCUAUGUAUUUUGUUUGAUGUGUAUGUAAAGUGUCACAAAAUGCCAAUAUAUUAACAUGAAAUGCUAUGAUACAUGCUUGACGUAAUACCAUGAGUAAAUGAUAUAAUAUGUUUUCAAUUAACCUUGACAUUAUGGAUCUUUGUGGCAAUCUUUGAGUACUCACUAAGCUUGAAAAAGAUCACACUCUUUAUGAAAAAUUUGUAGAGAAAUAGCUUACUUGAGGAUAAGUGAGACAUCCAAGUGAUCCAAAACUAAGCAAAAAUACCUUGAGUAUGUGUUGUGUUUUCUACUUCAAUAAGAAAGGCAAUGCAAGACCAAAGUUGAGGGUUUUAGACUUUACUAAUUGCUAGUUGUAAUGAAAUUUUUAAUGACUAUUUUAAGGAUUUUAUAUUUGGUUUAUGAAUGAUUGUUUGAUUGGAUUUAAUGCUUGAAUAUGCAUGAUGAAUGGUAGUAUGUUCAUUGGUGGAUUGAUGACAUAGUUGUUAAAAUGGUAUGCUAAAUAUUUGAACAAGUUUUAAAUUCCAUAUUGGUAUGAAAUGAACCUAUUUUGCAUUUAUAAAUGCAUGAGCUGCAAAUUUGAUAUGUUAAGUAAUUGAAUGGUGACUCUAAGAUUGCAUGCUAGCAUAACAAUUUACUUGAUAUGUCAAAGUAUGUUAAUGCAUGAUUUAGUGUAAUUGAACAUGUUUUAUAUGAUCUCUAAAUAUUAUAUGAUAUGCUGGAAAAUGAGAAUUGGCAUGGUAACACGAAAUGGUAUGUCUAGUUUAGUGUCAAAGUGUGAAAAGUAGGUUUAUGGGUUGUUUCUAAAGAAAUUGUAAGUGACGUCACGACAGCAUAUAACCGACGUCGCGACGAGGGAUCAACGUCACGAUGAGGAAUUUCAUGUGGUUGUGAAGACGAGCUUCUUCCAGAUGACUUCAUGACGAGUGAAAUCGCGUGGUCAUGAUGUGACAUAUUAAGUGUUUUGGGCGUGUUUUGACAGUUUUGCAAUUUAGUCCUAAUUUUUAUACUAGGCAAUUAGAGUCCUUAAACAUGUUAAAAUGUAUUGAAAAUUAGCAUGAUUAAGUAAUAUAUGGUAAAUUUCAUAAUUUCACUCUUAAUUUUAUAAAAUGGUUUUUUCAGAUAUUUUUCAAACCUUACAAUUUAGUCCUUCAACUUCGUUUUUAAAUUAAAUGAGCUUUACUUAUCGAUUUUCAAUAAUUAUUUCAAAUAUUUUAUUCUUUAAUACUCUAUUGCAUGCUUUUAUUUUUAAGUUUAUGUUUUGCGAGAUAAAAUAUAAUUUGUGAAAUGACAUUUUCACCCCUAUUGUUGUUUUACUGUGUUGCGAUAGAUGAUGCAUGUUUUAGGAGUCGUGUGUUUCUUUCUAGUUUAAUUGAAUAUUAUGCAUUUGUUGUGUGGUGUUAUCGGUGGUUUUAUGGUGUGUUUGGAUGAUCGGUAAGGAGAGUCACAUAAGUGGCUAAUGUGACGUUCUGAAUUCAAUUUAAAUUGUCCCGACCGAGUUUGGGGUGCUACACAACAAUUGCCCUUGGCAAGGUAGAUCAUAAAUAUACCACGUGCCAGAAAUGCGUACUUUCACAAAGCCCAUGGUUGAUGGAGUGUUGUCCAUAAGCGAAUCCAUAAAAGGUGAGGGUGGCGAUGUUCUUUCUGGCGAGGUACUGAUAACAAUUGUUUUAAACCGACAAGAAGGUUAUAAAGUGACAUGCCCUAAGAUGACUGACAUGUUUGCUUGUUGAAGGAGGUACAACGUCAAGAAAAUUGUGUGUAAAGCAUGCAUGUGAUAAGAAAGAGGUGCAUAUUGCACACAUAAGUCGUUUUUGUGAAGACUUUAACUUUAACAAAGAGAGGUGUCGUUUGGGUUUUCGCCAGUUAAUAAGGGAGACUCAUGUUUACUGUUCAUAAGUUGAUUGAUCUAGAGGGCCAUAAUGAAGAGAAAAUGUGUCUACAUUUCAUUGGCCAUAGUGAGUUGUUUUGUUUUGAAUAUUACUUCACAUGUUUCAGACUUGUAUAAAUAGGACUUUUGUAGGUUGUGUGCUUGAACUGUAGGAGAAAUUUGUUGCCUUAGUUCUUUCCAAAUUUUCUACUUUCAAUUUUGUUUCCUAAGUUUUACAAUUUUGCCUUUUGUUUUUAUUUUUUAGGCUUUUUUAGAAAAGAUUUCUAGAGAAUAAUAGAGUUAAACUUAGGGUUUUUAUACAAUGGCCGGUGAGGGCAGUCAGAGAAGUUAUGUUAUUUUUAUAUAUAUUAUAUAAUUUCCAACAUAAAAAUUAAAUUUAUAGUAAUAUAAUAUUAUAAUAUAAAUAUUUAAAAAAACAUUAAAUUGCCCAUAUAUAAAUUUUAAUAAAUGGAAAAUAUAUAAAAUCAAUAAAUAUUAAAUUAACAAUAAUAAAAAUAUUUUUCAAAACAUUAAAAUAUAAUAUAGGCAUACUUAAAAUACGCUUGGAUUAGCCAUUUAGCGGGUUUAGACAAAAUUUUAAGCCUAUAUUUUAAGUUAAGUCGAUCUUUGGCAAGUAUAACGAGUGUUAAUUUCACGCUUAAGCCCGAAUUGACCCAACCCAUGAGCACUUUUAGGUAUGAGCAUCUAAUGAGAGGUUGGAAAUAACAUUUUUUUUUUGUAGAGUACAUCAUCUAAAGGAAUUGUUAGUUUUGAAUAAAUUUUACCUUAUUCCUUUGUUUCUAAUUUUGGCACACUCCUUGAGGUCAUCUGAGAGUUCAAUAUUAGCUAGAAAUUUAAUGAUAGGCGUCAUUCAUGUGGUUUCUUCGAUGAUGCAAAAGUCCUUUCACUAUUGUUCGUAGCUAGGAGUUUAUCGAUAUUCCAACAGUAUCCAACCUUUUUUUUUGGAUUUCUAAUGAUGAAGCGUGUUUAGGCAAUGAAUUUGCUUUGGCAUCAUCAAUUAGAGAUACUUGUUGGAAAAAAAAAUCUAGUUUGAAAUUGAUUUUCUUGCAUAGCAAAAAAUUACAAUUUUGAAAAUCAAUCCAGUUUGUAAUAUUUAUAACAAUAAACCUUAACCGAAUACGCACAUGUAUUUUCUGAUAAGAGGAUCCUUGAUGUUUUCGGCUUUCAACCAAAUGACUUCUUUUCUAUUCUUGUACCACGAAUUGCUUCGAGUGUGGGAUCCAACCAACUAAACCAAAACUCAAAACUAGAAAAAUUUUCCUUUUUUAGGGUGAAACUAAAAAUUCUCUCUUAUUUAAUAAUAGAAACUAGUAAAAUUUUUAUUCUGGAAAAUAUGUUUAUAAGUUGAGAAUAAAUUCUCUCUAUUUUUUGGCAGAAUAACAAUCUCCCAAAAGUUGUGUAAAUAGCUCUACUGGUGCUAUCUAUUUAUAGGAAGAGAAGGUAGAACUCUUGUAAAAGUUUAUUUUCACUAGAAAAACAAUACCCUAGUUUAUCUAAGAGAUAGAGGGUGGCAACCCUAGUUAAUGAUACUAGGUUUUCUGCCAUCCCACCUCUUUACAUGAGGGGUUUUGGGCCUUGGUAUGCAUGUUACAUUAUUCUGGCUUAAACUCUCAUCCCACUAUUAAACUUAAGUUAUGUUGUAUAGUUAUUCAUGUUGGUUAAAAGUGCAAGAGAAGUGAGAAAUGAAAGGAUUCGCAUGCUAAUGGUUCAGUCGUAAAGCAUUCAAGAAACCCCAAAGACAAGAUAAUAAAAAGAAAACAACCAAAUCAUAUAAAAAAAAAUCAAAGUAUGAUAGUUCAAAUGUAGUUCAAAAAAGAUUAGUACAAGGGAAAAUAAGUUUAAUUUGAUUCAUCGAUUGAAUCAACAUUGUGGUAGUAGCAUCCUCUGGUUCCUUUUCUUUAUCUUGGUUGUUUUCUUUAGGGAGAGUAGUACAGGUCUCUUUAGGCUCCUUCGAGAAAAAGAGUCUACUUGAUUCCUUCAAUUCUUUUUCAAACUCCUCCCACUUCUUGUAUGAAGGACAGAGAACAUCAAAGCCCAAGUCAGUGUUGGUAAGUUUAUACAUACAACGACUUGGCGUGCAACAUAAUGUUCGACUUUAACUUAGGCAGAUAAUCACAUAUAUUGGCUAUAGUUUCUGCCUUAUAGCUUUUUAGGGCCUCGUUGCUCACAUUAUGCAACCGCUUCAUCUCUAUAUGGUGUUGUUCCUCUAUGGCCUUCUUCUACCCUUCCCAUGAUGUUUUCUCAGCUUCCAAUUGGCAGACCCUUUCCUCCAAUUAUUUUUCCUCAGCCUCCUAUAUUUUCCUUUUUGCCACCCAGGCUGAGAUAGAUUCAACAAGCUCAUUAUUUUGGCAAACAAUGCUCUCGUGUAGUUUACGGAGUUGGUUAAAGUUUUCCUAAUCUGAAUUCAUUACUUUUUUGAAUUCAGGUCGUUUGGCCUCAUUCUCAUUGCAAGCUUUUUGUAUGCCCCAACCAAGGAGUUUACACUCUGCUACCAUCAUUUGGAAGGUACCCACUAAUUAUUUCAUUGAGGGCUUUCAAGCACUGGACAGGGGCGAAGAAGGGUAAGCAUACUCCUUUAACUCUCGGGGCAAGUCUUUCUACCGUUUUUGUUCGAUCGCAUAUGGGGAGAAGGGAUAUCGCCCUGUACUAAUAUUAUCACUCCAAGGGAAAAAGGCGUUUACCUCGCUAGUGGGAGAAUUCUGUUGCAAUAAUCUGAAAGGAGAGGCACACAGGAUAGAGCGGAUGGUACCAAAACAUGGCUCCGCCGGAGGGGACAUAGUAAACAAGGUAGGCGGGUCUACGGGAACUUUUAGAGACUCAAUAACUACGAAGUUGAAAGAUUCAGUGGGAUACUUAGAGUCCAUGGGAUGGUGUAUGUAACGAUUUCCCCUCUGGUUGUGGUUGGUUUUUUCCUUCUUCUAUGGCGAAUCAGCCUUCCACCGUUACUAUCUUCUGUGCUUUGAGAUUUUUCCUCUACCUGUGGCCUUUUGCGAUUGCUACUACUAGCCCUUUUCCUUGGGGCAGCAGCUUCCUCACUUCCCCGUAAACUGUCCAUCACUGAAUCUAGAUCCAUUUAGUGCCUUAGUGUGUUCGAAGAAUUGGAGGAAUUGAUGGAGCUUGUAUUAUAAAUAACAUUAUCAGCACCAUUAUUUACACGAGCACUUAUUGACUCCUCUUGAACACCCACAAGUAAGGAGGACCAAUGAUGGGGAUGCAAUUUAUACACAUUGUAGAAAAAGAUUUUAGGCUCCCUCUUUUUCACUAAUAAAGACUAAAGCUAGAUCACUAUUGGCCUCAUAUGGCCACAUGCACAUUUAACGGGUAACACUUCCACCGGAUCGACUCCAUACAUAAUCUCAAUCGCCUUACAACCAUUGAAUUUUUCUCGCCCAGACAAUAGAUGAAAAUGCUUCUAGCAGUCAAAAGACUUUCAAGCAUUAAGGUGCGACCCAUCUUCAUUCAAUUAUAUUGUUCAACGACAAUCUCCGAAUAAAAAAUUUAUCAUUGGAGACAGGUAGUUUUGCUAGGGAUGGACCAUUUUAUUGGGAAGUCAUAGUUUCCCUAAAGCUUUCUUCUCACCCGAAUGUAGUUAUUGCAGUUGAGGUUGAGAUUCGAAGCCCAAUUACGAACUAUAGGCUCGCAACCCUCACGGGCACUAAAAUGCAGCAUUCCUACAAAGUCCCCUUCAUUGUAGGCCUUUAAUUGAUAGAUAUGUUGGAAGAUGUUGAACAUAUAUGGCUCAUCAUGUUUACAUUAUUCAAUAAAAUAGUCACCAAUGUCUACCAAGAUAGGUCGGUGAGUUACCCCGGCGCGAUUCCUUACUCAUUAAGAGAGUGUUAGCUUUAUGCUUCACCUUUGGGACAUGUUUGACUCUAUGAGUCUAUGUGGUGUGUUGGAGAUCCGUGUAUCUGAUGAGUGAUGAUAGAGCUCACUUUUAUGUUUCAUAGAUCAAGUGCCAAAUUAUCUUAAAUUAUGAAUAUGUGUUUAUAUGACAUGUGACCAUUAUGCAAUUUAUCUGUAACAACCCGAUUUUGACCCUAAUCGGAAUAGUAGUUUCGGGACCACAAAUCUGAGUCAAAAAAAUAUUUUAAUAUUAUUUUUAGUGUUUAUUAUAUGUUAAGUUAUAGGUGUGAAAGAUUCGUGUGGAAAUUUAAUCGUAUGAAGGUUCAAUUUGAUAAAAAGGGUUUAAUCGCGUAAAAUAAAACUUAGAGGUUAAAAUUUAAAAGCACCCAUUUGUAGUUGUCUUUUUAAGUGGGAGGUCUAAAGAUGUAAUUAGACCAAGAUUUAGUUAAUGGGUGGUAUAUGCCAACAUUGCCCUUAAGUUAUGUGAUUUAUAAUUUAUUUAAUUAAGGUUAAAUUAGUCAUUAAGUAAAUUAUAAUAUUAUAACUAAAAUAAGUCAUAAAAAGAUGAAUAUGUUCAUCUUUGUUAGCCGAAUAUUGGAAACGAAGAAACCAUCCAUGGUUUCUUAAGUUUCGGCACUUUCAUAGCAAAAUUAAGGUAUGCUUUGGUUUCGGUUUUUGAUAAUUUUUACGUUUUUGAGAUCGUUGCUUUGAAUACUUUAUAACCCAUGUCUUAAUUUUGUGAAUUUUUGAUGAUUUUGAAAUGAGCCAUUGAUGAAUGCUUGAAAAUUGUGAUAGUUGAUGAUGAAAAAUGAAAGAAAUGUGAUAGAUUAACAUGUUUUGUUUUUGAAUUUUUAGUGAAUUUGAGAAAUUAGAGUUAAAUUGUGAAAAUGAAUUUUUUUUUGGGAUUAAAAUGUGAAAUAAAUGAAAUGUGUGGAUUUGUAUGAAGAUAAGGAAUAUUCGGCCCUAGCUUAGUGUGGGCAAAUUUUGUGUAUUUUGUGUUUUUUUGCAAAAAGGACUAAAUUGCAAAAAGUGCAAAAUGUUAGAGGAAAAAUGGUAAUUUUCUCAUUUAUGUAUUUUUGGACUUAAUUGAAUGUUUUGAUGAGUAAAAAGGUUAAAUUUGAUUAUGUUUAGAUCAAGAAAAGAAGAAAAAGGAUUUGGAUCGGGGGAAAACGAAAGUAAUUUAAUAGUCGAUCGUGUUCGCUAAUAUCCGAGGUAAGUCGACUAGCUAUUUAAUGCUAAUAAUUCAAUAUAAAUAUAUAUAUAUUUGUGUGUAUGAAUAUCUACUGUAUUUUUAUGUUAAGAUAUAAAAAAAUAAUAUACUUUGAUUAAUUAAGUUGAUAUAUGGAUGGCUUAUAUGUGUACACUUAUAUUUGGCUAUAUGAAUAUAAGUCUAAUUAAGCUUUGGGGAUUAAAUGUAGUUAAGAAUGGUGCAUAGAUGGAUAUAAUUAUAUAUAGUAUAGCUAUAUGUUUGAAACUUCAUUUGGAAUUAUUUGAUGAUAUGAGGGCUAUAAUUGUAAGAACAAUUUUCGAAUAUGUAUAUGUAUAAUUAAGUAUAAUCUUUGAGUUUGAUUAAGGGUAUAUAUUGUAUAUACUUUAAUAAUUUUGAAUGAAUGUCUCUGUGUGAAUUGAAGAACAUACAUGUAUAUUUUCGAAUAAGUUCUGAACAUAUUUCAAGGUUUAAAUGUUAUUUCGUAUAUAGUUAUUUCGUAUAAGUGUAAGUAUAUGAGUUAAAAUAUAAUGUAUGAAUUGUAUAUAUAUAUGUGUUAGUUAAUGUAUAUUUGAGUUUUAUAACUUAAAACAAAUUGCAUAGAUUCUAUAUAUAUAUUUAGCCGAAUAUAUAUAUGCUGAAUUUUAUAAGUUGGAUGAAAUUUAUGGAUUACAUAUAUGUUAGCCGAAUGUAUGUAUUGAAUUCGAUAAGUUGAAAUUAAUCACAUGAAUUCGAUAACUUGAAGCUUAUAAUAUAAAAGAAAAUAUAUAUAAUAUUCGAAUGCAGGUAUUGAGUUCUAUGAGCUGAAUUUAAUGAUAUGAACUAUAGAUAUGUUAUUCAAAUGUAUGUUUGCUACGAAGAUUGGAAUAAUAAUUCGAUUCUUGCUGAGAUACGAUUAUUGAAAAGAUUUAUAUGAGAUAUAAAGAAUAUUUAGAUAUUCUUAUAAAGAAUUUUGUGAAAGACCAAUUUCAUAUCCGUGGUAUUCAGGCUCGAUGCCUAGCAGAUGUAGUGCCGGUGAAUUAAUUCAGACUUUAAGUCUAGCAGGCUAAGUGCCGGUGAUCUGAACCAGGUUAUGAACCUAGCAGGCUAAGUGUCGGUGAUCUGAAUCAGGUUAUAAACCUAGCAAGCUACGUGCCGGUGAUUUGAAUCAGGCUAUCAGCCUAGCAGGCUAAGUGUCGGUGAAUAUGUUAAAUUAAGUGAUUAUAUGCAUGUGAUAUAUAUAAAUAUAUAAAUGAUUUUGGGUUAUAUAUAAUGAAUAAGUAUAUGAAUAUUUAUUUAUAUGUAUUCGAUGAGCUUAUAAAUGUUUGGAUCUAUGUGUUUAGUGAAUAGGCACAUAUAUUGGUUGAUAUGAAAAUUGUUGAAUAUACAUGUAUGCAAUCGACACAUGUGAAUUAGAAGUAUAAAUGUGCAUUUGAUUCAUGUAGUUGAUAAGUAAAAAUAUAAGCUUUUGACAUAUGUAUUUGAAAGAUCAUAGAUAUGCAUUCAUGAAAUGCAAAUGAUAAGUAUAUUUGGAAUUUGUAUAUGCAAUUAAUGAUUAUGUAUGUAACUUGAUUAUAAGCAUAUAAUGAUUAUACAUAUGUUCGUUUAUAUGUAUUUUAGAUAUACUAUAAACUUACAAAGCUAUAAAAGCUUACUUUGAUUGUUUUUGUCCAUUUGUUUUAUAGAUUUUGGAGACGCGUUACGAGCUCGGGGAUCAUCAGCAUAGUCUAUCACACUAUCGACUUCUUUUGGUAUUUUGUUAAAAAUUUGAACUCGAUCUUAUGGCAUGUAUAGGUUUGAAUAUGUUUUUGGUUAGUUUUGGAUCGUAAAAUAUAAAUAGUCAUGCAAAAAUGAUUUAAAUUCCAUGUUUAUGAUCAGUUUGGUUAUAAAAAAAAUGGUUGUGUUUGUUUGAUAAUGCCUCGUAACCCUAAUUCGGCGACGGAUACGGGUUAGGGGUGCUACAUUAUCUAUAAACAUGUUUUUAAGUAUUGUGAUAUAUGCUUGAAUAUUAUGUGAUUAUAUGAGUAUUGUGAUAUAUGCUUAAAUGUUAAGUGAUUAUAUGUGAAAUGUGAUAUAUGCUUAAAAGUGAAUAUGCUUACCUUAUAAAUGAACUAGUAAAUAAUGCACGAGUAAGAAUAACAUGACACUAAAGUUGGAACUGUUUGCUAUAUGGUUGUUUCGUUAAUGCUUGAUGAAUUGUUUGCAUGGUAGUUGUUCUAAGCAUUUACUGAGCUUGUUAAGCUCAUCAACUCCCUUCUUAAACCCUUGAAGAAUAGUUAAGUGCCGGUGUGAGUGGUGUGGUACCAAGGGGUGAUCCAAGUAAGUCUUUUUCCGUUAUUUUGUAGGUGUUAUUGUUAUUUGUUUAUGUUUUGGGAAUAAGGCAAUGUGGUAGACUUUUACUGCUAUUUUCCAUGAUGUUUUGGAUGCUUUCAUAGAUUAUUUGUUCCUAAGUUUAUGAGUUUAGUUUCAUAUUUCGUUGAUUAUUGCUCAGACUUACUUUUGAUGUUUGAGACUAUUGCUACAAUUGUUUUGAUGAUGAUAUGAUAACAUGAUGAAUUGGUACAAGUGGAUAUGACUUAUAUGUUUAAAAUGUUUUAUUUUUCUAGUCUGAAGCAGAUGUAUUGAUAUUCGUAUUGUAAAAAGGUACCUCUGUGAUUUUGAAAUGUGCAGGAAGUUAGAAUCGUAAAUUGGUAUCGAUACCCUAUCACGAGUAUUAAUACUCGGGGUAAUUUUAUCGAUACUUUUUCAAUUCUAUCAAUAUUUUAUUGUCUUUUGAUUUUAGAUGAGAAAUAGAAUGCUGAUUUGGUAUCGAUUUUUCAUAUGGUAUUGAUAUCGUACUAAGAAAAUAUCGAUACCCUUGUCCUACUAUCGAUACCUAUGUGAUUGUCUUGGAAAUUUUGCUAAGUGGUCCUAAUGCAUGUUAAUUAUUAUUAUAAGUUUAUUUAAAGUAUGUUUGGCAUGUACUAAUGAUGAUUAAUAUAUGUUAGACUAAAAAUUCAAAAGAUCACUGAUAAAGAGGAGGAUUUCUUAAUAAUGUGAAAAUUUACUAUGAGUAUGACAUGAGACGGUGGUGUGGCAUCCCUGGAUGAUAUAAAAUUAUAAGCAAAAUUUGGCAGUCGUAUUCCCCUAACCACCAAGUGUCGUACAUCUCAUCUUUGGUUGUUAGGCAGUAGUAGGCAGAUGUUUCUACCGGAGUGUUAAAUUCGUGAUUUCGUGGCUUAUCACCACUCACUACAACCAAAUUACCCUUAUGGCCUCGUUGAUUUCGACCAUCAUGAUCCCCUACUCUACCUCCUAAACCCACUUUAACUCUAACCAUUUUAGGUAGUGAUACUUAAAACAAAGAAAACGAAGAAUAAAUGUUUACCUUUGGGACUAAUAUAAGUUCCAAAAGAAAAAUAAAAGAGAUCUUCUGGUAAUGAGAAUGGCUAGUGAUCUACCACAAAUUGAUAUGGCAAAUUAGGCUUUUCCAAUGCCCUUAAGGAGCUUUUUCUCGAACAAAUUAGAGUUUUAGCAUAGUUUAUCGUUACUUUCGUAUUUUCAGUUAAUAAAUGAAAAUGUCUCAUUUUUGUCUCUUUUUUUACCUAAAUUGGCCAAUUAUGCCAUUGGGGACCCUAAAGGUUGAUUGAGUGUUGUAGCGAGCCAUCAGAGGCUCAAACAUAAGCGAAAACAUCGCCUAGAAGAAGGGUAUCGCAACAUCGAAGCAUUGAAAUCACAACACCUCUGACAGGCCCGAAUUAAAGAAGAAAAGAGGCCAUCUACAGUGAUAUCGCGAUACCCAACCCUGGGUUUCACAACAUCCACCUAAAGCACCCAGUUUUGGAGACUAUCGGUGAUAUCAUGAUAUCCUGCCUUGGGUAUCGCAAUAUCCCUAUCGUGUGGGGACAAAAAAAUGACAUUAGGGGUAAAGUUUGUCCAUCCGAAGCACCAAUCAAAAGCUAGUGUUUAAGGGCACUUUAGGCAACAUUUUUGGGUCAGAAAUGAGCUAAUUUAAAGUCACUCUUGGAUAAGGAAAAAGUAGGCUAUAGUUUUAGGUUAAAAAGCUCUUUAGUUGUAGGGUUUCUUUCAUCUUUAAGCUUAGGAAUAGGGUAGUUUUCUUAUCUAUAGUUUUAGGGUUUUAGUUUAUGUUUCUUUCUGGAUUUAUUUAGUUUCAUAGUUGUUAGUAAAGUUAGUUUUUGUUGUAGCUUAGUUUUAUUUACAUGUCAAAGACUUUAAACUUAGUUGUAAUCAUACUUUAAUAUUUAAGUUAAUGUUAUUUGAGUUUUCUUUCUUUUUAUUUGUUAAAGCUCUCAUCUUUAGUGUUAUUGUUUCUUUAUUUUUGUGUUAGUUGUUUUUAAUUUAUGUUUAUCUAGUUAAAAUCAAAGCAAUCACCUUUUUGUUCAAGUUUAUGUUAAUGGCUUCCAUAGUUGUUUCUUUCAUGUUUGUUAGCUUUAAUAUGGUAAUGGGUAACUAAACCCUAAGGGGUUGGUUAGUGGAGAUGCGGGUAAGCUGAUUUUUGGACAAAGGGCUAAAUUGUAACAAAUUAAACUAAUUUGAAUAAAACUAAGAACUUAAGUAGUGAUACCCCUAAGGGAAUAUCAAGAUAUAGUGAGACUAACAAUUAAGUUUGUCGCGCACCCGUUUGUUAGUCCCGGAUUAACCGACGAGAUAGAGAGAUAAACCGAACCUAAUUCGUCUAAGUCAAUAAAAUUGAUAUCGAAAGAUAAAAUGGAGUCACUUAGUAAUUUAAGUGAUUUAUGUCUCGAGCCUGAGAUUUGGUGAACCACAUCGAAGUCAAUCAACCCCUAUUAGUUAUUUAUUAGAUUAUCCCUUUAAUUUUACAUUUUUUACAAUUUAGUCUUUAGGAUAGCUAAUUUAGAAAUUAGUGUUAAGAAUAUAUAUUUAUACUUUGUCGUACUAUAGAAAUUAGUGAGUAGCUAGCUAGACUCCUUUCUUACAUGUACUUUUGAAUAGAAAUCAUUGAAUUGCUGACUCAUUUGGGUUCAAUCCUUAGAAUACUCUAAUUGUUCCAUUGUACACUUACAAAUAUUACAACUGACUUGUAGGCUUGCAGUAAAACCAGAGUUUAAAAUUUGUUGUAUAAAUUUUUUGUUUUAAUGUGCAAGCGCGCAGUUGGUCAGCCAGCUAAAGAAAAAGGCAAAAUGGGGGAAAUGAUACUAGGGUAAGCAAUGAUUUCACUUCUUUAAAUUCAUAUAUAAAACAAAUCGUCAUUUGGAAGCUUUAGUUUUAAAAUUUCAAGUAACCGUUCAAGGCCUCCAAUCCGCGGAUGGCACGUGUCAACGUCUUAGACGAAUUACCUUAAAACCCUUUGACGACCAGCAAAAAAGGGAGAAGUACCCACCUAAUAAGGUUCAUAGACCAAGUAUCCGCAAAAUGUGUCCACAACACAAUAGCCACAGAUUUAUCCAUCAAGAUUAUAUGCUAUAACAUCCCACAAGGAAAUAUUCUAAGUCCUUAUGACAGGACUAUUUUCAAAAUUGUUUAUGUGCGGAGACUACGUGCCUUAUGACUAAUCAAAAGACUAUUCAAGGAAACGUCUCACGCAAAGACCACGCACAGAGAUACCCGCAUCGUGUCUAUGUACAAGUUUAUCACCAGGUGUCAGAGUGCGAGAAUAGUUAUCAUAUCUCACACAAAUUAUUAAACGAUGUACACUUCAAUACUCACGGUCUUAUUGUUUAUGCAAAUCAUAUGCCGGUGAGCUAACCUUAAGUGCAUGUAAAAUUCCUCGCGAGUUGUGCUAAUGCAAGGGGUAUGCCAUUGCAUGAAUGGAGUUAAUGCAUGUACUACACCAAAGUGUAGUUCACGCCAAUGUGUAUGUUCUAUCCAUGCGUGCUACAUCAUUACGCAAGAUUGCCUAUACGAGAACUGUGCCAAGCACUCACAUUAGCCGCUGGAAGGUAAGUAAACAAGUUAGCUAGAUUAAAGAUAAGAUAGUGUGAAUUUAAUUCUAGAUCUUCUACUAUGACCAGUCUACUAUUUCACGAUCUUUAAAAUGUAUAUGUCAUGGGGUGGAACAAGUUACUAAUGGUAGUAAAAAAGUUCUUUGAUGGAUCAAAUCCCUCAUUUGUUCAAUAAGUAAGGAAAUUUCAGGGAUGAAAUUUCUUUUUAAGGUGAGAGAGCUGUCACACCCGAUAAUUCGAUCAAAAACUUGGCCAUAUUGGAUCGAAGACCCUGAAUUAUUUUAUAUAUUUUAAUUAGAUACAUCCUAUGUGUACUGAAUUGUAAAAUUUGAGAGAUAAAUUGGGCAUUAAUGAUGAUUGUCAAUUAUUCUGAGAGGCUUGUUGGGAAAUAAUGGCUUGUUUCUAAUAUUUUAUCUUAAUUUGGGUUAGUGCUUGCAUAAAAAAGGUUGAAUAGUAAAAAAGUGAGUGACUAUUUAAGGGGGAAAGAAACAGGGUAAACAUAUUAUUUUUCUUCUUCCUUCUCCCAACUUCUUCUCCACUGUCAUUUUCUCUCUGGAUGUUUUGGAAUGAGAGACAUAGGAAUAAAGGGAUCGAACUGCAUGCUGGAAAAUAUAUAUAGAAAAGUAGUUUAAUCAGAGAUGAAAUUUGUGAACUGGUAACAUUCCUAUACUAUUCUGUAUUUUUUUUAUUUUUAAAGAAAGAAAUGAACCGCGGACAUCCAACUAAAUAUUGGUUGUGGAUUGUAACAAAAAUAAGCAUGUUAAGAAGAGAAUUUACUCAACAUGUUGUUAGAAAUCGAUUGUCUUACUCGUAAAUGUCUCAUGGUUGGUCCUAUAUGAUUGUUACUAUUUAGUUGGCGAAGACAGGGAGGGACCAAACAAUAAGGGGAAAGUCAAGCUAGUAGGUGAUGUGUCCUUGAGGUGUUUUACCGGUGAGUUCCUAGACUCAAAUCUUCAGUGUUUGUUUACAUGUUUUAUACUAUGAUGCUCAGGUUGUGUCCUAUGCUUACGAGGAAGGGUUACCUUGUCGUGGGAAAGUUACCACAAUCGUGGAUGUAUGUUACGAGAUAAGGUGCAUGUUGGUUGUGAGCUUGAGUCAUAGUAUUGAUGAGUGCAAUGCUAUGGUGUUUGCUAAAUUCUAAAUUAUAUGACAGUUACCUUACAUAUCUAUAGUUUUGGUGAGAUUCCUACUGUGUUGUUGAUACAUGUUAAGUUGGUGUGCAAAUUUAUGCCCUGUUGUAAGCAUAAAUUUGUUGUAUUGUUAAGUUUUUUCUAGGUAAAGUACUAUUGAUUUUGUUAUACUAUUGAAUGCUUGAUAUAUGUUAUUUUGAUGAAAAAUAAUGAUAUGCAAAGGUUUGGUUGGAGGACACAGAGAACGAAUAGACAGGUUAUUUGGUUUUGCAAAGGUUCAGUUAGAUUGUACAGGGUUAUAUGAGCACAAGUAUGUGAUGACCCUACGAGGAUUUUUCUCAAGAAUGAGAAUUUGCGGAGCCUAAAGCUCGAAGCCUCAUGUAUGUAUGCAAGUCUCAUGGCCAUGGCAUAUUCAAGUAAGAGUCUGCAUGGAUUAUCUAUCAAGUAAGAGUCAGCAUGGACUAUCUAUCAAGUAAGAGUCCGCAUGGACUAUCUUUCAAGAAAGAGUUCGCAAGGACUAUCUUUCAAGUAAGAGUCCACAAGGAUUGUUCUUCAAGAAGGAGUCCGCAAGGACUAACUAAUGAGUAUGAAUCCAAAAGUUUAAGUUUGCCAAGGUAUGAUUCCGCAAAUGUAAGUCCUCCAAGAAUGAGUUUGUAUGUAUGAAUCCGCGCAUGUGAGUCCGUAGGUGUGAGUUCAUAGGAGCAUGUCUACUAAAUAGGGACCUGCAAGUAUGAAUCUGCAUGUAUGAACCUACCAAGUUUGGAUCCACGUGUAUAAUUCAUCGUAUGGGAGUCCGCACGUAAAGGUCCUCCAAGUGGGAAAUUUCAUGCAUUAGUCUUUAGGGACCAACCGCUGAAUGUUAGUCUGCAAUAGUAUUAUCUGCCAAAAUAUUCCACACAAGAUUGACUACCAAAAUUACUAACGAGCUGUCUUGUAUAAAAUUAAGGCAAAUGUGUAAGCGAAACCAUCCUUCAAGAAAUACUAACGCACGGACGAUGAAAAUAGAGAAUCGUGUCAAUGUAUAAAAUGUGCCAAUUUACAAGUUGUGCCAAUGCGAAUGAUGUCAAUUGUGCACUAUGAAUACGUGUGAUCUGCCCUCGUGCAAGUGAUGUCAAGCAUGAGCCUAGGCCAUUGAAGUCAUAUCAUAUGAUAAUAUCAUGAUCAGGUAUGUUAUAUUAAUAACUCACUAAGUUCAUUAGAACUUACCUAGCUUUUUGUUAUGUUUUUUAGGUAUAAUGGGCUACACGAGACACUGGAGAGGGACUAAGCCAGAAUCUGUUGAACCUGUAUGAGGUUUUUCUUCUUAACUGUAACAUGCAUAUAGUGGGGGCGACCUGUAGGCUAAGCCUCAGGAUUAGGAAUUCUUGUAACUGAGUAUGAACAACAUGGUAAUUAUUCCAACGUAGGUUGAUUGCUACAAUUUAAUGAAGUUGUUAUUAUGAAUCAUUAUUAAUUCAUAUGUUAAUGUCCCAAACUAGAAAUUAGUAUGAUUGUAACAUUUUCAUUUGGCUAGUCGAUCAGUUGAGCUUUUGGGAUGCUACACUAUAGAAGUCGUAUACCCAACACACUAGCUUUCAGUUCCUUAUUUAUUUGAACUCAGACUUUUACUUAAAUAAAAGUAUACAAAAAACACAUACAUAGUCUGUUAUCCACUCAGGAUUUAGGUACGUCACACUAUGAAUGUCACAAGUGAAUAAAUCUAUAAAUAGAUUCAGGAUCUAUUCUUUUUAGGUCUAGUCCGAUGUACUAUCAAUCUAGUUAGUCACAUCUAUGUCUUUAUCUUUUAGGAGUCAUCCACUCCGAUACCCAAGACAAGGCAUCUCCCUAAUUGGACUUGAUAAACGUCAUAUUAGUCUUUUAAUCUGUUUUCUCAUUUCCUAUUAAACUAAGGGUAUGUUUAGUUCAUCUACUAAUUAAGCUUUCUUUCCAUAUUACAAUCUGACCACGUAAUACCACUUAGUAUUAUUUUAAACAUUAGACAACCAGUGAGCCAAUAUUUGCUUCUAUUUUUCUUUAUAUGCAAAAACCACGUGAGGAAGAUAUACAAAUGGUAUUAAUGUAAUUCAUGAAUAAAUUUAUUAAAUAAUCUGCUCGAAAAAAUUACAAGUGCACAUUAACGAAAAUACUACACUUAGGGCACCAGAUCCAACAUUAGGGCCAUUGGAGAGUUAUGGAUCCUAUGACUUUGAUGGGUUGAUUCACAAACCCAUAAAUCGGGUUCACCUUAUUUAACAUACUCUCUUCAAGGACCAUUUACCUGAAAGCCUGCUGAUCAUCGUAACUACCAUUGGAUCAUUUCCUUAAAUCCAUUGAUGAUCAUCGUAACUACCAUUGGAUCAUUUCCUUAUUUUCCAAAGGCUACAUUUUCAUUUUCUUGGGUAAAACAAACCUAACAUAUGUCAAUCUAAUGAGAUUUAUUCAUUAUCGGGUUUAUUAAUAUGAUACUCCUUAAAUAAACUUUUAUCUUGGUGUUAGAGAUAGUCAUUCCUCAUAAGUUUAUACUAUCAUAUAUAUUACCCCCUAUCACUACUUGUUUCCUUUUGCCUUUAUCUUGCUUACACAAGUAUGAAUCUCGCUCAGAAUAUUGCCUAUGGCGAGGAUAUCAAGGCACAAACUAUUUAAGCUACCCUAACCUAACUUCCUCUUCUAUAGUGUCCUUUAGUGAGGUGCAAUAUUUAAUCUUAUGUACCAUAUCACUAUAAAACUGACACCUUUAAGUGGAUCAACCACGAUAUCAAUUAGGACUUAUUAAAAGAGGUUUACUCUUGAACUUGACUUAAUAUAUAUGCUUGUGAUGGAAUUUAGGGAAUAUAAUAUGUAAAUUUAUUAUGUAAACCCUAACAACUUCUCUUUUUAUAAGAUUCAGAGAUGAAACCUUCUUUGGUGAAUUUGGGGAAUGAGAAUGGUGCUGCCCUCCCAAGUUUACCCAUAAGAUAAUAUGUGUUAUGUGUUGUUCCUUGUUAAAAAGUCGUCUGUAAGAGGGGCAAUAUGAUCUUUGAUAAUAUGAGGCAUUAUAUCCAAAAUCAAAUUCACUGUUGAAAAAAUUCAUUUCCUUUAUUUCUACAUAUUUGUAGGCUUUUCAUACAAGUUGGUAAGGGGUUGAGGCUUAUUCUCCGUGAAGGUGUAUUUUAAAUGCUCUUGAUUCAAUCUUGCUAUAGAGUCAUCCAUGACCCACUAAUGUCAAAUCCUUGGUGGUCAUGGUCACGAAGUGAAAGCAUUUGAUGUAAUCUCACAGUGGCUCCCCAAGUUUCUGUCUAAUAGUUAGAAGGCUAGUGGGUAUUUUCAAAAUAACCUUAUAUGCGUAAAAGUGACAUAAAAAUAGGUGAAAUAGUUGCUUAAAGCCACGAAUAAAGCUUUCUAGGAGAGAUAAGUACCAAUUCUUUAUAUUUAUUAAUCAUGCCUCAGUAUACGUACACCGGGGCUAUGAAUCAACACAAUUGUCUCUAAAUAUCUAGUGGUGUACUACAAGUGUGACAAGUCGAGUUGUAAUAUUUAUAGUGUUACAAUGGAACACUCGAGUAAUCCAAGGAUCGAACCCAAGAGAGUUCGAGGACAAAGUGAUUCCUAAGCAACAAGCAUACGAAUAGAAAGUCUAGCUAACUACUCACUAGGUAUUAUACUACGACUAUUCAUAAUCCAGGGUAAAUUACACUAAUUGACUAACUAACGCUAAGAAUGACCAAAUUGUAAAAAAAUAAAAAAAUAUACAAUUAACGAUUCAAUACACACAAGCGGUUGGUUGACUUUCAUGUUGCCGAUUAGUCUUUGGGUUAAGGAUCUAAAAGGCUUAAACUUCUAAUUGGCUCAAUUUUACCUCUCAGUCGCCCACUUUACCCAAUUAGACGAUUUAGUUUGGUUUAUCUCUCAACUUCACUAAACUAACUUAAGAUAAUCAAAUUGGUGCUCAAUAGGAUCUCCUCUCGAUCUCACCUAUCUAAAUGUUCACCUAGAGGCAUCAAUUCUAAGUUUUGAAGUCUAUUCAAUUUAAUCUAGUUUUUACGAUUUAGUUUAUGUACCCAAAAACUAACCAAACAACACUUCUAUCAACCAACCACCAUAAAUUUAAUUACCAAUUAUCAUUUACAUGUAUACAAUCAUCCAACACGUACUCAAAUCAUACAUAAAAAUAAGCACAAGAGUAUGGUUAAGAAAAGCUUAGAAAUUUCUUGAUGGAUGCUUGAAGAAGAUGAUGACAGCAACAAUGGAGCUAACAAAUACAAAUAAAGUUCAUAUUUUUAGACUUUGGAAAGAAAAUAAACUAAAAUAUCUUGAAGGACUUGGAUGAAAAUAAAAAACAAAGUAAAUUUAAAGUACCAAAGUGCAAUUAAUACUAGAGCUACAAUAAAAACUAACUAAACUACCAACUAAAAUCAGAAAAGCUAUGAACUAAAACACUAAAAAAUGAAGAAGGAGUAACUACUGAGCUUAAAAGAUAAAAUAAAAGGUGGCUCAUUUAAAGUUAUCAGCCAAAAGUGCCUUUCAACAACUGAAUACAACUCCAAUUUUUAGACAAAAAUGCCUCUAAAAGUUAUGUUUUGGCUUGGGUUAAUGUUGGACAAAAGACUACCCCUGUAGCUAUUUUCUCUCUGCCACGCAGUGUUGUCGCGACACCUAGGCUUCAAUGUCGUAGUACCUUAGACAGUAGUGAACUCAUUGUUGUGGGGGGUUUCAGUGUUGCGACAUCACUAGUGUUGGCUCCAAUUCCUUCAUUUCAACACCUCUAGGGAUAUCACAACUUAGGAAGCUCGAUAUCGCAACAUUGGCUUGGUGUCGCGACAUCCUACCUUCGAUGGCGCGACUCUCUCGAUAGUAGGCUUUAUGUUGAUUUCGCGUUGAAUUUUUACAUCCUCAAGAUGAAAGGGUUUGGUGUUGCAGCAUUAAUAUCAGCAGUGUUGUGACACCUACUUUGAAUGAUGUUUUCCUUGAGGUUGGGCCAUUGUCAUCUUCCUACACUAACUCAAACACCUCGUUAGGUCCCCUAUGGCACCAUGUUGCCAAUUUGGUUCUUAAAAGGGGAAAAACUCAACCAAAAACAUUUAUUAAUGGUGAAAGCUAAAAUUCAACAAAAGCAUAGAAAUGACACUUAAUUUGCUUGAGAAUAAGCUCCUAGAGUGUAUUAGAGAGUCUAAUUUGACGUAUUAAACUAUGGCAGAUCAUUUAUUCUUAUGGUGGUGGUGAAGACUCUACAUUUAAGAGUAUCAAAAGCUCCUGAAACAUUAAUAUAGUCAUUGUAUUGCAUUAAGUGGUUGGGUCCUUGUCACCUUCAUAGAUUUCUUUAGGGAAUUCGAAACUCUGUGGCAAAUUGACAACUACUACCUUAAGUAUGAGGGGGUUAUUGGAACAUGAUAUGCAAUCCAUGUCUUCAGUAUCAAGCUUUAGAGCCUGAAUAUCUUACUUCAAUACCUCCAUUUCGUCAUGCUAGGUUGUUGCUCCUAAGGAAAGACCGAUCUUGGUUAGUACUUUAGGUGUGCAUCGUGAACAUGAGCAUUAAGGGAAGAAACAACAUAAUCAUUAUGCCUUUAAAACUAAACGGGGGUUGUCCUACUCUUAACUUUCUUAUUACCUCAAUUUGAUGAAGUUGUUGUUCUAGGUAGAUAAUUCAUUGUCAUUUGGUUUCUUGGGGCCUUUAUGUGUUUUUUUAGUUCUAGAAAUUGUUGGGAGAAUGAAUUGGGGUUACAGUUAGGAUUUUGGGUUGUUUGCUCAUAGAAUGUUGGUAUUAGGCAUAUGUUUGGUGGAGGGGGGAGGAAUGUGGUAUUAUACCUAUGUUGUUGAUUAUACCAGUUUUCAAGUGUCACUAUAGGGGUUGUAAGGACAAGCUAGGUGAGGAUAGCUUGUUUAGUCAACGUGUUGGGUGGUAAUACUAGUGGUUAAAGUGGGAUUUUCGGUGAUGGCUUCCACAAGACAAGUCAUUUUAUCACUAUUAACUACACCAAUUGUUGAGGAUUAAAAAAGGUAGAAGGGGGAGAUGACAAUUUACAUGAUGGUAAGGUGUUAAAAGUCGUCGGAGGAAAAAAAGGAAGAAAUAUAUGGCAUGGAAGAGGAAAGUUGAAGAGGAAGAAUAAGAAGAAGAAAUAGGAGAAGGAGAACUCUUAAGGCCAAGGAUGGGUAUUUAUAGGUGAGGAUGACCAUCCCUUGGCACUAGGUCUUGGCACGUGUCUAUGCUAGCUUUAUUGUAGAUGAUCACUUAGAGAGCAUGAUAACCUUUUAGAUGGGGGACGAUGUGAUUGACAUGGAUCAAGUUAGACUCUGCAAAAGGAGGGAAUCAACACUUGCCCUUGGCGAGGUAAAUUAGAGCUAUACCAUGUGUCAAGCACGUAUACAUUCAUGUUUGAUGGACUGAUGUGUGUAAGCAAAAUCAUCACCAACAAAGUUAAGACUAUAUGGGGGUGAGGAUGGUGAAACCAUUCUGGCAAGGUGCUGAUAAUAAUACAACAGUAUUGUUCAGCGCAAGUCCAUGACUAAGAAAAGGAAGACAAAACCGUGUAAAAGAUACAUACUUGGUCUGUAGAUAAUCGAUUGUCAGUUCCUCAUAAUGAGCCCCGUUCAUUAAUUAAAUAAUACUCGCAAUCAAAGCUGCAGCUUCACUUUCCAUAACAAAAGUCAAUAAAUUAAGAGUACAUAACAAUAAAUUCAUCAUCCUGAAUGAUGGGAUAGUAAUCACUCUCUCAUAUUCGACUAUUUGGGUGUGUACUCAGUCAAUACUGUUCAUCGUCCCAAGGAUAUUGGGCUUAAACUCCAGAUGGCCUGGCUCAAUGUGUUUCUACAUGUGUUCGUGGGCCUUUACCUAUGAGUUUUCUAAUCUAUAGGCCUAAAGGAUCCUAUAAUUUAUGUAAUCCAUAAUGCCCUCAAUGUUUUAAGUUGCGAGUUGUGCAACUCAAUCUCAGUCAUACUGGGAUUGGGAGUUGGGACUGUAAGGAGAAGAAGGUGGUAUUUUUGGGUUUCGGAAGAUGGAAGUAGUAGAUCAUGAAACCCCAAGCUUGGAAAAUGGGAAAACUGACAAAGAAGUAGAAGAGAAUGCAAAUGUUUUACAAUUUAUGGACUCCAUGGACGCUUAUUUGACCCUCAUUCAUUCUUUAUCUUCGACACUUCGCCGGGUAAGAAACAUCUUUUCUUUUUUUCCCCCUUUCUCCGAUAUAUUUGAUAGGAUUGAUAAAUGAUGAAAUUUCAACUUUGAUUAGAUAUAAUUAGUUCUUCAGUUAUCAGAAAUGCUUUAGACAAUGAACAUGUAAAUCAGGGUUAAGUUCAUUACCAAGUGAAAUAAGAAGAUGCAUUGAUCCAGGCAUCACCCUUUGAAUCCUGAUUGUUUUAUCUACUUGUAGUUCCCUGUUUAUGCCACCCAGCUUCGAUCUUUUUUUCUGCUUUUGUUUUUCCCCAAUUUUUUUUUCUUGUUUUGGUCUUAAUAAGUACCAAAAAUCAGGGAUGGUUGGAACUGGCAAGUGCUCGACAUUCCAUGGGUGCUUCACGGGUGAAUACUGUCUUGUUGGACCAUACGUCUCAUCCUGCUGCUACAUCAUUGCUUGUAACCCAAGAUGAGAGAAAAGGUAUUUAUCAGCUUUAUCUACAAAAGCAAUCAGAUCCUGGUAUAAAUUGUUCGGCAUAGUGCUUCAAGCAGACUUUGUAAACUAGACUGCAGAGGGUUAUCUUAUAGUAGUGGACUCGGUGUAGUCAAUAUUGUCAAGGCACCUGCACCUUGCACAUCAAGCCAUUUUUGACAAGGCCCAUUUGACCUGGCGCGCCACUAGAUGCGCUUUUUUGUAUACCUUUAUAAGUAAGAAAGUGAUAGUAUUAAACUCUAUAUUUCUCAAUACUUGAGUAUUCAACUAUAGACAUGGACCAUAAAGAAAUCAUGCUUGUUGACUAAUAAAAAGUUUGCUUGUUUUGUAGAUAAACUAGACCACAGUUUAGAGUUUGUUAUUUCUUAAGCUUUAUACACACACAGAGAAACACACACAUACAUACUGGCACAUAGAAAACUCACACAUAUACAUAUUACACUUUACUUCACUCAGGCCAAUAUAUUUUUAGUGCCUUGAACCUAAGCCAAUGUAAAGGUUCUAGUGCCUAGAGUGCUCCUCAUGCCCUUGACUACAUUAGGUGUGAUUGUUCUGGUGGCACCUGCAUGUGGGUACUUGUAUAUGAAUAUGAAAUGAUUUUACUCUAUUAGGUUUUACUGUUUUAGACAGCUAGAUCUAAAGCCCCUUGUUAUUGAAUUCUCAUUCAUAUUGAAACAUAUGGUUAUGGGUUUUACCUGUUCGUUUACCUUUUUGCUAUAAGGAAUUUUAUUUGAUUUAUGAUCUGUAAUAGUUGACUCGGGCAAACCACACUUUACAUUAUGCAAAUGGGCAUCUUCUAGCAAUGAGAACUCCUUGUUUGGGGAGAAACAAUCUAGCCAAGACAAAUUACAUCCACAGCUGCGACACAGGGGCAGUACCGAGCUUUAUGGUAUGUUUUGGCCCUCUAUAUAGAAGUAGACACUCUCUUUGGAUGUUAAUUAUAGCACGAAGACAUACAAUCAACUGAAAGUCUGAAACUAUUUGCAAAAAAGAAAAAAAAAAGUGUUUUGGAACUAUUGUUGUUAGGCUCAUUCUUAGGUAAUCUUUAAAUUGAAACCAAAUGAUGGGAAUUACAGAAUUCCAAUUGCAAACCAUAAUUGCUUCUUAAUGGUUUGGUAUGUUUUCUCACAUUUUCCUUCUGUCUGUUUUAAGAGGAGAAGACCUCAUCUGAGAAUAAAGCUUCACGUGAAGUUGAUGACCCAGUAAGUAUCCUAUUUCUACCACUCUUGCUCCUUCUUUGUUGUUGUUUUGCUUUCGGUUUCAGUUUCAGUUUCAGUUUCGCAGAAUGCUUAUUUUAUUUAUUUGAAAGUAGCUGUGAUGUAUCUGUUUUAGUAGUUUCCAGGGCCAACUAGAAAAACCUUUUUCUAUGAUAUAUUUGUUAAGGAAGCUUACAUGAUAGAUUUUCCUGUUAAAUUUGAUUGUUUUAGUAAAUUCGAAUAGAGAAACAAUCACAUGGACUCAUUUUGGAAAACUUUGUGUCUCCGGUUUAGGUUCAAAAGGAGAGAUCUAAAUCACUGUCAAUGUUUGGAACUCUUGUUUCUCCAAAGCUUCGAGCCGCCCAGCUAUCAUUUGAGGCAGGUGUGAACUUUUAGGUCAAUGCUCUUGAUCAUAUUUCAGUACAAGAUGAGACUUAGCUUACAAAUUGUAUUAUUGCAGCACUAGAGACACUUGUAGAGAUAGCGAACAUGCGCUCGGAAAUGCUCUGCGCUUUUGAUCAAGUCAACAUGAAAUUGGCAGGCAGAAAGGAUGAAAAAUAGUUGUUUUCAUUCUGGUAACUCUGCACAAUGUUUAUUAUUCCCCUUUAUGUUAUCCCUCCACAUUUCUUUUACUCUUCUAAACUUAACAACUCAGUCAUUCGUGCCAAUAUUUCAAGAAAAAAGAAGAGUCGCAUGUAUAGUUCUGGGAGGGUGAAUGUGCUGAUAACAGGAUUUAAUUCUAUGCUUGUUACACUUAUCUUAGAUUUUGGAGAUCGUUAAUGUAUGAACUAAAACAGAAGGGGUUUUGCCUGUUCCCUAUUCAUUGUAAGUGGGUUUAGUAAACAUAAUCUGUUUUUCUGUUUUUCGAAGUAUGUGGUUUACACGUCAUUUAUUUUUUUGUUUUCAAAUUCAAAUAAUGGAUUCUAAUUUUGAUAUUUGUUAUUCAAAUUCACAAAUAUCCGAAUCUAUUAUAUACCACAUUUUUAGCACAAAUAAUUUAUUUAUUUUGAGAUAAUAUUUUAAUGUUUAUACAUUAAUUAAUUUUUUAAAAAUGCAAAUAUACAGCAUUGCAUGCUAGUAUCAUAUCUUAUUGAGUCUUAUUCUGGUGUGACAACAAGAUGUGAAUUUAAUCGUGGUUAAUCAUGUAUUAUCCCAAGUUCGAGUGCUAUGGCAAUAAGAAAUAUAUAUAUAUAUUUUUAUAAUAAAAAAACCACAUCAUAAAAUGCACUAUUGGGACUGCAAUUGUGGGCAUGACCAAUAAAUAAGUUUUCACCCUGCAGCUUCAGACUCAGUAAAAUUAAUGAGGAGUCCGGUUAAGAGUAAAAAGGAUUCCCAUCAAGUCAACCACUUCUGCUAUCGCUAUGAUUGAAACACCGAACAAGCUCCAGUUCCACAACAGAUUCGCUGCCUGCUUUAUUCCAUUCAAACUCUAAACAAUAUAUAGGUUAGUUUCCGGCAGCAGCAGCAGCAGCAGCAGCAGCAUAUCAAAUUAUUUUCUAACAGAACAUAAAAUUAUCACCAUGCAGAUUACAAAAGCAAACCUACCAUGAUGAUCAGCAACUUAAAAGGAGACUUUUUUGUGUGUGUGUUUAUUAUUUUCCAAUCACUAUUCUGGCAUGCCAACACCCCUCAAAAAAAUGUCGCCAUAUAACAAAAAAUACAGCACAACUUUACAACAAUCCAAUUCCAUGCUGCAGAAUAUUAAACACAACAGCACAUAGUAAAAAGGUAGGCAACCCAACAAAACCUCAACAAAAACAGGAAAAGGUGUAUAAGAGCCCGAGGGAAAAUUACUUAUCUUUUUUCUUAUCAUUUUAACUUUUGGAUUGCCAAUUAGAAAGCACGCCAAUUAUCAGAACUUUUCUUCGGACUCUGCUGAUCUGAUGAGACUUUAAAUGGACCGCUGGAGCCAAAUGGAUCUGAGUCGUCAAAAGAGAACCCAUGGCCAAAGUCUUUGCUGCUACUUAUGGAGUCGAACCUCGUGAGUGUCUCAGGUUGUGGGGAAAAUCUGCUGCCAAAGUCUUUGCUAUUGUUUACGGAGUCAAACCUUGAAAACCCGCUGCCAAAAUCCUUGCUACUGUUUAUGGAGUCAAAUCUUGUAAGCCUAUCCGGUUGCUGUGAAAAUCCACCAUCAUGCAUGCUGAAGGAAUCAAACCUUGAGAAACUGUCAAACUGAUCCCUUGAUGCCUCACUGAACCUUGAUGGCGAGUUCCCAAACUUGGAGAGUGGAGUACUGGGAACCGAGUCUUCAAAUGUAAAUGGACUCUUCUUAUCAUAAAAGCUUUCUGCAUUUGGGGAUUCUGUUCUUGUGUGUACAUCAAAAUCACUUGAUCCAAAAAAGUCUCUGGCCUUGUCCGAGUCCUGCCAUGUGACAUUAAAGAUCAAGACUAAAUAUAUUUCAAUACAUCAGACCAAGAAAGGAUCAUAACAAGCACAUCAAAAUAUUUUGAACACACAAGAAUCCGAGUUUAUUGAGGGUAAGCUAGGUAAAGCAGCCAGAUUUAUGCCUUGUGACUAAAAGCUCUGAACAUAAGGUUUCCACAAUGUGACCUACAUGCAACUUGACAAAAAACUUCACAAAAUAUGAAGAGUUAAGACAUCUAUUAAGUUUAGACUAACCAACAAAGUAUCCCAAAUUACUUUUACCCUAUCACCACCAUACAGGAAGGGUAAAUACCAUUUAAGUCAGAAUUCUACACAAAUGAUGAAGCUACCAUCUUUGUAACCUAAAAACAAAAAUGUGCUUCAAGAAGUUCGGGGUCACCUUGGUAUUAAGAGAAUUAAAACCCCACACAGAGUCCAUAUCAUCAUUAUCAAAGGUCCCCCAUCCUGAUUCAUCAAAACUUCUGUCCAGAAAUAGAAAGGAAUUUAAAAAGAAAAAAUGAGAAAAAAAAAUGUCAAACUCAAUAGUUGACAGAAAAAACUUAAAAAAGUUUAUUCAUCCAUACUGGUGUCUUUCUGCCUCUGCUUCAGUGCUCUUUCCAAAAGGGUCAUCAGAAAAUGGUUUAGAUGGGCUUUCUAGAGAGUUUCUAUCAGUAGGACUACCACGAGGACUUCUGGCAGAUUCAUCUUCACUGUGUGUAUCUGCAGACUCGCUCUCGAUGGCACGAUCACUAGCACUGAAGAGAUUCGCAGUUUUUUCAUCAGCAUAGGAAGUGGAAUCAGGGGUCAAGCUACCAUCUGGAGAAGCUUUUCCUCUCUGAGAGACGGCCCCUUUUUUCACAUCAAUAGUGAGCUCAUUGCCAAAUCCUGAAGUUUGAAAUGAAAAGUCAGAUGAAUAAAAUUGUUACAGAACCCCACCAAGUUUCACAAAACUUUAUUUGCAGUUCUCAAACAGUAAAGGAAGGAAAGACCUUCAUCUUCAAACUUAUCCCACUCUUCGUCCCAGAGUGCUGCUCCCUCUGAAACUCCUGGUUGCCAACCUUAAAUAGGCAUUGCAUAUGAAAAGGACAAAACAAUUAGUAAAUGGAAUUGUAUUUACUUCAAGAAAAACUAAGGGUCAUUCCAAAUACAAAACAAAGAUAAUAGGUAUAAGAAUUAACAUACAUCAGAAGUCUCUUUCUUUCUAUUAAAGUGACUAAGAGGAUCUUAAAGAUCAUAAAAAAAAAUGAAAACAAAAAAUUUACAGUUCCAUGCCAAAAGAGAAUCUAAACAGACAUUAGCAUCCUAAAUGACUGCAAGCAGCCAAAGUAUAGAACUUUAGCUCUGAAGUUUUGAAAAGGUAUAAAUGAGGUAACCCAUCCAUUUGCUGCCUGUUUUUAUUGCCACUUUUCAACUAAACAUGUGUUUUAAGAAGUCAAAAGCAAAAGAAGAAAUGGAAAGCAGUGUUAAAUUGUUUGUUUAAUAGAUCCUAUUGCUGUCAAAUCUUUAUGAGGAAGGUAGGUUUGGAAAAGUUUAAGAGUGAAAUAAUUUGACCUUUUCCAAUAGAAACAUUUUAAUUACGACUCAAACAGCUUAAAAUGGAAAAGCAAAAAUUGUGGGUAAGGAUCAUGGGGGGAGUCACCAUGUACAGUCAGCAGAGACCAAAGACAAACAUAGAAAUUAAGGGAAUAUGAAAUGAUAUAUCUUGACAUAACCAUGAAAAUUACAGUAGAUAGAUCGACAAAUACAAUCAUAAAAACAUGCUCAAAUAAAAUAGUACAUCCACAGAUUCUACCAAGCUAUAUAACUUUUGAAAGGAAGAAUUGAACUCAAAUAGGGCUUUCAAGAUCAAAGAGUAAAAUGGAAGUUGUGAGGAAGAAUUUUCUUUCUAAUAAAAGCUAAAAGGUACCUGUGGGAAGCUCAAUUACUGCAGCUGACUUAACAUCAUAUCCAUGUUUCUUGCAUCGUUCAGUCAGGGCCUUCAUUAGCUCCUCAAGAUCUGACUGUAUGCGGUCAGCACGGACCUAGAUAUGCCACAAUGCCUCAGUGUCAGAAAAUUUUACUCAAUCUCCAUGACUUACUUGAUCAGUUUAAAUUUACCUGAAGAAUACCAUCUGCACUGCCCCCCUGUUCCAUGUUAACAAUAGCAUGAUGCAACUCUGUCUUCCUCUCCUAAAAACAAGACAAUUACAAAAGUUGGUGAAAUAAAGAAAAGGGGUCUGUAAGAGAUUUUAAGAUCAACAUACUACAUGGUAACAACAGCUAGUAGGCAAAAGGUUGUAGCCAUAUGUCAACUUAAGGAAACAAUGGAAGGAAAUAAAAGACUGAAACAGAGAUAUAAUUUUCGGAUGAAAAUAAAGGAAAAAGAAAACAAGAGAACAAAGACUCGGACAAGUUAUAUAAAGCUUAAAGGUUAACAAGUCAUCUCUUCUCAUCCUGGAAAAAGGUUGAUGCCUCGACAAACACUCAAGCAUUAAGAUGAAAAAGUCAACAUCUAGAUAUUUCAAUCAGGAAAAUUUAUGUGACAACCCCUCCAUGUAAAACAAAGUGAUGUUAACCCAAUAGAACAGUUUACAUGGGUCAUAAACCUCAAAUAGCCCAAAGCAAUGUCAAGGCGAGUGCCUAGACACUAAGGCGCGGCUCAAAUGGCCAUUACCGCCUCAGGCACUUCAAGGUGAGACGACUUAAUUCCAUUAUAUAAAAACCUAGUUAACUCUUAAUUCUAUUAUAUAAAAACCUAGUUAACUCUUAAAAGCAAUGUUGUUUGAACCAAACCGGGAACUGGCCGGGGUACCAGUCCGGAGAGGGGUUUUGAACCGGUUGACCCCAGAACUGUUACGGACUGGUUGAACCGGGCAAAAAACCGGUUCAACUAGGCGGUUGAACCAGAUUUUUUAUUUUUUAUUAUUUUAUGAAUUUUAAUAAUUUUUUAAUCAAACUGGUUGGACCGAAGAACCGGUGGUCUGACCGGUUCAACCACCAGUCCGGUUUAAAAAAAUUUCUUAAAAGUUAAAAAUUUUGAAUAGAAGAUGAAGAUGAAGGAAAUUUAGAGCUAGUUUCUGAUGAUGAUAUUCAAUUUCAUUCUUAUGGUGUUGUAUUUUACAAUACAGUAAAUUAUUAAACUUAAACUAUUAACCAAUGUUUUGAAUUUAUAAAUUGAAUUAUAUUAAUAUUCAUCUUUCUUUUACUAAUUAAUUAAUAAAUGCUUAUUAAUUAUAUGUAUUAGUUACAUAUGUUUUUAUACACAUUUUACAUAUAUAUAUUUAUAUGCUAGCACCUUGGUUUACUCAGGUGAGCACUUUUUUUGCACCUUGCAUCUCAGGCUAUAUAGAGAUCCUAGCGCUUCAAGUGCACCUAGCACCCUUAACAACAUUGGCCCAAACCAACUCAAGGUCAUUCACGCAUAAAGGGAAGAGUAAGGUUACCUGAAUCUCAUGAAAUUUUGCCUCUUCAACUGUUAAUUUGGAAGCUAUUUCUGCAACUUGCUUGUAUUUCUCUUCAUAUUUCUUAGCCAACAUUUCAGCCUACAGUACAAAUAGUCAGUCAGAAAUCAAUGACAUUAUGUCCAAAUAAAUGAGACAAACACUUUUACAGAUUUUUGGCAGUACCUCACGCUUAUCUGCAAUUGCCCUUUCUGUGAUUUCAUUUAGUCUAUUAUCACAUCUGCUUUUAUACAGGACCUGAAAAUAAGAAAGUCGUAUAAUGAUGGUUGAAUUUUGAAGUUCCAAAUUUCCCCAGGCAUGCCAUACAAUUCGACUCACCACUUACUUAAAUUAGGAAAAUAAUUAACCCGCAUUCAGGCAUUGCAUUUAAUGAGAACAAUGUUGAAUUAUUAAUGCAAUGUUAAAAAGGGGGGGGGGAAUUGUUUCAGUAUGCUGAAGCAACCUAACAAGCAUAUCAUGCAUGCACUGUUAAUAGUCAGUCAUUCUAGUUCCUGAUCAUUGAAUAAGAACCUUUAGUACAGUUCUAAUCAAAAUGAGAUUUUUUUUCCAAGCACAUUGUAUUUCCAGAAAAUAAGAAAAAAACGUGAAACAGAAAAUGCUCACAAGUUCCUGCAUUUUCUCACGGUAGAACUCAAGCUUCUCUCUGGAAUCCAAAAUCACCUUUUCAGUUCCAUCAACCUGCUAAAUUUCAAAGAAACAAGCUCCUUAUUGUUAUUCAGGAAGGAAUAUAAAACCACUGAAACUCUAGCUUAGUUAAAAAAAAAUGCUUUACAGAAGUGAUAAAAAAGCAGUCCUCAAACUCUCACCAAACCUGAGGAAGAAUAGAGAAGGAAAAAGUGAAGUGGGUACGCACCCACAUGUGUGUGUAUGUACCAGAGAGAGAGAGAGAGAGAAAGUAUUUGAGCUUUAUCUAGAAGAUGCCAUGCCUUUUUUCCAUCAGCCAUUACAUCUUCGGCUGCCCCAUUCUCUAAAUUUUGUCCAUUGUUAUUGGGUUGGGUUCCAAAGGAAUCAUCCAACACUGGUUCUCUUGGUUUUUGUUGGUUGGACAUUGUAGUAGUAUCAGCAGAAGCAUUGGGGCGAACUGGAGGUUUUACACCAGCUGACGGAGUCACUGUCUGGGCAGCCAUCCCCGACUGAUGUCCAAAACCUAACAGCAAUAAUUGUUUUAUUAAGAGAAAUCUUGGAUGGCAACAAUGAGAAGGAAAAUAAAUUAGAAGGGAUCCUAACUAAUACCAGGAUUGGGACCCCGAGCUGCAUUUCCAUAUGAAACAUUGGGUUGGCCUGUCAUGGACAAGAGUGUCUCAUCAAACAAAACAUUUCUAGGGAGUGCAGGUGGAAGAGGACGGCCUUCCCUAUACCGUUCCAUCAAAUAGAGAGCAAAGCAAAACUCUCUCAAAGAUAGCAUACUAUCACUAUCCUGAUCAGAUAAGUCCCAAACCUGCUUCAAAACCUCUGUGAAAGACAAAAGCGACAAUGUUAAAUAUGUUUACCCCAAGUAACAAAGGCCUCUGCUCCAACAGGACCAACCAUGGAAAUAUUUCAAAGAAACACUGCACUAAUAGGACUUCUUCAGUAAGUAUGCCAAAAAAUCAGUGUUUUCAAGGGUGAAAGGUGCAUUCUAGGUGCUAGAACCCUUAUAUUGCCUCAGGCAGAAGAUGCAAAAAAGCAUUAGCCUGAGUGAAGUAAAGCACAAUAUGCAUAUGCAUUCGUUCUUGAAAGUCUACAUAUGUAUAUAUAACAUAUACAGCUUAAUAUAUAUAGUAACCUCUAAAGUGUGGUCUAGUUUACCUACAAAACAUGCAACUUUUUUUAUCAGUCAAUAUGCAUGAUUUCCUUAUGGUCAAUGUUUGUCGUUGAAUACUGAAAUAUUGAGAAGUAUAGAGUUCAAAAGUAUCCAUUUCUUACUACUAAAGGUAUAUCAAAUGAAAACAGUGAAAAAUAAUUAAAGAGAAAUUCAAUCAGGUGGGCUUUCUUUUUGCUUAUUUUCUUACAAAAAAGUGUUUAGGAGCACCAAGUGUGUGCUUGAUCAAAUGGGUCUCACCUAGAAGGGUCUGAGGGCAUUUUUUUUUUUUGUAUAAUGCUAAUGCACAGGCGCACCUAGGUGCAUGCCUUGACAACACUGCAAAAUGUUUUAGUAGAAAGAAGGAUUCAUGGAAUGAGACCAUCUAAAAAUACAUAGGCAUCAUCAGUUUACCACCUUAGCAGCAAAAAAUAUUUUCACUACCUAGACCCUACAAGAAUAAAAUCUUAAACCAGAAUAUUCAAAAACAAACCUUUUUUUGAUAUGAUAAUAUUCACAAAUAAAAUUUUGAAAAAAGAAAACAUAAAAGACAUCAGACCAUGAGCACAAUAACGAAUUAUAUGUUCUCAGCAUCUCAACAAUGGUGAAAUUCCUAACACUAUUUUUUUAUUCAUAAGAAAUCACCAUACAUGUUAAACUAAAUAGAUAAACCAUCUAUGUCAUGCAUAGAUUCAUAUCUCAGAAACUUAUUUGGAUAAUAACAGAAUAAGAAAUUAUCAUACCUCUAGGUAGCCUCCAACUCAAAAAUAGAUUCCUUGCCUGCUCACCAGUUAUUUUCCCAUCUCUGUCAGUGUCCACUUCCAUGAACACUUUCGUAUAUUUCUGAACAUCAGAUUGUUUCAUUUUUGGCCACGGAGGCUGGGAACUAUUUGGGGCAGCAUUCACAGCUCCAGCAGAGAUUCCUGAUGGUGUAAAAGAGGAGCUUGGGGAAGAAACUGGUUGGCCUUGGAUUGGAGACGAGUAUAGCCUUUGACUUUGACUACCAGCAGAAUGCAUAGAGAACGUACUUUGCAAUGAAUCAAGAGAGUUGGACUUAACUAAGGGUUGGGCCCCACUUGAAACUGGUGUAAUCCCUGGUGAGGCGGGUGCACUGUGGGGAGAAAAGGUUUGUGUAGAUAAUUCUUGUUUUGGUGUAAACGAGGUUGCAGAAAAUGCAUCACUUCCAAAUGCCAAGCCAGAAGCAAGCCCAUUUCCAGAAACAACAAAUGCUUUAGAAUCAUUAGCAGUAGGCUGGGAGGACAUUGAAACUGCAGCUUGUGGCCUUGGUGCUGUUGAUGGAGCGACCCCUCGUGGCCUAGUUGAAGCUCCACCAGGCCUUCCAGAAAGCCAAUUGCUAGACAUAUUUUGAUUUGUUAAACUGGGACCUGUAGCACCGGUGGGCAUUGAUUGAUGUGAAAGUGGAGUAGAACCAGCAGGCAUAGCUUGAGGUUGACCAACUAUAUUACCUCCCCUAGAAGACUCUGGAGCUGCAAUACCUUGAGAAGGGUGCAGGGCAGUAGCAGCAGGCAUGGUUUGUUGGGGUCUCAUUGACAGGUUCUGUUGAGAUGGAAAAUGCUGCUGGCUCAUACCAGCAUUUGGAACUCCUGGUCCUCUGAACCCAACACUUGGAGAGGAUGGUGGCACAGCUGCACCCAUCUGUGGAGCAGAUGUGGCAGGAAAAUUAAUUUGCGGAGCUGGAAUUUUUGCUGCAGCAGGGCCAUAUAAUGCUGCCUUGACAAUGUCUGGUGUUAAUUCACGCCUUUGUGCUACGGUCACAAGCUUGAGAGCAUUAAAAAACUCUUGCUUGCUCAGGAAACCACUAUGACUUUGGUCAGCAUAUGCCCAUAUCUGCAGUCAUAGGAUAAAUUGAUAUGAAUGGACCCAUAAUAUCAACUUCCUUGGCCAAAUAGGUUUAUACAAAAACAGAGGGUAUAGGUCGCAAGAAUCGCUAUAAGAUAUGUACAACAAGUUACACGUGUACUAAUCCAAUUCAAAUCCAGAAAUAAAAAAUUCCAAUCCCUAAACCAUGCCAUUCAGUGCGUGAAAAUCCACCAUAGACCACCAAAUGCUACAGAAAGUAACGCAACGCUGAAGGCAUUGCAUCUGUUAUUUCAUCAGAAUUAAAAUGAUUCUUCGAUUUUUUUACUAUAUCGAACUAUAGAUGUAGUGAUCUACAACCCAUCAACUUGUAGCCUCCCCUAUGUGUCAGAGUAACAGACAGUACAUUAAUAAAAUCUAGAACAAAACAACAGUCACUGGUUCAGCAGCUAACAAAGGCAAGAUUCAACAUUUAAAUCACAAAAAAAAAAAAGCUAGAUAAGUUCCUAUUGCAGAUGUAUGAUAUUGUACUUCCAAGUGAAACUUCGGCCAAAAAGACAAGUAUUUUAGCACUCUGAAAGCUUAUUAAUAACAUCCUCGAAAAAGUAGACAAUUGAAACCUUUCAAGUAUUUGAUAAAUUCUUGACGUACAAGGAACAAAACCCAUAAGCAAACCACAAGUUGGUUAAGAGAAAUCUGAAGCUGGAGAGUGAUAAUUGUAGAAAAGAAAAACAGCAGCCAAGUCUUUAGGUUUUAUUGAGAAGUUUCACCAGGUUACAACUAAAUACAAUCUAACCUAUAUUCGGAAAAGGCGAGUUCCUAGAGAUCCCGAUUCUGAUAAGAAAUGAAAUGUAAGGGGUGAAAUAGAGGGACCUGAGCGAGGACUUGUUUGGACAAACCGGAUCCUUGAAAGAAAGAAACAGCCUCAGCUCCACUAAUUCUGCCAUCCCCAUCUAAAUCUGCUUUCCUGAAGUAAACUUCGAAUUGAUCCUGAGUUUGCCCCGCCAUAUAAACGCCCACAAACAAAGAAUUGAAGCGAAUUCUGAACUAAUUGUAUAGCUCUCCUAGAUCAGGCUAGGAAAAUAAAAUCCAGAACCAGAUCACAAACUCAAGUACAGGGGAAAUACAACAGGUUACAAAAAGAAUCGAAACAAUUGAAUCUCGAAAUAGGAAAUACAAUUUGAACAAUAAAAGAAAAGGAAAGAAAGUACACGCGAUAAAACAGAGAGAGUGGAUAUAGAAUGGGAGUUAGGGUGUUUGGUGGUGAGAUCGAGGAGAGGAGAAUGAAUAGCAAUAAUAAAGACGAAGGUGGAGAGAGAAGAAAAGCGAUUUAAACGACCACUGCCUAAAUGAUUCAAUCUAAGCACUGGGUGAAAUAGGAGAGACAAUCGGAGUCAAUUAUGAUAUGGGCUUAGUCGCAUGGCAACCCAACUGCAAUAUUUCUUGGAGUCCAUUACCAUCUACCUCCACUGAUAAAGCCCAAAGUCUAAGCACAUUAUUAGCAAACAAAUGAAAUCUGGAAUCGCAAUGGAGCUGGUAGCGGCGGUCUUUAUUUCACGUUGCUCCACGACACCACGUUUAUUUUUUGAUAAACUGCACUAAUAGUCAUUCAAUUAUUGUUAAGUUUCUUUUCUACCACCCAAUUAUAAAAAAUUAUAAAAUGGUCACCUAAUUUUUCAAUUUGUUCUUUUUUUUUUUCACCAGCAGUUAAAUGGCUAACUAAAAGAUGACGCAGCACCUUUUAAAAUUGAUUUAGCACUUAACAUUUAUACAUUGUGUCAAAUUAGUCUUGAUUCUAAAAAGUUUAACUCUUUAACAUUUUCACAUUGCGUAAUUGGUCUUUUUUUGUAAUUUUACUUUUUUUUGUGACACUUUCACCUUAAAGGCUAAAAAAACAAAUUUAUCAACUAAAUUUAAUAGAAAAUAUCUCAAAAACAGAAACACCCAAAAUCUAAUAUAAUAGUUUUCAUAUUUUCUCUUCUUCUUUUUUAAGAUUAACCCUCGAUGUCAAAAAGAAAAAUAAAACUACAAAAAAGACCAAAUUAGACAAUGUGUAAAUGUUGAGGGUUAAUUUUUUUAGAAUCAAGACUAAAUUUAUACAAUGUAUAAAUAUCAAAGGUUAAAUUGCUAUUAUGCCAAUCUUAAAAGAUGUCAAGUUAUUUUUAUGUUAGUAACUUAACAGCUAGAGACUACAAAAGAAAAAAAGUUAACCAAUCUUAUUAUUUUGACCAGAGUCUCAUUUAUUUUUUUACAUAAUCUUUUUCACCCACAUCCAUUUUUAAUUUGUUAAUAAACAUAUGUUUUUGUAUAUAUAAUUCUUUAUUGUCGAUAUUAUAUAUAAUGGGAGUGAUUGACUUUAGUGUCAGUGUCAUAGCCAAAUACAUAACACGUUAGUAAAUUGACUAAAAGAUUUGAAUUGCAUAUAUCAAAGUAAUAAUCUAUAUUAUAUAUUAAGCAUUUUGUUGAGUUUGUAUCAUGAGUCAAUCAAGCACCAACUCAAUUGGCUAAUGAUAAAAGUACCAUUAUUUUACAAAAUAAGUUAUAUCAUUUUAUAUAUUUUAUACAUAAAAAUAGAAAAAUAUGUAUUCAUACAUAACAGCUUUUGAACCCAAGCUUUUAUAAUUUUCAUCAUUUAUACUUUACCAUUCAACCAAAAAUUCAUUUUAUCAUUUAUAUCAAUUUGGGUUUUAACUCAAACAAAGCUUUAGAUGAUUCAUACCAGUAUGUUGCACCAUCUACCUCAUUGAUUCCUAUUAAUUUGAACAUGGAUGAUGAGCGCUACAAAUUUCCAAAUGAAUAAGAAGAUAUUAAUGAUUUUAAUGAUCCUGAAUCUGAAGGAGUUCCUAAUGUCAACAAUAACGACGACGACGAUGAUUGGUCAUAUCAUUCUUCAUCUCCACGAACCUCUAUCCCACAUGCACAACAUUGACAUAAAUGCAAUUGAGGCAUUGGAAUUUUCGAAAUAUCUUGACAUAGUGUCGAGCUAUAUAAUAAGUUCAAAUGCAAACUCUAAAGAUUUAUAUGUAAGGGCACAAUUUCCAUCCAAGGAUGAAACUAUGGUAGCCAUCAAGUACUACAGUAUCAAAACUUGUGUUGGUUACAAAGUUGUGGUAUCUUCAAUGACUUUGUACGUUAGCGAAUGUUGGAAGUACAAGAAUGGGUGUAAUUAGAGAGUUAGGGUUACGCUUAGGAAGAGGACACAAGUUUUAGAGAUCCGAAAAUGGAACGAAACCCACACAUGCACUUCUGCUCAACUUUCACAAGAUCACCAGAAAUUAGAUUUGGACUUAAUUUGUAGUUGCAUUAUGCCAUUGGUGAAUGCACGCGCAACUAUUCCAGUUAUUGUUAUGAUCAUCGACGUGCAAUCUCAAUAUAAGUACACCAUCAGUUAUCGAAAAGCUUAGCAUGCAAAACAGAAGGUCAUUUCCCGAUUGUUUGGAGAUUGGGACAACUUUUACAAUGAGUUGCAGUCAUCGUUAGCAACAAUGCGACAAUUUGCACCAAGUAUUGUGGUGGAAUUGCAAACCCUCAGUACAUAAGAUCCAUUCAGUUAACUAGUGGAAGGCAUGAAAAUAUUCCACCGAUAAAUUUGGACAUUUGAUCCAUUGAUUAAGAAAUGGCCAAAUUGUAAGCCCAUUGUCCAAAUAGACAGGACUUGGAUUUACAGUAAGUAUAAGCAGAUCCUUCUAAUUGUUGUUGCUUAAGACGGGAACUGAAACAUCAUUCGGAUAGAGUGUGAUUGUGGAGAAAGAAAACAUGGAGUCUCAUUAUGUUUUUGACAAACUUAUGACGGUUUGUUAUUAAACAACAUGGUAUAUUGAUAAAAGCGUAAUUUCUCGAUUUAAUUGUGAUAUUUCUCCCCUUAAAUUAUGCUAUUUAUGUUCUUAAUUAUAUUAUUUAUACUUAUAUUUUAUUUAUUAUUGAUUUAGGAAAUAAUUAGAGAAAAAUGAGCUUAGAAUUUAUUUUUGGCAAUUUUUUGCGGAUUAGACUAUCAACACAACACAAUUUCAAUAUUUUGGUCAUAACUUAAGGUAUAGAGCUCCGUGUUGGAUCCAUAAUAUACCAAUUCAAAGGAAAUUGAAAGAUCUAACCAAAUUUAUCUCACAACUCAAGCCCAAAAAAAUUUAGGAAGGUAUUCAAAAAUGGCCUAGAAGUUUGAAGCGAAAAUUGCCAAGAAACCUAGAAAAAUUCCACUUUAGUUAAUUAAGGGCACUUUUGUAUUUUUCUCACACUAUAAAUAGACAUUAUUAAGUUAAGAUGAAAGGUACUUAGACAUAGCCACUCUUAGUAUUAUUUUAUUUUUGUGCUUUCUUUAUUUUAUGGUUUUCUAAACUCCUCUUUUCUAAUCGAAGGUUACUUGAAGUUUGAUUCAAUAAAUUCAUAAAACUUAUUUUGUGCUUAAAUUCUUUAUUGUUCUUUAGUAUUCAUGCAUCUUCUAUUAUAAUUAUGAUUUUUCAAGUAUGUUAAAUAUCUUACUAGUAUUUGAUAGCUUAGAAUGAUUGUCUUGUCAAUUAGAAUAAUUAAAUUUGUAAUUAUUUAAUUCAUUUUAAUACUAGUGACGAACUGCAUAAAUUGUUUAUGUCAUAGUUUAUGAUUAUGUGGUGUGGAUGUGGAUGUGUGAUCUAGCUUCAAUUAACCCUACUGGGGUAAUUUUUUUUUCGGUUAGAAUUAGGUCUCUCUUGUUCUUAAUGUAACCAGUAAAUUAAACUUUGGGCCUUGGGUUACAAGGUUAUUUAUUGGUUAGGAAGUAAUUUCAAAUGAGUUGUCUCUUGGUUAUCAAAUAAGUAAGGAGAGAUUAGUUAUCUGGUGUUGAGUCAACAAUUAAAACUAAUUUAUUAAAGACAUUGAAGUUAUCCUUGUAUUGAUGAUUGAAUCUAUGAAUUAAACAAAUAUUUUACCUUUGGCUAGAGCUUUUCCUCAUUGAUUUUUUCAAAUUUUUAUUUACUAUUUUUUCUUUAAAUUUUUAAUUUUCUAAAAAAACUCCCACUUUUAUUUAUUUCACUUGUUUUUAUUUAAGAAAUAGAAUUAUUAUUAAUCUUUGUGGAUGCAAUCCUACUUGUUGCUUUCUAUUAAUUCAUCUUUUUAAGUCGGUUUUAUUUUUGUAGGUCUUAACAUCCUAUUAUAUUUGCCCAAUAUCUCAUUGAGAAAAAUCAAUCAGUGCAUUAAUAACACUUUCUGGAAGUCAAUGGAGUUCUUCCAAAGCUUACCCAAUCUACUACAUCUAUCAUAUUGCAUGUAAAUUUAAGACGGAGUUCCAUAAUGUUAAGCCAUAGAAAGAAAUAGUUAACAUGGGUACGUACUUGAUGCAUUACUUCUUUUACAUGUAUAAAUUACAUUGUUUUAUGAAUUUAUUUUAUAUUGUUCACUUUUUGCAAAGUAUUACUUUGCUUUGUGAACUUAUUUUAUAUUGCUCAUUUUUGUGAAAUAUUAUUAAAUACCGUAACCACAACAUAAUUUUUGCAAUUCACUAAGUUUUGAAUUUUAUAACGGAUAAACAAACUAGUAAUUACUAAAUAUCAUAACCUCAACGUAGUUAUAAACACUCGAUAAAAUCAAAACCUAUGAUUAGAUGGAGUUGUGCGCAAUGUGUAUCAUUGCUAGAGGUAUCCAUGAGAUGAUGUGAUCCGGCCCGAUUAAUUGAGUCGGGUUCACUUAAGAUGCCCGAUCGUCGAUGAGAAGCUCGUUCAAAUUUGUAGAUAGAUGGAGUUUGAAUGUUUUAUAAGCGGAAGGUAGGCAAAAUGGGUUCAAAGGAUGGGUUUUGGUUUGAUGAAAGAUAGGUUCGGUUUAACAAAGAAUUAAGUUACAAAGAUGAUAAAUAAAUGGAAAUGGAUAAAGAACUCAAACUUUAAGAAUGAUUCAAUACUAAAAAGUAUUGCCCCGAGUCUUAUAUUGCUUAAGGUGAAUUUUGAUGAAGGAUAGAAUCGGACCUUGACCCGUUACCUAUAUGGAGGUAAGAACCAAAGGUAUAGGAAGAUGGUUGAACGCCACACCAAUUCGGUGAUAAGUUCAAUGGAGUUCGGAUUGACACCACUAGCAAGCUAGAUAAGUCACUUCGAGACUCGAACGAAAGAAGAGAGGAGGUAACCUCACAAGAACAAAAGUUCUAUUAAGUUUAAUUGAUCAAAUUCUGUAACCUUUUACAAUAAACAAGUAAGCUAUUUAUAAGCCUAAAAUGCCUAUUGAUAUUCGGCAUCUAUGUUGUUCACACUAACUUAAAUUCUGUUCACACAGGUAUUUAACAUGUUCACACAAAUAGCAUUAAAAUCCAGUUCAUGCUUGAAGAUGGUACAUGAAUUGGCCGAACCAUCAUGAUGCUUCACUUGAUGCAUUCAUGCAUCCUUAGCCUUGAAGAAUCUCCAUAAUUCCAUGAAUGUGCAGCUCUUUAAUGAUCCUACAUCUCCCUUGGCUGAAUGAGGCAUUAAUGUGCCUAAAAUACUUGAAUGGUCAUCUUGAAAAUGCAUGAAUCAUGCAUGAAACGUCCCAUGUAUUUUCCCCCAUAAAUAUGAUCCAUGAAUCUUCAAAUACAUGAACUUUCAGCAACUCCCUCUUGCAUGAACGUCCCAAAUGCAUGUGCUCCUUUAAAUGCCAUCCAUUGAACCUCAAUUGUGCAUGCACACUCCCAUACAUUGCACCAAUCCGUUCAUGAACCUGCAGCAAAUUAAAUCAGCAAGUUAAAUGCAUUUCAAACACAUUAAAUUAGCAGCAUAUGAACUCAAUAAUUUGCACAUUAAAUUUGGCCAUACAUAUUAACAAUUUUAGACAUAUUUAAAACAUCAUAAUUAAUUAAGUAUUUAAUUUAGAUAUAAUUAAAACACUUAAUUAAUUAUUUGUCCAGAUUUUAACAAAUUAACUAACUUAAGAUAAACAACUAAUUUAACUAAUGACAAAUUAAAUGGUUUAUUUUAGCAAAAUAAAUGCAAGCUAAAGAAAGCUAAAAAUAAGCUCAUUGGGUUAAGAUUGAGCUGAAUUGAGCUUGAGUGAGUUGACUUGAGCUCGAGUGAGCUGGAAACGAGCUAAACGGAGCUUAACGAAAUGAAAUUGAACUAAUUCAGCUCGCAUGGAUUUGCAAACAAUGCUUAGGGAGCUGAUCCAAAAGUGUGACCGGGGCAUGGUCGUAUCAUCAGGCCAAGGCUUGGUUCCAAAAAAAUUCAAAACCAUGCCCGUUUUUAGCUUGCCCCACCCAAAAAGUCUAUUUUACUAUUCAAAAACUAAUAAAACAUUUAUCAAAUAUUUUUAGUUGAUAUUUUAUAUAUUUUUAUAAUUAAGUUUAAAUUUUAAAGAUAUCUCUUAUAAUUCAAAGACCAUGGGUAUCGCAAUACCGAGACGCCCAAGACUCCCAAUCUCAAGACUGUUGUGGGUAUCGUGAUACCGCUGUCUGACGAGUGAAAAAACUGUAGGGGCAAUUUUAUGUCCAAAUAAGUCUAUUUUUCAUUUAAGGGCAUAAUAGUCAGUAUUAGAUUAAUUGUUAGUAGGCUAUAGAUACAACUUUAUAAGCCUUUGUUUUCAGAUUUUUGGUGGUUGAACACUCUCCUUAGGUUUUCAUAGUUUAUGUUAGGUUUUUCUUUUCUUUUCUUUUCACUUUUUUUAGAUUAUGUUUUCUCUUUUCUUUUUAGAAUAGAUUUUUUUUUGUUUUAUUUAUUUCUUCUUGUUGAAGACUAUGUAAAAGGGAGAGAAUCAAACUUUUAGGCUUCAUCGGAUUCCAAUCAAUUAAAUGAGCAUUUUCUCAAACUCUUUACUUUUUACUUUAUGUCUACCAUGUGUUUAAUAAAAUGAUUGUUUGGAAUUUAAGUUUCAUUAUGUUCUAAAUUGUUUGAUGGUUGGUUUGUUAGUUAUUUGUUAUCUUAAGCUCAUGUUUAUACUUGAUUAAUUGAUUGUUCAAUUAUAUCGAAAUGCUUAAUACGCUAGAAUUGACGUCUCUAGUGGAAAAUUUAGAUAAACGAGAUCAAGAGGAGAGCUUAUCAUUAGAUAGUUUGGUAUAAUUGUGUAGAAUAGUGAGAUCGAGAGGAGAUCUAUAUGCUUAGGUGAGUCCGAGAGGAGAACCUAGAUGGUAUCUUUUAGUCUAAGAUGAGAUCGAGAAGAGAUUCUCAGCUAAGAGUGACAAACAAUAUAAUCGGUAUAGGUUUAUUAGCUUAGUUAGCAAUUAACAAAUCAACCGACCAUUAUUUUAUCAUUACAUUGUCUAAAGCAAUAGGGAAGAAAUCAACUGACCAUUGUUUUAUCAUUUAUAUUGUCUAAAGUAAUAGGGAAGGAAAUUAGAUUAGUUAGUUUAAUUGAUAAUUUAAAUAUAAUUUAUAAUCAAUUCAUUUUGGAAUUUGCAAUAAUAAUUUCUAAUUUGAUUAGAUUAGUAAUUGCUUAACUUGUAAUUAACUUGAUAAAUACAUUUACCGGCAAUUCCUUGAGUUCGAUCCUUGGAAUGCUCUAGUGUUCCAUUGACACUACAAAUAUUACAACUGACACUGCACGUUUGCAGUUAAAACCAAACUUUUAAAUUGUUUUAUAAAAUUAUUUGUUUUCUGCGCACGCGGUCACACCCAUAUUUUACGUACUGGGAUUAUUAAACAACCUGGUACAAUACAUUUUUUUAUUAACAAUCAACAUAUGAGACAUUCUUAGCUCAUAUAUUUCAAAUAUAGCACCCAAUUCAAAUUCCCAAAUUGAUUUCAAGAAUGGUAGAACUGGUAUGAACCUUUUUUUUUUUGAAAUCCUACCAAAAAAAAUUUAAAAUUUAUAGCCCAAGUUCUUUGAAAAAUUCUAGCCAGAACCGCACCAAAACGCAUCUACUAAACAAUUCAUUUCGUCUCAAAAUUGUGUAUUUCUUGGUUUAUUUCCUAGAAUUAUUCUUAUGAACAAGAUCCAUAUAUGAGAGUUUCAUUAUUAGUUCGAAAAUUCAGAACGGAAUGGUGGGACAAAUUUAAUAAUGACAAAUAUGAUUCCAAGUAUUUAAAUGAUUUUUUGAACAAAAAUCCAAUAUUAUGCAAGUCCGCUACUUAAGAUCAAACUACGGCAAAGUUUUUUCAAGCCAAAUCAAUUGCCAACGCAAUGUUGGCUCAGGCCAAAACUAAAAAGGAAUACAAAAAACUUAAGGCUGAGAUGCUCAACUCCCUGGAUUUUGAUUCAAAGGAUGAGAAAUCCUCGACAUCUUCGAUCAAAACGUUGGACCUCGUAGAUGACACCACCGCAGUAACAAUCACCAAAACUAGAAAAAAAAAAUAAAAACGAAUAGGGGUAAAAAUGAAUAAUUCCCUGGCAAAAGAAGAUAGAGAUGAAUAGGAGUGAUUCUCUGCCAAAAGAAAUCGAAGAUGAACAUGAGUGAUUCCCUGCCAAAUGCGGACGAAGAUCAACAGUAAAGAUUCUCUGUAAAAGUUUUGUAAUCAAAGAAUAUAUUAUCUGCAAAUGUAAUAAUAAAUUUGAGGUUGCAAAUGAAAAAUCUUUAUAAUAAUGUAAGGGAUUAGAUUCUCCAAAGAAAGAGGUUGUAAAGAGGCAAGAGUACUUUAUAAAAGGCUCUCAAAUUUGUACUGAAAGACACAUCGACCAACAAAUCAAAUUUAAAUUCAAAACAAUUCAAAUUUAACUUUCAAAAAAAAUAAUUUUCAACAAAUCAAAUUUAAUUUUUUAAAAAUUUAAUGUUCAAAAAUUUUCUUAAAUUAUUAAGAAAAUUAAAACAAAUAUCAAAGUAAUAUUUAAUCAUUCAUUGGUGAACAUUGAUCAACAGCUGAUCAACACCAGUCAAUGAUCGAUUAACGAUUGAUCAACACUAGUCAGUGGUUGGUCAAUACUAGUCAAUAAUGGUCAACAACCAAUCAACAUUGGUUAACAACCGGUUGGAGUCAAAUGUAAUAUUCUUGUUUAUAAUCUUUAUAAUUUAUUUUUGCAUUUUGAUAUAUUCUUAAGUUUUUUUAAAAUUUCAAGAAUUUAUGUAUAUAUAAUUUCAUACUUAUGGACACCACCUAUCAUAUUUUAAUUAGUUGAAAGUGUCGCAUGGUGCAUUCUAAAUGAGGAAUAUGUCAAACGAUUUAGAUUGGAUCGAUUACCAAUAUGAGUUAAAAUAAAAUUUUAAUAUCAAAAUAAAAAAAUAAUAUAUUUUAAAGGUCAUGCUUUUAAAUCUAUAUAUUAAAAUAAAAAAAAUACAUAAAAUAUUGUAAGUGGUAAAAUGGUAAAGUUAGAAACUAUUCACUACAAUUGCCUUACGCACCUUUUGCUUCUAAAAUCCGAAUUGGUAGUUAAGGCAGCUACUUCCAACUACACUAAAGAAUGGCACUAAUCAAAUUCUCAUUGUUUUUAUAAAAAGGAAAAAAAGAUUGCCUCACACAAUAACACAAUUUUACCUUUUCAAAGAAACCUCUAAAUUCAACAUAAUGUGGUCUCAAUGUUAGCACCCGAAAAGGAAAAUUGUAGAAAAUUUCUUUAAGAAAAACUUGCAGCUCAAGAGGAUUUUAUUAAAAUUAAUUAAUUGUGUAAAUGAUUCAAUGUAUACCCAAUUAUAAGUAAUUUUUUUUAAAAUUAUAUAACUAACAUUAUAAAAAUAAUAAUAAAUUUGGUAUAGCACCACUAAAUAAAGUCCACUUUUUUAUUUGCUUUAAUUGACAGAGAAUUCAGGAUAAUUAAUGAUUAUAGCAUUGUUUAAUUAAACAAUAAAUCAAAAGGAAAUAUCUUUGUCAUUUCUUUAUCAAAAGUGAAAUUUGAUUAAUAUUAUGCUGUGACGGGGUACAUAAUUUAUAAACAAUAUCAAUAAUUGAUUACAAACUAGAAAAAAGCUGAAAUCAACAUCAAACCCAUAAAUUAUUCACAACUAUUUAGGCUACGUUUAGUUCACUGUAAUUGAAUAGAGCUGUAAUCAGUAGUUUAAUUGUUUGGUUGAAUGUAAUGGAAUAGAACUGUAAUAGUAUUCUUGUGUUUAGUUCAAUGGAAUAGCAUAAGGAAAAAAAACUAAAAUGACUAGAAUACCUUUAGCAGAAUUCUUUUUAGGUAGAUAAUUAUUGCUAUUGUUAUUAAAUUUUAAUAAGAUUAUUAUUAAAAAUAAUUUAAUAAAAAUAAUAAAUAAUUUAACCAUAUUUUAACAUAAUUAUUAUUAAAUAUAAUUUAAUAAAAUAAUAUAUAAUUUAAUAAAAUUCUUAAUAUAAUUAUUAUUAUAUGAAUUAAAAAAUCAUAAUAUAUAAUACUAUAAAAAUAAUAUAUAAAAUCUACUUUAUUAUUUUUAAACUGCAAUAUAUAUUUAAUGUACUAAAAUAUCAUUAGUGAAACAAAUAAUUUAAUUAUUCUACAAUAAAAAACAAAAUAUUAGAAGUAAUAAAUAACUUGAGAAUUAUAUUUCACAUCCAAACAUAAUAUUCAUAUAUUAACAAAAAGUUACAUGAUUUUAUUAGUUUAUAUGUCAUAAUCCAUAUGUUAUAAAAUUUUACAAUAUCAAAAAGUUAAAACAUUGUAAUGGCAUUCUAUCAUGUCAUUAUACCAUCAAAAUAUUACAAACACAAAAAGUUACCAAAAUAUCAUCAACACAACCAUGAUUUUAAUUGUCAGCAAGAAAUCUUCUGACCCAUUCCAAACGCACAGAAGAAGGUAAACUAAAGAAAAUGAGCAUUUGCGUUGGAUGAUCUAGAAUUUUGCUCAAUGCGCGAUAACACUCAUCCUCAGUUAAACCUUCCACUUCACAUAAUGUUGGAUAUAAAUUUAGAGCUCUUUCUUGAAUGGUCAUUUUUGACUUUUGUUGAAUUAGCACUUCGGAGGCAAUACUCCUACUGAUUUCAACGCCAACGGUCCAUAUGUUUUCCACCAAUAAAGUGGCAGCAUCAUGAAAUGAAGUAGAAAAAAUAUGAUCACUUGCAUCAAAAAUCUUUUUUCUCUUCUUUGAAAAUGUGGAAUCACCUUGGUUUCUAGCUGAUUACGAUUGUGUAACUGAAACAUCCAUGUCAUCCAAAGAAACAUCAGCUUUGCAUCCAUAGAAAUCGUUUCUUUCUUCAUGAAUAUUUGUAAUAGCUACAUCCUCAACAUCUAUUUCUUCAAUAAUAUCAACGGUUGUUUGAGCAUCUUUCCCAGUGGCUCGAUCUUUUGCGUAGAUGGCAAUAAGUUGAUCAUAAUAAGAGAAACUAUGAUGUUUGAAUUAACCGGCUUCUUUAUAACCCUAUAAAAAUGAGGAAUUCAUAUUAAAUAUAAGUUUGGUCAAAAUAAGAUAAUAAAGACUUGAAAUAAUUCUUACAUUUAUAUAUGAGUUCCACACCGCAUCUUCAGCAACAACAAGCUGCCUAUGCUCAUCCCAACCAAAACCGCUAUUGUUUUUUUCCAUUAAGCAUGUCAUAAACGAUUGACCAAUCUCUUUUCAAUGUCCUAAUCCUCGAUUCAAGAUUAGGUUUAGCCUUCAACAUGGCAUUCGAUAAAACUUUUUCUAACAUUUUUUCCAACUCAUUUAAAUAACCGGCUUUGAAUCUCGUAUCAGCAUUAAAGGUUCCAACAUUGUGCAAGUCGACCAUACAGGAAACUAACGCGACAUCUUCUUCUGGAACCCAUUUUCUUUUGGUUCCUCGAGAAUUUUGGGAAAAAACACUUGAUUGUGAAAAACCUGACAUAACUAUCUUAAAAAAAUAAAUUAAAAUUAAGCUCAAUAUUAUGAAUCAAAAGGUCAACACUUUAUAAAAUUAUAACACAUGAUGAAUCAAAAGAAAAUAAAUUAUAAUUUAACAAGUCUAGUACAAUACAAAAAACAAUUCAAACACCAACAAAGUUUCAUAAACUAGAUACAUGAAUAACAUAAACAAAUUAACGUUUACUAUUUUUACCCUAAAACUAAUUAAUUUCUAGAUGCUUGCCAUUCAUCGAAUAUUUGGUUGGCUAGUUCCAUCCUCCAAGUAGCUCAUGCAUCCGAUGGAUGAAUAUUUACGAUAUUCAGUUCAUCGUCAUCUAUCACAUUACCAGUUAAUCCUUCUCCCAACUCCGCUUCAAUAGGAUCAAGACUCAUAUAAGUUCGAAUAAAAUUAUGGAACAAACAAUAUGCAAUAAUGAUUCUAUUGUGCACCCUCACAGGAUAGAAUGAUGGACUCCUAAGUAUUCUCCAUCUAAGUUUUAAUAACCCAAAGUAUCUUUCAAUAACAUUACGUGCUAAAGCAUGUUUCAUAUUGAAAAAUUCUUCAGUAGUACUUGGCUAGUAACCCUGACGCCACUCAUUCAAAUGAUAUCUUUGUCCUCUAAAAAGUGCAAGAAAUCUCUCACAAUUUGUGUAUCCAGCAUCAACUAGAUAAUAACAACCUAUAAAAAACUAUUUGUCAUGGUUAAUUUCCCAAAAAAGUAUGAUAUUAAAGAUUAAUUCAAAGUCCUCUAAUUUUGCACUUUACCAUGAGGAACUUUUAGUCCAUGUCUCUUACUAAUGGCAUCUCGAAGAACCCGUCCAUCAGCAACAAAACCUUCCCAACCAGGAAGAACAUAAACAAAAUGCAUAUCAGGUGUACAAACAUCUAACAUAUUUGUUGCUAUGUCACCUUUUCGCAUUCGAUAUCUAGGUUUAUCAACUGUUGGAACCCUAAUCUUGAUGUGGGUUCCAUCUAAAGCAUCUAAGCAAUUCUACAUCACAUGUAUAAAACCUUGAGUUAGGAUAUUAUAUUUAAAUCUAAAUCAACUAAAUUAUGUACAAGCUAUAUAUAGAACUCACUCCAAUAUCUUGAACUAUUUCCACAUUGGGUCUGUAGAAUUAGCUGUAAUCGACUCUGCCUUUUUAAAUAACACAUCUUGUAAGCGUAUGACAGCAUUUAAAACAUUGUGAAAUGAUCUGCUAAUGAUUUUCCCAGACCUAUUAAAGUGAAGCUUGAUAACUCCAUUUUUAAGGUGAUGAGAAAUGAUAUGUGAAAAUAUUGUCACUUGCUCAUCAACAAGCAUGUUCAUUGACGACUUCAAUCCCCCUAAAGUUUGUAACAUCUCACACAGUUUAAAAAAGGUAAUUCUAUUCAUCCUAACUUGUUCAAUACAUGUCUCGUCACUAGCAUAUACAAGUCUUUUCACAUAAUCUCGUUUUGUAUAAAAAACUAAAAUAUAGGAUCUAAUCAUUGGUCUAUAAGUAUGUAGGCUAUGGAUGGCACCCAAUGUAAGUAAGAACCAACUCACAACUGUACACAUUUGCAGCCAUAUUGUCAAUGCAAGACCAAUUCUUUUAUGCCUCAAACUUUGUACUAUUAAAGGCAAAUGAGCCAUUACUGCAAGAUAUUAAAUGUUACAUAUCUUCAAAUCGUAGUAAAAGGGUCACAUUUCUCCAAUACUAAUUUCAAUAAUAGUAAAUAAAAUCAAAUAAUUUAAUUACCAAAGAACUUAUAGUGAUUCAGUGAAUACAAGACGCUCAACUGUAGGUGGAUGAAGCAAUCAAACAAGCCAAAGAAGAAGAGGAAGCAAUAACACACUAUCAGAGAAAAAUGAACGAUACAUAUUAAAAAUCUUUACAAAGCACAUAAUAGAAAUUGCAACUAUCUUUGCAAGUAAAAAACUUGAAAUUCAUUUCUUUAUCAAUCACCCAAAAAAGAAAAAAAAAGGAAAGAAAAGAAAAGAAUGUGUUUUGUGGAUUUGAUUAAUUAAUGACUAACGUUUAAUAAUUAUUUAAAAAAAAACCCAUUUAACACAUCCACAUCCAAAUAACAUAGUUUCCAAUUCUACAAAAAUAUACAUAUAUUAUAUGAAAAUUUUUAAAAUAUUCAAUCUUUAAUUUACCUUCUAAAAAGUUUGUAUUCAUCCUCACAUUGUAAUUAACUAAUGUUUUAUUUGAAUUAAUAAUUGUGAAUAGAAAAAUAUAUAUUAUUUUGUUUGAAUAGUUAAAAUUAGCAAAAGGAAAAAAAUAAUAUGAAUUUAAUAAUUUUUAUGAGAAAAGAAAAUAAUGUCUUAAUUUUUUUUAUUUUGUAUUAACUCAAUUCGAUUAUAGGUAUAUAGUGUGUUAAAUAUCUUAAAAAUUAUGUAUUUUAAAAUAUUCGAUUAUUAUUUGUAUUUAAAUAAAAUCUAAAAACUUCAUAUACAUUACAUUCUUACCAUAACAUGAUUUGUUUGUAGCAUUUUACUUUCUUUUUUUUGUUUAGUUUGUUCAGAUAAUUAUUGUAAUGUUAAUUACAAUUUUUAAUCAAACAAUAUAAGUAAUGUAAAACAUUGUUUAAUUAUAAUUUUCAAUCAAACAAUAUAAGUAAUAUAAAACAUUGUUUGAAGAUCAAAAUUAAAUAUAACAUAAAUUAAAGAUAUCGAAAAUAAAAAUAGUUUAAAAAUAUAUUAAAAGAUUAAAAUAGUUUAAAAUGAAACAUAUAAAAAAUAAAAACAUAUUGAAAAUUAAAUAUAACCAAAAUGUUCUUGUUUAAAGGAAAAAGAUCAAAUCCAAAUUGUAAAUGUAGUUUAACAUGUAUAUAUUGUCUUGUUGCUACCUUAGCACACCCUUGAGUGAUAUUUUUCCCCUUCUUGCUGCUACCUUCAACCACUCCUUUAGCUAAAACAUAGAUCAAAUUAAAAUACUCAAACAGAAGGCAAGGACAAAGGUGAAAAUUAAACUAAAAAUGUCGGACAUAAUACUCUAAUCAGUCACAAACUAACUAAUGCAUCAAGAAAAAAAGUAGUAAAAAACCUGGCUAGCUUAACACCCACGAUCGAUUUGACAUGGAAAAUAACAACUUCCAUCUUCAAUAUACACACUAAAAUAAGAAACCAACUUUAUGCAAAAUUAAAGCACAAGUAAUACAUCUUAAAACAAAUCAAUCUAUCAAAGAAACAACACAUAUCUAAGAAUCCAGAUACCCAAAAACAACUCUAUAACCAUAAGCAACGCAUCCUAAAAAGGUUGUAAAAAUCACUUCAAAGUUCUAUCUCAAGCAAAGAAAAUAAACAGAGAAGAUUCAAAAUAGCUACGUUACUGGAACUCGGGUGUGAGUGUCAAAUACGGGUACGGUUAGUUUUUCUUUAUAUUGGAAGGAUCCUUGGAGGUCAUAUCCUAAUAUCUAUGUGUCAGACACAAGUGUUAGAUAUGGGUACUUCAUGAUUCAUGAAAAAUGAAAAGUCCGAGCAGCAUAGCAAUAUAGUCUUUAAUUAUUAAAGAUUAACAAUAUUUAUUAUUGUCAAAUGAUUUUUUUCUCGAUCUUCAACUAAUACCCAAAACUUUAAAUCAAGAAUUAAAUCAAAUUACAUCAAGUAAAGAUGAUAAUAACUUGAAAUGAACCCUGAGAAUAGAACCCCUUACCUUGCAGGCUGCACAAAAUGAAAUUGAAUCAUUGUUAAAAUAUUAGCACUCCACUAUGAAUUCCAACCCACUAAACAAAAUUUAAGCACGCAAAAAGGAAGUUUCACCAUUUGUCUUAAUCAACCAAUAUCUACGAUAGGUCAUUUAUUUGAAGGAUUAUAUUCUUUUAAUAAAAUUCCAGAAUUCAAUUACUUAAAGGUUUGGGCAUAAUGAUAUAUCUGGGUUGGUUUCUAGUUGAUUCUUUAUAUCGUGUUAGCAGAGGUACUUUGUCGAAUAAUUGGUAUGCCUCUGCAAGUUAACAAAUACUCAUGUAGAAUGAUCUACAUUUGAACAUUAUUUGCUAUGUUAACACCCCUUUUUGUUUAAAAGGAUGGGCUAAAGAUAUCAACCAAAUGAUGAGUUAUAAUUAUUAAAAAAUUACAUCAAGAAAGCUUAAAUGCAUCCAAAAUCUAACAAUAUUAAAUCAUUAGUUAAAAACCCAGAUUUUAAUUGCCCUAAAAUAAUCGGAUCAACCAAUCGACCAAUUUUUUUUAUAAAAGUGAAAUACAAGCAGAGAAACAAAGAGAUGAAAUACAUGCCUCUGGUUCAUAGAUGAUCUCGAUCGACCGGUGACACCAAACUUGGAAUGAACCCUGAGAUUAGAACCCCUUGCCUUACAGGCUGCACAAAAUGAAAUUGAAUCAUUGUUAAAAUAUUAGCACUACACUAUGAAUCCCAAUCCACUAAACAAAAUUUAAGCACGCAAAAAGGAAGUUUCACCAUUUGUCUUAAUCAACCAAUAUCUACGAUAGGUCAUUUAUUUAAAGGAUUAUAUUCUUUUAAUAAAAUUCCAGAAUUCAAUUACUUAAAGGUUUGGGCAUAAUGAUAUAUCUAGGUUGGUUUCUAGUUGUUGAUUCUUUAUAUCGUGUUAGCAGAGGUGCUUUGUCGAAUAAUUGGUAUGCCUCUGCAAGUUAACAAAUACUCAUGUAGAGUGAUCUACAUUUGACCAUUAUUUGCUAUGUUAACACCCUUUUUUGUUUAAAAGGAUGGGCUAAAGAUAUCAACCAAAUGAUGAGUUAUAAUUAUUAAAAAAUUACAUCAAGAAAGCUUAAAUGCAUCCAAAAUCUAAAAGCUUAAAUGCAUCCAAAAUCUAACAAUAUUAAAUCAUUAGUUAAAAACCCAGAUUUUAAUUGCCCUAAAAUCAUUGGAUCAACCAAUCGACCAAUUUUUUUUCGAAAAGUGAAAUACAAGCAGAGAAGCAAAGAGAUGAAACACAUGCCUCUGGUUCAUAGAUUAUCUCGAUCGCAUUGUAAAACUCCUCAAUAGGCUGCUCCUUCAGCCUCACCAAAGUAGCAGCUGCUAACGCCGCCGAUAUCGCCGAAGAAACGAUCGAAAGGCCUCUCUAUUUUCUCUCUAUUUUGUCAAAGGGAGAUCGGGUUGGUGAGGAUAGAAACAUGAAAAAGAGGGAGAUAAGGUUGGGAGGAAAUCAGAAGAAGAGGGUAAUCAGAGGGAGAUAAGGUUGGGAGAAAGUUUGAAAUGCUUUAGACGUGAAAAAGGUAAUCAGAGAAAAUUUUUCCCGUUGAAUCCCUAAACCCAACCCAGACCAUGGAAUUGUAAACGUUGAAUUAGCCUCGAAUAAUCCUGUUUGGAAUAGGGCUGUAAUAACUCAUUACAGCCAACCAAACAAUGGCUUAUGAUGGGCCCACCAAAUUCAGCUGUAAGGCAUUAGUAUUAUAGCCAACCAAACAUGCUCUUAAAAUUAUCGAGUAAAAAAAACGGGUGAACUAUUAAAAUAGUCACUUUUAUUUAUCUCAAGUUACAUUUUAGUUACUUAUAUUUAAAAUGUUACAUUUUAGUCACUUACGUUAUCGUAUUGUAACAUUUUAGCCACUGAGCCGUUAAUUGCCGUUAACAAUAUAACAGUAAGCUGAAGUGACAUAUUAAAUCUGUUGCGGAAGCGACGAUAAUAUUAAUAACAAUAUUAUCAGAAAUAAUUAUCUAAAUAUUUCUGAUAAUAUUGUUAUUAAUAUUAUCGUCACUUCCGCAAUAAUUGGUAUCAGAGCCAAGGUUUUGUAGUAUGCUCUGUGUUUGCAGCUUAGUCUGAUCUUACACAUCAGAAACAUUUCCUAAAGCUUGUGGGUAUUCUGCAUUUGGUGGCUAUUAAGUAGAAGCUAUGGCAAAAAUGACAGAAGAAAAACCAUCCAUAUCAACAACUUCCACUUCGUACAUUUUGCCGAGGAUUGGAACUGCAAAUACGAGAUUUGUAGUGGAAAUUUUUGAUGGAACAGGUCAUUUUGGCAUGUGGCAAAGUGAGCUUCUAGAUGCCCUCUUUCAACAGGGUCUAGAUAUUGCCAUUGAGGAAGAAAAACCAGAAGGGGUUGAUGAUAAAGAAUGGAAGACCAUCAACCGAUUGGCAUGUGGUACAAUUCGAUCAUGUCUUUCCAGAGAGCAGAAGUAUACAUUCAGUAAAGAGACUUCUGCAAGUAAAUUGUGGAAAGCAUUGGAGGAGAAAUUCUUGAAGAAGAACAGUCAAAAUAAGUUGCAUAUGAAGAAAAGACUGUUUCGUUUCAAUUAUGUUCCUGGUACCACGAUGAACGAGCACAUUACCAAUUUUAAUCAGCUGGUGGCUGAUUUGUUGAAUUUGGAUGUGACUUUUGAAGACGAAGACUUGGCGUUAAUGUUGUUGGGAUCGCUUCCUGAGGAGUUUGAGUACCUUGAAACUACUCUACUUCAUGGAAAAUCGGAAGUAACUUUCAAUGAAGUAACUGCUGCAUUGUAUAGCUAUGAACUCCGCCGAAAGGAUAAGUUGAAAGGUUCAGGUGAAGCAGCAGUGGAAGCAUUGGUAACAAGAGGUCGUCAGCAAAGUCAGUCUAAUGGGAAGAGAAGAAAGUCCAAAGGUCGAGCUGUUGCCAAAGAUGAAUGUUCCUUUUGCAAAGAAAAAGGACAUUGGAAGAAAGAUUGUCCAAAAUUGAAGAAAAAAGGGAAGACUCUGCAAGAUGCAAAUGUUGCAGAAUGCAAUAGUGAAGCAGAGUCAGACUUUUCUCUUAGUAUGACAUCUUCAACAUUAUAUGCAGAUGAGUGGACCAUGGAUUCUGGUUGUUCCUAUCAUAUGUGUCCCAUUCGGGAAUGGUUCUUUGAAUUUCAAAAACUAGAUGAAGGGGUUGUUUACAUGGGUAAUGAUAACACAUGUAAAAUAGCCGGGAUAGGUUCAAUUAAACUGAGGAGUCAUGAUGGAUCUACUAGAAUUUUGCGGGAUGUACGAUAUGUCCCAAAGUUGAAGAAGAAUCUCAUCUCUUUGGGGUCGUUAGAAUCUAAAGGCCUAGUUGUGACAAUACGAGAUGGAGUUCUUAAAGCAACUUCAGGAGCAUUGGUGAUGUUGAAAGGCAUAAGAAAGAACAAUCGGUAUUACUACCAAGGUAGUACAGUGGUCGGGACAACAGCAGCAGCAAUUUCGAGUACCAAGAAGGACGCUGAGGCAACACAGCUGUGGCAUAUGCGUUUGGGCCAUGCUGGUGAAAAAUCCUUGCAAACUCUAGCCAAGCAAGGAUUAUUGAAAGGUACAAAGACUUGCAAACUUGAAUUUUGCGAGCAUUGUGUUCUGGGAAAACAACGAAGGGUGAAAUUUGGCACUGGGAUUCACAAUACUAAAGGUAUUCUGGAUUAUGUGCAUUCUGAUGUAUGGGGACCGUCCAAGACUCCAUCACUUGGAGGAAGACGUUAUUUUGUCACCUUUAUUGAUGAUUUUUCCAGACGAGUUUGGGUGUUUCCUAUGAAGAACAAAGAUGAGGUGCUUGAAGUUUUCCUUAAGUGGAAAACUAAAGUUGAAAAUCAGACAGGAAGGAAGAUUAAGGUUCUCCGAUCAGACAACGGUGGAGAAUAUAAAAGCGAUCCUUUCCUAAAGAUAUGCCAAGAUUGUGGCAUAGUAAGGCACUUCACCGUAGGUGGAACACCGCAACAGAAUGGGGUGGCAGAGCGUAUGAAUCGAACGCUUGUGGAGAAAGUUCGAUGUAUGUUAUCUAAUGCUGGAUUAGAUAGAAAGUUUUGGACUGAGGCUGUGACGUACGCUCAACAUCUCAUCAAUCAUUUGCCAUCAUCUGUUAUAAAUGGCAAGACUCCUUUGGAGAAAUGGUAUGGAAAACCUGCUACUGAUUAUGACACCUUGCGCAUUUUUGGUUCUAUUGCAUAUUAUCAUGUGAAAGAAUCAAAGUUAGAUCCAAGAGCAAAGAAGGCUCUAUUCAUGGGCUUCAAUACUGGUGUUAAGGGAUAUCGUUUGUGGUGUCUAGAGGCAAAGAAGACGAUAAUCAGUAGGGAUGUUACCUUUCAUGAAUCUGCCAUGUUGAAUAAGGUAAAUCCAGAAGGAGUGAGUAGUACUUCGCAGCAGGUGGAGUGUACUCCGCAGCAGGUGGAGUUUGAGCAGAGUGUGGUAAUUCCAGCAGAAGGUACCACUAGUGAUUCUUCAUUGGCAGAUGCAGAGUCAGAUGAGGAAGAGGUUUCUACCCAAGAACCUCAACAGCAAUCAGAGCCAAUUGCAGUCAGAAGGCAGAGACGAGAAAUUCAGAAACCUGCUCGUUUCACUGACAUGGUAGCUUAUGCACUUCCAGUUGUUGAUAAUAUUCCAUCCACUUACACCAAAGCCAUUCAGAGUUUAGAGAAUAAUAGAUGGUUAGGUGCAAUGGAAGAGGAAAUGCAAUCUCUAGAGAAAAACAAGACGUGGAAGCUGGCACAACUACCAAAAGGGAAGAAGGCGAUUGGUUGCAAAUUUGAAGACACUAUUGAAGUUAGUGUUAUGAGAAGAUGUUCGAAGAUGUGGAAUAUCGCCAAGGUGGAGAUUCGGAAGCGACGAUAAUAUUAAUAACAAUAUUAUCAGAAAUAUUUAGAUAAUUAUUAUGCCAACAAUUAUACUAAGAAAAUUCCCAGUUAAAUUGGAGGGGUCACAAAUGGUCCCGCUUAAAACCCAACAACUAGACAGAACUCACUUAGAUAUUUAUAGCAAUAAUAACUAAAUAAAUAUAACCAACAUAAAGCUAUUAAAUAUAAGCAAACAAAUAAGAAAUAAAAUACCAGAGAUUUAACGAGGUUCAGCCAAUUUAGCUUACGUCCUCGGACACUACCAAAUUAAUAUUUCUUCUAGAAAUAUUACAAAGGAGAAGAUUUUGGGGAUGAUACAACCAAAGGGGGAGGGGUUCUAUAUAUAACAAACCAAACCCCCUCCCUUUCUAUCUUUUCCUAAUGUGGGAUAUUGCCAAUAUUCAACAAAAUCAUCAUUUUAAAUGAAGAUUUUAGGUUAAAUUAUACAAUUGAUUCUUGUAUUUUUUCGUUUUGAGCAAUUUAAUUUUUUGUUUUGUUUUUUAACUUUUUUUUUCCUUAUUUUCCAUUCUCUUUUAUUUCUCCUUAUAUUUUCCUCCCUUUUCUAUUUUUUUAACAUGGUUUUUUUAUGUUUUCCAUUUAUUAAAAAUAGUCCCUAUAUUUUUAUUUUUUGAACAAUUUAUUUUUUUCCUUUUUAUUUUUAUUCACAAUUGUCUAUAAUAAGCAAAAAAAAAGAUUAAAAAAUCUUUAUUCUAGGUUAAAAAAUCUUUAUUCUGGGUUUUCGUUGAAAAUCAAUACAAAAUUUUUUAACUUUCUUUUUUUUUUCUUUAUUUUUCAUUCUCUUCUGUUUCUCCCUCUGUUUUCCUCCCUUCUCUGUUUCUUUUAACAUAGUUUUUCUAUAUUUUCCGUUUGUUAAAACUAGUCUCUAUACUUUUAUUUUGAUAUUGGGUAUUUCUUGUAUGUUCUGUUUAAUCUUCCUUUUGAUUAGUUUUUAAUAUAUUUUCAACUGAGGGUAACAAUUUUGUAUUGCUCUUCAAUGAAAAUCCAAAAUAAAGAUUUUUUUAAUCUUUUUUUGCUUAUUGUAAACAAUUGUGAAUUGGGUUUUUGAUAUUUUACACUUAUUGUUGAUGCUAUACAAAGGAUCCAAAAAUGGAUUAUUAUGGUGAUUUUAUAGAAUUGCUUGGACCUGAUAUUUCAAUCAAGAUUUUUAUAAUAUUGGUUAACCCUUCUGAUCCCAUUAGAGUUAACUUGAUUUUUAGUUUUUGGCACCAAUUUGGUAAACAAAUUAAUGUCUUUGGUAGAAUUUAGCUUGGUGUUCUAUUAUAUAUUGAAGAAGAAUAGGAAUUGAUUGAUGCAAUAAGAACGAUUUUAUUCAUCUUGCAAUGAUCAAAAACAAUCUUUGGGUUUACACACGGAGUAUGUAAUCAAAGAUAAUUUGCUUUAACAAAUAAAGAAAUAAAAAAAAAUUAAAUUGUUCAAGAAAAAAAAGUAUAGGAACUAAUUUUAACAAAUGGAAAAUAUAAAAAAAAAACUACAUUAAAAGAAAUGGAAAAUGGAGGAAAACAGAGGGAGAAGUGGAAAAGAAUGGAAAAUAAAAGAAAAAAAAAUUAAAAGAACAUAAAAGAAAAGAAUUAAAUUGCUUAAAAUGUAAAAAUAUAUGGACCAAUUUUAUAAUUUAACCUAAAAUUUUCGUUUGAAAUGAUGAUUUAAUGUGCCACAUCAGCUUACUGUUACACUGUUAACGGAAAUUAAUGGCUUAGUGACUAAAAUGUUACAACAUGAUAACGUAAGUGACUAAAACGUAACAUUUCAAACAUAAGUGACUAAAAUGUAACCUGAGGCAAACAAAAGUGACUAUUUUAAUAGUUUACCCUUAACUAAUACUAAAACAAAUUAAGAAGUUGAUGUUAUGAAACCUAAAUUUCCACCUAUUAAUUAAAUAUUUACUCUUUUUUUUUAAAUAGCUCAAUUCAAUUUUCAAUUGUAAAAAAAUUUAUUAAUCUCAUCCUUGCUAAAUCAAUUCUUACAGAGACAUCAUCCUAGUAACCCAAAUUGUUCAGCUAGAUUAUUGUAAGAAUCAUAGCCUACCAAACAACUGUUCAAUCCCUACAAAAAAAAUGUUUUUGUAAAUAAAAAACGAAAAGAAACAUUGAAUACCAAAAGUUUCACUUUAGUACAUGUAUUAGAAGCUUUCAACUUCUUGUGAAAUGUUGUCAUUGAAGUCCGGACCUACUGGUUUGGUCAUUUUCUCUUUUGUGCUCACAUUUGUUUCUGCUUUUGCAUUGACUGAACUUGUAGAGGCUUGAAGCUUUCUUUUUGAUCAAGCACGCCUAUUCUAAAACUAGUUAUAUACAUUCGUUUCAAAGAUUUGACCAUGUUGUGCUAGUUCAGAUGCUAUCUCUUUAUUUUUUUGCUUGCUUGGUGUUCCAGUUCCUUGCUUAUAUAUAUUCUCAAGAAUUUGAAGUUGCAAUGCGAUUGGACUUCAUCACUAUCUAGCAGUGAUCUUGUGCCCAACAGAGGCUGAUAUUGGAACACAGUAUAGAUUUCCCAACCUUAUACCUAAAAGCAAAACAACAAACCAGCCAUAUAUUAUUAUUGAAUAUAAAACCAAGGCAGCCAACAUGAGAAAAGUCAAAAAAAAAAAACAAAAAGAACUGAAGGAGAAAAAAUAAGAAAAGAACCAGUAAAAUUGUAAUGGGCAGACAAGGAUUUGUGCAUGUUAGAAUUGAGUGACCCGAAUCCUUAUUUAAAUAAAAUAUAAUAGUAAAAUAAAAUAAAAGUAAAAUCCAUAUAGAACUACACUUCUUUUAUUUUAUUUUAGAAUAAGGUUUUUUAAAUCUUAUUAAACUCCAUCUAUUUGAUAUUGAUUAGAAUAAUGUGUUUCAAUCUUACUACACUCUAUUAGAAUAUGAUUUUACAAGCCUAUAAUUUUAUUUUUCUCUGCCCGUGGGUUUUUUCCCAAAAGAGUUUCCACGUAAAAAUCUGUGUUCUUUAUUUUUUUUCUUUUUUCUUUGCAAUACAUUGUCAUUAUCGACGUUUUAUUUUUCAUAAAUUGGUAUCCGAGCUUCCGAGUUGUUCAUCUCAAUCACAGUAAUGGCGUCUUUGAGGUAUGAAAUUUCGCUGUUGGAUUGUAACAUCAGAUUCGCAUUGUGGCAGAUUAAGAUGCAUGCAGUUCUUGCAUAGAUGGAUCUAGAGGAUGCCCUACUAGGGAUAGAUAAGAUGCCUUCGACAUUAACAGAUGAAAAGAAGAAGCGUAAGGAUCGAAAGGCAUUAACACAAUUACAUCUACAUUUGUGUAACGAAAUUUUACAAGAAGUGAUAAAGGAUAAGAUCGUCGUUACAUUAUGGAAGAGGCUGGAACAAAUAUGUAUGUCAAAAACUCUCACUAGCAAGCUGCAAAUGAAACAUCAUCUUUAUGCUCAUUGUUUGGAGGAAGGUGUGUAUGUGCACGAACACUUAACAGUGUUUAAAAAAAUUCUCUCAAACUUGGAUGCUAUGAAGGUUCAGUAUGAUAAGGAAGAUUUAGGGUUGAUUCUAUUUUGUUCGUUGCCCCCGUCUUAUUUAACCUUUAGAGACACAAUUUUAUAUAGCCGCGAGUCUCUCAUAGUUGAUGAGGUUUAUGAUUCUUUGACCUUGUAUGAUAAGAUGAAGCAUCUUGUGGUUAAACCCGACUCUCAGGGAAAGGGUCUCAUUGUUCAUGGGAGACAAGAUCAGAAUGCUGAUGAUGAUUGUGGAAUGACACAGGAACGAAAUCCUCGCGAUAAAUCUAAAGGUAGAUCAAAGUCUUCAAACAAAGGUAAAACUUGUAACUUCUACAAGAAAAAAUGGUACAUUAAAUAUGAGUGUUAUAAGUUGCAGAACAAGAUCAAAAGGGAGGCUACGAAUCAAAAGAGAAAACAACCAGAAAAAUCCAGUGAAGUUGAUGUUGUAGAAGACUACAGCGAUGGUGAACUUCUAGUCGCUUCUAUCAACAAUUCUAAAGUGAUCAAGGAGUGGAUCCUUAAUUCGGGCUGCACCUUUCACAUGAGUCUCAAUUGGGAUUGGUUUACAACUUACGAAACAGUGUCUGAAGGUGUUGUUUUGAUAGGAAAGAAUGUUUCGUGUAAAAUUACAGGUGUUGGAACGAUUAAAGUUAAGAUGUUUGAUGGAGUUGUCAGAACACUUAGUGACGUGCAACAUGUUCCAGGAUUGAUGAGAAAUUUAAUUUCGUUGAGUACUCUUGAUUCAAAAGGUUACAAAUACACAACUGAAAGUGGGGUUUUGAAGAUUUCCAAAGGUUCCCUCGUUGUGAUGAAAUGGCAGAGAAAGACUACCAAGUUAUAUAUUUUGUAGGUAUUUAUUGCUACUGGUGAUGCAGCUAUCGCUUCCUCUUUCAUAUCAGAUGAUGAUAUUAUUAAACUUUGGCAUAUGUGCCUAGGGCAUAUGAGUGAGAAUGACAUGGCAGAAUUGAGCAAAAGAAGACUUCUUGAUGGGUAAGGAAUUUGCAAACUGAAGUUCUGUGAGCACUAUGUUUUUGGGAAGCAAAAGAAAGUUCGACUCACCAAAGGAAUCCAUAACACGAAGAGAACGUUGGAGUACAUUCUUUCUGAUCUGUGGGGGACAUCCAAAGUGCUUUCGAGAGGUGGAGCUAAUUAUUUGCUAACUUUUAUUGAUGAUUUUUCCAGAAAAAUUUGGGCGUUCUUUCUGAAAUAGAAAAGCGAUGUGUUUUCCGCAUUUAAGUCUUGGAAAACUAUGAAUGAAAAACAGACGAGAAAUCAAAUAAAACACGUCUGCACAGACAAUGGCUUAGAGUCCUGUUCUGAUGAGUUUAAUGAACUAUGUAAGUCAGAAGGGAUCAUGAGACACUUGACAGUUCGUAAUACUCCACAAUAAAAUAGCGUUGCAGAACGAAUUAACAGAACAAUUAUGGAGAAAGUUCGAUGUAUGUUGUCGAAUGCUAACUUACAGAAGUUGUUUUGGGUCGAAUUAGCCUCUACUGUAUAUUUUUUGAUCAAACGAUCUUUAUCCAUUACCAUUGAGAAAAAGACUCCACAAGAGGUACGGUUUAGUAAUCCUACUGAUUAUUCUGAUUUAAAGAUCUUUGGGUGUCUUGCGUAUGCUCAUAUUGAUAAUGGAAAAUUGGAACCGAAAUCCAUUAAAUAUAUUUUUCUUGGUUAUAAAGCUGGUGUAAAAGGGAUAAGUUUGUGUUGAAUUUUCCCUUCUUCUUUUUUUAGCUUAAAAAUAUUAAAUAAACAAUUUCCUUUUCUUUUAUUUUUCAAAGAUAAUUUUCUUUAUUUUUCCUUUUUUUCUCGGUAUCUUCAUUUUUCUCCAACUUUUUCAUGCUUAAACCCUAGUCAUAGCCAUUUAAUUUCUUGGUUUGACCUUUUUAAGCCUAGUGCAGCCUCGAAAACAGCCCAUCAUUUCCUUAAAUUCUACACAAAAACAUGGUGAAAUGCAUUAAAUAUUUCUUAAACUUGUAGUUGCUCAACUUUGAAACACAGAUGGGCGCUCAAGCUCCACCUAAAAGAGUCUCCAGUCCACUUCCAACUCAUUCACGUUUUUCUUCUUUGGUUUCUUAAUUCCUUGCAUUAAUGCAUUUCCAGCUCUGAAAUCCGAUAGAGUAAUCAAGCUGCCAAACCAGCCGGCGACGCCGUCGAUUUCGCAGUUUUUGAGGUAUGUUAAUGUGAAUGAAGAGCAUGGAAGGCCACUUUUCUACUGGUUCUUUGAAGCUCAAUCUGAGCCAUCUCAGCACGUCUCCUGUUAUAGCUUAAUUGAGUCAUCUCACCAUCUUUUUGCCGAACCAUUUUCUGCAGCCAUGGGGGUUUAAGGGUCUUGGGAUUUUGAAGGAUUGAAGGGUUGAUCGAGGGGGUUAGGAGCUGAUCGUUUGGGAACACUGGAUCCAGUUUCUUAUAAACAAUCAAAAACUGUUGCAGAUUUGGGUUUUUUUCCCUCUUGGUUUUGGGGUUAAGUGAGACUCUGUCUUUUUUUCUGAUUCUCAUUUUGAACCAAAGGAUUGUUGGGUUAUCAAUGAAUGUUCUUCAAAUUUCUUCAAUUGUAUCUGUAAAAUCUCACAAAUUCUCGGACCAUUCUCUCCUUCUCCCUUCGUAUCGCACGGCUUAGUUUAGAAGUAGAAAUUUGAAAAUAAAACAAACAAAAAAAAUGAAAGACUAACAGGGAAAUUUAAAGAAAAAUUUAAAUGUAUAUUAUUUAUAAAGAAAGAAUAAUUUCAAAUGUGAAAAUAAAAUUUGAAAAAUAAUAUCUAUUUUAACAAAUUUAGUUUUUGGAGUAAUUUUAAAAAGGUAUUUGAGUUUUUUUAUGAAAAAAAGAAAAAAAAAAAAAAAGGAGAAUUGCUAUCAAGAUCAACAAACACUCAGAUGGAAUGUCGCCCAACCAAUAGCAUAAUUUUUACUCAUGUUUUUUUUUUUGUAUACCAUAUACUCUCCCAUAAUUUUUGGUACUCCCUAUUUUUUUUAGCAUACCCUUAUAAUUCUUUUUACUCCCUAAUAAAUUUUGGUUUUGGUACUCACUCUAUUUUUUUAAAUGUCCUAUGAUUUUUUGGUAUGCUUUACAAUAUAGUUUGUUAAGAGGAGAAACUAAUAUUUGAUAUUCAGAAAAUAUUAUUGCUGCAUACUACGUAAUUUAUUUAAAUGUAAUGGCAAGUCUACCAUUAUUGAAAAUUAAUAGUUAUUUUGUAUGUAAUCAACUAUUGUUAUCACUUCAAAUUUUCCUUAAAAAUCUGAUAUAAUAAAUCCUAAAAUAACAAAAACAGAACACUUAUUGUAUUAGAGUUUUUCUUCAAUUUCGAGGGAAUAACAAAUAUCGGUUUGCCUUAAAAUUUUACUUUAUUUAUUAAAUUUUCAAUAUCUGUUAACUUAUCCUUGUAGAUUAAUAAAUUUAUUAGUAUAAAAAAAUAAUCUUUUCUACCAAUAUACCAUUGGUUUGUCCCAACAAAAUCCUAACCAAAUUUAUUAGUAUGCAAAAAUAAUAUUUUAUAUACCAAAAAUUAAUUUUGAAAGCAUAAAAAAAAAAUCAAAUGGCAUAACAAAAGUUACGAGGGAGCACCAAACCAAAAUUUAUGAGAGAAUACCAAAAAAAUAUGAGAAAGUACCAAAAAUUAUAAAAGAUUACCAAACCAAAAAAAUAUAAACAAAAUACCAAAAAUUACAUAGAGAUGCAAAAUAUAUUUAGAUUUAAAAAAGAGUGAAAAUUUUAUGAGGGAAUACCGCUCCUUUAAACUUUCUUAACCCAAAAGAAAAAAGUGAGGACGAGGGGGCCUCAGCCUGCCACAAAUUCUCAGUUUUGAUGGUAUGUUCUGGUCUGGUCAGGUCUGGGCAUUUCACUUGAAAGUUGAAACCAUUAAAAGUUUUCAUUCACAAGUAAAGAGAGUGUGAAUGAAAUUUUGUAAUCUUACAACCACCAUUCCAACUGCAAAAGUGUUGCAAAUUUUCACCCUUUUUAUAAUAAUAAUAAUAAUAAUAAUAAUACUCCAUUAAUUUGUUUCUCAAGAUCAAUGUACAUGGAAUAACUCAAGGGAUGAUGACAAAAGCUUUAUAAAAUGAAAUGAAAUGUCUCGGGAGAAAACCAAAAAUGCAUCAUUUCUGUUCAGGGCUCCAGAUUUUGACUGUUUCAUAAUUAUAAUAAUAAACCACCAUCAAAGUUCAUCUCUUAAUAUUGACUUAAAACAUUAAAUAUUCAGAAGAAACGGAUAUUAACCAAACUUGAUAAACCAAAUUAUCAGCUGAAGGCUUCACCUCUAGGUGAAUGGAUACUAUAUUAUCAAUAAUUUGUGAACAAGUUCAAUAAAAAAAAAAUGAAACCAGUGAAAUACCAGCUCGACCUUAUGUAUUAUGGUAAAACUAAUAAUAUGUGCAUAAGUUGCAUGUAAUAUCCCAUGCAAUGAACUAGUGGCUGACAUGCACAAACUCAUGCACAGCCAACUUCAAACCUCAAUAAUUCUACUUUCAGGAGGUUGGGGGGGGGGGGGGGCAGCACAGGAUAAUCAAAUACUACAAUUUUUGGAAGGAAUUAUGAGUGUUCAAUAGCAGGGCUUGACUUGGGGGUAAUGAGGCUGCUUGAAAUGAUUGCAUGCACAUAUGAUAAGUGAAAGCCUUAGAUUAAACAUGUUUUGGAGUUAAAUGUGAAUUCCUGGAUUAGAAGGCCAACGAACAGCCACUAGGAAAAUCCAUUAACAACACUUACUUCAAGGUGGCCUUUUCACUAUCCUUUAGCUAUAACAUCAACUACAAAAAUGCUACCCGAAUCACACCAUCCACCAAGUAUAUCCCUGUUAGAGCACUGCAGCAGAAAUCGACAAAAAGACCAGUUAAAUAACUUCUGUUCACUGAAUGCAAGCAUCAACGCUUUAAAUGAAAGCAGACCUAGGACAAAAUAUAUUUAAUCUUUUUCUGAUAUUACAUCCAUGUUUAACAUUUCUAAAGAAAGAUAUCUUGGUGGCUUGAAAAGGAUGAAACAGACAUCACCAAAAGAACUAAACAAAUUAUAGUAACUACUAAUACUAACAAGGUUACCACAUCUUAGAAGAUGGGUAGUAAUAAAUAAAGAGAAUAUUAUAUUGACCUUGUUCCCAGUCACAUAUGGUCAUUGUUGUCACACUCUACACAAGAUUACCCUUAGAAGGCUGCCAAGACAAGAGUUUCAUGACAGAAUUUGACCUCGGCACUGGCCAACCAAGACAAGUGACUCUCUCUGUGAGUGCCAGCAUUAAGAAAGAACAGAUAUUUCAACCAGAAUUUACUACUGAACUCAAUACCUUACUGAAUCCCAGCCAAUUUGAGUCUCCUCUAAAUGAAAAUACCUUACUGCUUUCUUGCCACUGCCCACAGAAAACCUGCAAAGCUUCCUUAUUAUCCAAAAGUCAUACUGGAUGGAACCUCAAAGUAAACUACUCAACAUGAUCGGAUAACUACUAUGCUAGCUAUAGAAACUUACACAGCUACAUAUUACAUAUAUGUAAAGGGACUCAUGAAACUGAAGGUCAGACAGAUAAGAAUCAUUCUUCUAAGCUAGAAUCCAACUACACAUGGAAAUAAAAUUGCAAGUUGAAAAGCAGUCACCUCAUAAUCAACCCCUUGAACAAAGAUGUAAUCAGGGUCAAGAGACGAGAAAGCAAGUCCAGUAAUCUGCAGUAUCAACAAACAAAAAAAACACCCAUACAUGGCUAUAAUGUUAAAUCCCAAGAUGAUGAAAUCACAUGGAACCUCUCUAGCAAGAAAAAAGGCAUUGGAACUUCUCUAGUAAGUGUUCACUUCCAUAUGCUUGAUGUCAAGAUGAGCACAUAAAAAUGUCUUUUGUUACCAUAUUUCCAUCUCUAGGUUUGAUAAACAUUAAUGACAAACCAGGAGGAAAUUUAGUCAAACAACUAACCUCAUAUUUUGAACAGUGCACCCAUCUUGAAAUUGCUGACCAUCUACAUAGAAGAAGUAAUAUUAGUGCAGCAUAAUCUCAUUGUGUCUAAGGUGAAGAAACAUUCCACAAAAUUUUUAUUAAACUGCCAUACACAAGCCAAUCAGCCCGUCAUGGAAGUCCAUUAGGAGGACUGUAAAUUGGAUUAAAUAUUUUGACUAUAUCCUCCUCUGUGAUUUCAUAAACAUGAUUAGCAGUAGGUUAAAGUAAUUGUCAUAUGAGUUCGUCAUAUAGGCAAAAUUGGAAAUGGGAGAAAUGGAUUUUAUUUUUGACCAACCUUAAUAGUCUAUUAUAUAUCAAAAAUCAUUUCAUCUCUACUCCUUUACUAGAAGACAAAUUCUAACAUGUAGCUCACACUUUAAUGGGUUUGUUUAUGACUUCAUUACCAAUUUAUGGAAUUCAAAUCUGAAAAAAGAAAAUGCAAAUAUGUAGGAAAUGGUAAAAAUAAACCCAUAAUAGAUACAAUCAGAAUCACAGAAAAUUGUCUGUGUAUCUAUUCAUGUGACCUUCACAAGUUGGCUCUCUCAACACAAGUCAAGUCACCCUGGCCAGACUUAAUCCAACUCCCUUCUCAGGGGUCUAAUCUAAUGCCAUAGAUCGCCCAAAUUCAAUCCUCCUCUAUAAAUGUGUAUAAAAACAUUAUUUUAUAAAAUUGAUUGAUUAUUCUCGCAUAAUCCUGUCUACUAGAGGCACCCUAAGGAAAAGUUAAUAUAAUCAUCCAGAAGAUCAUAAUAAACCAAUCAUCCGUAUGAAUUGAGGGAAAACUAAUUAGAGUGAGUUAUUGCACAUUUACUUUUUAAAACUGACAUAUAUAAUGGCAACCAACCUGCGGGGAUCAUAGAUAGUCACAGUUCGAUCAGCACCACCCACUGCAAUAUUACCAGUUGAAGAACUGCAGACAGCAUAAAAGAUAUCUCCAGCAGAACCACAAAUACGAUUUAGACAACCACCAUUUUCUUUUAUUCUCAAGUCCCAUACAGACAACUACGUUAAUACCAGAAAAAGAAGCAGAACCAUAAGAUUAUUUAACACAUUGAGAAACAUAAAAUAUAAUGCAUUAUUAUAUACCUGGCAGCCUUCAGUUACGGCUAAUAUAGAACUCUCAUUCCCAUGACCUAAAUUCCGCAUGAAGCUUAGCGAAGAUGGAUACCAAAGUCUGAAAGGUGUCAAUAAAUCAAUAUAAAAUGUCCAUAUAAAAAAUUCCGGAUGUCAAUAACAUUAAAUAUAUUUUAUAGUGUUCUUAGGAACUUGAAUCUUCUACAUUCUAUAAACUGCAAUGUUGUCAAAGGGACGAUCAGGUAGGCUGCAGAAGCAGAUGUUGUAUGUUGGUUCUCCGUGAUAGCUCAAGAAAGUAGAUAUGAGGUUUUAGCAAAUAAUGAUUCACAAGUAGCUGUAAGAAGUAUGAGAGUAGGAAAUUUACAUGCCCACACAAAACCUUUUCUAUUUGACAUGUUGACUGCACUCAAAUUAUAUGCAACCAGGUCCAUAAUUGAGAAUCAAAUAACCAUGUUGUCAUAAAGCAGAGAACUAUUAUUUGGACAGUACUCUAGUGAGAGUUUUAAUGCAAAAUUCUCGAGUCUCUCACCAAGGACAUAAGUAUGACCUGGUACACAUGUAAGAAGAUAGAUUGAUAGCACUCACGUACGCAAAGUCCGAAGAUGGAUAUCCUGGUCAUAAACAUCAACACUUUUGCAGAAGCUUCGUGCCACAGCUGCCUGGAUUAAGAAAUUAGUGCAAAGUGAAGCCCUAAUUUAUGUUGGAAAGGAUAAAAUUCAAUUUAUCAAAAAAAAAAAAAAUUUAUGGUAGAAAUAGUUAAGUGCAUUAAGUAUUGACCCAGAAGAUGUUUAGAAGUUGAAGUAACAUGUCCGACAUGUUAGAACAUAGCAUAUAUUUAAAGCUGAGUUUCCUUAAUGUAAUCUCACUUCUACUUAUCAUUGCUGCAAAUGCAGAAUUCAAAACCAUAGUGGCUUUGACUAGGUAUAAGAAAUAUUUAGCAAAAUCAACUGUCCUUUAGAUACUAUGCACUUAAGACAUGAAUAAAAAUGAUAUAGAAAAACCACACCCUAUAGAAGAGACCAGAAACUCUAACAAACCAUAAAGUGUAAUAUCCUAUAGAAUUUUAUUAGUUUAAGUUAUACAAUGGAAGAUCACAUACCAUGGACCAUUGAAUUGGACUGAAGCAAACCCCAGACCAACUACCUUCUCCAACACCAAAAUCCCGAGGUAACACUGAAUAAGUAAUCUUGUCAACAUCUGAAAAUUUCAACAGUAGACAUUGAUAAGACACCUUAAUUACUUAAAAAUGCAAAGUUAGCAAACAACAUGAUGCAAAGUCCACCAGCAAAGAAAAUAAGUUGCAUUUAGUUGUUGCUGCAGAGAUAGAGGCACUAUUAAUUGUUUGUUUACCCCCGUUUCCUCAUUAUUCUAAGGGGUUAACACAAAGAAAUUUGGAUAUUUUAUAUCAAACAGAUUAAUUUUUAAAUGUUCUAGACACGCUUUUCCCCCCAGAUUUCCAGCUCGCUGUCUAAAACCACACAGCAUAUGAAUCUAACAUAUCAACAAAUAAAAGAGGGUGGCAGAAAAGUAAUAUACAAAGAUGAAUAGAUAAUGGAAUUAACUAAAAUUAGCAAGUUUUGAAAAAAAACCAAGACCGCAGAUCAUCUACAGCAUGGCAGCAUAGUAGAAAGCAAAAAAGUUUCUACCGGGGUUGGCCUUAUUUGAUGAUGAACCAGAACUUGCAUCCAAUCAAAGAAAAGAUAACUAUCAUUGUAUGGAAGUCAUGAAAAACACUUAAGAAAGCCUUAGGAGAAAGUAUGGAACUCUUUUCGUCUCUUCUGAGAUAGACAUGCCUACGAAACAGAAAAUUCCACAUGCAAAAGAGCCAAAGACUUAAACAAGAACAUAAAAGCUCAUAAUUGCUUCUCAAAAAGAGAAGCACCACAGAUUACUAGUGUUUCAAAUAUGAAGAAUACACCAGAAACGUUUUCAUUAAACCUACAAUCAAACAACAGUGAUAUGAGUAUGUACCUUUACCACUGGCAUCCAGUUUAGAGACAAUAAGAUGACCAUAAGCAUCCACACUUGCCAAUACUAAGUAACCAGUGCCUGUAGACGUAACAUUUUGAACAAGUAUUCUAAAGUCAAUCCAAUCCAAAAACCUUAAUAGGAUUUUGUCCCUUACAAGAGAAAGAUGAUUUACCGUGAGAAGUAGUUAAUAGCUACAAGAGAAUAUACAAAAGAAGCAAGCAAUAUAGGAGCCAAUGCCACUUGGUAUUCUAAAGUCAGUAGCAUUAACAAAUUAAACCACUCCAAUGCUACAAACAGCUAAAAGUACAGCUAGACAGAAGUAAAACUCAUGCAGGUUUAAUUAUAACUACAAACAAAAGUAUGCAAGUUAAAAGCCAAUGUUAGACCUUGAAGCAUUUUAAAGGGGAAUAAAUGUUCUUUCUUUCCUUGUGUUAAUUUGCAAGAGGCACCUAAAUGUCUAGUACCAAAAGAUACCUCACUAGAACAAGAUUUUGACAAUUUGUUUGAAUGUAAAAAUGAACCCCAAUAUACUAAUGAGAUACAAGAAAAGAGAAGUAUCCUGAGAACGAAAAUGUAUUAAAGAUCAAAUGCUUCUAAUCAACCACACACAGUGUCUACCAUAUCUCUAUCUACUCUCCCUAUCCAUGAAUAUAACGGAACUUGCUAUCAUACGUUAUCAUUUAGAGAAAUAAGAUAAAGAAUAAGAUAAUGUCAAUAAAAAGUAUGAGUAAGAAAUAUCCCAUCUUCUUCGAACUACAACCAACCAUUAGCAAUUUUAUGCAUAACAUAAGCCAUAGAAAUGAAUUCUGUUAGGAUAUGAUCAAUGGAAAGAUACACUAAUAUCAAUGCCAAUGCCACUUACUUUCUAUUUCAGUAAGUACAAUACUUUGGAUUUCUGAACGAUGAGGGCACCGUUUAAGUAACAAAGAUUCUAUAACCUUCAAAAUCACAGCUCAAAACAAGAUCAAUACAUAAUUAAUGAAUAACAGAAGGGCAGGUUAAUUUGGAGUCCAUAUUCUUCUUUAGGAGAGAAUUUAUGAAUGGCGUGCUGUUAAAAGUCAUAGAAUGAGCACCUCUUUUGUCUCCGGAAUAAGGAGGCCUUCUUUCCCUGUGCUAAGCCAAGAAUCUUCCAGCGGAAUCUAUUUAAAUUAAUAAUUACAAAAAAGCAAAGAUUAAAAAUAAAAAGCGGGGGUUGUAAGAAUUCAUUAAAACACCCAAACACAUAUAAAAAGUUUCAAUCUAUUUAUACUUGAAGUCUGUAGAUGUUGCAUCCGGAUGCAAUGUAAACCCAGCAAGAGGAGGAAUCCUCAUUCACCUACGAAGAAUUGGGGAAAAAAACAACAUUAAAUAAAUAAAUAAAAAGUAUGAAUGAUUUCAUGUAAAUGCGAGGAAUAUAUACAUACAUACACACACACACAUGCAUAUAAGGGGGAAAAAAAAAAGACACACACACAUGGAGGGCAAGGCGAGUGGACUGGAGGUUUCCAGGAGAUGGGUUCUCUAGGAGUGUUGGUGGCACCACCGCCUUUCUCAAACUCUUUGCUUCCAGGGUUGACCCCAUUUCUCUGUCUGGGUCUGGCGAGAUAUAGCAGUUAAAGCUAUUGGUGGUUUGGCCAGUAUUUUGUGGAGAUCGGAGAGGAAAUGAAGGAAUCUGUACACUAUCGCUUACACUGAUAUUUUUCCAAGGGUUUAAGGUUUUAGAUUAGGUUCGGAUAUCAAUACUUCAGUCAGAAAAACCUUUCUACCCUUUUUAUUUUUGGGUAAAUUGCCUUUACGCAUUCUUUUUUUUUUUGAUCAUUUAAAAAAAAUUUGUUAAUUUGGAUACUAAGGUUAAAAAAUUGGUCAGAUUUCUCCUUUUUUUUUUUUAUUUCUUAUUUCUUUAAUUUUUUUUCUUUCGUUCAUUAUUUUUCUAUUUCUUCCCUUCUAGUGUCAUGGGUUGCGCAUGGGAGCACGCAACCAUGACAAACUUGUGCGAUCCAUCAUAUUUGAAGGAGGUCAUUUGGCCCAAACAAACUGGCCCGUUGCCUGGAGAGAUUAAAAGCCCAUCCCAAGAGCCUGGUAAAAAUGGGAAGUAAUCCAAGAAGAUAUGAUUAUGUAAUCUUAGAGUUCUAAUUGUACACAGCUUCUAAUUGUGUCUUAGAGUUCUAAUUGUAUACAGCUUUUAAUUGUAGCCUUUGAUGUACUUUGAGGCUCAACUAUAAAUAGAGACCUCUUUGCUCAUUGUAAUUCAUUAAGUUAUCAAUAAGAAUUUUGAGAGUAUUCACUCAAAUUUUCUCUUAAGUGUUCUUGCUUUUCUGUGGCUUUCGUUCAUCUUUCAACGUUCGUUCUUACUUCGUUCUUCUGCUGUUCUUCGCGGGUGCCUUGAGGUUAUCAUUGCAAGUUAGGCCGACUUAGGCGUUUUUGCUGAUGAAUCCUUUUAUCAUUGCGAGUUAGGCUGAUUUAGGCGUUUUUAAGCAAAGAAACUGCCUAAGGCCGCACGGAUCGCGUGGGAAAACUCUAAGUCUGUGACAGUUGGUAUCGGAGCUAAGGUUCGAAGCCACCAUUGAAAGAUGUCGAAAGAAGUUACUGGGAACGUUGAGGGAAUGGAGACCCGUGGGAGGGCUAGGAAAGCUAGUCGCUCAAGGGACAUAUUAUCAGCUUUAGAGGAUCAUGUCGUCACUCUCGAGAAUUCCGUGGGGGAUAUCAGGGAGAGGAUUGAUGAUGUCGAUGAUAGGCUCCAUGAUGGAUUGCAGUCCAUGCAUGAGCAGCUCAAAGUGUAUGUGACGGAUAAUGUGGAACAGUUGACUGGUAAAGAUGAUGCCAUUGAGGCUAUGGUGGCGGCCUUGAAAAGGGAGAUUGCGGAGCUCAAGGGUGAACUCACAAUCUACAAGGUUGCUUUGGGCAAUGGUGGGUUAGCUGCCGUUGCACCCAAGCCCAAUAUUGAUGUUUCCAAGCCCAAGGAGUUCAAGGAAACAAGGUCUGCAAGAGAUGUGGACAACUUUUUGUGGGGAAUUGAGCAAUACUUCUGUGCCAAAGGCAUCACGGAGGAUGUCACUAAGGUAACUACUGCUGCGAUGUAUUUAUCCGACGUUAUUUUGUUGUGGUGGCGUCAUAGGUCCACUGAUGUGAGACGUGGUGGGAUCGAAAUCGAAACAUGGAAGGAGUUUCAAUGUGAGUUCAAAGCACAAUUUUACCCAGAGUAUGCCGAGGAUGAAGCUCGGGAAAAGUUUCGUCGGCUUGCACAACAAGGCACUAUGAGGGAGUAUGUGCAGGAGUUUAGCGAACUUAUGCUCCAAAUCUCAGAUAUGGGGGAGAAAGAGGCAUUCUUUUCUUUCAUGGAUGGAUUAAAAUCGUGGGUGAAGCAAGAGUUGCAACGCCGAGGAGUUCAAGAACUCACCAAGGCGAUGUCCGUAGCAGAAUCGCUUGCUGAAUUUGGUGGGAAGAAAGACAAUCCCAAUUCUUCUAAGCCCAGAUUUAAUCAAAAGGGUAAUAGUGGGGGAGAUAAAGAAAGGCCCACUAGGAAUGGCAAUGGUAAGAAGCCUUGGGACAAGAAAAAGAGUGGGCCUAUAAGUUGCUUUCACUGUGAUGGUCCACAUAUAAUCAAGGACUGCCCAAAGAAGGCCGCUCUCACGGCUAUGGAAGCAAAGGGGGAGUCCGAUGUGGAGGAUAAAAAUCUUGGUUCGAUACUAGGGGGUGUCGAAGAUAGAAUGAGCCAUGGUUUGAUGUUUGUAGACAUCAUUGUGGCUGGCAAAAAAUUGAAUACGCUCGUUGACACAGGCGCUUCUGAUUUGUUCAUGUCCGAGGAGGCUGCUUAUAAAAUGGGCCUCAAGGUAGAUAAUGAAGUGGGUCGGAUUAAAACAGUGAACUUAGAAAGCAUUCCAAUCAAGGGGGUUGCAAAGGGAGUGGAUCUUCAGCUCGGCAAAUGGUCUGGGAAGGUAUCCAUUAAGGUAAUACCACUUGAUGAUUAUGAUUUUGUGGUUGAACUAAGCUUCCUAGAUUAGGUUAAUGCUCUUAUUGCCCCGUCGAGCAAUUACAUGGUGAUUUUGGAUGCAAAACAUCAAUGCAUGGUGAAAGUGACAAGGAAAAGAAGCUUUGAGGGAAAAACACUGUCAGCAAUUCAGUUUGCUAAAGGUGUGCGGAGAAAUGAAGUCUCAUAUUUAGCAACCUUAAAGAUCGAAGAGACCGCUAAGUCUGUUAGUGAGACCCCAAAAGAAGUGGGUCAAUUGUUGCAAUUAUUUCAAGAUAUACUGCCUGCUCAGUUGCCUAAAAGUUUUCCACCCAAGAGGGAGGUGGAUCACAAAAUCGAGUUAGUGUCUAAUGUGGUGCCGCCAGCAAGGGCCCCCUAUCGUAUGUCUUCGCCAGAAUUAAAAGAGUUGCGGAAACAAUUGAAGGAACUUUUGGAUGCGGGAUUCAUUGGACCAUCUAAAUCCCCAUACGGUGCCCCAGUGUUGUUCCAAAAGAAACAUGAUGGGUCCUUGAGAAUGUGCAUCUAUUAUCGAGCUCUAAACAAGAUCACUGUGAAGAAUAGGUACCCUAUUCCUUUUAUUGUAGAUUUGUUUGAUCAGCUUGGUAGUGCAAGAUGGUUUACCAAGUUAGAUCUGAGAUCAGGGUAUCAUCAAGUACGGAUAGCCGAGGGAGAUGAACUAAAGACAGCUUGUGUGACACGGUACGGUUUGUAUGAGUUCCUUGUGAUGCCUUUCGGACUCACAAAUGCCCCAGCUACAUUCUGCACCCUAAUGAAUAAGGUACUUCAACCAUUUCUUGAUCGUUUCGUGGUUGUUUACCUUGAUGAUAUUGUGGUGUAUAGCAAGUCUCUUGAAGAGCACAAGAGACACUUGAGGGAGGUGAUCCAAACUUUGAGGGAAAAUGAGCUGUUCAUCAAAAAGGAGAAAUGCUCAUUCGCCCAACAAGAGGUGUAAUUCCUAGGCCACAUUGUGGGAGGUGGUAAAAUCCGAAUGGAUAAGAGCAAGGUUCGAGCCAUUUUAGAGUGGGAGCCUCCAACCAAGGUAACGAAGUUGAGAUCCUUCCUUGGGUUGGCAAAUUACUAUUGACGCUUUGUAGAAGGCUACUCUAGAAUUACCACUCAUUUGACGGACAUGUUGAAAAAGGGGAAGGUAUGGGAUUGAAAACCGGAAUGUGAGAAGGCAUUUAAUCAAUUGAAGCAAGAAAUGACGAGGGAACCUGUACUUGCCUUUCCAGAUUUUGCAAAACCUUAUGAGGUACGCACGGAUGCAUCAGAUUAUGCUAUUGGGGGAGUACUAAUGCAAGAUGGGCACCCAAUUGCUUUCGAGAGUCAAAAGCUUAAUGAGACGGAGCGUAGAUAUACGGUCCAAGAGAAAGAGAUGACUAUGGUAGUACACUGCUUGCGCACAUGGAGACAUUAUCUAUUGGGUUCCAGGUUCGUGGUCCUUACCGAUAAUGUUGCCAAUAGUUACUUUCUAACCCAGAAAAAGUUGUCUCCCAAGCAGGCUCGUUGGCAGGUUUUACUAGCGGAGUUUGAUUUUACAAUGGAAUAUAAACCAGGAAGUGCCAACAUUGUGGCUGAUGCACUCAGUCGAAAUAUGGAAUUCGCAGCAAUUAUUCAACCUAAUGGCUCUUUGUUGGAACGCAUUCGAGAGGGAUUGUCCCAUGAUCCCAUGGCCAAAAAUUUGAUUGAACUUGCAAAUGAGGGAAAAACAAGAAGAUUUUGGCUUGAUGGGGACCUGUUAUACACUCAUGGGCACCGCCUCUAUGUGCCCCAUUAUGGGAAACUCCGUAAGGAAGUCAUGAAGAAGUGUCAUGACUCGAAAUGGGCAGGCCACCCAGGGAUGCAUCGCACUUUGGCCCUUUUGGAGGAACGUUAUUACUGGCAUAACAUGGGUGCUGAUGUGGAAACCUAUGUGAAAACUUGUCUAGUAUGCCAACAAGACAAGGUUGAGUUAAAGACUCCAAGCGGUUUGCUUCAACCCUUGCCAAUUUUGGAAAGACCAUGGGAGAGUUUAUCCAUGGAUUUUAUUAUUGGUUUGCCUAAGUCUGAUAGGUUUGGGAGUAUUCUUGUUGUGGUGGAUAGGUUUUCAAAGUAAGCGGCAUUUAUUCCGGCGACCAAGGAGUGCCCUGCUGAGGAAGUAGCUCGGUUGUUUCUUAGACACGUGGUGAAAUAUUGGGGAGUGCCACUGUCUAUUAUCAGUGAUCGAGAUGGGCGAUUUACGGGCCGGUUCUGGACGGAUUUGUUCAAGUCAAUGGGCUCAGAUUUGAACUUCUCCACGAGAAUGCAUCCACAAACCGAUGGGCAAACUGAACGAGUGAAUGCAUUGUUGGAGACAUAUCUUCGACACUACGUAAGUGCCACACAAAGGGAUUGGCCAAAAUUGUUGGAUGUGGCCCAAUUCUCAUACAACUUGCAGCGAAGUGGGGCCACGAAUCAAAGUCCAUUUGAAAUAGUGACGGGUCAACAACCACUCACACCCAACGCUGUUGUGACCCAUUAUAAAGGACCAAAUCUGGUAGCCUAUCGAUUCGCAAAAGAUUGGCAAGAGAAGAAUGACUUGGCUAGAGCUUGUUUACACAAGGCAAGUAAGCGUAGCAAGAAGUGGGCUGAUAAAAAACGAAGGGAUGUGCAAUUUCAAGUGGGUGACUUAGUCCUCGCUAAACUACACUUGAUUUUGCGAUAUACUGGCUUGCAUAAAGGUCUUGUGCGAAGGUAUGAGGGGAUGUUCAAAGUUGUGAAGAGAGUAGGCAAGGUGGCUGUAACAGCCCGAUUUCGACUCUAAUCGGACAUAGUGGUUUCGGGACCACAAGUCUGAGUCAAAAAAAAUUUUAAUAUUAUUUUGUGUGUUUAUUUUGUGUGCAUUUGAUUGUGUGAAAUUUUCGUGUUUUAAUUUCGUCGUUUAAGCGUCCGAUUUAAUAAAAGGGCUUAAUCGCGUAAAAUGAAAAUUUAGGGGUUAAUUAUAAAAGCACCUAAUUGUUGAUGUCUUUUUAAAUGGGAGGAUUUAUGAUGAAAUAAGACCAUAAAGUAGAUAGUGAGUGGCAUAUGACAUAAUUGACCUUAAUAUAUAUGUUAUAUAUAUUUAUUAUAAUAAGGUUAAUUUAGUCAAUUGUUAAAUUAAACAUUAUAAUUAAAAAUAAAUGAUGAAAAGAUGAAUGUUUUCAUCUUUUCUUAGCCGAAUUUUAAGCAUGAAGAACCCAACAAUGGCUUUCUAAAAUUCGGCACUUUCAUAGCUUGAUUAAGGUUAGUUUUGUUUCGUUUUUUUUUAUAAUUUUUACGUUUUUUAGAUCGUUGCUUUUUGUACUACAAGACCCAUGCUUUAAUUUUAGAAUUUGAUGGUGAUUUUGAGAUAUGCCAUUGAUGAAUGUUUGAGCUUUUCGAUAGUUGAUGGUGAAAUAUGAAAGAUGGGUGAAAGAUUAAAAUGUUUUGUCUUUGAAUUUUUAGUGAAAUUGAGUAAAUAGGGCUAAAUUGUGAAAUUAAAUUUUUGGGGGACUAAAAUGUGAAAUAAAUGAAAUGUGUGGACUUGUAUGAGAACCAUGAAUAUUCGGCCCUUGUGUGGUAUGGGCAAAUUUUGUGUAAACUGUAUUUUAUGCAAUAGGGAGUAAAUUGCAAAAAGUGUAAAUAUUAGGGGCAAAAUAGUAAUUUUCCAAAUUAUGUGUUUUUGGACUAAAUUGAAUGUGUUAAUAAAUAAAUUAUCUCAUUUUAAUAUAUUUAGAUCGAGAACCAAAGAAAUCAGAGUUAGAUAGGGGAAAAGCCAAAUUAGUCGAAUAAUCGUCCGACUUCGAUUUUCCAUCGUCCGAGAUAAGUCUAUUAGCAAUUUAAUGUUAUUAAAUCAGCAUAUAUAUAUUUAUUUUAUAUUUGAUGAGCUAUAAUUAAAAAUAUAUGAAUUUUUAAUUAGUUAAGUAUGAAUGUUAUAUAUAUCAUAAAUGAAGUUCGAAUAUAUGUAAAUAUAUAUGCAUAUCUAUUGUAUAUUUGAUGAGCUAUAAUUGAAAGUAUAUAAAUUGAAAUUAGUUAAUGUGUGAAUGUUAUAUAUAUGCAUAAAUGAAGUUCGAAUAUAUGUAAAUAUAUAUGUAUAUCUAUUGUAUAUUUGAUGAGCUAUAAUUGAAAGUAUAUAAAUUGAAAUUAGUUAAGUAUGAAUGUUAUAUAUAUGCAUAAAUGAAGUUCGAAUAUGUAUAUAUGAAUAUGUAUAAGAUCUUGAGUUUAAUUAAAGGUAUGGAUGAUAUAUUUAUAUAUAUAUAAGGUUUGAAUAUAUAUGUAUAUACAUGUAUAAGUUUUUGAAUGGAAUUAAAAGUAUGAAUUCUAUAUAUUCAUGCAUAUGUGUGAGGUUCGAAUAUAUAGUUAUGUGUAUAUAUAUAAGUUUUUGAAAUGAAUGUAAAGUAUGGACUUUACAUAUGCAUGUGUGUGGUUCGAAUAGAUAUAAAUACAUAUACAAAUACUUGAGUUGGAUUAAAAGUAUAAUUUGUAAAUGCUUGUAUGAUUCAAACAUGGAUUACAAAUUUUCUGGAGAUAAAGUUGAGGUUGUGAAUUAUACAUAAAUGUUAUGAACAUGUGUUGCUAUUAAGAAAUGUACGAGGAAUCAUCUUUGUAUCUGUGAAAUUGAAAUUUUCAGGCUAAGCGCCUAGCAAGCUUAAUGCCGGUGAAUUUUUCGGACUUUAAGUUUAGCAGGCUAAGUGCCGGUGAUCUGAAUCAGGUUAUAAAGCUAGCAGGCUAAGUGCCGGUGAUCUGAAUCAGGCUAUAAUCUUAGCAGGUUAAGUGCCGGUGAAUAUGUUAAAUUAAGUGAUUAUAUGCAUUUGAUAUAUAUAUAAAUAUGUAAAUGAUUUUGGGUUAUAUAUAAUGGAUAACUAUGUGAACAUUUAUUUAUAUGUAUUUGAUGAGCAUAUAAAUGUUUGGAUCUAUGUGUUUAGUGAAUAGGCACAUAUAUAUUGGUUGUUAUGAAGAUUGUUGAAUAUACAUGUAUGCAUUCGGCACAUGUGGAUUAGAAGUAUAAAUGUGCAUUUGGUUCAUGAAGUUGAUAAGUAAAAAUAUAAGCUUUUGACAUAUGUAUUGGAAAGAUCAUAGAAAUGCAUUCGAUGAAAUCCAAAUGAUAAGUAUAUUAGAAAUUAGUAUAUGCAAUUAAUGAUUAUGUUUGUAACUUGAUUAUAAGCAUAUAAUGUUUAUACAUAUGUUCGUUUAUAUGUAUUUUUAAUUUGCUAUAAACUUACUAAGCUAUAAAAGCUUACUUUGAUUGUUUUUGUCCAUUUGUUUUAUAGAUUUUGGAGUCGCGUUACGAGCUCGGGGAUCAUCAGCAUAGUCUAUCACACUAUCGACUUCUUUUGGUAUUUUGUUAAGUUGAUCUCGAUUUUAUGGCAUGUAUAGGCUUGAGUUUGUUUUUGGUUAGUUUUGUAUCAUAAAAUAUAAAUAGCCAUGCGGAAAUGGUUUAAUUUCCAUGUUUGUGAUCAGUUUGGUUUAAAAAAAAUGUUUUGUUCAUGAUCAUUUUGUUUAAAUUGGGUUAUAUGUGUUUUCGAAUGUGUGCUUUGUUUAGUAAUGCCUCGUAACUCUAAUCCGGGUGACGGACGUUGGUCGGGGUGUUACAGUGGCCUACAAGCUUGAGCUGCCAGCAAAACUUAAAGUCCACCCAAUCUUCCAUGUAAGCAGGCUUAAGCCCUUUCAUGGGGAUCAAGAGGAUCCAAAUCGAGGCAAGUCCGAACGAGCACCGAUGGGGGUAAAGGUGUCGUACGAUCGUGAAGUCGAAAACAUUGAGGCAGAUCGGGUAAUUAGGCAAAAGUACCACCGACCAUGACAUGAGUACUUAGUACGAUGGAAGGGACUUCCUGAUAGUGAAGCAAAUUGGGAACCUGCCGAGGCAUUGUGGCAGUUCCAAGGGCAGAUUGACCAGUUUCAUAAGGAAGAUGCGACGAGGGCGUCGCUAGAACAAGUGGGGGAGAAUGUCAUGGAUUGCGCAUGGGAGCACGCAACCAUGACAAACUUGUGCGAUCCAUCGUAUUUAAAGGAGGUCAUUUGGCCCAACCAAACUGGCCCGUUGCCUGGAGAGAUUAAAAGCCCAUCCCAAGAACCUGGUAAAAUGGGAAGUAAUCCAAGAAGAUAUGAUUAUGUAAUCUUAGAGUUCUAAUUGUACACAGCUUCUAAUUGUGUCUUAGAGUUCUAAUUGUAUACAGCUUUUAAUUGUAGCCUUUGAUGUACUUUGAGGCUCAACUAUAAAUAGAGACCUCUUUGCUCAUUGUAAUUCAUUAAGUUAUCAAUAAGAAUUUUGAGAGUAUUCACUCAAAUUUUUCUCUAAAGUGUUCUUACUUUUCUGUGGCUUUCGUUCAUCUUUCAACGUUCGUUCUUACUUCGUUCUUCUGCUGUUCUUCGCGGGUGCCUUGAGGUUAUCAUUGCAAGUUAGGCCGACUUAGGCGUUUUUGCUGAUGAAUCCUUUAUCAUUGCGAGUUAGGCUGACUUAGGCGUUUUUAAGCAAAGAAACUGCCUAAGGCCGCACGGAUCGCGUGGGAAAACUCUAAGUCCGUGACACUAGGAACACUUGUCGCUACGCCAUUGUUGUUUUUGUUGAACCAGCGCCGACGAGCAUUGUCCUAUCAAUGGACAACGUUAACUUUUCAGAUUCAAAGACUUAAUUUAUUAUUAUUAGAUUCAAUUUUGAACUUUAAACUUUAUUUUUGUGUUUUAUUUCGAAAUUGAUACUGACUUUAAAUUUUAAUUUUAUUUAUCCGUAUUAAUUUAUCACAAAAUUAAUAUAUACAACUUAAACAAAUAUUAUGAAUCAUAUACAAAUCAUACCGAAUUUAACUUACCAAUUUCUAAAUAUUUAUAUAAUUAUUUCAAUUUGAUACAAUUCAAUCUCUUAUUUAACUUAAUUUUAAUAUUUUCAUUUAACAAGUUUAUAAUUUUUAUGUCCAAUUUAAUCCUUAAUGUUUUUCCCAGAAAUUACAAAACAAUCUUUGUACUUUCAAAUUUAACAAUAUUUACAAUUUAGUCCUUAAAAUCUAAAUUUUCACUAUUCUAUAAUUUAAUCCUUAAAAAUAGAAUUUAUACCUUCUAAAAAUGCCCAUAUUUUUCAGAUUUUACAAAUCAAUCCAUUUUACCAAAUUUUUUAAAUUUUAAAAUCUUUACAAUUUGAUCUUAUAACCUUGAAUCUUAUCAAACAAUGCUCUCUUUUCAAAUUCACAUAUCCCAUAAUCACACAAAAUAAUUUAUGCAUCAAAAUUCUAGAUUUCCACAUCUCAAUUCUCAUAAUUCAAACUUUUCAAUUUUUUACAAUUUAGACCUUAUUGCAAUUUUUUUAUCAAAUUAACCCCUACACACACAUAUAUGUAUGUAUAUGUAUUCAUCCAAACAAUGUAAAAAAUAAAUAUUUACCACUUCAAACAUAAUAAAUACACAAUUCCAUCAUAAAAAAUAACUAUUUCCAAUUUCAAAUAUUCAUAGUAAAAUCAUCCACACUUUCUUACUUUCAAUUAUUCACAUAAAAUCAUCCACCAAAUUAUUCAUAAUAUCAUUCACCAUUCACUUCAUACAUAAACAUAAUACUUUCAUAACUUGAAACAUAAUAAUAAUAAUAAUGCACACAUUAUUUUUACAAUUGCACAUCAAAUUAUACAAUUAAAUAAAUAUAACAUAAUAAUUUAAGCAACUUAUCUAUGUUUUCUCUCACUUCCAUCUUCCUCUUGAUGCUUCCAUGGUUGGUUUUGUAUGAAAGAACACUCUUAAAUUAGACUUUGGUGUGAAAUCUCACUUUAAUUUCAUGAAAAUUUCAAAAAUUUUAUGUUAAAAAUGAGAAAAUGACCAAAUUAAAUAAAAUAGAAAACAUUUUUUCUAAAUAUAUUUUUGAAGAUACAGUGGCAAAACCUCACUCAAAAUUUAGCCAAUGGACCUAUUUAUAAUGAUGGGAGAAUUGUCUCCUUUGUUUCUAGAUUUUUCCUUUCUUUUCUUUACUUUUCUUUCCUUCUUUUGUUAUUUUUAUUUUAUUAUUAGCUGUUUGUUGUUGCUAUCGUUUACCCUUUUUAUUAUGUAGAAAAAUCUACAUAUUUUCUUUUUCUUUCAAUUUAAUCCCUUAAUUACCAACCAAUCAAAUUUCAACAAAUUUCUUGCUAAUUCUCCACAAUUUGUCUCUUUUUUACACCUCAACACUUAGAUAUUCUACUCUCAUGAUUUUAUUGAUUUAAAUAACUAUAAUAUUGGUCUUUCUUCACAUCAUCAUUUCAUAAAACAACUAUCACUUUUCAUAAUUCAAUUCAUUUGCUUAACGCUUGAACAUUUUUUUCAUACACAUUUUCCACUGUUAUCCAAAUUUCAUAAAUCAUUCAUACUCCAUUCUUUGUAACACUCUAUCAAUUGUCAAAUUGAUCAUUAUUUUCUUACAUUUUCUUAGUAAUUUCCAUCACUUUUGCAACCCUUGGUAAAUGUCAAAGGAGUUUGUUUCAAUAAGAACAUAUGGUGUUUCAAUAAAUUCUAGAGCUCCAAGCCAAAAGAGGAACUCUCGGCCCAUGUACGAGAACUCUAUUAAACACAUUACAUAUCCCAUUUCACCUCUUCUAGUCCCCUCCGAACUCCCAACCUCUAAUCACACCACACUUUUCAAUAAUUGAUCAUAUUUCAUAUGAGCUCACUAGGGCAUUUAUUUACAUAUCACUUUAUCAUAUUGUUCUCUCUCUUUUCUCUCUCCUUUUUUUCCCCACAUAUUUCGCAUUUCACAUCUCCCACAUCAUUUCAAUAUUCAAUUCAUUUCAAAUACCAGUUCAUAUCACAUACAUGAUAAUAUAUUUCAUUCUUAAAUUCGGCUUUACUGUCAUAAGAAAAUAAUCACAUCACAUUUUCUUUAUUUCAUAAAGUACAUUUUAAAUUAUAUCUAUAUUCUCAGUUUGGUCCAGAAUCAACUAAACUUGUAGCUCUGAUACUAAUAAAAGUAGCAUCAGUACCUGAUUAGGUAACAAAGCCGAACAAGAGAUGUUGCAUAAAAAAAUUCAAAUUUUUUUGUAAUAUUUAAACACUUAGGGUCCGUUUGUUUACAUGUAAAAGGUUUUACGGAAAAUAUUUUCUGCAUUUUCCUGUCUUUGUUAACAGUUUGGUCAACGAAAAAUGACUUACAGGUCAAAGUAAAAUAAGUCAUUUUUCCUAUAAAAUGACUUACCCUUUUGAAAAGCGUAAGUAAUUUUUUGAAAAAAAAAACUCCUCUAUAGAUCAUUUUAUUUUUAUAUAAAAAUUAACUUAAAUCAAACUUAAUAUUAUUACAUUAAUAAGAAUUUUUAUUUUAUUUUUAAAAAUAUUUAAAAUAUUUAAAAUAUUAAUAUAAAAUAUUAUAUUUUUCAGUAUCAUUAAAAUACCUAUUUAAUUAUUUAUAUUUAGUCAUAUAAUAAAUUAUUAAUAUUAUUAAUAUAAUUUAUUAUUUUAAUAAACACUUCAAUUUUAUUUAAUAAUAAAUUUUAAAAAUAAUAAAUUUAAAUAAUAUUCAUCACAUAUUAUUGAAAAUAUUCAAUAUUAAUAUUUUAAUAAUAAAUAUGUAUUAUUCACCAAAAAUAAUAAUAAAUAUUUAUUACAAUUAUAAAUAUAUUAAUAAUAAAUGUUUUGUAGUAUAAAGGUUAAAAUAUGUCAUAAGUCUAUGUAUUUUUCACAAAUUUGUAAUUUAGUCUCUAUACUUUUGUUUUUAAGAAUUUAGUCCCUCUACUUUUCAGAUUUGAAAAUCAAGUCCAAUUGUUGACAUUGUUAAAAUUUUUUUUAUCAAUUUUGUUGAUAUCAUAUUUUUUAAAUAAAAAAUACUCACUUGGUAAUCAUGCAACUAAAAAAAUAAUGUUGUAAUGAACUUGAAUUUAACAAAAUAUUUUUUAUAUAUUCAAAAACAAUGUAAAAUAUAAAAUUAUAGAUAUAAAAUAAACUCAAUUAAACAAUUAAAAGAUAAGAAAAUCUUAAAUGUAUGUUUGUUUCCUUGAAAUUAAAUUUUAUAAAAUAUUUUUAAGAAAUCUAUCAAACACCAUAAAAUAUUAGCUUUUUCAAAAAAGUUAUUUUCUAAAAAUCAUAUUCUGGAAGUCAUUUUCAGUAAAACAAACGGAGCCUUGAUUUAUUAUUAUUAGACUCAAUUUCAAACUUUACAUUUUAUUUUUGUGUCUUUUUUUCGAAAUUGACACAUAUAUCCAUCAUCUGAGCUUAUUCUAUAGCCUUAAAAUUUAAUUUUACUUAUUCACGCUAAUUUAUCACAAUUGGUCAUUUUUAUUCUUAGUGUCUCGAUACAUGCUUCCAAUGUCUUAAGACACAAUGUUCUAUUACUUAUAUAUAAUUGACAAUUUGUAAAUAAUUGUUUUUUUUUAUAAAUAAAAUAUUACAAAGUUUAAUAAACUAUUUUUUCUAAAAUUAGGAUUACGCUUGCAAUUAUAAUUAUUACAUUUAAGAACUGAUUCACUUAUUGUAAUAUAAAACUUACUUUCAUAACUUUUUUAAGAAACAUUUGCUUAACUUUAACUUUUUGUAUUAUAAUAAUAAUAGUUAAGUUAAAUGAAUUAGUCUAUAUAAACAAUGAAAUUGUCACGUAUUAUUCUAUUAAAAUUAUUCCUUUAAACAUAGAUUUUUUUUCCAUUCAGUUUGAUUUGGAUAAAAUGAAUUUCAUGUAAAAGAUUCGAACCAAAUUGAAUUGUAUAAUUUAGGUGAUAACAUCAACCCGAAACCAAACCAAACAAUAUAAAACUUGUAUUCAAAUCAAAUUUUCAAUUAUCUUUGCUCAGUCCUACUUUAUUCCAAUGCAUUGCAAUUUAUCCUUUACACGCAUGGGUGGCCAUUGCUCUUAUUCCCUUUGUAUCAUUAUGCUCUUGGUUGACAAAACAACAAAUAAUACUAUACUUCAUUAUUGUUUAGUCUUCAAGUGGUAGCUCCCAAAAUGGGUUAAAUUGUCCAAUGAAAGCUCCCUAAGGUCCCAAAAGUUAUAUUUAUUUAUUUAUUAGUCUAUUGUGCUUAGCGUAUUUUACGUUUUUUUCAAAUCCCCACCUUACAAACAAGAUUAAUAUAAACAUUUUUGUAUACAUCCAAUUUUAAUUCGGUGUAUUUAUAUAUAUUAAAAUUUAAUUUUAAUUCAAUUUUUAUAUGUUAUUAACCUUAUUAUUUAUGUGCCACAAUUUAUUGUUAAAUCAGGUAUAAAUUACAAAUGUUAAAACUAUUUUUAAUUGAAAAGUAACUUUGACAAUAUUUGAGAAAACAUACAAAAAAAUUCAUUACAACAUUGGAUGUUAUUAAGAAAAUAAGAGUUAUUAUCGAUCUUUUUGAUGACGAGUGAUCGGUCACCUAAUAUAAAUUACCUUUUAAAAAAGAAAUUUUUUGAAGUUCUUUUAAAAAGAUAAAUUUUGGAUCUGUGUUAAAAAAUCAGAGUAAAACGAAUUUAGGUUCGGGAGUCGACUACAUAUGAAGAAAGUAUUAGCAUCCUCACAACUCCCAAAAAUUGGUAACUUGUCUAAUACAUGUUGUUUUCAAAUUGAGAAAAUUAUACGUUAAGUUCAAUAUUUAAACAUGAUCUCGUACAAAGUUGACAUGGAUAUAAAUUUAUGUAAUUGAAUGAAUUUAAUUUUAGAAGUAGAUAUUUUGUUAAAUGUGACAUUUUUAUUAUAAAAUAAAAUAUAUAUUCACUCAUGUUUGAAAAGAGUAUUUUAACGAUAUGGUAUCUAAUAAUUUUGACAACACAUCCUCAUUAAUUUUCUAAUGCAAAAGCAAAAAAACAAACAAACAAAUGAAAUCAUGGUUAAAUGCACACAUGUUGAACCACGUUUGAAUCAACAUUGUGAGAUCAGACUAGAUUUUAAUGGUUAUGUACGCAUGAAUUAUACAAAGAUGUAUAUGUAUAGACUAAACUCAAGGUAAAGUGGGAAAGUAGCCACAAAAUAUAUAAAAAAGAUAAUGAAAUGAAAGUUGUAGCAACUAAGUAAUUUUCUCACAUAUUAUACAAAUAAUUUGUGGAUGCGUCUCAUAUUCUUGUCCUAGUUAAAUUUUGAUUAUUCUAGGUAUAUUUUAGUAUGAUUGGAACUCUAACUUUAGCCUAUUUAAAGGCGUAUUGUAUCAUUGUUUUGAGAUGCCAAUUAGAAAAAAGACUUUUCUUUGGGGAGCGACAAGAUGUAGUUGCAUAUGAGUUUUGAUGAGAGUUUCAUGGUAAUCAUGUACAGUAUUUUAUAUUCCUUUUAUGAGUGUCCUAUGAGAUUUAGGGUUUGCUCUUUGAGAUUUUGAAAUUUGUAUUCAGGGUUUUUGGGUAAAUUAACUUUCCCUCUUUGAGGGUUUUCCUAGUAAAAUAUUUGUAUUCAUUUUUCUCCACUUUUAUUAUCUUGUUGUUUAUAGGGGUCCAUCCCUAAUAUAAUUAAUUAUAACAUGACAGCAGUGUGAAUUGCACGAGCAAAUUAUGACACAUGCAGCAACCAAGCAUUGAAAUUUCUCAAAGAUAUCAAACAACUAAGCUACCGUGCUAAAAGUAUAUAAAAGGUAAAUGAUUAACUCAAGGAAUUUGUUUACCAAUAAACUGAUCACUUUGAGUUGCUCCCGGUUCUCCUUCUAGAACUAAGCUACACAGACAGAAGGGUUCGUCUCCCUCACGUCAUCAACGCUCGAAAGUCUAAGGCCAUCUUGCUUUGCCAUUCAAAGUCGACACAACCAGCGAAUGAGCAUAUCUUCUUGUUCUUCUAUAUCUUAAUGGUUGGGUUAAAGGGAAUGACUUGUAUCGAGAGCGGCAGCAAGUCUUCGGUUGGGAGGAUGAGUAUGGAUUUGAUGAAUGGUGGUGUCAGUUGGAGAUAUAAGGUGAGAGAGAUGGCUAAAAUAGUUCAACAAACCGCUGCUAAAAUAUUCGAAAACAACUGUACAACAUUUUGAUUGUUCAAAAUGAUUUUAGCUUUGAAUAAUCUAACUUUUGAGUAGCUUUUAACUUUAGAAUGAGGAUAUAAUCCUUCAAAUAAAAUAUGUGAAAUUAUUCACAUAAGAAUUUGAUCAGACUCAUUUGUUGUACAUUCGACUCUCAUCAGAGUCCUAGUCAUGUUUCCAAGGGAUGGUCUAACUUGAAAGCAAAUGGCUUUCUUAAAGUUGUGCCUAUCAAUGUGAAAUUAAUUAGGAGAAUAUCACUUGAGGCUUUUUUAUUACCACAUAAAUAUUUUACAAUAUCAACUAUGGACGAUGGUGAUGCGGUUAUGGAAUAGAAUUAUACUAUUUGAAUUUUGAUUAGCCAUUCACUUUUAAAGGAAAUAAUGGUUAAACGAAAUUGAUUCUGAACAAAGGUAUCUGAUCAAAAGCUAGCAAACUAGGGAACAGUGUUAAACAGAAAAGAACAAAAGCAAUUCAAUAUUGUAUGAUAAUGCACUACAGCAAAACAGGUUUUUAGCGGCGUUUUUUGGGGCCUUUAGCGGCGCUUUUUGCCGCCACUAAAGAUAUUUGCGGCGCUUUCAAAAAAGGCCGCUAACAAAAACGUCGCUAACGUUUGCAGCGUUUACAACUAAAAACGCCGUUAAAGAACAUGAUCUUUAGCGGCAUUUUUCCUUUCUUUAGCGGCGCUUAAGGAAAAAUGCCGCUAAAGAACAUGUUCUUUAGCGACGCUUUUUCUUUGAGCGCCGCUAAAGAACUUUUUUACAAAAACACCACUAUUUUUGGGAUUUUUUUAUAUUGAAAUUUUCAUUUCUUCUGCCCUCCUGUAGCAAAAAAUAAAAAACAACCAAAUCUAAACCAGCCAAAAGCAAUAAAUUUAUAUAAUAUUUCAAAUUAAACGAAUAAAAUAAUAUUAAUAUCAAUAAAUAAAAGUGAAUUCAUAUUAUUUUUGCAAAAGUGUUAAAAGUUAAAAUGAUAAAAAUAUUAAUGCAAUACACUAUGACGGCGGAAGAUGCGACUGAAACAUCUUCAUCAUACUCUGAAGCUGCUGCUGGAGUUCGUCGUACUUUCUGCUCUGCUCUGCUUCUCUCGCUGCAGCCUCUGCUUUAAGUUUUAGCUGCAGUUCAUAUUUCUUUUGAACAUCUGCUUCUCUCGCUGCAGCCUCUGCUUCCCUCGCUGCCGCAUCUGCUUUAAGUUGUAGCUGGAGUUCUUCAUAUUUCCUUUGAACCUCAGCUGUGGUCGCUUGCAUCUGAGUCAUCUGAUCUUUUAACCUCUGAACUUCAGCUUGAGCCUGACUCCCCGAAGCCAUGUAUUGCUGCGAACUGAAUCCAAAAUAUUAGGUUGGGCUAACAAAAGAUCCUUGAAAUCGAACCCGACCAUACCUUUCAGGACCCAAAACUUCAGUAAUAAUCCGGUUAUCAAUGUCUUCAAGAUGAACAGAACUAUCACUAGAAGCAAUCGCUUCGUACUCUGCCUUUUUAUCCUUUAGUUUUUCCUAAUAAAUAAAUCGCAUAGUUAGGAACGCAAUAUAUAUUAAAAAACAUAUGCAACAUAACAUUAGCCGCAUUACAAGCAAUGAAUUAAACCAUUAGAAAAUAAACACUAUAAAUAACUAAAACAAGUCAAAUCGUAUUAAGUAAACAUACCAUUAUUUCACCGGCUUCAGGAGUCAUGGGAGAUCCAUCUUUCUUCCUAUGUGUAAUUUCAAAAAGUUGAAGUCGUCCAACUUUUUGACCGGACGACAGUUCCUACAAUAUAGUAGUAAAAAUAUUAUUUAAUGGAAAGUUAUACAUAUUUGACAAUAUUAAAAAAUUAAAAAUACCUCCGCCUCAGCUACACAUGCAAAACUUCUCGACCCGGCUGUGUGAGUGAAUUUUUGUUUCUGCCUGCUGCUUUUUCCAACUUGUUCACGAUCCUACGUUAUGAAAUUUUUAGUACGUAAAUAGUAAAUACUAUAAACCAAAAUAAUUACAAUAGUUUGGAAGUACGUCAUACCUCGCAUUUUUUCGAAUGCCAAAAUCUAACCGCAUCUUCCCAUUGGUACCUCAACAUACCCGGCGGGACAUUUUGCAAUUUCUCAUCGAGGGUUGUUUUUGUCUUGUAAUAAUUUUUCUUCAAAGUACUUUUAUUGUCUCUCCAUCUUUUUCUCAAUGCCUUCUUUACAUAAGCAUCCGAGACCUCUAAAGCAAACCUCGCCUACAAAAAACACAAGUUAAUAAAGUAAAUAUAAAUGAAACUAUUUCCCAAGCAUUACAGAUGACAUUAACAUUUUGUUACCUUAAUAUUAUCGAGGGCUUGGUUUUUGUUGCUAUCGGGCAUUUGAUGCCAUGACUCGUAGUUGAUAGGCAACAUAUUUGCAUUUCGUGCUAAAAUGCCCAUGUAUCCUGCUAAAAGUCGAGCUUCUGAUCCAACAGGCUGACCAAAACUAUUUCGUCCAACUUUGACACGCUCGACUGGAUCUAACUCGUAUAACUCUCUAAGUAGCGUACGUCCUCGACCUCUGCGCGUCCCACCAUUUUCAGCUACAAAUGGUAUAUUAUAAUAUAAGAAUUUGAAAAAUGAAUCAAUUAUAAGUCAACACGCAUGUAAAUUAAAUGUAAAAUUACUUUGAACUUCUGUAGGAUCCUUAGGUGUAAUCGGAACAUUCGAAGAUCCAAUUGCUGUCUGUUGUUCAGUACUAUUUAUUUCUGUCGAGUUUGGAUCAUUUUGAACAAUGCUUCCCCUUAGAAUUUUUCUUCUAGGCAUUUUAUCUGCAAUACACAUAAAAUAGUUGAAAACUUAAUAACUAAUUACAACAAUAACAACACAUAUAAAAUAGUUGAAAUAUAAUAAGACCAAGAUUUAAAUUAUGAUAUUACAUAUAAUUAAACAAUCGUAAAAUCUUACUACAUCAUUAUUCGUAGAUAUCUUCAUCCGUAUCCUGACGAACCCAUUGAAAUUGUGCACAGUACUAGGGAUAUUAUCGUUUAAGUUUUGUUCUGGAAAGGGCAAAGUUUCUGAUCUGUCAUCGAUGUUAUCUCUACUUCCACUGCCCAUGUCAAACAAGUCUCUAGGGAUGUUACGGAGUACAACGUACCAACCCUCAUCAGUUGGAUCUUUUGAGUAAAAAAUUUGUUUGACUUGAGAUGAGAAUACAUACGGCUCAUCUAUCAGUUGUUGUCCUGUGUGAAUCAAUCGGUCAAAGUUCACCAUUGUAAAACCAAAUUGAUCUUGCUUUAUUCCACGAGCAAUAUUAACAUCGGCCCAGUCACCUCGAAAUAAGACAACUUUCCAUUUGCCGUAGUAAUCCAACUCAAUUAUGUCAGUAAGAUGUCCGAAAUAUUCCACAUUUCCCUCGACAGGAUUAUUGUCCCUAGCACUAGCAUAACUUGUAAUUGCAGAAUUAACAACUAUUCCAGAAUUUUGCGUUCUCCUCAACCUCUUAUGAUAUUUUGUAUGAAACCUAAAUCCGUUGAUGAGGAACGCACUAUAUCUUUCAACCACUCGAUUAAGUAGCGCGUAGAACUUCGCUGCUUCUUCAUUCGGCUCUUCAUGAGGUAUACUACUUCCCGGUUCGGUAAAAGUAUUUCUCUCAAUAUUACAAUCAUCAGAAGCCACAAAGUCCGCUGGGAACGACUGGACACCAUGAUUGUGCAUAUUAAAUGCAUCCCGCAACAUACCUUCCAUGUCAUCCCCUCUAUCAGACUGAUGGUAAGCAGUACCAGAAUAAGAUACAUCCAUCGUUGAAGAGGAAGUACUAUGCGGGCAUUCUCCAUGAAAUAACCAUUGUUUAUAACCCCGAACAAACCCAUCAACAAUUAGAUACUCGUAUACAACCUCACGAUAAUGCCAGUUUAUGUUGACACACUUCUUACAGGGGUAAAGAAUCAUGUUCUCUUGGCUUGCAUAUUGAAAUGCAAAAUUUAGAAAAUACUGUACUCCAUUUCGAUUACCGUUGCUAACCCUUGACAAAUUCAUCCAAGACCGGUCCAUUUCUUAAUUCUUGAAGUCUGACGUUGACAAUAAUUUGCACGGGUAAGUUAUUUAAUUUAUGUAAGUUAUGUAAGUUAUUUAAUUUAUGUAGGUUAUGUAAGUCCAUGAAAUUUAUGUAAGUUGUGUAAGUUAUUUAAUUUAUGUAAGUUAUGUAAGUUAUUUAAUUUAUGUAGGUUAUGUAAGUUAUGUAUGUUAUUUAUUUUAUGCAAGUUUAUGUAAGUUAUUUAAUUUAUGUAAGUUAUGCAAGCUUAUAUACAAGUUAUGUAUUAUAACAUAAAGUAUUAUGUUAUUAUAUAUAAGUUAUGUAAAUUAUUAUGUAAGUUAUGCAAGCUUAAAUAUAAGUUAUGUAUUAUAUAAGUUUUGUAAGAUAUGUAAGUGGUGUAUUAUGUAACUUAUGUAGAAAACUUAUAAAAUUAAUACACAUAAAUUUUAUUUCUCCCAAAUUUAGAACACUUAUUUAGAAAACGAAGUAAAUUUAAUACUAAUAAAUUUUAAUACAAAUAAAUUUAGAAAACUUAUUUAGAAAACUUAUAAAUUUAGAAAACUUAUAUAGAUAUUAAAACAAUAUUUACAAUUAUUUAGAAAACUUACAAAUUUUAUAGUAAUAAGUUUUAAAUAUAGGUUAUAUACCCAUACCAUAUAUGGGGUGAUAUAUUAAAAAUAUUGGUUUUAAUAGAUAUUAAAUUAUCAUUUACAAAUCUUUUUUAAUUUUAAAAUGUUAUUAUUACAAAAAAUGAAAUAUAGGUUAAAAUGCCCAUAUUAAUAUAUGUAAUAUAUAAAAAGAAUAUAAAUUUAAAUAUUUACGAUAUAAUAUUUCUGUCCAAUAUUUUAAUAUUUACGAUAUAGUUUAUUAAUUUAGAAGUGAAAUUGAUAACUUAGUUACAUACUUUGCCAAAAUCAAUAAAUUUUUCAUAUUAAACCGAAUAAACUAAUCGCCCAUAAUUUAUUCAAAUACUCUUUACGUAAGUCCUUUAAGAAUUGGGAUAAUCCGAAAUUUAGUAAACUCUGACGAUUGUUUUUAUUUGCGUAAACAGUUCGUCAACAUAUAUCAAAUCAUAAUUUAAACAUCGCAAUUAUGUAAUCAGGUAGCUGCAAAGUUAUAAGUAAACAGAUGCAUAUAGGUUAAAAACCAAAAACCUUAAUUAAAACUCCCUUUUAAAACUAAAAAAUAAUAAGUAAUCUAUUAAGCUAAAAUAUAUCCAGGUCAGAAAUUUAAACAUUUGGAUGUGUUUUUGUAAGAAAAGUAUAUAGUGAAACAUAGGAAUAAAUACCUCAAAUUUCCUCAAAGUUGCAUAAACUUCUGCAAAAAAUAACAAAACACAACUAACUAAGUACCAAAAAAAUAAGAAAGAAGUAAACAGAAGAUUAUUUAAGUACAUUUAGAUUCAAAUCAACUUAAUAUAAAUUAAAUCAAAAUCUUAAAUUGAUAAACUAACUUAGUACCAAAAAACAGGAAAAAAUACAACAGAAGUAAGCAGAAGAUUAUUUAACUACAUUUAUAUUCAAAUCAAUGUAUCAAUUUUAAUUAUCACAACAAUAAACUUAAUAAUAAUUGAUAAAGCAACAAUCAACUUAAUAUAAAUUAAAUCAGAAACUUAAAUUAAACAAAUAUGAUAAAGUAACAGUUACAGGAAGCACAGUUACAGGAAUUUUACAGAGAAAAUAAUCGAAUUUCAUUUGAAGCCACUAAAUAUUCCAGAGAAAAAGGAAUUUUACAGAGGUUUAAAAUUUAACAUAUGAAUAUUUCUUCAAACCUAUUAAAGAAAUGAACGCUUACCCAUGGCAAUAUUUGCAUUUUGUGAUGAAGGACCAUAAAUAACUAGUGUCUUAUCCAUGAUGAUAUUAUCAAAAUAUCAUACUAAACUUGGAACAUGCUACAUGAAACUCUGUAGACUUCACUUGAUUAAAAUCAAACAACAUUCAGAUUAAGUCAACCAAACUCAACCCAAUCUAAUUUGAUUAUGAAAAGCCAAAACCCCAAAAAUAACUCAAAUCCAAAAUGGCCAAAACUCAAAAUAACUUAAAACCCGAAAUGAGCUAAACAACUAAUCCAAAAUGACCUAAACCUGAGACGACCUAAUCUGAAAAAACCAACUAGCAGAACUAAAUAAUCCGAGCAGAAAAUGACCCAAACCGAAAUAACCUACACUUAAUUUAAAUAUAAGACCCAAAUAUAAUUCUUUUCAAAUAGACCCAAAAUUUAAAAUUUCACAUAUGUAAUAACUCUUAAUUUGUUUCAGUAAUAUUCUAUUUCCCCUGAAAUGAAUGCAUAUAAAAUUAACAAAUGUAAUAAACAAAUUAAGAGCACGUUUGGUUCGCUGUAUUGGAUUAGAGGUGUAUUAGAUUAGAGGUGUAAUGGAAUAGAGGUGUAAUAGCAAAUCAACUGUUUGGUUGAAUGUAAUGGAAUAGAGGCGUAAUAGUAAAACUGUGUUUGGUUGAAUGUAAUAGAGGUGUAAUAGCAUAAUGGAGAAAACUAAAAUGACCAGAAUACCCUUAGCAUAAAUUUGUUUUGGUAAAUGAUUAUUGUUAUUGUUAUUUAAAUUUUAAUAAGAUUAUUUAUUAUCAAAAAUAAAUAAUUUAAUCAUAUUUAAACAUAAUUAUUAUUUAAUAUAUUUUAAUUAAAAUAUAUAAUUUAAUAAAAUUCUUAAUAAUUAGCAGAAAUUUGUUUUGGUAAAUUAUUUUAUUUAAAUUUUAAUAAGAUUAUUAAUAUCAAUAAUAAAUAAUUUAAUCAUAUUUAAACAUAAUUAUUAUUAAAUAUAUUUUAAUUAAAAUAUAUAAUUUAAUAAAAUUCUCAAUAAUUAAUAUUCUUAUAUGAAUUUACUCAAACCAUAAUAUAUGAUACUGUAAAAUAUAAAAUAACAUAAUUAUUAUUAAAUAUAAUAUAAUUAAAAUAUAUAAUUUAAUAAAAUUCUUAAUAAUUAAUAUUCUUAUAUGAAUUUACUCAAAUCAUAAUAUAUGAUACUAUAAAAUAAAAUUUUAAAUAAUUAAUAUUAAAUAUAUUUUAAUUUAAAUAUAUGAUUUAAUAAAAUUUAAAAUAAUUAUAACUAAUAAAUUAUAUUUUAUGAAUUUGUAUAAUUUAAAAUAAUAAUUAUUACAUAUAAUUUAAUAAUAAUAUAAAAUUUCAUAAAAUUCUUGAUAAUAAAUUUUCUUAUAUGAAUUUAUACAAUUUAAAAUAAUGCCAAUGCCAACACUACCACAUUUGGGUUCAAAUUAUACUCAUAGUAAGCUCAAACUUUUAUUGAUGCCAAUGCCAACACUACCAAAACCUUUUGGACAAUUAUUUCGAAGAUUUAAACCAACAAAAAGAAAAUCAAUAAGUAAUAAAACCAUAGAAAAUAAAAGAAAAAAUUUGCCUUUGAAGCACAUUCAAUUGUGCACUUGGUUCUCUUUGAUAUCUCCAUGAUUUCUUCAUCUUUAUUCAUAAUAUCAAACAUAGGCAAACAAAACGAUAAUUGUAACCCCCUACCCCUACCAACAUUUUAUUGUAAGUAUAACUAACACAGGAUAACUAGUUGGCCUCUUAAAACAGUCAAAGACCAGACCCCAAACCAAACCAAACUGCUAAACAACAAAGCAGACAUCAUUAAAAAGACCCCAUCCCCAGAUUGCAUCAUUUUCAAUUCUUAGAAAUGAGGAGCAUAGAGCUGGAGAACCUUCUGCUAGGACGGUCUGCUGCUAAUAUCAUCCCACCAAGCACUCACAUGCUUCCUGCUGGUUGUCAUGUAUUAGGGAUCACUUCCAGAACCCUGUUUUCCCUUAGCAACAUUUGCAAACUCACAAGCUCCAGACAACAAGGGACUGGAGAUGUUACCGUUAGCAUACUACACGUGUGAUUGCAAAUUUAUGAACAUUCAACUACAAAAGUCCAGAACCUACCAAAAUUUCUAAGCCAAUACCUCAGAAUCGAUUUGCUGAAUAUUGGGGAAAAUUUGUUUCAGGGUAGCAUUGUAGUUAGGAGACUGCGCUUGCAAUAAAACAGUACAGUUGAUCACAUAUGAGAAAGGUUAGGAGAGAAGAAUGACUACUAGGCCAGUAUAGAAGAUUGAGAAAUGUCAAACGAUAAUCACCAAUUGUGCUAAUAACUCUAUAGCUAAAAUGAAUGCAAUAUGCCAAGGGGAGGAUGAUGAUAUAGACUUAACUGAACUUAGCCUAGGAAGGUAGAAAACUACUUUAGAUGGAUGCCACUACUUUGGUGAUCAUAUAUUUAAUCACCUAUAGCUAGAUUCAGAUCAUCCAUAAUUUCAACUAUCAAACCAUCACAUUAUGCGCAGAUGAAAGUGACACAGCUUAAUACUAGCUUGAGAAGCUGGUUCAUUCAUUAUUUGCAAAUUACUCAGAAGUGGUUCAAUAGUUUAGUUUAUAUAUAGAUACGAGUCUCCACAGCAUAAACAAGAAUAAUACCUAAAGUUGAAAUGCAAAUCUUAGCACAAACUCUUGGCCAACAGAUCAAGAAAACAUUUAACAAAAAAGUACCUGCUUUAUUAGGCAAACAAAGACGAGAAAAACACAUUGCAAUGUUGGAAUUGAAAGGAGAAAUGAAACAAACAUUGAGAUUUCGAAAAAGUACUUUACUCCAGAGGUGUCAAGCAAAUAUACCAAAAAAAAUAUAAGCCAGAAAGUUUAGAAGAUAAUACUCAAGAGGUUUAUAUAAAAGUUAACAAGUGGAAAAAAACAGAAGGAUUAAAAUCAUACCUGAUGCCCCUACUACUACCUCCCCAAUCACAAUAGCUUACAAUUAGCUUUUUAAGUUGCUAAACUCCUCGCAACUUAGCAUUUCAACUACACAAAUUCACAAUGUAACCUACUAAUUACAACUUCGACCUACUACAAAUACUCAACACCUCCUACAACUUAGCAUUUCAACUACACAAAUACUCAACACCUCCUACAACUUAGCAUUUCAACUACACAAAUUCACAAUGUAACCUACUAAUUACAACUUCGACCUACAAAUUUAUAUUCUACAACAAACAAAAAUCCCGCUUCUAAUCAACUAUCCUUAAUGUAACAUAUAAUGAGGAAAAAGAAAACAAUAUUUCAAAGAUUCUAUCACAGGAAAAAAAAUCAAAUCAAAACAGAAAAUUUGAAUAGCAUACAUAUAAAUGGUCUUCUAAAAUUGACCAAGAAAAAAGAAAACAACAACAUUUUCAAACCCAAUAACUUGAACCCAAAAUCACCCCCCAAACAAUAGUUUACAUGCAAAGAGAUUAUAAAUAACAGCAGAAAAACAUAGAUCUAGUAAAAAGAGACUCGAAUUAGAAAAAAAUUAUAAAGAAAGAAAAAUAGAACAGAGAAAUCAACAGGCAAGAAUGCAAAUAAAUGGGAAAAAAUAAUAGGCAAAAUAUGAGAAUUUUACCUGACAAAUGAAAUCGAUUCUCAGAGAAGACGAUGAGUGUCUAGACACGAAUGAAAAGCAUCCAACUUAUAUGAUAUUCCCGAUUAGAAGUGUUUCGAAAUUCGACAAAGAUAAAUAAAAUCAAAAUCAAAAUCGAUUCUACAGAAAAGAAAAGAAAAGAAAAACAGGGAAAAAUUUGGAAGAAGAAGCAGAAAUAUGGAGAAAAGAAAAUGGAGAAAAGAAAAGAAAUGUGAGAAGAAAAGAAGCGUACCGUACCAGAAGAAGAAGUAGAAAUCUGGAAAGGAAAAAAUUGAGAAACGUCGGAAGAGGAUGAGGGAUAAGAAAUUACCUGUGCAAGGAAGCGUGGGAGAAUCGGAGCGUUGAGGACGAGGGCAGACAACGGAAGAGAAAAAAGGGAAAGACGCGGAAUGGUUAAUCGGCGCUGAGGGAGCGUAAUGCCUAUUACCCGCAGUCAAUGUAAUGGGGGAGUAACUGAUUCGGCGCGGAAUGAGAAAACAGUGAACCAAACGCCGGAAUAGGUCGGUAAUGUAAUAGGCGCGUAAUCGGGGAGUAAUGGUAUACCUAUUACAGCGAACCAAACACGCUGUAAGAGUUAUUACAUUUGUAUGAUAAUAUCAUCAUUUAAAAUUAACAAAGUGCUAAAUGGUUAAAUCAAAUUUAUAUUUGUUUAUAGUACUAAACUUGAAAUUUAACAUAUGUAAUAACUCUUAAUUUGUUUCAGUGAUACUCCAUUUCCCCUGAAAUGAGAUAAAUGCAUAUAAGACCCAAAUAUAAUACUUUUCAAAUAGACCCAAAAUUUAAAAUUUAACAUAUGUAAUAACUCUUAAUUUGUUUCAGUAAUACUCCAUUUCCCCUAAAAUGAAUGCUUGAAAAACUCCAUCGGCAACGAAAUUAAAGAAAUUAAAUUGGAUGCUUGCAUAAUAUUUUCUGCAAAUAGCAACUCCCAAGAUAAAAUUCUUUUAACUCAGGCUUUCUAUCCAUAUAUAACCAUUGAAAGAAUUAACAGAAUUGAUUUCAUGGUAAAUACCAGCGAAAUAAACAAAUAAUUCACACCAUAGUUACAUAUAUAAUCGAAACCCUAAAAACCCAAUAUUUCUUCCCACAACCGAAUAAAAUCAGCAAUGCAGGUUAUCAAUCUCUAUACGACUGAACAACUUCAUAAAACCAAAUAAACCUAUAUAACCCGAAGCCUAAAGACACAAAAACAGUAACUGGAAGCAACGGGUAAAACCUUACCCAAAAAACUAAAUGUCCUCGACGCUGUCUUUGGAGUAAAUGUUGCGAAGCCUCCAAAUGAAAUGAUCCGGGUAAGGUAACCGAUGAAAUGAUGAAUCGAAAGAACAAUACCAAUGCAGGGGAUUAGGGAUUAGGAAAAAAAGCUGAAGGGGAUUUAGGGAUUUCGAUGGAGGGCAAAGAAUUUUUCAGAAAUUAGGGGCUAGGUGCGGGAAAAGAAUGGGGAAAACUGCUAACCUAAGCAAAACGACAUCGUCUUUGUUAAGAAUUUUUAAGUCCCAGAAAUGAAACGGCGACGUUCAGGGGAAUUUCUAAUAUGCUAUUGAGGCGAUUUUAGCCAAAACGCCACUAAAUCUAAUAAAAUUGCGGGGAUUCUGACAAAAACGCCACUCCAAAUUUAAUAUCAAUUAAGAAAACGAUGCCGCUUUCGUUCAAGUUUUGAUAAAUUUUUGCGGCGUUUUAAAAUAAAAACGCCGCUAUUUCAUGCCUUCUACGGCGUUUUCGAUAGAAACGCCACUAAAAACAAAUUCCCUCUAACCAAACGGCGCCAUUUUCUAUAAUUUCUAGUACAUUGUUGCGGCGUUUUUGCUGCAAACGCCACUACUUUUAAAAGUUUUCAAUUACUUAAUAAUUUUAUAAAAUUUACAUUUGAUACAUUAAUAUGCCAUUAUUUUUAAUUGUUAAAUUUUUACAAAUUGAAAUAUUGUUCGAUUUUAAAUUUGAAUUGUGAUGGAAGGCAUUUUAUCUGCUAUUAAAAAUUAAUUUAAUUUCGGUAUCUAAAAAUUUAUAUAAUUCUAUUAUUUAGAAAAUUUAAAUUUUAAAUAAUUCUAUUUAAAUUUUGUUACUUAAAAUUUCAGUAUCUAAAUCCUAUAAACCAUUAUAACCCUUAUAUCCUACAAAACCAUAUACAGUAGACGUACGACCCUAGAUCACAUACCCUAAACAUUAAACUGUAGACCCCUAAACCUAAGCCCCAACCCUUAAACCAUAAACCACAAAUUAACUAUAAUGCCUAAACCCUUAACCCAUAUCCCCUAAACAUAUUGAAUCGUAAAAUAUUAACUAUAAACCCUUAAACCCAUGACCCAUAACCCCUAACUCCUAACCCUAAACCCAUGAACCCUUAACCCCAACCCUUAAACCAUAAUCCAUAAGCCUCUAACCCACAUCUCUUAAACCUUGAAUCGUAGAACAUAAAUAUAUAAACUAUAAACCCCUAAAUCCAAAACUUAUAAAUCAUAAACCCCUAACUCGUAACCUUUAACCCAUAUCCCCUAAACAUAUUGAAUCAUAAAACAUUAACUAUAAACCCCUAACCCCAACCCUUAACCCUUAACCCUAAACCCCUAAACCCUUAACCCCAAUCCUUAAACCAUAUCCAUAAACCCCUAACCCAUAUCCCUUAAACCCUAAAUUAAAGAACAUAUAUAAAUUAUAAACCCUAAACUCUGAUUCAUAGCAUAUAUAUAAACUAUAAAGUGUAAACCCCAUCCAUUAAAAAAUAAACAAUAAACAUAACCCCUAAACUGAUAAUACCUCUAAAGUUCAAAAACAAAAGAUAAACUUUUUGCGGCGUUUUAAACAAAAGCGCCAGUAUUGGUUGACUAUUUCGGCAUUUCUAUAAAAGCACCACCAAUUUUUGAGAAGCUGAACAUGGAAACGGCGUCGUCUCACUUAACUCUUUUGCGGCGCUUUCCGAGAAAACGCCACUAAUUCCUGACUAUUGCGGCGUUUACUAUUUUGCGCCACUAAAGUCUCUAAAAGCUAUAUAAAAACGACAUCAUUUCCUUAACAGUUUACGGCGUUUUUAAACUAGCGCCACUAAAGGCCCUAAAUGCUAAAUAAUAAACGACAUCGUUUGCUUAAUAGUCUUGCGGCGCUUAUGUUAAAGCGCCGCUAAUUCUUCACAGUUUGCGGCGUUUCUACGAAAGCGCCACCAAUGUCACAAAAGCUCAACAAGCAAACAGCGUCGUUUGGCUUAACUCCUUUGCGGCGCUUUUCAGAAAUCGCUGCUAAUUCCUAUAUUUGGUGGCAUUUUUAGACAAGCGCCACUAAAGUCUAUAAAACCUAAAUUGAAAACGACAUCAUUUUCUUAACAGUUUUGCAGCACUUCUGAUAAAGCGCCACUAAAGCUUCGCUACUACGACGUUUUCUGAAAAUCGCCUCUAACGUCUCGAAAAGAUAAAUGAAAAACGGUAACGUUUUCUUAACAGUCUUGCGGCGCUUAUGAUAAAGCGCCGCUAAUUCUUGACUAUAGCGGCGUUUUUCAUUAAGCGCCACUAAAGUCCUCAAAACCUAAACUGAAAACGGCAGCGUUUUUCUUAACAGUUUUUCCGACGUUUAUGACCAAACGCCGAUAAUUCUUGCAUAUUGCGGUGUUUCUAAGAAAGGGCCACAAAUGUUUAAAAGCUUAACAGGAAAACGGCAUCGUUGAACUGAACUCAUUCGCGGCACUUCCUAGAAGCGCCGUUUAUUCCUGUCUUCUGCGGUGUUUUUUUAAAAUCGCCACUAAUAUCUCUAAAUCCAAACAAAAAACGGCAUCAUUCGCUUAGCUCUUUUACGGCGCUUUUAGGAAAGCGCCGCUAUUGAUGAAAUUUUGUGGCGUUUAUUUUAGUUCGCCGCUAAUGCUAUAUUUUUUGUAGCGUUUUUUGAUUAAACGCCGCUAUAAACACCGCUAAUAACCGAUUUUGGUGUAGUGAUAGCAGCUAAAGGAGGGCUCUGUCAAGAUCAAUUCUUUCCAUUUCUAUUACAUAAUUCGUUGGUUUCUCAUUCAGAAAUAUCUAUUUGAUCUUUGUCGAUAAUCAAUUUUGAGUAGAACGGUACACUUCGGGUAGCACCUCAAAGUUAUCACUCGGCUUGAUUUUCUUGAAAGAAGAAACGAUCCCGCAUCGAUGUUAUGUAUAAAGAGCCCACUAUUUAAAUAAUAGGUUAAGAGGCUACUCGCUCACUGAGUGGGGUAGCGCCUGCUUUUAAUCCAAGCGGAGGCAUUAAGGUGAAUGGACAUGUGUCUUGUGCGAAAGCUUGGGUCUUGUGGCCUCCUAGAGAGGAAGGCAUUGCGUGAGGCUGGUUUUCACAUGUUUUUUAGUUUUCCCAACUAAGAGAAGAAAAAACUGAACAAGAGAAAAAAAGUCAAAAUGUCAAAAAAUCGUAAUGAAAAGUAUCCAUUGUCUAAUGGAUAGGACAAGGUCUUCUAAACCUUUGGUAUAGGUUCAAGUUCUAUUGGACGCAAUUUAGUAUUGAUUUCUCUAUAUGCCAUCAAGUUAGAAUUUUUUAUUUAUAAUUGUUCUUGAAGUUGAAAAUGUUCUAUUGGACGCAAUUUAGUAUUGAUUUCUUUAUAUUCCAUCAAGUUAGAAUUUUCUAUUUAUAAUUGUUCUUGAAGUUGAAGAUGUUCUAUUUGGUCUUCAAACGUCUUCCAAAAGCGUUUCCACUUCCUUAGUGAAUGUCUUGGUAGAAGAUAUGAUUUCUUGGAACUGAGGUUUAUUCGUUUUUAAGUAAGUACGUAACUCAAUGAGAAAUUUCCUUACUUGUACAUGUGAUACCCAAUUAUUGCCCGGGGCUCAAAUAAAAUACAACCAAACCCAAUAAAGCUUGGGUCAAUCCUAACCCAAUUACAAGGCUCAAUUGGCCUAAGGUAACAGAAACCCUAAGCAGGAGAUAGCCUUGGCGCCGCACGUCCCCACGUUGCAGCAACUGCCCAUCACCCACGUCGCUUUACCCACGAUCAGCAGCUCCGCAUAACGCCGAUUUCACCUGCAAACCACGGAUAGCAAUAUAACAAAAAUGUAAAAGAAGGGAUUUUGUCCUUUAUUUUAGGCUAUAUAAAGCCAAAUAGAGAUCGGAAAAAGGGUACGAAAUUUGUAUCACAAAAAAAAAACCAUUGAAAAUACAAAGGGAGAGAAUCAAAUAGAUUUUAAAGGUUAUUUUGCUUUUUCCUUUCUUCAUUUUUCUCCAUAUUGUUUAUGUUGACACCAUUUUUUUGAUGAAAACGGGGUCGACUUGGAUUUUAAAAAUGAAAACGGGAGUCGCCACCAAUCCUUUUUAAUGAGGUGUGAUUGGAUCACCUUGAAAAAUGGUUGUUUUUAAUAAACAAUUUAAUUUUAUUAAAACAACGAGUUUGGUCCACGAAAUUCAGAAAAACUGGUUCGAGAGUCGGUUACGUACGAGGAAGGAUUAGCACCCUCGUAACGCCCAAAAUUGGUACCUAGUCGAUUAGUUAAUGUCUUAAUGUCGAAAAUUAAAAACUUUGAAGAAUUUUUAAAAAUAAGAUCAUUGUAUUAAGAUGUUGAAAAUUUCGAGAAAAGUGGGUAUUUUUCACGUUAAUCGAGAAAAAGAAUCAUGUCCAGUAAGUUAGGACACGAUGUCUCGAAUUCCCGAAACGCGAAUGAAUACUAAAAAUUUGCUUAUUUAAAAGGUAUUUAGCUAUCUCGGACUUAAAAAAAGGAUCACGGCCAGUAAGUUAGGACACGAUCUUUUUUAAUUCCCCAGAUCGUUUAAAACUUGAGUUUGAAAAGAAUUGUGCAUUUAGAUGUAUUGUGAAAAUUAAAACCCAGUAAGUUAGGGUACGAUCUUCUCGAAUCUAAACACAAAAUGCUAUUUAUUUAAAACAAAUUUUGAUAUAUCGGGUAAAAUAAAACGCGAAAUCGUAGUAAAGAAUGUGAAAACAAAUUACAUUGUUGUUAUGCAUGGCAGAACCAUAAUGAAUACGAAAUUAUAAAAAUGAUAUGAGCAAUAGCAUAAUAUAAAAUAAAUAAAAUGUCAAAUCUACAACAUACAAAAUAACAACGUAUACUAGCAAAUAAAAUUAAGGCAUUCCUUUAAACCAAUAAAAAAUAAAAUGAAUAGAAUUAUAAAAAUAAAAAAAGAUAUAUGUGUGUAUAUACGUAAAAUUAAGGAAAUAUGAAAAAUAUAUGUAUGUAUAUAUUUUUAGAAUUAUCAAAUGAAAAAUGUAUAAGUAAUCAUAUACAUAUGUAGCUAUCAUAAAAUGUGAAAAAUAUAUGUAUAUAGGUAUAUAUGUAGGAAUCAUAAAAUAAUAAGAAUAUACAAAAUAUAUAUUUUAAAAGUAUAAAGAGUAGGUAAGUAUAUGUACGUAUAUUUAUGAAAAUGAAAUAUAUAUAUAUAAACAUGAAUGUAUGUAGGUAUGUAUAAGUAUUAUAAGAUAUAAAAAUAUGUGUAAAUUAUAAAAAUAAAGUAAGACAAAAAUAUAAAUAUGUAAAAAUGGACCAAAUCGUGAUGCGCGCGAAAGUAAAAGGGCCAAAAGGAAAUUAAUCCUGGCCUCCAGAGCGCACUGCUUUGAUGAGGACCAAAUCAAAAUGAGAGAAAAAUGAUAGGGUCAAAAUUGCAAAUAAAAAAUAAAUUGUAUUAGAAAAAUAGAAAAAUCAGAAGGACCAAAACGGUGAAUAUCCCCAAAAGUCAGAAAACGCGCGAUCCUCCCCCGGGUCGGGUCACUGCGCAGGUCAAAGGGGGAGGCUAAACGACGUCGUUUAAUGGGUCUUUAAAAUCCCUUAAAAAAACCCUAAUCCCAUUUUAACAACCUCAAAAUAAAAAGAAAAAAAAAAGAAAAGAGAGCCACCAUCCCCUUUUAGCCCUCUGAAAUCCGGCGCCGACCUUGACGGCGAUUUGCCGUGCGGUCAAUGCGGCCCAAGGCCUACGCGGUGUGAGGAAACCCUCUUUUGCCCGUGUUCUAAUAUGAACCCGAAUAUAUGGGUUUUUCGAUCCCUAAAAUCGAAGAGGAGAGACUCAACCCACCCUCUUUCCGAUUUAGGUCCGGCAACGACGCAGGUAAGUCCUCGUCCUUCCCUUUUUAUUAUUUAUUUCUUAUGUAGAAGAUAAAAUAAAAAUAAAAUGAAAUGAAAUAAAGAGAAACACAAAUCUAAAAAAGAAAAAAAACUUUCAAAAGUUUGUUUUUUUUUUAUUAUUUCUUAGUAAUCGUAAAAGCAAAUGAAGAACUUCUUCUUCCUUACAGCAGAUUCAGUUUUAACCGAAAGAAAAGAAGAACAAAAUAAAAGAAAAAAAAAUCCCCCCUUUACAAAUCUCUGCUUGGCUUUUAUAUAGCCCCCCAAGAGAAAAAUAAAGAAAAAUUGUUUAUAUUGUUUUCUUCUAUUUUCUGUCUUUGUUUCCUAUUCGUGUUUGCAGGUAUUGACGGAGAUGUGUGGCAUCAGCAGGUGGCGGUGGCAGAGGAGUUGAUGAGCGGCAGAGGAUAGGUUCGGCGCUAGGGUUAGGUGCAAUAGAGGCUAGGGUUUUCUGAAAAUGUUUUAGUAUUGGGCUUGUUGGGCCUUUAGUUUUUUUCUUUUUGGGCUGUAAUUUUAUUGUUUUGGGUUAGGUCUGUUUUAGGGUAUUGGGUUUGGUUUAAGGUUUGGGUAGUUGGAUUUUUGGGCCCCGGGCAAAUUUGGGCUUGUACAGUUUAUAUGUUCGUUACAUUUUCUUAAACGAAAAGAAAGGAAAAAGAAUAUACUUACCUGCGAGGAAGAAACCCUAUUUGUUGUCGAAUCGGAGUUGGAGAGGGGCCGGAGGUUGCGGCGGCUUGGGGGAGUUUGGGUUAAGGAAAACCCUAGUAGAGCAAUGCCCCCCUUCUCCUUUUAUUUUGUUUUAAAGCAGAAAAAUGAUUUUUUUUAAAUUUUUUUAAAAAGGAAAAAGAAUUUUUUAUUUUUAUAGUUAAAGCAAAACGACGUCGUUUGGAAGGGGAUAGGAUCCGCGCGUCGACCCAAUCCGGUCCCAGGAUUCGCGCGUUUCUUAAUUAAUGGGCUAAUUGUACUUUUAGCCCUUCUAAUUUUCUACUACUUUGUAAUCAAUUUUUUUUAUUUUUCAAAUCUGCGCAAAAAUUUUGCUUUGAUUUCAUUUAAAUCCUGCGCAAAAUGUUGCGUUUUGAAGGGCAGUAAUAUUUUUCUUCUUGGUCCCUUUUAUUAUCUGCGCAUUCGCUUUGGUCCCGUUUCUGUUUUAUUUAUUUGCAGAUUUUCCCCAAAUUUCUAAUUAAAGUUUAUAUUAGUCCUUCUGUCAUUUUUCUCUAUUGUUGUAUUCUUUGUUAUUAUUAUUAUUAUAAUUAUUAUAAUUAUAUUAUAUAUUAUUAUACCUACAUAUAUACACGCAUAGGUAUGUUAAUAUAUAUAUGUAUUUACUUUAAACGUUUUUAAAUACAUAUACAUAUUCUAUGCAUAUUUUUUUAUUAUUUUGCUUUCAUAGUUUUUUUUUACAUAUAUAUAUACAUAUAUACAUUUAUAUUUUAUAAUAUUUAUACGUUUUCAUAUGUUAUAAUGUAUAUAUGUUUAUACAUUUUUUAUAAUAUAUAUACAUACACUAUUCAAAAUUAUUAUAAAUAUAUUUUCCGUAUUUUUCUUAUAUAUACAUAUAUAUACAUAUUUUCAUAAUUUAUUAAUAUCUUUUACUUAUAUUUUUUAUUUAUGUAUUUUUAUUUAUUUAUUUAGAUACCUAUACAUAUUUUAUAUUUUAUUUUCAUAACUUUUAUAUACAUGUUUUAAUAUAUACAUAUACAGAUUUUUAAAUUUUACUUAUAUAUCAUAUUUUAUUUUGUGAAUACAUAUACGGCCUUUUUACCAAAAAAGCCAUUUUUUUUUAAAAUUUACCGAAAUGGGCCAAUUUUUUAAUUAUUUACCGGAAUGGGCCAUUUUUCGUGAAAUCGCUGCCACGUAAGCGCGAUGUCAGGGUACGUGACAGAUCAUCGCGUCCAUGUCAGCAGGUCGCGUUGACGUGGACGCGAUGAUCUGUCACGUAGCGUGUUUCCGGGGACGCGAUUUUGACGUUAAUUUUACGUUUGGGUUUUCUGGGUUUUAGGGUUUAAGAUGCAGGCUUUUUAUGGUUUAGGGGUCCCGGGAAAAAUUAUUUCGAGUUGACGUUUCUGGUCAAAUAGUAUAAAAUCGCUUCUACCAGGAUGCUAUCAAAGAAGAAAUUGUGAAAUCGUGCCCUCGUGGACGCGAUUUCGGUACAGUUGGUCAUGUAAGAAAUAAUUUUUUUUGACGUUUUCUGAGCAAAUAGUAUAAAAUCGCUGAUACCAGGAUGCUAUAUGAGAAGAAAUUGUGAAAUCGCGCCCUCGUGGACGCGAUUUCGCUACAGUUGGUCAUGUAGGAAAUAAUUAUUUUUUGAUGUUUCUGAGCAAAUAGUGUCAAAUCGCGCCCUGGUGGACGCGAUUUUGCUACAGUAGGAAGUUUGGGCUGAGGCUAUAAAUUAGGUAUAAAAUGUUCUUAGAAUGCAUAAGUCAUAGCAGAAACAUUUUAGAGAGGCUAAGAAAGUUAGAGUUUCAAAAUGAGUGAACGUAUUAGUGCUGUUAUUUACUACGAUGCUAAGGUUUGCCACACCGAGAAUGGUGUUGUUUUUUUGUCGGAGAAUACGGUGCGACUGUCAUUUAGCCAAAACAUAGAUUUGACAAAACUUCGUAAAAGAAUUAGGCGUAAAAUCUUCGGAAUGACGCCAAUGAAAGUUCUGUCAAUCACGUAUCAAUUUUGUUCUUCUGUUGAUCCGGUGACAUAUGACUCAUUCGACAUAAAAGGUGCUCGUAGCUCGGAGGCAAUGGUGCAGACUCAUCUUGCUAGCGGAGCAACUUAUAUUGAGUUAUAUGUACAAUUUACGUCACCAACUGAUGUACUUCCGUCCAUACACGACCCCUGGCCGACACUCGGUUAGCGGGUUACAAAAUACGGAGCAGCCCAUGUUCAGUAGCGGUGUCGAAUGCACAUCCCCACCAAGACACUCUGUCGGUGGAUGGGACAUGUACGUCGGUGGCUCGACGUUUGACGCUGGAAAUACGAGCUGGGGAAUUGCAUCAAGUUCUAGUGGAUGACAAUCUACAUCCAAUUGGGGACGUUAUCAAAUGCCCAGAAGAAGGGAUGACGUACUACCUACGACAUCAACCGGGGAAGGGACAUCGUACGCUGCAGAUGAUUGUGGGUUAGAAGAUGAGUCUGAUGUGGAUCCACCUCGAGAGCCCGAGCCGGAUGGUGCAGAGGUGGGAUUAUUUUCUGAACCGAAGCCUAUUCCAACAGAAGGUGAAGAUGGUGAUAGGAGUGCAGAUGAUGAAGAAAAUCCAUGAUUCAGAGCAUACUCACCUCCAGCCCAUAUACAUAAUGUCGAUCUGUCAGCAGACGAUGCGUUAGAGUUUCCAGAUCUACCACACUGGUUACGCGAUCGUACAAGUUCGGGGGUAGAUCUCGGUGAACUUGAAGUUGGUAAUCAGUUUACUAAUAAGGAUAGUUUUAUUGGUGCUUUGAAAUAGCAUAGCAUCAAAAACGGAGUUAAUUACCACGUCGUUAAAUCAAAAACUGAUAAGUUUGAGGCGAAGUGUACGGUGCAAGACGGCACAUGUUCAUGGAAAAUCGUCGCCUCGUUAAGGAAGAGGACAGGGUUGUGGGAGAUCAAAAAGUACAAAGGUCCACAUACAUGUUAAAUCAAAAUGGGUUAGGGUUAGGGUUUUUACUUAAAUUAGGUUAAGGUUUAGGGUUUUAAUUAAAUUAAACUAGGGUUAGGGUUUUUAAUUAAAUUAAACUAGGGUUAGGGUUUUUAAUUAAAUUAGGUUAGGGUUUAGGAAUUUUAAUUAAAUUAAAUUAGGGUUAGGGUUUUUAAUUAAAUUAAACUAGGGUUAGGGUUUUUAAUUAAAAUGGAUUAGGGUUAGGGUUUUUAAUUAAAUUAAAUUAGGGUUAAGGUUUUUAAUUAAAUUAAAUUAAACUAGGGUUAGGGUUUUUAUUUAAAUUAAGUUAGGGUUUAAAGUUUUAAUUAAAUUAAAUUAGGGUUAGGGUUUUUAAUUAAAUUAAACUAGGGUUAGGGUUUUUAAUUAAAAUGGGUUAGGGUUAGGGUUUUUAAUUAAAUUAAAUUAAAUUAAAUUAGGGUUAGGGUUUUUAAUUAAAUUAAAUUAGGGUUAGGGUUUUUAAUUAAAUUAAAUUAGGGUUAGGGUUUUAAUUAAAAGGGGUUAGGGUUAGGGUUUUUAAUUAAAUUAAAUUAGGGUUAGGGUUUUUAAUUAAAUUAAGUUAGGGUUAGGGUUUUAAAUUAAAUUAAACUAGGGUUAGGGUUUUUAAUUAAAAUUGGUUAAGGUUAGGGUUUUUAAUUAAAUUAAAUUAGGGUUAGAGUUUUUAAUUAAAUUAAGUUAGGGUUAGGGUUUUUAAUUAAAUUAAAUUAGGUUUGGGUUUUUAAUUAAAUUAAAUUAGGUUAGAGUUUUUAAUCAAAUAAUAUCAAAAUAACUUGGAAAAAUUUCUAUGUGUAUUACAUCGUCAUAAACUUGUAUUUCAUUACAUCAAAUGAUAAAUUUUAAUACGGUAAUCAAUGUCUAUGACCGGGGGAUUCGGUUCCACAUGGCGACCGUCGACGGUUACGCGCUGGAUUCCUCCUUCCUCUAGCUUCUUCCGGCGGUUGUUCUUCCUCCGGUGGUGAUUGUUGUUCUUCUGGUUCGGCAUCUGGUUGUCAGACUUGGGACGAUGAUCCACCUUCAAAGAAUAGUGUAUGUGGAGGUGUUUGCAUCAUGAACGGGGACGGUGUUUGAAAGCCAUGCGUUGCUGGCGAUUGGUAAAAAGAAGAGCUCCCAGACGGCCCCCUUGCGACCCCUCCUGCGCCGCUGGCCUAGUUAUCGGUGGUCCGCUUAGCAUUACACGAAAUGGAGCUGAUCCGGGCAUUUGGCUCCAACCUGCCAUAGGAUUCGGAAAAGGAUACAUGUACGGGUUAGGGUACAUAUAAGGGCUAGGAAACAUACCUGGCAUUAUAGGGAAAGGCGAAUGCCUGGGUACCAUCUAUUGAAUUGCUGCGUCAGGUGACUGCGUCGGUGCUCUCGUUGGGGACGGUGAUUGCAUGGUCGCUGAUGAUGAACCGAGUGAAUGUCUGGGCCUCGUUGAGGGGCUGCCAUCGUAGUCUUGUCCCCUUGGAUUUAGAGGCUCGCGCCUUUCCCUUCCGACACAUAUUUGCCGCUGCCUCUCCUCUGGCAUAAGUAAAUACGGCUUCCCAUGGAUCCUAAACCAUGGCAUGUAUUCUGGAACACACGCUAACUCGGGAACGAUGAUUUGCUCCCGAGUAGGUAGAGAUUCAUGCCGAUUUUCCCACAUUUCUGUGUACUCUGACCAGUAUCUAGUCCAAUCCGUACCUAAUAGCCGAAGGUCGAUUUUGUGGUGCUCGUCAAACACCUCAAGGUCCGCAGGGAUCGGUUGUCUACAUCCAAACUGACGUAUGACUCUGUCUGUCUGGUGGGGCUCCACGGUUGCAUAGUUUAUCAACACCACUUUCACGUGCCAAGCGUUCGGAUUUUGUCAAAACUCUUUUGAGAUUACUGCCCGGACUGCCGGAUCCUCGUAUGGAGUUCAUUGAAACUCAUGAACAUGAUAGAAAUAUUACUUAUAUACAUAAUACAUAAUACUAAAUACUAAAUACUAAAUACUAAAUACUAAAUACUAAAUAUCAAUCCACUAGCGAAUGUAUGGAAAUAUCUAUUUGCAAUAAUACUUACUUCUGCUUCUGACCGUUGCUCCAAUAGAAGCCGUAUAUCUUCGAGUUCAGACGGUAAUCCACGAUAACUUGCCGGAUGGUUCCACCUAAUUAAAUAAAUUUUUAGCAUACUUUUGUUCUUACAAAAUCUACAUAACAAUUUCAAAAUGUAAUAUAAAAUUUAUCUCGUUACGAGUGGGAAUGUAUAUGGGUGGUUCACUCGAGGACGUAGAAAUGGAAAGCGAAAAUGUGCCCAUGAUUGCAGUAGUGACAGACAACCUCUGAUUUUUGCUCUCCUCGGUUUGAUCGCCCCGCACAUCUCCCGAUAUAAUGUUGCCAAGACAGCAGACCCCCAACUUAAUUCACCGGCUGCUCUAAAAUCAACGAGUUUUAGCAGCCACCUUAGAUGUACACGGCUCCGUGACGUGUCGGCCAUCAGAUAGCCUCCAAUUAUUUGAAGAAUGUAUGAUCGAACAUAUCGAAUUCUUUCAAUUUCGGUUGAAUUUUCAUUUAGAUCGGGGAAGGUGGCACGUAACCAGCCCAUCUUCACCUUACCUCCAUCCAUUUUAUUCGGAACAGCGCCCAAAAGCUCGUAGCACACCGCCUCCCAAUUGCUAGAUUGGGUAGACCCGGUGACUGGGUGCUCGUCCACCGGCAAUUCCAAAUGCAGAUGGACAUCUUCCAGAGUGAUAGUGCACUCUCCACAUGGAAGAUGAAAUGUGUGCGUCUCGGGUCUCCACCUCUCGAUUAACGCACUGAUCAAUUUCGGCUCCAACUUGCAUCCCCGGCCUACCGUCGCCACGUGCCAAAAUCCCGCUUCCCGCAGGUAGUUCUCUACUAACGGUGAUGGAGGACCAUGCAUAUUCCGAAUAUUGCAUUCCAAUACCCGAUCUUUAGACUUUUAUAACAAAAAAUAAAUUAAUAAUUAUCUAAAAAUACAUAAAUAAAAAUAUCUUAAAUAAAAUUUAAAUUUUAAAUUUAAUACUUACCAUUUUCAUUUGCUCCACCGAUAUGUGAUUCCUAUCAAGACGAAUCAAUGAUCCGGCCAUUGUUGAAAAUAUUAAAAAUUUUAAAAUUAUUUUAAAAAAUAAAAAUAUUUAAAAUUUUCUUAAAAAAAUGAAAUUGAAUGGAAAAGGAAAUUAAAUAUGGAUUUCAGAGAUUUUUUGAAGGAAUUUGAGAGGAUUUUGGAAGGAAUUUGAGAGUUUAAGAGAAUUUUGGAAGGAAAUUGAGAGAAUUUUGGAAGGAAAUUGAGAGAAUAUUUGUUUGUGAAAAAAUAAGGGGUAGGGGGUUUUAUAGUAAAAAAAUUGUGACCGUUGGGGGGGCAACGGUCAAAUUUUUGACCGUUGGGCCACUGUUCACGCGCGCGUGUCAUCGCGUCCACGUUAGCGCGACCUGCUGACGUGGAAGGAAAUUGCUUCCUUGAGGGUGCGAUUUCCUUCCACGUCAGCAGGUCACGCUGACGUGGACGCGAUGAUCUGUCACGUACCCUGACAUCGCGCUUACAUGGCAGUGAUUUCGCGGAAUUGGCCCAUUCCGAUAAAUAAUUAAAAAAGUGGCCCAUUUCGGUAAAUUUUGAAAAAAAAGGGCUUUUUUUUGGUAAAAAGGCCUACAUAUACAUAUAAUUUAAAUUAAAGUAAUGGUUUCAUGUUAUGCAUUUUGUCAUACUUUUAAAGAAAAAUAUUUUUUGGUUUUGUCAAAGCAUUAAAAUCAUCAUAUUUUAUAAAUUUUCAAAAUAUUUGGCAUUCAUGAUUCUCGAGAAAGAUCGUGUCCUAACCUACUGGAUUGCGAUUAUUUCUCGAUGAAUUUAGAAAACCAAGUAUUUAUUUUGCAAUAAACUCACACAAAUUUCAAAUAAAAGCUUAUUCUCAGGAAUCCAAAAAUGUCGGGUCCUAACUUACUGGUCAUGACAUUUUGUUAUCUCGAAAUAAGAAUUUCUAAAAUAAAAGGUCAUAUUUCGGUAUUUGGAAUUUUGAGAAAUUGUGCCCUAACUUACUGGGUUUCGAUUUUCUUCAUUUGACCUAAAAAUAACCAAAUAUUCUUAGAUUUAACUGUGUGAGUUUUAAAAUCAAAAGCCAAACUUAAUUUUGAAGAUUUAAAAAUAUUGUACCCUAACUCACUGGGUGUGAUGUUUUAUUUCUUUGAAAUAAGAAUGUUUUAUUAUUUUAAUUCAUUCACGAGUUAAAAGUUUUCUUUUAAAAUCUUUUCAAAUUUUCGACACCAAGACAUUAAAUAAUCAAUUUGGUACCGAUUUGGGCGUUACGAGGGUGCUAACCCUUCCUCGUGCGUAACUGACUCCCGAACCUAUUUUUUCAAAUUUCGUAGGUCAGAAUUGUUUUUAAGGUGAGCCGGUCACACCUCAAUCAAAGAUCGGUGGCGACUCCAAUUUUUAUUUUUUUAAAAGUCGACAACUAAUUUUUUGUUUUCAAAAAAAAUGGUUUCGACAGUCCAAUUUCUAAUGAAUCAAGAUAACCAUUUGUUCCGGUAUAAAUAGUACUUAUCUGUUCUGCCACCGUAAGAGGAGCUGAUUGGGAUUGUUUAAGCAACUCACGUAAUCGUUGAAUGUUUUUGUAAUUAUUUAGAGGACUUUUAGCUCAUUGUUGAAUGUUUCUAACAUUUUGUGAUUUGUUCAACUCUCUUAUUUCGUUUUAGACUCAGCGUGACUUAUCUAGCUUGCUAGUGACGUCAUUCUGUUUCUUUGGAACUUAUCACUCAUUCCGAAUGUGGCGUUCUCCAAAAUAUACCUUUGGUUCCUAACUUCCUAGUUAAUGGGUCAAGGUCCACCUUAAAUGACGUAUAAGUCUCGAGUCAACACUUGAUAUAGUGUUGGUUCUUUCUUGUGCUUAAGAUCGUUUUCCCAUCCACAUUUAUCAACUUAUUUAUCUUGUUUCUUUGAUUAGCCGAAUUUCCAUAAUCCUCGUUCAUUUAACCAUUUUUCCAUCAUCAUUAUACUUAACCAAACCAUCCCCAACACAAUUAUAACCUCUGAACCAUCUAGCCAACCUUUGUUUAAAGUCUUACUUAGCCAAAUUCAACCAUUAUUCUGUUCAAGAACGAUACUUCUUCAUUUUAACGAUCGGGCAACAAACGACUCGAAUCAUCACCGAGGCGAGUUCGUAUCACUUGUCUAUCUCAAACACAAAUAAAAAUAAAUCUACAAAAUUCUAAUUUUCAACUGCAAGAAAAAAGAAGAAAAAAGUAAUUUUUAGCUAAGUGAAAAUGUACCCUGUAGGACGUGUUUUCCUUUCUCUCUCCAAAAACAACAUAGAUCGGUAAAAUUUCAAAAAAAAAAAGGAAAAAAAAAAGCAUAGUUGCUUGAUUAAUUUUUUUUCCAUCAUAUUUCUAAAAUUUUGCCGAAUUUGAAGUUACAAAAAUAAAAGGAAACAAUUCCUAUGUGGAUGCGUAAAAUCUCUCAUUUAUCACUAUAUUAUUCUAUGAUGUGUAAUUAUUUAUCACAUUUUUAAUAAAAUUAAUUAAAAUAAAUUCCUUAAUAAUAUAUACUAUUAAAUUUGGAAUAAAAAAAAUUCAUUAGUAAUCGUAUUCAUAACAAAAAAUAAAAAAAAUUAGCUUCAAAAUUUCAAGAUUCCCUACUUUUUUUAUUUUUAUUUUUGAAAAAAAUAGUUUUUAUCAAUUACAUUUGAUACUAAUUAGAUUAGAAAUUAAAAUAUUACACCAGAUUUGUAUUAGACUAUAUUUAAUAUAAAAAUUGAUUAUGAGAAUAAAAAAAAUUCAGAUUAAUAAAAAUUUGCAAGUCUAAUAAUUUAAAUAUAUUAAAUAUUAUUGUAGUAAAUUUGAAUUGAAUAUAAUAAUAACUUUAAUAUACCAACAAAUUUGAAAAAGAAAAGUGUAGAGGUAAUUUAGUUUAUGUAAGAUUACUACAUUAAAUUUAAUUUGAAUAUUUUUAAUUUAUUUAAAAAUAAAAUUAUGUUGAAAAACGAAAAAUAAUAUUGUCUAAUAAAAAGUGAAAAAUUAAUUGAUAUGUAAACUUCUAAAGUAUUAAAUUUAUUUAUUUAUUAGAUCAAUCGUAGAUUUCAAAAUUAAUUGAUAUAUUUGAUCUACACAUUGAUUACGGGAAAAGAGAUUCCAAAUUAGAAUUUUGUUCCCAAUGAAACUUUUUAGUUUAAAUUAUUUCUUUCCCUUAUAAGCUCGAUUAAUGAUGAAACUUCACGAGAGUAAAUAUCGAAAUCUAGAUUUUAGGUAACUAUAUUUAAUACUUUAAUUCCUUAUUAAUCCUGUUUUAAUAUCUUAUUUUAUUUACAUCAUUUUCUAUGAUAUAUUUUUUUGAACUUCAGUUUUAAAUUUAAUUUUUGAUUGCAAUGCUAUUUCAAUUUUUAAUUUAAUAAAUAUUCAAUUUAUUGUAUAUUAAUUUGGCUUCUCUACAUAAUAUCUUUAGUUAAUUACAAUGGUUUAUAUCCUUAAUUAUUCUAGUGAAAAUGUUGAGAUCAAUUUGAAACCCAAUAUAAAGCACUAACAAUCGACGAGGUUAGUUCGAAGUGAAUGAAACCCAAACUCCCCUAUUUAAUUUGAAACCCAUAUUUAUUUAAAUAAUUAAAACCCUGAACCUUUUAUUUACUUAUAAAUUAUAGAAAUCUACAAUUGGUGCACUAAAUCACUCAAAUAAUGCAAGUACAUUAUGCGAAAGAUUAGUGGGUUUGCUAAGAAAAAAGGAAGAAUAGUGGGUUUAGUCCCUGGUGCCAAAACCUUAAUUUUUUUUAGAGAAGACAACUUCGUUUGGGAUAAAAUAGAGAGGAUAGUUUUACCCCUUGUAAAAACUUUUAUUUUAAUUCAUUUUUCCAUGGCAGCGCCACUGAAACAUGUUUACAGUUUUCUUGAUCUCAACGGUGAUGUUUACAGUUUUCUUCUUUUUAUUUUGGUGUGUUUGUAUAUAUAUAGUUUUGGUUAUUUGAUUUGCAUAGUCUCAAAUUGAAUGUUUGAUCUUUCCAAUUUUCUAUCUUUCCUCGUCUCAUAAAAUUUUCAAAUAUUUUUACAUGAAAUCUCAAAUUAAAUAUUAAAGAAACUGUGGAAGGAAGAAACAAUGGGAAAGAAGAUUAGAGACGACGAUGAUGAUGGUGAACAAUGGAAAGAAAAAAUGGGGAAGAAGAAACGGUGGAAAUUGGAAAUCAUAUGCAUUUAAUAAUUUUAUAUUUCAAAAAAAUAAUAUAAUAAUUUUAAUAGUUUUAAAAUCAUUUGAUAAUACAGCAGCAUUUAAUUACAUUUGGACCGCCAUGUCAGCAGUUAAUGUUGACUGUUAGUCAACUAACAACCAUGUUAGCAGAAGUGCUCCAAGAAAAACAUGAAGGGCCAAAGUAACCAAACAGUCAAAUGUCAGGGGCUAUUUUUGGUUUUAUGUCUUUAUUAACAAACACUUAGUUUGUACAGUAAAUGUUUUUAUUUAUCAUAUGUUUGAACUAACAUAUCGCUUUUAUAGGUGGAACCAAGGGUCGAGUUAUAUGGGACUACCCGAGGAGUUAGAAGACAUUAGGCUGUUGUUAGAUCAACACUCGAAAGUCGAGGUUUGUUACUUAUUCUUUCGAACCUAUGUUAAUCAUGCAAUGAUUUGUAAAAAAAGGAUCAUCCAUAACGAAAUCUACAAUUGUUCAUUUCAGUUUGAAUGGAUGUCAUACGUCGACGCUAACAUCAUAUAUUGCAUCCCGCCGAAAGUGUUGGAUAAUCGAGGGAUGUGAGACGCGAAGGUGUCGUUGAUAGUGUACAUGAUGGUGGAAAUGUAGGAAUCAGACCAAGUAAUGCGACAGUUCAAGUGGAGGCAAAAAAUGUUGCCACCAUUGCAAGACUUGAAGGAGCUGCAUCAGGUGGACAUGCGCAGAAAGAACAACGAGGAUUGGCGAAAAGUGCACAAGGAGUACAUCGAGGCCUGGUAUCGUAGGAUGGAUUUCUUACCCACCCAUAAACCUUUUUUCUCAAUAGAGACGGCGGCCUAUUUGGAGUGCUUGUAGUGGUUCAAACUCGCCAGCAAGUUGUAUUUGCUAUCAUCGGAGGUGAGGAGUAGACAACUUCAUCAGAAAUGGCAACGACGAUCGCCCCAGCAGCAGCGUAGGGCCAAAUGCGAUCGCACAACGGGUUCGCCAUCAGCUCUGCCCUAAGAAGCGUCGCUUAUGUCCACGUAAUAUCCCGGCCAGGUCACUCUACUUGUCCCUAUUCAUUUCACUAAUCCUGUAUUUUUUCUAAAAUACCGCAUUACACACCACCACCGAACGUGGCGAGAUCUUCUGUUCCCGCAGAUACAUAUUUUGGGCCACCAAUGUCCCUCGCAUUCUAAACCUCAAUGCCGACUUCGAUGCCAAACCAAAUGUAGGGCUAGAUAUCGACAUAUGCACCGUCACUGAUGUAGAUACCGAUGCAAACACCAAUGUUAGUGUCGAUUCUUAGGUCAAUGUCGACGUAUCUCAGUUUUGUUGCACCUUAUGGUUACACGUCGGUAGUGACAUAAUCACUGCAAGCAUCAUUAUUUUAUCAUGGUGGGUUAUCGGUGCAAUCGUAUACCAGUGGAGUGGAGGUUACACAAUGGGAGGCUAGGAUGACACCUCAUUCGAGCAUAGAGAAAGGUGAUGGAGACGAAGGAGAAGAAGAAUAAUAAUAUGAACACAAACAUGAAAAUGAAGAUGAAGACCAAUAUCAACAUGGAAAGGAAGCCCAGGACAAACACGAUGACGCCGAUAGGGACGGAUACGAGCAAGAGGGUAGGGGUAAAGGCGAUGAUGACGUGGACGGUGGCAACGAGGAAGUUUAUAGGGUUGUAUCUCCUGUUGUGCGAAAAAAUCUUUUUUGUGAUUGUCGUCCACAGCCCUACAGCACAUAUUCUCCCCCACGACGCGAUUGAUGUAUUUUUUUAUUACUAGUGUGAUGUAAAUAUUGUAACAACCCAGUUUCGACCCUAAUCGGAAUAGUGGUUUCGGGACCACAAAUCCGAAUUAGAAAAAAAUAUUUUUUUAUAUAUUAUUUUCUGUGUUCAUUAUGUGUGAAUUUACUAGUGUGAAAAUUUCGUGCUUUAAUUUUUCCGUUUGAGUGUCGAAUUAAAUAAAAUGAUUAAAUCGCGUAAAAUAAAAAUUUAGGGGUUAAAGCUAAAAGUAUCUAUUUGUUGUUGCCUUUUUAUUUGGAAGGUUUAAACAUGAAAUUAGGCCACUAAAUAGUUAGUGGAUGGCUAAGGACAAAACUAACCUUAUUAUAUAUAUAAGUUAUAUUUAUUUAAAUAAGGCUAAAUUAGUAAUUUAGAAAUAUUAUAAUAUAUGAUAGUUAAAAACAUAAAAAAACAUUAGAUUAUCAUCUUUCUUAGCCAAAACCAACAAGGAAGAAAGCCAUUAAGCUUAGUGAAGUUUCGGCCAUAUACAAGCUUAAAUUCAAGGUUCGUUUUGUUCGGUUUUUGAUAAUUUUUACGUUUUUGAUAUCGUUGCUUUGUGUUCUUCAAAACCCAUGUUUUAAUUUUGUGAAUUGUUGAUGAUUUUGAAAUGUGUCAUUGAUGAAUGCUUGGACUUUGUGAUAGUUGAUGAUGAAAAAUGAAAGAUAUGUGAUAGAUUAUUAUGUUUUGUAUUGGAAUUUUUAGUGAAAUUGAGUAAAUAGGGUUAAAUUGUGAAAUUAAAUUUUUGGGGGACUAAAAUGUGAAAUAAAUGCAAUGUGUGGACUUGUAUGAGAACCAUGAAUAUUCGGCCCUUGUGUGGUAUGGGCAAAUUUUGUAUAAAUUGUGCUUUAUGCAAUAUGGAGUAAAUUGCAAAGAAGUGUAAAUAUUAGGGGCAAAAUAGUAAUUUGCCAAAUUAUGUGUAUUUGGAUUAAAUUGAAUGUGUUAAUAAAUAAAUUAUCUUAUUUUGAAUAUAUUUAGAUCGAGAACCAAAGAAAUUAGAGUUAGAUUGGGGAAAAGCCAAAUUAGUCGAAUAAUCGUCCGACUUCGAUUUUCCAUCGUCCGAGGUAAGUCUAUUAGCUAUUUAAUUUUAUUAAAUCAACAUAUGAGAAUGUAUAUCAAUGGUAUGUGUGUUGAGUUAAAUUUAAAAGUAUAAAAAUUGGAAUUGAAAGUAUGAAAUUAUGUAUACAUAUAUAUGUUAGAUUCGAAUGGCUAUGAAUAUGCAAAUAUGCAUAUGAAUGUCCAUGUAAUAAAUUUAGGCAUGAACAUAUAUGUAUAAAUUAUAUUCGAAUAUACAUGUAUAUAUAUGUAAAUUUUGUUGUAUUGAAUUUAGGUAUGAAAUUAUAAAGGUAUGAGAUAUAUUCGAACAUUUGAAUAAGUUGGAGUGAAUAAGUAUGUGUACUUAUGAAUAAUAAUUAUAUUGAGUAUAAGUAUGAAAUUAUAUUCAAUUAUAUAUAUAUAAGUAUAUAUAUAUGUUAAAUUCGAAUAUGUAUGAGUAUUUAGGUAUAUGUUCUUGUUUCGAAAAUAAGUAUAGAGUAAUAUAUGGUUGUUAGAUUUGAAUAUGCAUGUAUGUACAUGUAUAAGAAUUUGUAUUGAAAUGGUAUAUGAAACUAUAUAGGUAUAUAGAGAAUUCAAAUGUUUAAGGUACCUAGUAUAUUAUAAGUUAAAUUUUAUGAUAUUAGAAGUGGAAUCUAUAGUAUGAGGUUAUAUAUAUACAUAAAUGUGUUUCGGUUGGAAUCAUUGAAUUAUUUAAGCUAGAUUUGAUGAUUGGGAUCUAUAUCUAUCCAUGUGUUUUAAAGAUAUAAGUUAUGAAUAUUGAGCUGAAUUUUAUGUGGAUUUUAUAUACAAAUAAGAGAUACAACUUCUGUGAAUUGAGAUUCUUUUGUUAAAGCUCAGUAUCAAUCGGAUUUAUUGCCAGUGAAAUUAUUCGGACUAUUCAUCUAGCAGGCUAAGUGCCGGUGAACUGAAUCGGACUAUAUGUCUAGCAGGCUAAGUGCCGGUGAACUGAAUCAGGCUAUAGGCCUAGCAGGCUAAGUGCCGGUGAACGGAAUUAGACUAUAAGCCUAUCAGGUGAAGUGCCAGUGAAUCUGUUUAAAUUAAGAGAUUCUAUGCAUUGGGUAUAAAUAUAUAUAUGAUUUUGAUUAUAUGAAAUGGAUAAAUAUAUGAACAUUUGUUUCAAGGUGUUUGAUGAGUAUAUAAUCGUUCGAAUCCUUGUGAUUAGUGAGUAUGUAUAUAUAUCGGUUAUCAUGAAAUUGUUGGAUAUAUAUAUGUAUGCAUUCAGCAUAGGUGGAUAUAAGUGUAUAUGUGCAUUCGGCACUUAUAGUUGAUAAGUAUAAAAAUUAUGCUUUUGGUAUAUGUAUUUGAACAAUUAUAUAUAGAUGGAUCCGAUGAAGUGCGAACAAUAAGUACUCUAGAAAUCAGUAUAUGCAGUUAAUGAUUAUGUUAGUAACUUGAUUAUAUGCAUAUAAUGUAUAUACAUUUGUCCGUUUAUGUGUAUUAGUUAAAUAUACAUUAUUUUAGAUUUAAACAAAAUGACUUAAGAUAGCAAUGUUUGAUUUGAAAUUAUAUUUGAUAUUUGUGAUUUCAAUAAAUUUACUUAAAGAAUUAUAUGAUUCUUUUAUAUGUAUUUUAGAUAUGCUAUAGACUUACUAAGCUAUAAAAGCUUACUUUGAUUGUUUUUGUCCAUUUGUUUUUUUUUAUAGAUUUUAGAGACGCGUUACGAGCUCGGGGAUCAUCAGCAUAGUCUAUCACACUAUCGACUUCUUUUGGUAUUUUGUUGAAUAUUUGAACUCGAUCUUAUGGCAUGUAUAGGUUUGAGUACGAUGUUGGUUAGAUUUUGAUUGUAAAUUAUAAAUAGCUAUGCGAAAAUGAUUUAAUUUUCAUGUUUGUGAUCAGUUUGGUUUUAAAAAUGGUUGUGUUUGUUCGGUAAUGCCUCGUAACCCUAAUUCAGCGACGGAUACGGGUUAGAGGUGUUACAAAUAUUUAUGACAUAAAUAAAGAAACCAUAGAUUUUCAUUUCAACACUAUAUUUGUUUUCGUUACAUUCAAAGAUGAGAUAUGCGCAAGUUAACCUGGGUUGAUCAUCCGACUUUCCUCCUAAUUCUAGUAUGCAGCUCACGCAAUUAAAUGUCAUGAUUGAAUACCAAUUCCACAGACUUUGAUCCUACAAAUAUCACCCCGACCUUUGCAUUACAAAUUUGACCAUAGUAGUAAAUAAUAGAUUUCACCCGUCGACUUAUUUAAAUAUCGGUCACAAAUUGGAUUAACAGCACCAAAAAAAGUAUAGGGUUGUCUGAAGAAGUACACACGAGUUUCGUGACUCAACAAUUCAACUUUUGAUAUAUUUUUACUGUGUGUCUAAGUUAUGCAAAUUGCGUGUCUUUAAUAGGAAAAUAAAGUAAACAAUAAAAGGAAUUACGUACAUCAAUAUCUGUUUAUGAAAAGACGCAUUCGUCAAACAAUGACGAUGGAAUGCAAAGUAUUAUUCGAAAGUGCGUUCUUGAAGUUAUAAAAUUUCAUUACUAUAGUGCUCUUAAUAGUAUUUGAUGCUUCGAAACGUGCAUCAAUUAUACCAAAAAAAUCUCUACAACCCUCUAGUUUUAAUUAUCAAAAGUACAUGCCCGUUAAAUUUUUCAGCCUUUUUAGGCACAUUUUAAAUAUAUUCUUAGAAGACACAACUCCUACAGCAUGUUUUUUACCGCAGAAAAUUUCUACUUUGCAAUCUAGCCUUUCCUUAUGCCUAUAAAAGGACUUUUCCACUCCAUGCUUCAUCGUCCCUUAAACAUUUUCUCCCACAGCCUCUCCAUCCCUCCUCUAUAAAACACUUCUUGGUGUUAAAAUUUUCUAUUCCUAAAAAUUUUUAGUUGAUGUUCGAGGUAUUAUUAAGGCGUCGGUGAUGUAAUAUCGCUCCAAGAUAAGACCAUUACCUCUGAACUAUCCUGGAGAAGUCGGGUUUCGGGGUGAUUUUGUUUUAUACGGUCACGAGUGGUAGUGUACGUGGAGGUCUCAAUUGAUGGACACUAUACGGUCAUAGAUCAAGGUAUAAUAAGGGAGUCAGUUGACGGUCGUUACGCAACCACAAGCUUAAAAUUUUCGGAUACUCGAAAAUGUUGCCCUAUAAAUAACAUACAGAAGUUUGAGGGUAUUUUCAUAGGGAAAAACUCUGGGUCUUCCUGCUAUAAUCAACAUAAUUUUUUCUCCAUUUCUAGGCAGUCAAUACAUUUAACCUUCAUUCUUGUCCGAAGGUCGACACCAUUGUGGACGCAGGAAGACUCUCAAGCGGGGAGCAACGGUUUCGAUGGAUUAAGGGUGAUGCUCUUUUCAAGAUGACAGCGGUUGUUGUUGUUAAACAGCCCAUUAAUGACUACAAUCGCUACCGCUCCGACCCGAGUUUGACCUCUACUUCCACCAAAACAACUGCUCUCUGUAACAGCCCACUUUUCAAUAGUGUCAGAACAGUGAUUUCGGGGCCACAAAUCCGACAAGUGAGUCCGUAAAUAUUACAAUUUAAUAUUUAUGAGUUAUAUAUAGUAUUAUAAUAAAAUUUGAUAUGAUAAUUUUUGUUAUUUGUUUGAAUAGUUAAGUUCAAGUGGUAUAUCCUUAAAGUCAAGUGGUUUUAGAAAAAAAGGUAUCGGGAUUUCGUUUCUGUAAAUUGAGAAUAUUUACGGAGUGCUAUUAGGUUCAUCUUAAAAUUUGGUUAAGAAAUUUUAAGGUUUAAAUAGUUAAUUUAGUAAAAAGGAUUAAAUCGUAGAAGUUACAAAAAGUGUCAACUAGGAAUAGAAUUAUGAUUCAAUGAUUUUUAUGUUUUUGUAAUCGUUGCAGCUUAAUCUAGCUAACUCGGGGGUCAAUUUGUAAAACUAUUAAAAUUUUAGGGAUCUACCAUGGAUGGUUUAAGUGUGUUUGUGAAUUUAAUUGUUAGAUUAUUAAGCUAGGUUGUUAACUAUAAGUAUUUUGUUAAGUGAUUUUUUAAAAUAUUUUAAGGUUAGGGACCUAUUUGAAAAAUAGUAAAAAUUCCAUGUAUAAUGUAUAAAAUGUGGAAAAAUAUGGACUGAUAUGAGAUUAGGGAAAAAUCGGCUAACAUAGAUUUUAGCUAAAAAUGGUAAAUUUGCAAGUUUUGGGUUUAAGGACUAAAUUGCAUAAAAGGUAAAAUGUUGGAGUAAUUUUGUAAAAUGAUUAUGGAAGGACUUAAUUGAAUAAAAUUGAUUAUUUUAAGUGUUGGAAUUGUAUUAAUUGAAUAAAAAUUAUUAUUUAGAUCAAGAAACGCUAUGAUUGGAUUUAAAUCGAGAAAAAAGCUAAUGUUCUGAACUAGUUGUUGACUCUAUUUUAGCAACUGUUCUAAUCGAGGUAAGUUCGUACAACGAUUAAAUUUGUUACAGUUGUUUUGGAUCGAAUGUUAAUUAACAUUUGUGAUAUGCAUAAUUGGAUUGAUAGUUUUGUAUUAAUUUAGUAUAAUGGAUUAAGUUGUGAAGCUAAUUAAAUUAAAGUCUAUAUAUGAAAACAAGAACUUCAAUUAAUGUGCAAUGGAAUGGUACAAUGGAAUGAAAGGAAAGAAUUUGGAUGCGUAAAUUGAGAAAUAUAUAUUUCAUUAAGCAUGUGUGAAAUAGUAUAAUAUAAUGAAUUUUAAAGAAUCAGAUAUGUGCAAAGGUCCCGUUUGAACAUUGUGAGUACUUAGGAUACAAAUGACAUGUCAUUAGGAAUUAUGUAACAUCCUCAAAACCCCAUUUGUAGUAAAUAAAAUAAUAUAAAUCCUAGUGAAAAAAAAGUAUAAGAUCAAUGAAAACGAAAGUUGCAAGAUAUCAAAAGAAAGUUAAAUGAAGAAGCAAGACAUAAUGUAUUAAAUUAAGAAAUGGACUAAAUUGUAAAUAUGUGAAAAGUUUUGUGGCAUAAGUAUAAAUAUGGAAAAUUUGAAAUGAAAGGCCAAUAGUGCAAAUAUCUUAAAGGUAGAAGGAUCUAGAAAUUAAGGAAAACGGAUUAAUAAGGACCAAAUUGAAUAAGCAAAAAAGUAUAAGGGACUAAAUUGUAAUUUUUCCAAAUUAAGUGAUGAUUCAAGGAUGAAAUUUUAAAAGAUUAUGAAGGGUAAAAUGGUCAAUUAGAAAGAGAGAGAAGUCUAGAAGGCAAUGAUGAUGUUGGAGAUAUUUUAUAAUUAUUUAAUUCGAUAAAUAUUACUUUAUUAAUAUAUUAAUGAGAUAUUUUACUAAUAUUUUAUUAUAAAUAGAUAGUAUAAAAGGAGAGAAAGAUGAAGAAGAAAAAAAAAAGAAUGAAAAGAUCCUCUCAUCUUUCAAAGGUGAGUAAGGGGGAGAGAAGAAGAAAACUUUGUUGUCUUUACAAUUUGUUCCUUCCACAAAAAAUCCUCCAUUUUCACCCAGAAUUUCAAGGAAUUUUCAUAAUCAUCAAGAGAGAAAAGUGAUAAGGGGACUAUGGAGAACAAGAAAAUCACCUUGGAUUCAAGAAAAUGGAAGUUGAAUGAGAGAGUAAAUCAAGUUAGAGUUUGAAAUCAUUAGGACAAGGUAAGAACAUCAAGAUUUUAAUAUAUUUUUAAGUUUGAUAUUAUUGCAAAAUCAUGAAAAUGUUGUAAAAGUAGAGUUUUCUUAUAUAAGGUUUUAUGUUCUUAAUAUGUUAGUGAAGGGAAAUAAGAGGAAGUAAUGGGAAAUAUUAUAGAGAAAGGAAAGGAGUGUGUUAUAAACUUGGUUAUCAACAUUUUGCACUAAAACAGUUUUAGGCAGCAGUAGUAGUCUGACUUUGAAAAUUCACCAAAAAUUGUAGAAAUUUAAUUAGAGGUUAAUUAAAGUAUGAAAUUAAAUCCUAUUAAGUCUAGUUUUACAUAAAAGAAACGGUGUAAGAAAAAGAAUUUCAUAUUAUGAGAUAUAUGAAUUUUUGUGAGACAAUGUCCGAUUGAUUUUGGGAUCCCCUGUUCUGACUUUGGAAAAUCAUAAAAAAUUGUAAAAAAUGAUUAGGGGUUUAAAUUUAUAUGUUUAAAUUAUUAAUGAGUCCAUUUUCAAUAGGAACAAAUGGAAACAUCAUCCAAGCCUCGUACUAAGAGAUAAUUAAUUUUUAGUAAAGAAAGGUCGAAACUGUUAAGCAGCAGAAUAGGGACAAACUUGAAGAAUUUAAUGUACUUAUUGGAUAAUUUAUAAAUUCUAAAAUUUUUAUUGUAAAAAUAUAUUUGAGUUUAGUUUCAAAAAUAUCAAGCGGAUCUUAAUUUCGAAUUUUGUAGCUCAAGAUAUAAAUAAUUUAGUGAUUAUGACUCAAGUGAACAACUUUGAUAUGAACACAUAAGUAAAUAGUGGAAUUAUAGAUAAGGUUACAUAUAAGCAUGUUAUAUACUAAAAGCUAAAGAUUCUAACAAAUAUAUACAUAAAGGAUGUGGAAUGGAGAGGAGGAGGAAAAAUAUAUGAAUAUAUAUAAUAGAUGAAUUUGAAAUGUUUCGAAAUGGUUGUAGGUAAUGGAAUGAUUAAUACAUGUGAGUAUGUUUAAAAAUAAUAAUAAAAUAAAAAGUGAAUAAUUGUUAAUUGAUGUGAUAUUGAAUUCUUUGUUAAAAUUUUAUGAAGAAUUAAAUUGAUUGACACAAUUUAGAAAUAAAUAUGAAAUAUACAUAAAGUGGGUAAACUAAUUUUGCAACUUAUUUGUAAAACUUUGUUAUUUGUGUUAAUUUUAUAAACUUUGUUAUCUUUCAUUGAAUAUCAUGUUUUUAUGAGAACUUGAGAUUAGAAAUAGAUGUAAGUGGAUGAUAUGUAAAAUGAAGUGGCAGUUAUGACAUCUGAAUACGGUUCAGGUAAUGAUAUAAAAUAAAAUAAAUAAAAAUAAAGUGUGGAACUUGUAGGAAAAUGGAGACGACGUCACGAUGACAAGUUCGCCAUGUCACGACGUGGAAACCUCAACAUCGAGACGAUAGUUCAAAAUUUUUUAUGAACUUUACAAUUUGACAUUUGAUCAAUUGUGGAUGUUUUAAUGAACUCCUUUAACUCAUAAUUAGUUCUAUUGUAAUUCAAUUAUUACUAAAAUUAGUUAAUGAUCUACAUUAAUUAAAUAAUAUGAUAAAUUGAUCUGAAAUUUUCAGUAGUUGCUUCGACAACAAAUGUGACAUCCUGAUACCUUGACUCGGCGAUCGGGUCGGGUAUGCGGGUGUUACAAAUUAUACGAUUUCAGGUGCUGGUCCUGGAUGUCCUACUGAUAGCUGAGGUCCUGCAUUUGUUGUGGAUUCUACACAGCUCGUGUGAGCAGCAUCGUGUAGCUAACAUCCCAACCUACAACUCGUGUGAGCACUAUUGGAAAGGUUACGGUUACAUGAAAAGGCACACUUUAUGUGAGCAUUCCCGAGCAGCCGAUGUAAUUCUAGAUGGUUCAAUGGGUAAGUAAAGGUUAAUGAAAAGGCAUGUAUAAAAACUUAAUGUACUAAUGUUCAUAUGAAAUGGAAAGAUGGAUAUGCACAUAUGCAAUAAAAAGGAUGAGAAUUUAUUAUGUGACAGAUGAAAUAUCCAUGGAAUUUAUUUCUUAAAAUAUGUUAUGUUUACUUAUUAUGUAUUAACUAUAUGGACUCAAAAUGGUAGAAUGUGAAAUGGAUAUAUAUAUGUGUGUGAUGGAUGAUAUAUAAAACCUAAAUGCUUAUUAGGUAUAUGUGGAAGGUAAUGAAAAUGAAAGGACAUAGUAUAUGAUGAAAGUGAUUGAUGAAUUUGAAAAGCUUGAGAUGUUAUAUGCCUUAUUUGGUUAAAUUUAUAUGUGUAUUGCUUCACCUACUAAUCUUGUGAGGUGUUGUGUGUAGGAAAAUGAAAUUUGGACUAUGGCUAAAUGGAAUCAUUUAUGGUUGUUUAAUUAAUGCAUUUGGUAAGUUUAAGUUCCGUUAUAAGAACUUACUAAGCAUUAGUUGCUUACCUAGUUGAUUUUCUCUGUUUUUAGAGGUCAUCGAAAAGCUCGAUCGAUUGGAAAUUGCAUCGGAGCAUGAUCUCACUAUCUAACGAUCCAUCUUGGUAAAUUUUGGUUAUUUUGGCAAAUGGUUAUAAAUGGCAUGUAAGAAGAUUAUAAAUGUAGUAUUAGUAAUUGAUUUGUUUUUAAAUGGUGUCAAGUUCAUUUAUUUUCAUAUCUUUCGAUGGAGGCUUAUAAAUUAUGUGUAUUCAUAUGAGAUGAUAGUAACUAUGCAUGCCCUCAUGUGAGUAGAAAAAAGAUGUUUGUGUGAUAUGUUGUGAUAUGGUUAUUUGGCAUGUAUAGGCCAGUUACCACUUGGUAUUUUGAUGUUUGAGUUGCUAUGUUUGGAUUGCUACCAAACUUAUACAUAUGUUAAUAUGGCUAUGUAAAUGUAUGUAUAUGUUGUGACUUUGGACCUAAAAUGCCUUGUAAAUAUGUGAUUUGUGUUCAUUCAUAUGUGAUAGAAAUGGUAUAAUAAUGGUGUGAGCAUAUGAAUAUAUGUUUAGGUUAUAAGGCAUGUUUGAUCGAAUUGAAUAGAAUGAUGAUUGAGGUGUCAUUUAAAUGGCAUAUUGGUUAAAAAUAGGUUGAAUGUGAUUUUGGCAUGUUUAUAGAUGUUUCGAGGUAUGCUUUAUAUAUGUUAAUGAUGGUUGAAUUGGUAAAUCUUUGUGUGCAAGUUUUGGGCUUGAAAUGACUUGACUUAGAGGCAACUUUUGUUGCACGCGGCCUGAGACACUGGCUGUCACACAGUCGUGUGCCACACACGGUCAUCCCACAUGGUCAUGUGUCAUUUAAAUUUUAGGUGUAGCGUGGACCACAUGAGCUUAGAGAGUUACACGGCUUGGCGACACGGUCGUGUGACCCAACUUCGUUUUCACACACAGGUUGAGACACGGCCGUGUAUCCAAACUUCGAAUGUCCACACAGUCUAGGCUAUGUCACACGGCCGUGUGACCCAUGUUUUUAAAAUUUUCAACUUUUUCCUAAAAUUUCUUAUUUGUUUCAAAUUAGUCCUAGCUUGUUUCUGAACUGCUUUUAGGGCCUCGAAGGCUCGAUUUAAUGCCCAAAUGUGUAUGUUUACUAAGAUUGUGAUAAGUUCUGAUAAUUAAUAACAAAUGGUAUUAUUGAUCUGUUUUGAAGUAAAUUGUUCUGAUUUGUACUGUAAUGAUCUGUAAUCCUAAUUCGGUGACAGAGACGAGUUAGGGGUAUUACACUCUCCCCCUGAGAGUCCUCUUGUAUCCAACUCAGUGUCAACCUUUGAAUAAGAAUAAAAGGUUAAAGAUACCAACUGCGUAGAAAUAGAGAAAAAAAUACGUUGAUUACACCGAAAAUCCCUCUAUUUUUCCCUAUGAUUAUGGCCUAAAUCUUAUGUAUGGUAUAUAUAAGGCAUCAUUUGCACGGUAUCCAAAAAGCUUGAACUCAUGACCACGUAACGACCAUCAACUGGCCCCCGGUUAUAUUUGAACUUAUGAUUGCAUCACGACCGUCAACUAGGACCUCCACUUUGACUUCGACCUCUGAUAUUAUCAAACGCAAUCACCUCGAAACCUGAUUUUCCCAAAAUGGGUUUUUGAUGUGAUGGUCUUAUCUCGCUACGACAUAUGAAAUGUAUAUGUCAUGAGGCGCGUUAUCACAUCCCCGACUCCUUAAAACUACCUUUGAAAUUUUCUAGUUUUAAACGAAAACCUCUAACCCUGUUAAAAAAACCCUAAAUCAAAAAGCCCUAAACCUUAUUAAAAACUCUAAUAUUAUUUAAACCUUAAAUCUAAAAAUAUUUUUAAAUAACUAACCCUAGGAAAGAUAAAAGGGAAAACGCGUCCAGUUGAGUGAGCUUUCUAUACAAGUGGCAGGAAAACGCACUCGGUUGGAUGAGCUUUUCUUUCACUUAUGCAGAAAGCGCGCCUAGCUAGGCACGCUUUCUAUUUCUCUCUCCAAAAAUGGCUUAUUUCCCUAAAUUAAAAAAAAACUGCUUAAAAACCUAAUUUAAAAAAAAUUACAUAUUAGCCUAAUUUGGCCUAAAUAUAAACACUUUAAAAAGGAAAACACUUUAAUUAUUUAAUAAUGAGAAUAAGUCAUUAAUUAACACUUGUGAUCAGGAAAAAUGUGAUGACAUAUUUAUUAAGUUUAAACAAAAAAAAUUGAUAGGUUAUAAAUUUUAAUGUAAUUCUACUCAACUUUCUUUUUUUAGUAACAGAAGUAAAAAAAAACGAAAAGUAUUUACAAAAUAAAAUUAUCAAUUUAUUUGUUAAUAAACACCAUAAGCAGUUCAUAAUCAUGUCUGAUCGUUAUAAUUCUAAAAAUUGCAAAAAAAUAAAAUAAAAUAUUCUGAUCAUAUAUGUUCUUUUUGACAUAAGAUGUUUAGAAUUAUUUAUAGUCUCUCUCUAACCCAUAAAUAGGAGGAUAAUACGCUUCAGUGCAUUUGAACCUACGUCCUCUUGCAUUGACAAUAAUACUCAUAUCAAUCGUAUUAAGACUCAACCGACUAAUAUUUUUUAAAUUCAUUUGAAAAUUUUAAUAUUUUUUAUUAAACCCUUCCAAGUAAACUUUUGAACUGGAGCAAGGUACUCUAUUCUUUAACAAUAGUAUUCUUUAAUUAAUGUAUAAUAUUAAUUACUUUGGUACUCUAUUCUUUAACAAUAGUAUUCUUUAAUUAAUGUAUAAUAUUAAUUACUUUGGAGUCAAAUACUAAAAUUAAUAUUAAUUAGCUUAUAAUAUUUUUAAAAAUUUCAAACUAAUGAUUAUAGAUAUUGUUGAUUAAAAUAUAAAAGAACUAAAUGAUUAGCCCAUUUGUUCUAAAAAUUAUUGAUGAUACAUAUUACAAAAAUAAUAAAGAAAUCCUUGAAUGACUCACGUUUGUUCAAGUUGCAAUUUGAAUUUUCUUUUUCAAAGAUAACUAGAAUCGUCAAAUUCAUUAGCAAUAAAAUGUCAUUUACUUUUUCUAUACUUUAUUCCUUUAAAUUAACAGAUAAACUUCUACUUUUUUUUAAGGGUAUCAGUUUAAUAUUUUUUUUAUCUAAACUCUCUCAUAUUUCAAGUAGGACUUCGAGUUUGGGUGGGUGAGUCAAACAUUAAAUAAGUCUAAAUACUUUUAUCUUUUUUUCUCCCAAUUGUUUACUUCUUAUCUUUUGUUUUGAACAACGGCGGUACCAACUUUUGGGUUGGCUAUCGCCCGCCUUUUUCUCUCUUCCACCAACCAUUUCUUUCUUUCUGCUUCUCAUUCACUCCACAUGUAUUCUCUUUUUUCAAUUUGUAAACCUAUUUUGUGAGUAUAUUUGUUAUCUUCACAAGUUGUGAUGGCUAAAUGACAAACGCCUGUCAUUCACUAAAACUCUACCAACUAGCAGUAAUUUUUAUUGGAAAAUGGGUGACUCUUUGUCAGUUUCUUAAUAUGUUUUUGUUUUGAGAGCAAUUCAAAAUAAUAAAUGAUUUCACAAUUCGAUUUGGACUGGUGUUGUCUUAAGUUUUAUAUGUUUUUUUAUUUAUUUUUCCAUUAUUUAAUAAGUUUUCAGUUUUAGAAGCUUUUGUCUGCUCUUGUAGCACGUUUUUUAGUCUUGCUUAUGCAUGUAACAUUAGUUUUACAACUGAUUUUAGGGAUGGUUUCGUUGUCGUCCUCUCUAGUUUGGUAAAUGCUCGAUUCUUUUGUCGAUUUUUGCUCAUCGCUUUGGACUAUCCGGGGUUGAUUUUCUUAUCGUAUUACGUGAUUGCAAUCACUCUAGAUAUGUCGUGAUUGAGUUGUAACAAAGCCAAUUGUCAACGUGUCAUGAUGUUCUAUUGAUGCUAAAGCUAAAACCUUAGCCUUUGUUUUGUUGGUGGAGCUUGUCUUUCACUAUCUAUAACAAGUGUUCGUUAUUUUUCCCCCUGAAUUGUAUGAUUCCAUUCAUUGAAUAAAUUAAUGAAUUUAAAAAGUUUAUAUUUAAAAAAAAUGUUGUUAAUUUUCCAAAUCUUCCCUCUUUUAUGGAAAAACUUUUUGUAAUGUUACAUGUAACUUUGCAUUAUGUACGACAGACAUUAAGACCUAAAAAAAUUCAUAUUUAGUAUAAAACUCAAAUUAAUCAAAAAUUUCCAAAAUGUGAUUGUAAUACACUUAAUUGUAUAAUUAGAUAUCUUAUUUAUCUUUAAAUUUAUGUUCUUAAAAGUUGUUUUAAAAUAUUAUUAUAAAUCUUAUGCUAGUAAAUAAUAAAUUAUUAUCGUAUGUAUUAACUUACAUUUCAAUGUAAGUGCAUUUUGCAAGGCACGAAAAAACCACCAUCACAUUUCAUCAAAUUCCCUGUUUUUUUUUUUAAAUAAAAAAAAUAAUUGCAUGACAAACUCGCUACGGAACUUAUAAUAGAAGUUAUUAAGAUUGAAUAAAUAAAAAUGUUAUAAAUAAAUUAUUUUCCUGCUAUACCUUUUUAUUUUUUUCUAGUAAAAAUUGUGUUUCAUGUUUGUAACAUACAUCAAGAAGACGUGUAACGUUAAAUUUUUUCUCCAAGGUUGUAAAAUAUACAAACAUCUUAUCAAACUUUCAAAAAUAGUUCCAACCUUUACAUAUCCAUCUUUCUAUGUUAUGGGCACGGUUUAAAGACAGUGAUUAUUGCACAAAAAGUAUUUUAUAGAGGUCUAUCAAUUAAAUAGGAUUCAUUUAACCCACUUAAAUUAGUCCAAAUUCGAAAAAUAAGUGAUAAAACCCAUCUAUUUGAAGCUUUGGUGACCCAGUGAAACACUUAUGGAAAACUAUAGUUAUCUUGAUAAAUAGCGAAAGUAAUCUUAAAAGAUUUGUAAUUUGAUAAUAUUUGAUUUUGUAAUCUUGGAGAUUAUGUAAAUCUCUUAAUUAUAGAUAUGCUUCGAUCUCGUACAUCGAUGUAAAGCUAGUUGUACCGUUGGAUUUGGGAGAGCUCAACUAUAAAUAGAAAGUUUCCCCCUAAUUUUAAAUUAUCCAUUGUAUUCCAUUCUUUAGUAGUGGAUACUAAUUGAGAGCAUUUACUCAAACAUUUGGCGUGCUUUUACCUUUUGUGGCUAUUCUUUUAUUUCAAGUUUUCUUUUGUCUUUGAGUUGCUUUCGCUAUAUUUUUGGUGUCUUAGAGAAAUUUUAUGAGAAUUCUCACUUUGCGAGAGUUAGAUUAACUUAGACGUAUUUGAAGCGAAGAAAUCACAUAAUGCCACACAGAUUGCGAAACUAAAACUCUAGCCCCGUGACACCUACAUAUAUUUAAAAUAUUUACAAAAUAGUUAUUAAUAUAGUAUAAUAGUGUUAAAGAUGUAAUUAAUAAUCAGUGUUUGAUCAUAACCUCGUAUUAAAUUUGAAAGAAUUGUUUUACAUUAGAGUCUUUAACAUUAGAUUGAUUUUCCAUUGACAAGAACUAAAAAUACAACUUCAAUCUCAACAGCAACAUUAAUUGCCAACUUAUAUACGUGGAAGCAAAAAAAAUGCACUUUUAUAUUAUUAUUUAUAAUUAUUUUUUUUUUUGUAAAACUAUUAGGUAAAUGUUCAAAUUAGGGUUCAACUUAUUAGAGGGUGCUCACAUGAGAGUUAAACCUUUCAAAAUGACCACAUAAAGGCUUAACCUUUAUAAAAGUGCUUAAAUAAUAGCUUUUCACAUGCUUUAAUCUAAUUUGUAGAAAAAAUUAGGCAAAUGCUAAGGUGUUUAGAAUAAAACACUUAACAUUCUAAUCAUAUAUUGCUUGAAAAGAAGAGAAAACAGUCAAAACAUAAUUUGUAACUAGAGGUGCUCAUCGAUCGAGCCAGGCCCAAUAAAAAAUUUAGUCCCAUUUGCUAGGCCCGUGCUCGGCCCGGCUCGAAAAAUGGGCCUAAAAUUUUACUCAAGCUUGGCUUGGAUAAAAAGUUAAAACUCGAGUUUGGCCCACCAGUAGUAAUUUUUAUAUUAUUUUUAUAUAAUUUUAAAUAUAUAUAAUACAUAAAAAACCAAAAACAUUAAAAUAAAUAUUUUUCAACAAAUUGAAAAUAAAAUUUAAAAAAUAUGUAUACUUAAAUAACACUAAAAUAGAACAAAAUUAACAAUAAAACAAGUGUUAUACAAUAUCCAAACAAUAACAACAAAAUACUAGUAACAUAAUAGUGAAAUAGUAGCAAAAUAGGGAGAAAACAACAUGAAAAUAGCAUUAAAACAACAAAAAAUAGCAGAUUUUUUUUAUCCUUUUGUGAAUUCAAGCCUAGCAGGGUUAGGCCCGGGCAAAAAAUGCCUUACCCGAGGCCUGACUCAUUUUUUAAAUGGGCCUUUUUUUUCAAGCCAAUUUUUCAGGCCUAUAUUUUUGCCCAAACCCUCCCACUUUUUGAGCGGGUCUUCGGGCCGGGCUGGGUGGCCCGACAAAUGAGCAGGUCUAUCUGCAACACGGUAUAUGACACUUAAGCACUUUUGAAAAAGAUUUAACCCUUACUUGAGCACUUUCGAAAAUGUUAGGACUUUAUUUGACCAUUUUAAAAGGUUUAGCCUUCAUUUAAGUACUUUUAUAAACAAUAGGCCUUUAUAUAACCAUUUUGAAAGGUUUAAUUCUUAUGUAAACAAGUCCUAAAAGGUUGGGCCCUAAUUUAAAGAUUUAGCUAAAAUUAUUUUAAUAAAUUAUAUGGAAGAAAACAUAGAUGCCAAAAACUUGAUGAUAAUGAAAUAGUGUAUAUAAAUUUAAUACAAAAAAAUAUAUUCAAUUCAGCCACAAAAUAAUGUUGAUUAUUCCCUCAAUAAGUAAUAAUUAGAAUGAAAUAAAUAAAAUAGAUAUCAGUAAUGAUUAAAAUAAAUAAAAAUGCAAUAGACAAAGUAAUGUAACAUUGAAGUUGUGCUCAUUAUCUCCUAAAGUUAUGAUUCAUAUGCACCUUCAGAUUUUCCCUACACUUCAAGUAGUUUAACGGUUUACUAACCUCGUACCAAGUGCAGUAUAUUUUCCCCCAAAUUAUUCAUCAAGUAAAAACAGAGAAUAUUUUCAUCAGUUCAAAUUCGUACUUUUUUAUAUAUAACAAAUAUUUUUAAAAUUGUAAUUAUUUAUAACUAUUUCUAGAAAACUCAUUUAUAAAAAUUUAAUUACACCAAAGAGUUAUAUUACAAUAAAUAUAGGGUUAGGUUUUAUUUUAUGGUAAUGAAAUUUUAUAUUAUUAAAUUUUUUUAAAGGAAAAAUUUCUUAUUACAAUAAACCUCUAUGAAGAGGAACACCAAUGAGAGGAGAGAAUGAAUUUAAACCCGAUAAGUUUACCUCAUACACUCGAUCUUCGGUUCUCAUUCUCUCACAAUUGUUAUAAUAGUGACAUCCAAAUUUAAAACAGGGAUAAAAAAACCUAAAGGCAAUUUAAUGUUUUUUGAAUAACAAAAAAUAUAUGUUUUUUAACUGGUUUUUUAUUCUACUUUCAUAAAAUUUCAUUUUGAGUUGAUUUCAUGAGUUAAUUGUGUACAAAUUCAAUUAGGAGAAGAGUGAAGUACAUUUUUUAAAAUUUCAUAUAAUAAUUUUUCAUAAAAUAACUCAAACAUAAGCAUAUGAUAGGAUGAUAGGAUGUUGGACUUUUAGGCUUUACUUAGUAGAGUGUAAAAAAAACCAAAAGGAUGAAAAAUCCAGAAGGUAGAAAACUAUAAAGAUGAAAAACAUAAUUUUUCUUCUCAUAAGUUUGUUUGGGAGGAAAGAUGGAAAAAUGGAAACAAAAUUAUAAUUUUCUUUUCAUCCAUUUUUUGGUAGAGUUGAAAAAUGAAAGGAAAGAAAAUAAAAACAUUCGACAAAUGCAUAAUUUUGAACUAAUAUACUCAUUUCUCUCCUUUUCUCUCUUCUCAUCAUCCAGAUUUGGAAAAAUUAAUUUUUAUGUAUUAGGAUAGAAAAUGAUCAUCCAUUCUAUUUUAUUUCCUCUUACUUUUCUUCCCUGGUCAAUUUAGCAUUGCUUUUAAGAAGCACUUUUGAGAUAAAAACAUUGCUAAAGAAGAUGUUUUUAAGCUUUUCAAAAACACUUUAGAGAAGAAAUGCUAAACUAAGCCUACACUUAAAAUUUAAUUUCUUUCCACUUUCCACCUUCUCCUCCCAUCGUUCUAAUUUUUCACCCAACUAAGUACACCCUGAACUCGAGUAAUUUGUAAUCAAACUCUGACAACAUAAUUAAAAAAACAUAAAUAAAUAUUUAAAAAAAAUCACCUCUUUUAAUUAACCUACAUUUAUUUCCUUCAAAUUUUCUUCUUUUACUCACACGUGAAAAACGCUAAUUAUAUGUAAUUUAAUUAUUUUAAUUUAGUAUAAAUUGUAUUAAUUAUUUUUAACGUAAAAAUAUAUUAAGGAUCAUUUUGGAUGGACGUUUAUCUUCAGUGCAGCGCGUUUAAUUUUCUUUUUAUCUCACACUAUAGUAUCUAAUCUCACCAUCACCACUAUUUUUAUACUAAUUACAGAUAAACCGUCCAUCAUUAUUCUUAUAAUUAUAAAAAAGAAAUACAACACUGCAGAUGGCACAAACUAGUAUCUGGAAUAGAUGAAACUUAGAAGGCAGAUCGGGCCGCCCUGGUUAUAGAUCCAUUGAUUUAUGAUUAGGCUUUGCAAGUGAAUUGGGCUAGAAUUGAGUGGGAGAAGGCCCACUAAAUCUCAAUCUCGUAUAUGUAAUAUAAAAAUAUCUUUUAUAACAUUUAUGGGGAUAAGGGGCAUGAAUUUACCAAUUUGGCCCAGUGCCCAAGCAAGGCGUGCAGGUCAAUAAAAGGAAAGGAGAAAAGAGAAACCAAAGCAUGCAGUGAGAGCGAAGAAGCACAAAGGAAACACAAAAGGGAGAGAGGUGAAUCUGGGAAAGGCAAAAGCUUAGGAGUCACGCAGCCAAUAAUAUAAAAGCACACAGAUCGCUGACCUGGCAUGAAAUUUACAAAUCCCGCCUAAACCCCCAAUUUUCAUUUCGUGCGCAAUUGAAUUUCAAUUUGCCCCUAACUUAAUAUCUCCGCCUUUCGGCCUUUCAACUCACCCCUCAAUCCUCAAUCCCCAAUCUCAUAUCUCUCCUUUGUUUCCCCUUUUCUCUCUCUUUUUUCAACCCUAACCCUACCUCACCAACCAGGUAUUUUCCGUCGGUUUCCUCCAUUUUUUUUCUCAAUUUUCCACGUUUUCUCUCGCUCUUUCCACUGAUCUGCGAUUUUAAUUUGCAGGAUUCAACAUGAAGGGAGGAAAAUCUAAGUCAGAUACUAAGAGUGCCAAGUGAGUUUUCGUCCCCCUUUUUCCAUUCGUUUUUUCUCUUGCUUUUUAAUAUCGUGUUUUCUAGGAUCUAAGAUCUGGAUGGAAAUUUUCUUUCUUAUUGGUCGACUAUUUUUUAUUUGUUCUUAGGCUAUCCGUGAAAUCCAAAGCUGGAAAGAAAUCGGGGAAGGCUGCCAAGGAUCCAAACAAGCCAAAGAGGCCUGCUAGUGCCUUCUUCGUUUUCAUGUAAUUUAUUUUCUUCUCUUAUCUUGCCUCUCAAUUUGUGUCGUCAACAAUUCUCAACUGUUUCUUUUGUCAAUUUUUCCUUUAAUUUUUUUGUGUUUGUUCCUUUGCUCCUUUGGAAGUUCUGGCGUUCAUAAUCCCUCGUUGAAGAGGCAAAUUAAGCGAUUUUUCUUAUUUCGUUGAUUUUCUCUCAUUUUCUCAUCCAAAUUGUUGAUGCUCGCUUCGUAUUAUAGGGAGGAGUUCCGUGAGCAAUACAAGAAGGAUCACCCUAAAAACAAAUCCGUUGCCGCUGUAGGUGUCACUGAUUUUAUUUGUUCUUUUUGGUUUAUAGCCACGGGUCUUUGUUUUUUUUCAAUAAAGUUCAAUUUAUUUGUUCUAUUUUUCGUGUGCCAACUUUAGGUCGGCAAAGCUGGUGGAGAUAAAUGGAAGAGCUUGUCUGAAGCUGUAAGUAUUUAGUUGUUUCGUUUGAAGUAUUCGAAAACUAUAUUCGCAACUGCGUUUUCUGAUUAAAUUUAAAUAAUUAUAUUCAGGAAAAAGCACCUUAUGUAGCCAAGGCAGAAAAGCGAAAGGUCGAGUAUGAAAAGAACAUGAAGGCCUACAAUAAGAGACAGGUAAUUCAGAUUUUCAUUUAUGAGCAUAAUGUAUCUGUUUGGGCAGCUAAUAAUUGAUGGAUUUUCCAGGCUGAGGGUCCUAAAGACGAAGAUGUUGAGUCUGACAAAUCAGUGUCUGAGGUGAAUGAUGAGGAUGAUGAUGAAGAAGGCAGCGGAGACGUAAGUUGCAAUGUUUCCGUUAAUUGUUGCUGUUGUUGAUGUUGGUUGCUAUUGUUUGACUUAAUGAAUUGUUUCUUAUUUUAAUGCAGGAAGAAGAUGAUGAGUAGGAAGGUCCGUGGUGGAUAGCAUAAUCAAUGUAGGCUGUGAUAGUGUUUGAUCAAAACCUUAUGUUAAUGCUUUCGAUGUUUCCAUGUUAUUCUUUUAGAUGCGCAUGCCAUCUAAGGGAGAAAUGUACCUCUGAAUCCUGUUGGUUCCUUUUGACCUUCAGAAAUUAAUAGUUGUAGAUGGGAUAAUCUGCUUCUAUAUGUACUUUUUGAUUUAAAGUUGAAUGGCUUAGAUAAAUCCUUUUGUAGAGAAUUAGUCCGAUAAUUUGGUCUUGCUGUUGCCAUCUUUUAUAAUUUUGCUGCUUGCUCCAAUGCGAUUUGACAGGCGUAUUAAUGUAUAUAUGUCGUGGAUGCUGCUGGUUUGUGUGGUUGUGUGAAUGUUAUUUCUUGGGUGGUGGUAUUUAAUAAUGGUUUCUGUAUUCGUUUUAAUGGGUUCUCAUUUGUGCGUCAAAUCUUUCAAAGCAAUUUACAGAUAUCUUUAAUCGUUGGUCUUCCAUUGUAUGCUGUAAGCUAAUUAUUGGAUGUGGUUUAUUUAUUUUAUGUGGUUUGACGGUUUAAAGAUUUUAUUCCACUAUUAUAUAUGGUCAACUGCUAAAGUUAUUAAAAAGUGUUUAUUAUGUGUAGGAGAAAGUCCAUUAGCCUUUCUGGGACGCUUCCUUAUAUAAAAAAUAAAUAAUCACCUAUUGACAGGCUCUCCUUUCAGUUGAUCUAUUUUGAGUAAGUCUGACAGGUUCUUAUUCUUCCAGUGGUUUACAUGGUUUGAUUAGUCUUGACGUUAACUUGUGUUUCCAAGCAGUGAUUUUUGAAUGGAGGUGUAUAAAAACUAGUAACCUUUCAUUUCCUCUGAAACCAUCAACAAAAGUUUUUGACUAACCUUUGCAUAUGAAGCAUUAACGAAAGUUUAGAAUCAACUAGCUUACAUCUCACCGUACAUUUUAUCUAAUUGGACGGGAGCUGGAUUGGCCUUUGCAGUCUCCUGGCCCCUACUAAUCAUUGCUGAUUCUAUGGAUUUUCCCGUGACAUUAACAAGCAUCCAAUCAAGUUUGUCUUGCCAAGAAGAGUGAGUCAAAUGUAACACACAGCAUCAAAACUCCUUGUAAUAAGGGCAACAACCAAAUAGGUGAUCCCUAACUUCAAUUUCUUCCCUGCACAGGUCACAGGAUCAACUUGCUUUCCAAAUGACAGUAGCUUGGACUCAACAACCAGUCUGUCCCGUAUAUCAAGCCAAACAGUACGAGAGCGACUUGGGAUUGCGUGGUUCCCUUAUACAAGUUUGUGCCAAGGAACCAUUUCCUUUCGAUUCCAUAACUUGUCCCUUAUCAUGAAUCUGUCUUGCUGCAACCCUCCUGCCUAAGAUUUUUUUUAUUUUGGUUGUAUCUAAGAUAAAAGAUUAAUCAGAAAAUGUGUUUCACUCCCAUGAGCGAGGGUUGAACCUCUAACCAUAGAGGUGUUAAGGUUUGGUAUUUGAUAAAUAUAAAAUUGGCAUCUAACAACAUAUUAUUUCCGCUUGGGGAUGGUAUCAUUCCCAGAUGGGUAACGCGGAUCAAUUAGAAUUGGGGAAUUGGGUCUCAUGUGCCAUCCACAAGUUUCGUCUUUGUUGAAGGGGAUUUUUCAGUCCAAAAGAUAUCCUUCGAAAUAGAUUUGAGUAUUUUCUUUGGGCUGAUUCUUUGCAAAUGUAAUCUAUUAGAUGUGUAGCAAUUUGCAUUUAGCAAAGAGGAACACAGUCGGUUCCUCGCAAAAUAUAACACUUUGAGACAUUCUCUUCCAUUAUAAUGUACUUUUCUCAUUAUAAAUAAGUUUUAGUAAAAUUUAAGCUAGCCAAUUCCGUUCCUGUAUCAUCCUUACUAGCCAAUACAUUUUGUUUCGGUAAUAAUUGGAACAAUAAAUUUUAGGUUCAUUCCAAUGUAAACUUUAAUUGGCUAGAAUGUGAUGUACUAAUUAAUAAGAAUGAAUUUUAUAGUAUAAAUAUAAUUCUUAUUAUUUAUUUUGGGUUUUGUUGAAUGAUGGAUUGUUAUAUGUUUUAUAUUUAUUGUUUGUUUAUUUUAGGUUUGUUUAAUUAUAGAUUGUAUUUGUGAAAAUGAUUGAACACCUGUUUAAUCUUAUUAUUUGAUAUUUUCUAAAUAAAUAUCGAAAAAUAGGACAUAAAGAAAAAGGAAAUGUUUCUAGAUUUGUUUCUGGAGAUUGUAAUUGAUGGUUUUCUCAAACCACUCACCCUUUUCAAGAUAUUUCUCGUAAAAGCCGACUUCUUCACCAGCAGAUAUGGUCAAUGCUAUAGUACUCCUUGUGCCACAAAGCCCCUGUAUCCCAUAAAACGCAUAGUUCAAACGGCCACAGUUUUUAUCAGCUUUAACAUUGUUUUUUUCUUUCAAUAAAUUUAGAACGGAAUUUUACCAGUGGAGUGUCCGUUUCAACAAAUAUGGAGCUAAGCUCGAAUUCCCACUCCAGAGCACAAAUGCCAGGUAACUUGCUUUUAUCAGCUUUAACUUUGUCUUCCAUGAGUUUUUCAACCAUUUCCUUCACCAUUACUUCAUUGUUACCAUACUUAUUCAGCAUUUGUUUGAAGCUUUUACGUAGCCGCAGAGCCUGCAGAGUGGGAAAGGAUGGAUCAAAUCUCCAGUGUCCAUUUGCAUUUCUGUAUGACUUUAUAGCAAUGUAAUAUGGAAGAGUUGUUUUUCUUGCGUAAAAGAGAUGUACCUUAGGGCAGGGUGAGUCAAGAUUGGCAUUUGAAAGUACAUGAAGACCUGGAGAAACCUGUUGAAUGUUAAUGUCUUCCCCCCUUGGCCUAUUGGAGGCAUAAACCAUUGAUUUUGAAGGAAUAUCAGCCAAUAUGAGGUUAAAUCCUUUGUAUUGAUGAGCAUCAGUGAUCAGUUGUUGGGCAAAUUCCAUGGGGCUCUUUGUGCUCUGUAUCAGCAAUACUUACUGUUAGUUGAGUUUCGCUUGAACCAACAAAGAAAGGCAUAUAGAUUUACCUUCAAGAAAAGUAUAGGGAGAUCCCCGCGGGUCUUGGCGUUGGGAAGGUGAGGAAGCUCCAAAACAUUGGUAAGACAAGCUACUCUGCCUUGUCUUGAACAUGCCAACCAUGUCCCUCCUGCAACCUCAUCUCUAUCUCCCAGUAUUUCACAACCAUCAACAUCCCACCAUGCAACUGGCUUUGUAGGCCUUCAACGCCACCCAUAAAACAAAUCCCAUAGAUUAAUCAUAGAUGCUUCCUUCCUUGAAAGAAAAAUAAUUGAAGCGAAAUGGAAACCUACCUGUUGUGGUAUUCAUCUCUGUUUUGUAAAAGCAGAAGAGGGUACAGUGGAUGAGCUUGCCAAAUGAAAGCAGCAAUACACAUGGUUAGACAAUUCUAUUCAAUUGUUUGGCUUUGAGUGAAUUGGUUGAACUCUAGAAUGAUAGCAGAAUAUGAAAUGAGAAAAGAGAACAGAGAAGCAGAUUAGAUAAGAUCAGGGGAAAAAAUCUGCAAUUUCUUUUUGGCUUGCUAUGACCAGCUGGAUUGCAAUGAUUAAUAAGAGUCAUCCAACACUAAAUAAUUGCCUCAGAACCAACAUUUACAGCAAAAGGGGCUAUUCUUGUUUUACAAGAGGGGUUUGAGUGAGGUAGAAACAAAAGGUAAUCUUGACUUUUCAAAACUAAGAAAAAUAUUUUGAAAAAUGUAGCUGACGGCGGUGCAUCUGUUCAACACUGCCCAGUUUGAAUCGUUCUCUAAAACGUAAGAGGAAACAAACAGAUUUGGUUCUUGCUGCUCCCCCAUAUACCUCCAAAUUGAUAUUGCAAUCACACUGCAUUUGGUCUCAUCUGUAUUUAAAAACAAAUAUCCUCAACACUGUUUAAUCAAUGCAGUUGAUGGAGGAUACCGCUCCCAGAUUGAAGAAACAGUGCGGUAGUCCCUGAAUGAAUGCAUAAAAUCUUCCACAUUCUCUCCACAAGUAAGAUUCAUUCACCUAAUGUUUUCAUUGAAGGCACAAAAUUGUAGUAAGUUGAUUCAUCAUCAGAGAGUGUUGGGAGCACAUGCGCUGACUGUUUCGUAAGUCCUUGUUCAUAUUCAGCCCAUCAUCCUCCCCAAGUGAUUGAAACUAAUCUGUAAUGUUCAAUGAUGUUAAUUUAUGACUAAUGAAAUUAAAUUUUGAUUCAGGAAAUAUUUUGAUGGUAAAUUCAAAAAAAAAAAUCAAUUUAUCUAUAUCUAUAAUCUAUCAUAUAUAAAAACUCGAGUUUAGAAAAACUUUUAAAUAUAACAAUUUUUUUAGAUUAUAGUUCUGAAUUUGUCAAUUUAAAUAUUUUUUUUAUUAUUUAUAAGAUUUAUCAAAUUUAUAAAUAAUAAUUUUAAUUUUACUAAAAUAUUUAAUUAAAUAAAAUUUUUGAUAAUAAAAUUUAUCAUACUUAUAAAUAAAAAUUUCGGUUCUAUUAAAAAAAAAACCUUAUUCAAAGCUUUAUAUAAUAAAUAAUAAAAUUAUUUUUAUUACAUUAUUUGAUAUUUAUUAGAUAAAAAUUGAAUAGUGAAAAGUUUAAUUUACAAUAAAUUAAUUUUUAUAGUUUAUACAAAUGGGUUAAUAAUGAUUAGGAUUUUUUUAUUUGCACUAAAUUAAUUUAAUGACGUUGGUUAUAUUAAUUAAUUAUUAUUUUGAAUAAUGUUUCUUUGUAUUAAUUAUAUGUAGUAAAACUAUAUUGUACGUUAAAUAUAAUAAAAUAUUUUAAUUAUGAUUUGAAAUUUAUUCUUAUAAUAUUUGAAUUGUUAAAUAAGUUAAUAUAUUUUAACUAUGUUCAACAAUUCAAAUAAUAUGAAUUACGUUUACACUAAGUACAAUAAUUAAAAAUUAAUAAAAAAUUAAACGUUUAAAAUCAUGUGCAACACAUGUGACAUUAGAAAUAAAUAUAAGUAAAAAGGUGAGCAAUAUUAUAAACAAAAAUAAUAGAUAAAAGAUGGACAUGAGAAUAUGAGGAUUUCUAUUGUAUUCUAUAUUUUUCAUCACAUUUACAAGUAGCGUACUUCUCUCUAUAUAUAGGGAGAUUAAACUCUUCAUAUUCUAAUACAUAAAUAGGAAAGGAGUUACAAGAAGAUGAGAGGUUUAAGGAAGAUGAAAGCUUAAAGGCUAAAGAAAAUCAAAUGUGGAAUGUUAAGGGAUAUUAAAGGUGAAAGGUGAAAGGUGAAAGGUGAAAGGUGAAAGGUUGAACAUCCACUUAAUAGCUUUCAUAACACUCCCCAUUGGAUGUUCAUUAUAUAAAUGAUAUGCUUCAUUAAAAAUCUUACUAGGAAAAACCCUGUGGAAUAAAAACCUAAUAAAGGAAAAAAAUGGUUCAUAAUCCUUUGAUGCACAGUAUGUCACAACCUUAAAAGAAAAUGUAGUGCGAAUUUACUCCCCCUCAUGUAAGCAUCACUUAAGAUCUUUGAAACGAUGCAAUCCAAUGUUGAAAAUUAACUUCUCAAAUGAAGCAGUAGGGAGCGCCUUAGUAAAAAGAUUUGUCAAAUUCUCAUUUGAAUGAAUCUAUUGAACAUUUAUAUCUCCAUUCUUUUGUAGAUCAUGAGUGAAGAAAGUUUUUGGUGAUAUAUGUUUUGUUCUAUCACCCUUAAUAUAUCAUUCCUUAAAUUGUGCAAUGCAAAUUGUAUUAUCUUCAUAUAAGACUGUUAGAGUUUUUUUUUUCAAAGCAUAAACCGCAAUCUUUUCGUAUGUGAUAAAUCAUAGACCUUAGCCAUACACAUUGACAACUAGACUCAUGGAUUGCCAAAAUCUUAGCAUGAUUAGAAGAAGUAGCAGCAAUUGUUUGUUUCAUAGAAUGCCAAGAAAUUGCAGUACCAUCAUACGUGAAAACAUAACUAGUUUCUGAUCGAGCAUUGUAAGGAUCAGGCAAGUACCCUGCAUCUGCAAAACCAACCAAUUCUUUUUUGGGUAGGUUAGGGAAAAAUAAACUCUUAUCUCUUGUACCUUGAAGAUAAUGAAAAACAUGCUUAACCCUAUUCCAAUGUCUUCGGGUUGGAAAAGAUCUAAAUCUUACUAAUAAGUUGAUAGAAAAUGAUAUAUCAGGUCGUGUAUGACUAGCAAGAUACAUCAAUGCACCAAUAACACUUAAAUAUGAUACUUCAAGACCAAGAAAAUCUUCAUUAUUUUCUCGAGGAUAGAAAGAGUCUUUAUUUACAUUAAGUGACCUAACAACCAUUAAGGUGUUCAACGGAUGCGUGUUAUGCAUGUAAAAUCUUCUUAGCACUUUUUCUACAUGUAUUGUUUGAUGCACAAUGAUACCAUUCUUUAAGCACUCAACUUGUAACCCUAGACAAAAUUUUGUCUCUUCAAGGUCUUUCAUUUCAAAUUCUUUCUUUAAGCACUCCAUUAUCACUAAAAUCUCUUCAGGGAGUCCUAAUGAUAUUUAAAUAAUCAAUAUACACAACAAUUAUAACAAAUCAUGAUCCAAACCUCUUUAUAAGAAUGCAUGGGGAAAUGGGAUCAUUAUUUAGCCUUCCCUCAAUAAGUACUCACUAAGGCAUUAUACCACAUGCGCCCACAUUGUUUCAAUCCAUAAAAGGAUCUAUUUAAUUUGAUUGAGUAAUGUUUUUGAGAACACGAAUUAGCUGUUUUUGACAGUUUAAAACCUUCUAAGAGUUUCAUGUAAAUGUUAUUAUCAAGUGGGCCAUAUAAAUAGGCUGUCACUACAUCCAUUAGGCGUAAAUUAAACCCUUAUCUUAUUGCCAAACUAAUCAAGAACCUAACAGUAUGUUUUGUUGGCAUGAAUAGCCUUUCCAUUCCUUGCCUAUUCCCGCGCUACAGUAAUUACAGCCCUAUUCCACCGUUUGGUUCAGCGUUUACUAAUUCGAGGGUUUUGCUAUUACACCAUUAUUCUCUCAGCAGCUGUAAUAGGUAUUCAGGCGUUUUAGCUUGGAAUAGCUAUUCACCGUUUUCUUCUUCACAUUUUGAGACCAAAAUAGCUUGCCUUUUUCUCCCCAAAAAUUUCUCAUCGAUUUUAUAUCCCCAAAUCAAGCCAAAUCAAUUCGCCUUCAUCUUCUUCCAGCCAAAGGUAUGUUUUCACAUUUUCUUGCAGUUCUCGGGUAAGAACUCAUUUUGUUUAGGGCUUCACCAUUCUUCCGCUUCUUGCAGCGACUGAGAAACAGUAGUGGGAAGGGAGGUAAUCUUUUUUUACCCUCAUCAAGCUUCAUCCUCUCCGACGUUUCCCUUCCAUUGAUUGCAGAAGUAAUCUUUUUACUUCUUUUCUUCAUUGAUUUUUCCUUCUUACGUGUAAACAAAGUCUAUUUUAUUUUCCUUUAUUUUUUGCUCUUUCGAUGUGGCUUAACUUCUUUUGACAUGAAAUUUUUAGAUAUUUUCAUUUUAUCGUUUGAGUUUUGGGGCAUUUCAUUGUUAGCUUCUUUUUUUUUUUUUUUUUAAACUUGUUUGUUUAGAUUCUUUAGUUGGAGCUAAGUAUUUAGCAUUUGCAUGAACUUAGAGCUAAAAUAAGUUUUUCUUUAUAUAAGAAAUAAGCAAGUAAACUGCUACAAUGACAAUAUAUUUUACUAUCAUUUAACAAAAAUUGAACUAUUUAGGGCUCAAACCGUACAAAGAGCUAAGUUAACACAAUGGAAAUCGAUUCCUUAAUCUGCAUAAGCAAAAAAUUGAACUGAUUCCUUUGUUUACAUAUAAAGUAGAUGUUGGCACUAAGCAGUCUAAGCAAUUAGCAACAUGAAAGUAAUAAGAACUUUGGUUUUCAAGUGGUUAAAUUGCCAUUGUCGGUUCCUCAUCUCAAUUGAAAGCCAUUCUUUGAAUUUGGCAAAGCUCCUACACUGCUUGCCAAACUUGUUUGGUUACCCCGCUAGUGAAGAAAAGAUGGCUUCUGGUUUCAUUUUCUUGCUUACAAAAAGAGCAAACUUCAUCAUUGUGGUAUUCCCCAGAAAUGAUCGUUUGUUGACAGUCUGUCCUUAAUCGCCAUCCAAGAAAUAAUAGUACCUAAGAACAUUGUACUGAAACCAGAUUAACCUAUUCCAAGCUACCUUAUUUGCCCUGUAGGUCUAAGAGCACUCCAUAUAGCAGCAGUAGAGUAGGCUCUAGCAAAAAAAAAACUUGAACUUUGCAAAUGUUGAAAAGGCAUUUAGAGUGGACUGUUGCUUGAAAUUCAGCUUAAAUGUCUUGAGUUUGAACUUCCGAGAAAGAGGUUUAUGAGCUAGGGAUUGGGGUUAACUUCCUUUCUAUAAACCACCUUUGUAUAAACCAAUCACAAUGAGAUUUUAUAUGUAGUAUAAUGUUAACAUUUAAUUUCUUAAGUAUGGGCAAAUUUGUUGAACAUUUAGACCCCUUAUUUUGAAUUGGUGUAGCAGUAGGAAUCUAUGCUAAUUGUUACCCGAGUAUAUUUAAAGUGCUCGUGUUCAAUAUUCUAUUCCCAAUACAUAUUUUGCCAUGGGGGUAUGAUUCUACAAAUAUAUAGAAGAGCUUAGAAAAUACUAGGCACAACUAUGUUGAACACGUACCUCUAUCUUAUAUUCAUCUGGGUCCAAGUAACAUAGGUAAGAGUAAAAUCUUCUACUAUAUAUAACCUGUGUGUGUUGCUGGUGAUAUGUGCUACUCAUUCUAGGUUCUUAAUUCUCAAUUACACUGCUUUCCCACUCCCCCUUUUUAGAAUGGAAAAAGUGCAGUAAUCAAAUUUAUUCGUUUGUUAGUACAUUUCAUCAACCAUAAUCAUAUCACAAAAGCUGCAUUGGCAUUGUUGUUAAUCGAUUAUCGUGCCAUCUAUUAGAUAUGGUAUGUGUUUGACAUGGGUAUGCUCAAUUUUACUAAAGUUUUAUCAUAUAUUUGGAGGAUAUAUCCCAUCCCCAUGUCCAAAUUUGUAUCAGGCAUGAAUACUUUAGGAAAAAUUAAGAGUCUAAGUAACAUGGGUCUUAUUAAUUUGAUCUGGGUACAAUUUAUUUGUUUUGUCUUUGGAACAAUAUUAAAGUCUUUCAUUUACAUUGUUGCAUGCAUUUCUCGAGCUUCACAUCAUCAUUCUGUUAAAUCCCCAAGAAUCAUAUUCUGUGACCAACUAUUUUUCCUUGUUUCAACUUCAGCUUUGUCUCACUCUUUUGUCUCACAUUCUGUGUUUUGUUACGUCCAGUCUAAACUAAUUUUGACCUAAUAGUAUUAUUAGGUUUUGGUUUUUGCAAAACAAAGUUUCAGCCCCUUUAUUGACAAGGAAUGUGAAACAGCUGAAUCUCUAAAGUAAAGGUUUACUUGAGAAACAUAGAGAUUUAAGCUGUUUAAGAAUGUAAUUGGUAUGGAAUGAUUUUGACUGACCAACACGGUAUACAAAUUUCAUCAAGUCAUAUUUGGUUCCCUUGUUACUCCUCUUUAGGCUUCCAUAUACAUCAAUUUAUUGACAUUUCAUUUGGUGUGUCUCUAGCUUUUGAAUUUUUUUCUCCUACUUCUGCCUGUCAAAUCUGGAGAACAACACAUAUCUUUACUGAUUAGUAUGAAUCACCAACAAGGCAUAUACCUUUCAUACCAACGUCGGUUAUGACAAGCCUCCUUAUGGCCAGAUAUGCAUCCUAUAUGUAUCUAGUUUGUGAAACUUUGGUGGUGUUUGAAUUAUUUUUUGUAUUGUACUAAACUUGUUGAAUUAUAAUUUAAUUUCUUUUCAUUCAUCAUGUGUUAUAAUUUUAUAAAGUGUUGAGCUUUUGAUUCAUGAUAUUGAACUUAAUUUUAAUUUUAUAAAGUGUUUACCUUUUAAUUCAUGAUAUUAAACUUAAUUUUAAUUUUUUUUCUGAAGAUAAUUAUGUCAGAUGUUUUAGAAUCAAAUGUUUCUUCCCAAACUUCUCGAGGAACCAAAAGGAAAUGGGUUCCAGAAGAAGAAGCAGCGUUGGUUUCCUGUAUGAUGGACUUGCACAAUGUUGGAACCUUUAAUGUUGAUAUGGGGUUCAAAGCAGGUUAUUUAAACGAGUUGGAAAAAUGUUAGAAAAAGCUUUACCCAAUGCAAUGUUGAAGGCUAGACCUAAUAUUGAAUCGAGGAUUAGGGUACUGAAAAGGGAUUGGUCAAUCGUGUAUGACAUGCUUAAUGGAAAAAACAAUAGCGGUUUUGGGUGGGAUGAGCAUAGGCAGCUCGUUGUUGCUGAAGAUGUGGUUUGGAACUCUUAUUUAAAUGUAAGAAUUAUUUCAAGUCUUUAUUAUCUUAUUUUGACCAAACUUAUAACUAAUAUGAAUUCCUCAUUUUUAUAGAGUCAUAAAGAAGCCGGUCAAUUCAGACAUCGUAGUUUCCCUUACUAUGACCAACUUGCUGCCAUCUACGCAAAAGAUCGAGCUACUGGGAAAGAUGCUCAAACAACUGCUGAUGUUAUUGAAGAAAUAAAUGUUAAGGAUGUAGCUACUACAGAUAUUAAUGAAGAAAGAAACGAUUUCUAUGGAUGCGAAGCUGAUGUCUCUUUGGAUGACAUGGAUGUUUUUGCUAUAGAACCGCAACCAGAUAGAAACCAAGGGGGUUCCACAUCUUCAAAGAAGAAAAAAAAGAAUUUUGAUGCAAGUGAUCAUAUUUUUUCUUCAUUUCAUGAUGCUGCCACUUUAUUAGCAGAAAACAUGUGGGCCAUUGGCGAACAAAUCAGUAGGAGUAUUACCUCCAAUGUGGUAGUUCAACAAAAGUUAGAAGAAUUCUAGAUCAUCCAAGAAAAAGCUAUAAAUUUAUAUCCAAC